CCCAAUCCAUGUCGACACUAUGAUCUUCAGCAUCAGGACGUCUGUUCUUCAGCUGGCGAUCAAACUGCAUCUCAGCACGAGUGUCCCUGAGCUGAUCAGGUUGAGUACCAUCAAAUUCAUCAGGCAAAUCAUCCAGCAUACUGGUAAUGUCACUGUAGCCUUUCAUGACACUAGAAAAAUCAUGGUACCAGUCAUGCUGAUCUUCCAUUAGAUAAUUGGAAACAGAAGGUUCAACAUUGAUUUCCCUGAUACGGUCAACAUCUAGUUCCAUGCUAAUAUGGCCAUGCUCUCGAGCUAUUGCUUUGUGCUUGACAGUCCAAUCAGGGCGACUCCAUAAAUAUAAUGGUGGUGUCUCCGCGUUCCACUGCUCGAUUUGCUGAGCAAGCACAUCCACUGACCCAGGCAGAUAAAAGGACUGAUAAAAAAUUAUUUGAGUAAGUGAUUUACUUCAUCCUCAAAUUAGAUCACUAUGUGGGGGUUGGCAGGCAGUGAAGGGGAGAGCGAGAAGAUGCUAAUUGCUAAUUUUCUUACCUUCCCAGAAAGUAAUUCGUCAUCUUCCCAAAUCAAAUCAUAUCGCAACUUUCCCCUGUCAAGUCUGUAGUUGCCAGAAGGAAAAUAAUAACAAUAAUAAUGAGCAGGUAAAUCAUACUUUCUGGAAUUUCUGAAGUACAAAGUUUAUCUUAUAGCUUCUUUAAGUACAAAUUUUACCUUUUAGUUUCUUUAGGAACAAUGAGAAUCAUGAGCUUUGGACUGAAUGUCAGAGCUUUUGAAAUGAACGUAUUAGCCAGAGAUGCAUGGACGCCAAAAGGAGGAUUCAGCCCCAUGAUCUGUUCACGAUGAAUAGUGAGGAUCUUCAAAUAUAACACUACAACAUAGACAAAGUCACAGAAAGCCACCUAUUUCACAACUUACAAGAUUUGAUCCAGCAGGUAAUUCAUCUUGACAAAUACUCAUCCAAUUCCUUUUCUCAAAACUGAAAGCAUUCUGAAGAACAGUAGUAAAACAUUAAAAGGAGAAAACUCAACAUUAAAAAUCAUUGCUCAUGAGUGGCAAUAAACGCAAUCUUUAUCAGAUCAAAAGAUGUGGGAUGAAAACCAAAACAUUAGCAAUGACCUUGAACAUGAUCAUGAACUGAUAGCCUAAACAGUUUUAGGUUUAUUACUUUCAGCUACGGCCUUGUAUAUACUUAAAAAUGAUCCACCAUUGAACGUAAAACAAUUGGGCCAGGACAUGCUUCUUCACUUUAAGUUGCUACUACCUUAGAAAGACUGCAGGAGAGAUGCGAAUAUCAUGAAUUUCCAGUAAUAUACUUUUUUCUAAUGUCUGCCUAAGAAGCAAAUUGACUAUGCAUGUCCCCAGUAGUUUCUUGUUAGGUUUGCAGUAAACUUAGGGAAAAAGGAAGGGUUGUUAUAUGAAGAUGCAUGCAUUACCUCUUUUCCCCAAAUAUUAAAGCUCUAGCUGCACUGAAGGAGAAAAUUAAUGAUACUCAGGUUAACCAAGUUAGUCUUUGCGGUGAAACAAGCCUUAUGUCCCAUCCACAUUUUCUAAAGUUAUGGAAGACGAUUUCUUUUCAAUGCCUAAACCUAAGCAAAAGAAACUUUCCCUUUCAGCACUUCCUUUUUCCUAUCUCAAUAUUACAAGAUACAAUAUAUAUAAAAAAAAAACAACGGAAAGAUAAGUAUCAUCCCAUAGGAGAACAAUAAAUUAUAACAGCACAUAAAAUAAGAAGAUCCCUCACUAGAAAAACAAAGCAAAAGCUAAUCCUGGCUACUGAUUCUUCUUCAAUUAAAGAUUUUAUCCUCAGCAUGGAUUCUAACGCCUGUCUUUGAACAAAAAACGGAGAUGUAUAUGUCAGAUCUAACCUAAUGUACAAGACACAUGAAGCAACAAUCCAAACUGUCGAAGAUAUUAUCUCCCAUGAUUAUGGGAUUUUAUUGCUUAUGAUCAAUCAAGUUUGAAUAGAUUAACUAAAAUAAAAGAUAGGAUAUGAGUUGGUUACGUAAUCCCUAAAAUCAUGGUUCUAUUACCUUAACUUGUGGCAGAACUGUGAUAGGGUUGUCCUAUAAAUGCGUACCUUGUAAGCAUAUUCGGUGUGUGGGAAAAUAAAGAAAAGCAGAGUUUUGUUUAUUUCCUUUUCUUUUUUAAAGUUCACACAAACUUACCAUGGAAUUAAAAGCAGCUUGCACAGGAAUAUUGGUAUUUUGUCCGACAACCUUGUUCUAUUCAAUACCUUCCAGAAAAUAUGCUUUCCAAGCAGCACGAAGAAAAAAGAGCAAACCCAGCAAUGACAUUGGUCGAUAGGAGACAUGCCUCACUAGCACUGACCUUUAUAAAAUAAACAAAGCAUUCUUAUUCAAAACCCACCAUCUUAAGCAAUUGACUUGUUUAUUGAAAGAAGUGUUAAUCGUCUGUGAUUGUUCGACCCAUGGAAAGGAUACCUUUUGAAUCCCUCUGAACCUACUUUACACCAAAGAGCAAUGAACUGCAUCUCUAAUGCAUUGAAUCUUGGACGAUUGUAACAGAUCUGACAGAUUGUCAGAUCAACAUUGUGACUCCUAUUUGUAUCACAUAUAACUACCCAUCAAGCACAUAUUCAGAAGUGAUUACCUGGUUUAGAGCAUAAACUGAUCACAAGCAUCCUUCACCAAGAAUCAUGAAUCAUAAUACAGGGGUUUGUCAGUCGAGGAAACUCUAAGUUUGACAAUGGCAAGAACAAGGACUAGAGUAAAAAGAACCACGGGAUUUUAAUUGCUAAGACAAAUAAACCUUAAACUGUCUUGGAAAAAAAAUUGAAAAAGAAACUUUCAAUAAGAUGCAUCUUUCUGUUUCUCCCAAAGACACAAGUCAUUCACCUUUUUCCCUAAACCUUCUUUCAGAACUUCAAUGCUCAACUUUUAAUAUAUCAACUAGUUUCACCCGAUCUGUUGGAAGUCAUACCUGAAAGUAUUCUUCAAAUAUUUCAAGCCAAUCAACAACAGCUCAACCAUGGCUUUUUGCUAAGAUCAGGUUUGUCUACCCUAACUUUCUUUGCAAAAUCUACUUGCUCAAAUAUAUCUCUAAGCAGCACUUACUGCAGUAAUAGAUUAUCCUGUAUGGAUAUGCAAAGAUCCCCCAUUACUGAACAUUGCUUGGUCUGAAAUAAUUUGAUCUUUUAAAAUCCUAAACAAAUGCUGGACCAAGCUAGUAGAAGCUAAAGCUAAAAAUCAUUAAUCUAACUUGGAAAGGCAAUUUUGAACCUGUAUGUACUUUGAACUUGGGCCACCAAGAUCACUACUACCUUUAGAUGGCCCAGUUCUCUUGGCCUAUGAGAAGUUGCAAGCUUUUGUGUUCAUUUCUGUUUCAUGUCAUAACUAGUUUUAUUUUCUUUUAAACGAGGUUCAGAAGAAUAUCUAUUACACCUUCUAUGAUUUCCUACUUUCUGUACCAUACUCAGUGGUUAUUAUACUUACCCAGAGGCUAUUUUCCUUUAGAUCUCUUAGAAAAUGUUCGGAAAAUGUUCGGCAGAAGAUUUUGAACUGUUUUUAUUUUGCAAACCAUGAUAAACAGGGUUAGAAUACGUGGCAGGUUGACAUCAAUGAAGCAUUAAAUGCACAAUAAGCUAUUCUCAUAAUGAUUAAGCUAAAUAAAGAUACUUAUGGUAGAGAGUUUACUUAUUAACUCACAUCAAAAGCAAAUGGUAAAAUCAAAUUAACAUAGAUAAAGAUUUGUUUGGUUUUUGACACAGAACAACACAAGGAAUAAAACUAGAUGCAGUCACGAACAUAAUUCAAAGGUCCUUAGUCUUCAACUAAGGCAAGCUGUCAUUAUGCGAAGCAAAAUCGAGAAUUUGCAUCUAGAUUGUGUGAGCAAAAAGUGCCUCAAGCUACAUUUCUCAGAAAGCAAUGCCAAGAACAUAUGAUGAAAACUGCACCUUGGGUUGUAUAAUAUCAUAGUUUUUGAAGGAGCACUUCCUGCCCAAUUUGUCCAGAGCUUCUUUCAUUAAACAACUGAAAUCAUUUGAGCCACAACAGAAGUCGACUAUCUGCUCAACGGCGUUAAUUUAAUCAGAUAUGAAAUCAAAAGAACAUGAACAGCCAUAAUACUACAGAUGCCAAGGAUACAAAAGACUCCCCCAGCAGUUUAAUAAUUUAACAAGGCAAUCUCUCCAAUUGCAGAUUGUCAAGGCAAUCUCAAUGAAGAUUAAACCAGUCAUUUCAAAGAAAACCAUGACAGCCAAAAUAAGUUCUUCCUGUUUUACAUACCAUCUAACUCACUAUACUAUUUAACUCAAGAAAGUACAUGUUUCAUAAAACCAGAAAGCACAUAGUUGAAAACUUCCAUUUUCAUCCUGAAUUCUUCCAUCAGUCAGACAAAUCUACACUACAGUUGCACUAUCUUGCUCCUAACCCAUAAUAUUCAGGAAGUAAACUUGUUCAUAUUACUUCAUGUAUUGUGCGGAUAUGUAGCGAAUUUCAGUAAAUGGUCAGAAAUUUAAAACUUGAAGAGUGCCAAGCACAUCGAAACAACACGAGGAUUAGGAAUGUGCAGCCUAGCUACAAUGGUGAAAUGAUAUCCAGAGUGGCAAAAGUUCAAUAGUUUCUUAAACAUUUUAUGGUAGAUGACUUUGGCAUGUUUCCACAGAAAAUGGAUAUCUACAGAUUUAUGCUUCAUACAUCACCCAGAUAAACAACAUUUAAGAAGACCAUGCAAAUGCACAUUUUGCUUCUUGUUUCCAAUGCAAUCAUUCCAUAGUGCAAAUGCUAAAAGCAAUCAAACUUAGCAUGUUCUAUAUAGUAAUGGUGCCUAGGAUAUAGGUUAUGUUUAAUAAAACCAGAGGAUUAAGUCUACACCAAAGACAAAAUUGCUGAAACAGAGAACUUUGGCCAUGCGGAACAACAUAAUCAUUUCUGCACUACCUAAUUCUUUCAUGUAAAGGAGUAAAAUCAUUUCUGCACUACCUACAGUUCUGCCCACUAUAUACACAAAAUCAAAGUAGAUGAUAAAUAUGAGAUCAGUUUGAUCUUACUGUAUCACCAUCUUCAACGUACCACCGGAGCCUGUCAACUACCUGGAAAAGAAAUUGAGCAUUUUAUCAGCAGGUAUUUAUGUUCAAACAAAAGCAAAGAGCACAUAUAGCUAACUAUUCCAUAAAAACAGAAAAUUGAUAAGUUGAUGGGAGCAAGAAUGGUUCAUUAUACUGCUAAUUGUAAGAAAAUAUUAAAAUGCAAAAACAAACGAAGAUGCAAAAAAUGUGGAGUACUUUCAUGUAUGCACAAACACAUAAACAAUCAUACUGCGGCUUUUGUUUUCCUUUUCCAGAAAGAUGAAUUAUACACAUAGGUCUCUAGUUAAGAUCUCAAAUAAUAGAAGGUCCAAAAAGCUUGGCUGCUGUAAAUGAAACAUCUGGAAAAAGUAUUAAUUAUGCUGAACCUUAACAAUCAACAGUAUGAAAUCCAAUAAAGUAAGCAUUGCUUACAGCAAUUAGAACGCAACAUCCAAGUCAAAACAUGAUAGGAUAGAAGCACAUCAUGCUGUGCAGAGAAAGGGAGGUAACUAACAGGCCUCCCUUUCUCUACUAACAGGCCUUUUGGAAUGACACAGCCAAAGCAGUUAAAGGCCUAAAAUUUUAAGUCCACAUUAGUCAAGUACGAAUUUCGACAAUAACAACAUGCUUAAAUAAAUCUCCCUGAAAUGCCCAUACAGUACUUUAAAGGACAUUAUUGCUCUUCACAUAACAUUUAAGUAUCCCAAGUACCUUUUCCUUCCACCAAUAUUUCAAAUUCCACAUCUAAAUAGAUCCACCAUAAUUACUAAAGCCAUCACUUUGACAACACCUACCAGUACCUACAAUCAUCACUCCAAGGCAAACUACCUAACAGUACAAACGUACAACACAAAAGGCAAGGACAAUAAAGUUCUCUGCCUGUAUAUCAUAUUAAUUAUUCAUACAUGGUCUGCGUCCAUUGCUGUUCAUCUCUUUUCUAUUUCUUUUGUUUCUUGUUUCCUUUUUUUUCACAUUCUGGGGAUGUGGUGUAUGUAUAAUGUAUCUUUUGAAUGUGCAUCAUGUGUUUCUGUGCGCCAGCUUUCAUGGCUGUGUAUAUCAAGGAGAACAAGGAGUAGAAGGGAAGAAAAAGCGGAGGUGGGGAGUUGGAGAGAGAUAUAUGGCACAUCCUGGGGUAGGGAAAGGAAACAAGAUUGAGGUAGGGAAAGAUGAAUGAAGCUGUGCAAUGUGUGGCACAUGAGGAAGCUUGGUGGGGAAGGGGAUAGACUUUUUCUCCUACAAUUUUUUGGCUUUUCAUCUCAUAAUUACUUCCUUCUCUUAAUCAAUUGAGAAUAUGAUUACUUUCCAACAAGUUUUGACAAUUUCAUGUCAAAUGAGAUUAAACAGUACAGCCAUGAGAAUUCUAUUCUAACUAUUUUCUAAGAGAUAAAUUUGAUUUACCUAAACUUCAGGGUCUAACUUAUAAUAUGACCAAACCUCAUCAGUGUGUUUGGUCUUUCAAAAUAUUCUAAGUUAAGAAGAGAACUACUAUAAUAAAGCCCAAACAUUUUACUCCAACAACAUUGAGGCCUUUUUAAUUUCUAAAUUUGGCUAGUAAACUUAUACUUUCUUCUCAUUUUCAUAGUUUCACAAGUGUGAAGUUUCUGAUUACAAGUACAGAAUAUGAACGAGUACAUGCAAUAAUCAGACAAAUAAAACAAUCUUCUCUCACACAUCACAAUUCUAAGACAUGCAUCUGAUUAAUUUUUCUAUGUCCUAUCCACUUGUCAUUCAGGAAAGAAGUUCAAAAGCCUCAAGUCAGAGUUAGAAAGGCGUCCUAAUUGUCAUUGCAUUUCAAGAGUAAGCAACAAAGAUGUCCUAAUACAAAGGGACAAUAUAUCUUGCCUCCUUCAGCUUAUCCACUUUGGUGAAGUGACGACCAAAUGAAGUGUAGCGCUGCAUAAUUUGAACAAAACAUGCAUUUAGUGUUUUUACCUCUUAGUCAAAUAGCUGUGAAACUAUGCAAGAAAUUACAAAUCAUGAAGGAAUAUUGAAGAGUUUCUCAUAAUCUUAUAGGAGUAUAGCAUCACUCAAACAUGUCACUCAACCUGAAUGGUAUGUAGUUGAGUAUACCAAAAUUUGAAAAUAACAGUGUGACUUCUACAACUGGAAAAUUAUGACUGGCAAGUGAAAUUAUUUACCAUCUCAAUCUCAUAUAUUUACCCAUAAAACAUGAACAAAAGCAUAUAAGUUCCAACAUAAGCACUCAAAUGUUCUCAACCCUUUGCUCUAUGAUUUUCACUUAAUUGUUUUCAGCAAUAAAAAAGUGCCGUCUUCAGCUCAACUUUCUGUUACUGUUUGUUUACUUUGCAGGCAACAAUCGACGGCUUGAUUAAUCCAGCAUUAUCCCUUUUCUGAUGGAAUCUCUCACAAGGGAUGACUAGUCCCACUAGAACGUGUUAUCCCACGUGUAGGAUAAAAUUACACCAUCCAGGGGCACAAGGAAAUUUUUUGAAGGACGGCAAUAUGAAGCCUGACACAUAAUUUUUUUCCACCUGGCCCUCAAUAAGGACAUUUGUAAGUUUCUUUUGGUUCUCUCUCGGCAAUAUCUUAUCAAUUAUGUAGAGCAAACAAAAAAGCAGAAUCACGGCCUUAAAAUGGAUUAAGAGCCUAGGAGUCCUUCUGAGAUGACUCAUUUGUCAGUGUAGUCUGUGAACUCAAGCAACCUAAUUGUGCAGAAUUGAAGCUGCAGUCAUUGGCUAAUGGACUCUUUGCAUAUUGUGUUCCAUCAAUGGCUUAUGAAAUGCCUGAAUAAAAGCUUUGACACUGUUAAUGUUCCCAAUGGUUCACCUGAUAAUGUUCCAAAUCAACUUGUCAGCACGUGAACAAAUGUUUGAGAAUAGGUCAAGAGGGGCAAACAUGAUGGUAGUUUUCCUGACCAAAACUACUUGCAAUUAUCUUGGUAAAUCAUAAUGUUUUCAAUAAAGCACUUACAAUUCCCAAAAACUAAUGGAUACUAAGUAUGAAUCUAAAUAUCAAUAAAUUGCUCUGAUGUUAAUAAUGGCCAAAUGAAGCAGAAAGAAAUUUCCCCCUUCAAACUCUGCAUACAGCAAAUUGGAAGAUGCUAAAGUUGCAGAUGAUGAUCAUAAUGGUUUUUCAAGAACUAUAGCCUUGUUCCUAGAGUAAAAUGUUUAGUUCCUAUUUCCAUACAAAAAAUGCAUUAGGACAAAGGAAAGUCAAAUUGAUAAGUCUUUCAGUUGUGAACAGUGGCAUAGCCACAAGGUCUUUCCACUGGGUGCUAAACUAAUAUGUUGUAGUAGUACAAUAUUUUAAUGUCCUAGUAGUUUUCUCUCUUCUUGCCUUCCUUCUCCCCACCCCUCUUCUUGGAAAGGACAAAUCUUAAGUUAAGAAAUAAAGGAUCCCAAGCUGUCAAGCCGAAAUAAGAAUACUAUAUUGUGUGGCAACUAAGAACUGAGUUUUCCUAUGGAAGAUAAAACUUUAUUGAAAUGCUAUGUUGGAUCAAGUAUUUAAAGUCAACAGUAGGAACACUUAUACAAUGUAAAUGAGGUAAAUGAGGCUAUAUGGAAAAGGCAAAGAUUUAAAAUGAAUUGCUGCAAAAAAUUUCGUGUCUAUAUAUAUAAUCAUAGUUAGGCCUAGUUUGGGAGUUUAGGAGAGAGGAGAAGAGAAUAGAAACCUUAAAUUAUGAGAGAAAACAAGGGCGAAAUUCUAAUAUUGUUUGAGAGUCAAGGAAAGAAGUGGAAUGGUAUUAGAUAUAUAAGUCAAAUAAAAAUUUGUAUCACAUCCAAUUUAAGUAUAAAAUCACGAUUUUAAAAAGAUUUAUUAGUUUCCAGCAACUCUCUUCCCUUCUCUUCCCAAUUUUGACAGAAAAUUCUUACUAAUUGUACCACCACUACAGAUCCUCCCAAAUCAGUUUGUUUCUCUUUAAGAAACUCCCAAGCAGUUGAAACUGUAACUUUCUCUCGCUUUCUUUUCUUUUCUUCUCAAAUCUCCAACUCCCAAAUUUAGUCUUGAGGAUUAGGCAGUGGGUGCAAGCUACACAUAAACAUUCAGGGGUCUCAUAUUAUCUAUGUAAAAGGCUCCAACAGGGUCAGUGGCAACAAUUGGCCCAUUGUACGUCAUUUCCUGACCAUAUGGGAUCACAUUCAUGGUACAAGGAAAAUUUUGCUUAAACCCAAUAGGUUGGCAUAUGGGUAACUGCAUUAUGAAGGCAAAAUAACUAAAGAAUGUAAAAGAUACUUCACAAGUACUACAUACGAGUGUUCUAAAGAUCAUAUCAACUACUUGGUAAAACUUAAGAGUGGUGAACUUAAGUCAUUGGGUUUGUUUGGACUAACUUGAUUUCAGAUAAAAUAAUUUGCUUCACAAAUUUCAACCACCUUUUUAUCUUCCCAAUCACCUUUUUUAUCUCACAUACAUCACAUCACAAAAAGUGCUACAGUAAUUAUCUCAAAUAAAUCAUCCAAAUAAACUCCUAUCCAAACAAACUCAUUAUGAACUUAAGUCAUUAAGUGGAAGAAUAAAUAGAAUUGACAUUAGGUUAAUAUUGAAAUUGUGAACUUUGAACCAUCAGGACUUGCAAUUAAAAUUUCCGCAGGUCUUGUGUGUGAAUUGGUACAUGUAAAAAUGGACCUUUGAUGAUUUGACUGAGGCUACAUUGAUUGCAGGAUAUUGAAACAUUAUUCCAAUGUGGAUUGGGUCUAAACUCUAUAAAUCUAACUGAAGUUAACUAUAAUGCAUCGAACCAUAAGUAGUCUUGCUUAGGUAGUUUAAUCUAUUGCCAAGAAAUCUAUAGUAUGCCAUCUUCAGCAACAGGGCAUGAGAUAUUUAUUCUACAAUGAUUUCGUAGUAUUAACCUUUUGCAGAUUUGAGUAACUAUAUUCUCAGAUAUCCUUUCUUGCUACCAGGCUACUGCUAGUGAAUCAUAAGUAGAACUAGAAUUCCUUGUUUCCUGCUCCUCUACUUCUUGUUCUUGCAAUUAUUGAAUUCAAAUGCCACUCUCAACAUGCAUAACCUGCUGCAUGAAUAUUGGCACUAGAACUUAAAGUUUGACCACCAUGUUCUCUGAAGGAGAGAGAUGCAAUGAUCCUAGAACAAAAGGAUUUAAGCCAAUUAAGAGAGAGGGAAAAAACAGAAGGUAUUUUACUUGAUUCCUGAGUCUGGUGGGCUCUUUUUUAAUGGUCAAGUUGUUGAAAUUUCCCGGUAAAAGCUGGUUUGAGAGAUCAAGGACAAAUUGCAGCAAAAUCCAAAAUAUUGCAUGCAAUAUCACUUUGAAGCUGCUACCUGAUGAGUUCGUCUAUUUUGAGACACCAAAAGAUUCUCAAAGGAAAACUCUUAACUAGAAGAUGUCAACUAAUGGACUUGAGAAUGAUUGUUCUCCAACAAAGGGAUUUUUCUUUACAGCUUCUCGUCCUUCAAAACUUGUUGGACAAAAUUAUAAUAUUUACUUGUUUGAAAUGUUUUGAAAAAGUCAAAAGCUCUCUCAUGCGCACUGUACUGGCUGGGAUUCAGAAUCAGCUUUUUUCCAGUUGAGAACACCUUAUAUUUAUAACAGCUUUUAGCUUAAAGAAGAGCUAAAAUCACAGGACAUUUAAGCCCACUUCACAACAGAGAUGUAAUGUCGAGAAUAUGAGGAUAAAAAAUAAGAAAAAGAAAAACACUACACACACACAGAGAGUUCUAGAUAAGCUUAUCUGGCAAGAAAAAUAAAGCUGAAAGUAAAUGUAGUGCAGGUAGGUAAAGUAUUGAGAUUUAGCAGCUUCAAAUUCAGGUGAAAGACCAGCCAAAAAACUCAUAAUUGCCAUCUGUUCCCGUUGAGUUUGCUGAACUUUUACAUCAGAACUAAACGGUAAUAACAGAUUAAGCUCCUUAUAAGUUUUCUUAAAAUCCAUAAAAUAAGUCGUGAUGGACUUAUCUUGUUUCUCUGCACGAUAAAAGGCUUGACACACCUCAUAUAUGCGAGAAAUAUUCCCUUUACCAGAAUACAAAAAUUCUAAAUACUCCAUUAACUCCUUAACAAAUUCACAGUGAUUAAUUAAGCUAAUUACCUCACUGUCAAUAGAAUUCCGUAUUUGUAGGAACAAUCUAGCAUCUUCCCUUAGCCAUGUCUGUCUUGAACCAUCUUUUGGAGGAUCAUCAGUCAGAUGAUUGUCUUUAUCAAUGCUUCGUAGAUAAAGACGAACCGUUUUGUUCCAAUCAAGAUAGUUAGAAUUGUUGAGUUUGUGGUCCGUGAUCUUAGACAUCACAGGAACCACAUCAGACGUAACGACAGAUUUCGUUUUUGCCAUGGGUUCAGAAUUAACAAAAAAAAAGGACAGAUCUGAACUCUUUAAAACAAGAGUGAAGAAUAGAACACAGAUGUGUCCUAUACAGAACCAGAUGAACCGAAUGAUGACUAAUGAAUUUUCUGGCAGCGGACAGAGACCCUAACCUUGAUGGUAGGGCUCUGAUACCAUGAAAACUAAGAAAAAGGGAGAGAAAAUACUUUUUUUCAUUCCUUUGGACUACACAAUAUACAUAUAUAUAUACACAAGUGUAACUACCUAAUUAAUAUAUGAUACUAUAAUCAUAUGAUACCUAAUUAAUACAUGAUACUAUAAUCAUAUCUUUCCUGAUAUUUACACAUAUCUUCAACAUUAUUAAACUAUUGUUGUCAGCAAUAGAUGUAAGCUAAGACAGUACCUUUACAGCGUGCUCCACCUUUCCCAUGGUCAUGCUCUUGUCAUCCAUGGAUUUUGAGUAUACACCUAUGCUUUUGUUUUUUUUCUGCUUUAAAAAUUCUUCUUGAUUAAAUGAUGCAGUGGACCUUUUGAUUAAUGCAAGUACUCUGCAAAGUGGUAAGUUGUACUUAAACUAAUAAAUUUCAUAAAGAGGUAUAAUGCAAUAGAAUACUCUUUUGAUGCUGAAAGAAAGGAAAGGCAUUAAGAUUGCAGCUUCUAUAAUAGGCAAAAAGAAGACCAAGACAAUUACCUCUUAUCUGCUUCUGCAUUUCCUGACGGCUCAAUCCUUUGUGCCUUGUUUGUAGCAGAUGUCGCUGUUUGCGUGCUGUCAAUAUUGCCACUCGAUUCAUUCUUAAACUUCAAUUGAUCAUCUUUUACAUGUGACUUACCUUUAUCCGCUAUGGAUUGCCUGUAUUUGUCCCUGACGGGCAUCCAAUUAUCCUUGGAAGAGUUUGGAGAGGAUCCAAUUUUUCCUACCAGGACUAGUUUGCGAACUCCUUUCUCAAUAUUUUCAACACAUUUACCAACUUUAAAGUUGCUAUGAAUUCCCUUUAACCGAUAAUUCAUUUUUGCUACAGGUUUUUCUUCAAGAGACUCAAGAACCUUACUUCUCCUUCCAGACACAACCUGCACUUGGGCAGGUAGCGACCCUGAAGUAUGCUGCGGCUUCUUUGUAUCAACAUCAGGAAAGACUAUAUGGUUUCUUUUUGGACUUCCAAUUUUAGGAAUUAUAUUAUGGUCCCUAGACAAAGAAGUGCUUGGCAUUUAACAAGUGAAUCACUAAAUGAGCAAAAACUCGAGCAGUAAGUUCAAAGAAACUUACAUGCAAUAAAUCAAGACACGAUUGUGCAAAAGAUUUUCCCAAGCCCGUUGAUAAAUUUUUCUUUCUUUGUCGCUUUCAAACAUUAUAGUCCUGACAAGAAUAUUUCCAUAAAGAAAAAGUUACCAUUAUCUGAAACUGAAGUCUUCUGGGCAAAUUCACAAACAGCAUGAUGGAAACCUCAAAUAGGAAAAUUAAAUUUGGAAACCUGGGCAAGCAUUUACGGUGGUAUGCCUUUGGGCAACGUCUGCAAAUUGCAAACUGCAAUUCAUAGACCUUUUUAUCUUCAACUUGCUUGCAUUCAAAACAUUUAUGUACAGGGCAGGUAAAUGAAUCUCCUUCAGCAAUUUUACUGCAAAGUUCUUCUGCUUUUGUAACAUCAGAUGGAUGAAGGAGCUUUGAAACACACUUCGGAUGAUAAAAGUGCCCACAAGUUGCAGAAACACAAGGGAAGACCUUGAAAAGAUGAGAUAAAUUGGUUAAAGGCUUCAAGCUAAAUGCUCCAGCAAGUCAAAGGAAGAUAAAGAAAUAGAAGAAUUUAGAAACAUAUUCACAAUCCAACAGAAUAAGGACCGAAACUAAAUGCAGGUCAACCACAGAAUUCAUUCUGGAAAGAGAAUAUUCAAGAGCAACUAAUCUGUUCACCUUUCAAUUUCCAUUACCAUAGAAAUUGUAAACUUCACACUAAAAUCUGAGCUGUGUAUUUUUCUGAAUCAUGAUGCUGGACUUUCUAGCCACACAAAAAUUGAGGGCUUCCCUCUAUCUAGUGCAAAUUACUAUUAUUACAUAACAAUGCUUCAUGUUUGGUGAUUGUUAUACAUCUCUUGCAAAUGUAAACGCCAAGCACUCAUCAUGUCUUGAGUAAACGCCAAACUGAAGAUGAGAACUUAAGGAGAUGAGAGGAUCAUCGAUGUGCAGCCUAGUCCCCUGAUGUUUCAAUUUCAUCAAUCUAUCUCCAGAAUGUUUCAAAAAUUUUUCUUUUUAAUACAACCUAUCAAUCUAAUUUUUAGUCUUACAUGUAUUUGUCCUCAAAAGAAUACAACCUUACCAAAUUCCCUUCCCCUCCAAGCCCGUACCCUUGCAGCCUAUUACAAUCCCCUCAACACUCACCUCCCAAAUCCAGUAGCCAUCUCCUUCAGGCCAACUACAAGCUCCAGUCAUGACAAAUCAAUCCUCUUUUUACCCACUGCCACCCCCCACCUCUUCUAAAUGCACAGUGACCACCCCCAAACACCUCGCAGAUCCAUCCACAUCCCCCUUAUCCAGGCAGCCUCCUUCCUCCCAGCACCAUUCAACAGCCAGACUGCUGUCCCCACUCCCCCCAAGGCAGCCUCUUUCCUCCUAGAACCAUUCAACAGCCAGCUGUCUCCACUCCCCGCUUUCUUUGCAGUAUCUUCUGUCCUUUCUAUUUAACUCUCCUAGCCUACUUCUAACCACUUCUUACAGCAGCAAUACCCUCGUUUCCACUCCUCAUAAUCCCUGCGUUGUAUCUUCCAGUCAUACCCACUUUCAUGCCACCCAUCUUUACCAUAGGGUGUGCGGAUUUUCGUUUGCCUGUAUUAGGUGAUCCAGAGAGACAUAGGAUAGAAAAUGCUGAAAAAUUAGAAAAUUUAGUGGGUAAAUAGAUGCAAUUGACUCAUUGACUCUAUAUCAGAGUCAAAUAUACCCUGGAGAAGGGCGCUACUAGUGUAAUAAGACAACUGUUGCUUUUACAAAACGAGCUAGUCUAAUUGAGGAAGUUGAAAUUAACUACCAUAAGAUACCACCAAAAGUUACUGAACACGUAGCAGCAGGUUGUUUGCAUUUAUGCAGUUAGAAUAAUUCAUGACAGAUUGCUUAUUCAUCCAAGCAAAAGCAUCAUUUUAGGCCCCAAUUAGAAUAUCCAAACAAAUUUGAAUGCAUUAUCAAGUGCUCUCCAACAAUGUCGUAGUCAUAUUGGAGGCAUGUACUUAUUCUCCAAUAAUGCCAGAUUACUUACAGACAUGUACGCUAUCUUUACAACUCGAUGGACGUAGGCCACAACUAUAAUAUUCCAACAAAUUUGAAUGCAUUAUCAAGAAGCCCUCCAGUGAUGCUGUAAUCAUAUGUAAUCUAGUAAUCAUAUGUAAGAUACUCACCUCUGCCCCAGAAGAUUUGUUGGAAGAACCCAAUAAGCCACAAGCAAAGCAUUGAUGCUGCUGAUACUGGCAAUUCUUGCAAAGGAAAAUCUGAAUUGCCCGUCGGAAAAAAGGAAUUCACAACACAAAAAUUCUGAGUUAGCUAGUUCCAAACAAGUGCCAGGGAACUACUUACAACAGCACAAAAAUGAGGCUAUGAGCUUAAAAGUGCUCCUACUUCUGCUUGUUGGUGACUAUAGCCAAGAGAUUCACAAAAUGAAUGAGCUCCAGAUUCUUUGGUAGGAUGAAAGGAUCUUAAGCAUCUUCCUUCACAACUGCAAUGUGUGUAACGCAAAAUGACAUGAUAAAAAGUCAGAAACAGCUCUGGUAAAAGCAUACAAGCUAAAAGGGAAGAAUAACAACAUUAAAUUAACCCUGGUAUGAUGUCAGGCAUGUGAAGAGAAAACUUGUGGAUUACAUAGUGAAUGAAAACAUAAAGGUUUUACCCAAUUAUUUAUGGUGUACACUGUCCGCCAACAGUGAGUACAAUAUUAGAAGGAAGAGACAUGCUAAAUCAUAAUAAAUCCAAUGGCAGGUCAGCAUGUUGAUCAAGGAAAAGGAAAAGGAUGAUUGGGUAGGAUCAUGGUGCAUAUCCAUUUAACAAAGUUGCAGGACUAGCAAACUGCUAAAUUGUGUAUCCAACACAUUUCUACAAGAAUCACCUUAGUUCUUUCCCCUUCCAUUACCGGCAGAAAAGAACCAGAAUAUGACAUCCUUUAAUCAUUUUGAUUAUCAAUCUCCUAAUAGGAUUAAAUGACAGAGACUAGGAAAAUCUUGCAUACCACAAAAUUUCACCACCAUCAUCACAGUAUGCACAGACAGGAUCAAAAAGAUCAUCAUCACAAUCAUCAAUAACAAACUUCAGAUUCUUUAAAGCUUGAGUGUCCUGCAGCGUAAAGCAAGUAAGUUCUAGGUGUAGAGAAAUCUAAUGAGCACCAAAUGAGGGAAAAGGAGGAUAUAGCGUAGCACAGACUUCCUUGGCAGCUUCUCUCUUAUCAUGCAUCUUGGAAAUAAAAGUUGCCAUAUACUGUCAGAAAAAUUGUAAUUGUUAGCAGCAAAAAAGCAGACAAUUUUGGGAAACACUUAGAAUACCUUUGCACAUUUGUUGAGUAUCAAUAAUCUGACAGUAUUUAAUCACAACCAUCACAAUAAUGCAGCGGCAUAAAUGCACACAAUUGGAUGUAGAAUUUGAUGAGUCAUGAAUUACAGUUUAUACCUCAAAAUGGAGGGGGAAAAAGAUGGCAAACAUCAAGAUGAGGGUUACAUGUUAACUUGUGCAAUUCAGGAACAAAGUAUCACUAUCCUAAAAUGGUUCUCUGUGGCAAUCUCUUCGGGUUUCUGGUGUAUCAUAGGAAAGAAUUUUUUCAUUCAUAUCCACAGCAACCAUUGCAUGUUCUGAUGUCCCAUUACAGCAAUAGGAUGUCACUGCAUAGGAAUGCUGAUUAUGAGAGGCCAUCUGAAGCGUCACUCAGAGAACUAGGAUUAUGUCAGCAAAGUAGAUUGGGCAGAUGUAUUUUUGGUGCAGCGAUGGUUUUCCAGCUAAUGUAGUUUACUACUACCUCCAUUUCAAAAUGGACAGUCUACUUCAUUAAUCUAAUGUAAGUACAUAGAACGGUAGUAAGAUGUGUUACCAAGAAACGCUUUCUUGGUUAAGGAUCAAGAUAACAGAUAUCGCACUUUCUUAAUACAUAUAAUGCUGAAGGGAAGGAUUUGGUGUGAUGUUGACUUUAAUUUAAUCUUUGCAAAAGACAUUAUUGUCCAUAUGCCUAAUGCUAUUGUGACUCAAUCACUACUAAAAACUGAAAAAGAUUGACAUCAUUAUGGAAAACUCAAGUCUAAGAAAUGAAAGUAAAACAUGCAUUGGAUACUGAGGGAAGGAACAACAUGGCAGAAAGCGAGUCAACAGGUGAUUACAAUACUUAUAACUGCUGAUAAUUUUCCAGCAAUUCACCUUGGCUGCAAUGUAUUCCUUUCAAUUUUUUUUUUUUUUUUUGAAAUACUUUCCUUAAAGGUGCAACUUCUUACCAAUAGAAAGGGCUUAUAGAAAGGAAACAAAAAGUAUAGUGGCAAGGUUUAUUUGUCUACCAACUAGAUAGUCAAGUACAAUUUGACUAUUUAGGUGUUUUAGUAACUGGUGCUAUUUAGGAAGCACUGUGACUUUUGGUCCAAAGUUACAUAUAAAAGCAGUUGAUCAACAAAGUGAUAAUAGUGGUCAAUUCUAGAAGUGUAAUUUACCAAUUACUCAUGCAAGUAAACUGGUUAUGCAAAAAACACAGCAGCAAAUCUAUUACAAUCUGAUAAAUGACAAUGAGAGUCAGGUUCUCAAAUUGAAUAGAUAGCAUUGUUAAUCUUGGUUGAAGUCAGAGAAGAUGAGUAAAAACCAGUUGAUGCAUAAGACGGAUCCAUAAACUGGUGUAUUCAGAGUAAUGAUAAUAUAACUAACCUCAGAUUUUGCAAGAUCUUUAUCCCUCAAUGCAGCUUCAUUGAUCAAUGGCAUGUGACCCAAUAGAUCAUUCUCAGAUGGCAGAAUCUCAAAUGUACUACAUUAAAUGAUUUAGUGAGCAAAAGAAACAAACAACACUAACCAACAAGAUUAGAAAGGAAAUGUAAAAUUACGCAUGCCUGAAGGUUUUCAGUAUCUGAUUCCACAGGGCAUCUUGAGAUCCACUUGGAUUUUUUUUAACAAAGUGGAGAAAGUGAAUUGUAAUCAGUAUUGUUUUGAUCGUCUCUUCAUAACCCUUUCUUGGUCGAUAAAGUUUUACCCACAGUUUCUCCUUAGAAAGCACAUAUACUUCAGGCAUGACAUAAGAAAUAUCAAAUUUCCAUGCAAUGACUUUCUUAUAUAUUUGCUGAAGACCAUCAUCAGAAGUCCCACAUACAUAAAUCUUCGUACAGAGCUCCUCUGUUAUCUCUCCAUCAUUCCACUUAAGCGGCAGCGUGGAAAAGGAAACCAGUUCCCCAAUGUGGUCAACAAAGUAGUAUUCCGUUACGGAAUCUGGUACAAUCUCACCUUCUUCAUCAGAUGAGGCCAUGACCUGUAUGCACCAAAAGAAUAUCUAAAUGUUCUUCCAUCAAUAUUUACCACAAAACUAUGGUCAGAUAAAAAUGUCAUAACUAUCUACAUGUUGGCAUAUCUGGUAUAUAGGCUUGUAGACAUGCACAUAUGCACCAAAACAGCGCGAUCAGGCCAACAACCAGUCAAUUGUAUCCUAGUAUGACAAUUAAAUAUAAAAUUCGUGCAACCAGUAAUGCAAGUAUCAUAAAAUUUCAACUUGGAAAACAACAUAAAACCAAGGAAAUCUGUGCAGUUAGACAAAGCAUCUUCACCAUAGUUGUCAAAAAGAGGCAUAUGAGUACCUGAAAAUUGGAAAAAAUCAAAGAUCAUAAAUCCUCAAAAGCUAAGCAUUUUUCCUGGCUGCUACAAUAAAGAUGAAAAAUCUGUUCAACAAACAAACAUGACAAUUACGCAAGUGGCAGAUUAGCAUUUUACCAUCUAAUGGAAUUUGCACUAAUGUUUGAAGACUCCUAACUUUUGAACAUAAAAACCAUCAAAUACAAAUUUUCUAUAGUAUGACUCGUGACAACAACUUGUUCAGUUUAAUGCCAAAGCUUGCAAUCUCAAUCAUUUGAUUUCCAUUCAACUAUUAGCCUAAACCAAAAAAAUGUUUAAAAAAAAAGUACUACAUCUCAACACAAUUCUUCAACUCUUCUCUCAUAAUGUCCACAUGCUGGCAGCUAAGUAACAUUGACCCUUUACACCUCUAACUCAGCUGUUUUCUUUCAAUAACUAGCUCUUUAAAUUAAAAGAAUAUUUGCCAACACAAUAUCUGGAUAAAUCUGCACAACUUUUCUUGUCACGUCCUGGUUUCGGGGAAAAUUCAGCUAAGUAACACUAACCAUUUAGUCUUAAGUUUUAUGAGGAGUCACCAAAUAAUAAACACAGUAAAAUCCAAACUAUGAUAGCAAAGAAGGCAAAAAUUUACAAACUCCAGACCUGCAGUCUGCAGAAAAGCAAAAGACAGCCAAACCAAAAAGAAAAAGAAAAAGAAAAAGGAACAGAAUACUGCAAAGAAAAGAAUCCUAGAACAUUUAAGUGAUAAACAAGAACCACAUUCUCAAAAAUUUCCAAAUUGCUUCUAACUUUGCUUGAUUUAGUGGGGAAAGCAGCUAAGAAGACUCAUACAAGAAAACGUGAUUCAGCGGGAGAGAAGAAUUGAGCAAAGAAAAGAACAAAAUAAGCAGAGCCCAGACGAAGAAACUAUGGGUUAGAGAGAAAAUGGGGGUUACCACUACUCGGAAUGAAGAUGGUCACUCAAGCUUUUUGGAAGAUGGAAGGGACGAUCACUCAAGCUUUUUGUCCGUCUCUGUCACGCUUUUUUCUUCGCCUUUGUCAGAGGAAAGGACAAUGCGACAGUUGUGAGUAAGAGAAAUGAGUUGAGAAACGAAGCGGUGAAAUCAUUUAUGGGUGCAAUGGACGGUAGGAGAUUGGGCCAGCCGUCCAUUGUAGUGGGCGGUUGGCCCUGCAGCUGCAGAUCCCCAAUCCUGGUUACAUAAACCAAAGGAUAAUUUCGGAAAUCUCUCAGGAGAUUUUUAAUAAUUUCAUUGUUCUUUCUUUUUAUUCUAAAAAUAUCACUAACCUCUCCCGAAAUCAAUUUUCUUAUAACAACUUAGUCCAAUUAAAAAAAAACAACAAUAAAAAGAUAAUUUCAGACGUGAGAAGAUUUGUUUAUGCUAAAAGUGUCCCUCAACUAUGAUAUUAGUUAGAUUAAAUAUUUGAUCUAACUUGUUACUUUACUUAUGUGGCUAUUACUAUACAUGAUCAAUAAAAAAUUUCCAUUAUCCAUAACAAAAAAUAAAACCUUUCAAGAUUUAACAAAAACCUAUUUUCCCAUACCUGAAGAUUCUUGCUAUCACCACAAUUAUAAGAAAAAUCAACUCAAGUGAAAUCUCUUUAUAUCUUAUUCCUUUUAUUUAUCAAGUGCAUAAAUUGGAGAAAAAGAUGUCUAGUAUUGGAUCUGCUUUAGAUGCCAAAUUAGUUUUUUUCUACAUUUCAAAUUAUGGUUAAUUCAAUUUGUAAAUUAAUUAAUUAUUUCUCAUGUCUAAAUCCUUUAAUUUAUCAACUGCAUUACGUCUAAUUUCUUUAUUUGUCAAGUAUAUAAAAAUUAAUAAAGAUGCACCUAAUAUUGGCUCUAUGUUUAGAUGAAAAAUUAAUUAACUUUUUACAAUCCAAAUUAUGGUUAAUGUAGUUAGCAAAAUUGUAACUUUUUUCCUUCACAUAUACAUGUAAUAAUCCUAAUUAUAAGGAUAAUAAAGUCAUAUGGCCAUUAGUGAUGUAAACAUUGGGUCCCAACUGACUGACGGGGGAGGUAAAUAAAAUUUUUAAAACCUUAGGGAAUGACAGUGAAAUUGUUAAAAACCUCAAGGGAAGUUUUCUGAAAUUAUCCCUAAACGAAAGUAUUUUAGACCAACAUAAUUCUUGUUCUUUUCAAAAAAGGUACAGGGCUAAUAACAAAAAGGGUAAAUUUUAUUUUGCACCCUUGAACUAUAUUGCAACUCCCACGUUAGUCCCUGAACUUCAAUUUGAUACAUUUAACUCCAUAAACUCUUAAUUUUGUGCCAUUUUAAUCAAAUUGGUAAAUCAAAUUGGUAACGGAAUGUGUAAAGUUAACAGAAUAAUUACACUUUUUCAUUAACUCGUCACUGCAACUCAAAUAUACCAAUAAACUAGGGACAUACAUGUUAUUUCAUAAAAGAAGCACUCUUCACAAGUUCCUUUCUUGUUUGGUUGUUCCCUUCUCUUCCAACAAAUCUACAUAAAGACGGCAACGGUUGAAGAGCCAAAUCCUUAAGCAAUACAAAAGUACAAAUUACAAACUAAUUAAUGAAACAUGCAAUGACAUUGAAAUAGUAGAUAUUGAAACCAGACUACGAGAUGGCUCAAUUGAGAAUCUAUGGACUUGGAGUUGGAGGGUUUAAUGUCUGUGAGGACCGAACAUCGUGAUAUGGUGAAGGUGUUGGAGACUUUUGCUUUGGUGCUCAACGCCCGCCGCAUUACGUACUUGGUGGUGGCGGCGUCUGCCCAAGACAUGGAUGAAGUGAAUUAGGCUAGUGGUUGUACCUAUGGAGCCAAUAGCGGAGAAUAGGGAAACAGUGAUUUUUUUUUUUAAUUAGACGGUAACAGUUAGUUUAGCUUACUCCUACUCCUACUCCUAUAUUAACCUACACUGGAGGGGGGGAGAGGCCCAAUGAAAUCUAGGGACAGUGGUUCUUGGUUUGUAAAUUUGGGGUACCAAUCAAGACAGGGAAGACGGGUUACCAAUCAAGAUCAAAUUUGGGGUGAUAAAUUUUUUUUUUUGUGAUUUAUCUAGAAACUAAAUUCUUUCCUUUUUCCUCUAUUUGUUGUAGGGCAAUUCAAACUAGAGGAAAGUGGUAUGUGGAGUAGAUAUAUUAUAAUGGAUGGAGUUAUGAUUCCCAUGUGAUUUUACAGAAUUUGGGUUGAAGUAUUAGUGGUUAGAUACUGCUCUUCCUGGAAUUCGCGUUAAUACCCGAGUCAGGAUUAAACAAUUAACAAUAUCUAUGGGUGAGGAUUUAGUGUGAGGUGAGGGCUUGAGGCUAUGGUGGAGCACCAAAUCAAGAUGUUUUUUGUGUCUUCUGGGGAAGAUGAGAAAAGAAUAACAACUGAAAAUGAAAAAAAUUCCAUUUGGUGCUUACAACGAAUCUCAAGAAACCACCUAAUCUCUUGAAGGCAUCACCACUAUUUUCUACGAACCCAAAUUCCAAAAACUAGAGCAGAGAGAUAGAGCAAUUAGGAAGAUUAACUUGUGAUAACAUGUCAAUUAUAUGUAUUAUUUAUAUUGUGUUUUGAUAUAGGUUUUAAGUCUUGCCAUUUUCUCUCUAGGUCCGCUGCCCUCCUUGUUUGAAUAUCAGCCAUGGCUGCCCUUCAUCCCAUGGGUGAAGGGCAUCCCCCACACCCCACGUCUUCGAAGCGCUCCUUUGCUGAUAUACUCUCUUCCUCUGCUGCUGUUGAUCCAAUUUCCUGUCUCAAGCCCCGCGAAAACUACCGAGGUGAACCAGCAGUAUCCUUCUCUGCGGAGGAAGUUCGUCUUUUAUCAUCUCCUCUAAAGUUUGCUUUGAUUGGGAAAUUCUCCCGAGUUAGGCCGUCAAUGGAGGGUCUACGGAAAGACUUCAUGUCCGUUGGCUUUAAAGGUUCUUUCUCGUUGGGACUGCUUGACCCCAGGCAUGUCUUAAUCAGAUUCGACCUCGAAGACGAUUAUCAUAGAUGUUGGCUGCGCGGUUUCUGGACGUUCCAAGGCUUCGCAAUGCGUGUGUUCAAGUGGUCUUCCACAUUCUCUGCAAAUAUCGAAUCCUCCAUAGUACCGGUCUAAAUCCGGCUCCCGUUUCUCCCUGUUCACCUCUUUGGAAAAGAACCUUUGUUCUCCAUUGCUCGAUUGGUUGUUGAACCCCUGCGCCUAGACGCAUCCACGGCAACAUUGUCGCGGCCUAGUGUGGCUCGCAUCUGCGUUGAGGUUGAUCUGUUACAGUCCCUCCCCCAACGGGUGUGGAUUUGGAAUGGGUCGUCCGGUUUCUGGCAAAAGGUAGAAUAUGAAAACCUACCAGAUUAUUGCGAAAGUUGCAGGAAACUUGGCCACUCCGCCAGUUCCUGUCGAUCGCAAGAUCAUGUGGUUAAGCACCGGGAUAGCCAGGCUGCGCAACAACAGGUCUGGUCUGCAAAGGAUUCAAUCCCGCUGGAGGCGACAGAUCAACCUAAGGAACCAGAGCUGACUGUGGCUAGGGUUUCAGCCGAAGUACAUCCUGACACCGGGGAUCAUGGAUCCGCCCAACAACACCUCUCUAAUGCGGAUACCCAGGGACGACACAACUUGGCUGCCCAACCGCAGUGCUCUACAGCGGCAAUCGCAGAAGCAGCGGCUGCUUGUUCUGCCCAUUUGGUUUCGCCAGCGGUAGUGAGUAAUCCCAAGGGGACCCAGGUUCCCUGCCCGGUGUCCUCUGAUGCUCCAACGCUGCCUUGUCCGGUCCCCUCAGAGUCUCCAAAGCCCUCGGCCUUUCCACCGGUACUGAACAAACCUCUUCCUUGCGACAUCAGGGAUGAUCAAUGCCUUUGGCAAUGCAGAAGGGAAACUCUUGACUCACUUUCGGAUGCUGAAGGUCAACAAAGGCCUACUCGUCCACGUGAAGUUUUGACGGAGGACUUUGCAGCCUUCAAAAGGAGGAUCGACCACCUUUUUCCUAUUUCUCACAAAGAGGCACCAUUAGCCAAAAGGGGUCGGCGCAGACGAUUCUGGAACUUGCCCAAAACAAUUGUCACCCGGCAGUCUUCGAAGGUAGGCCCUGAUUUCCCCCCAUCUUUUGCUUAAUGAUUAAUAUGCUAGUAUGGAAUAUCCGGGGAAUUGCUGGCCGUGCCUCAAUUCGCCGUUUGAAGAAGCUGUUACGUUUACAUUCAGUAACUUUUCUAGUCAUCAUCGAGCUGAUGGUUGAUGCUAGUCAGCUAGAUGACUUUACGUCUCGUUUUGGCUUUCACCUUGGGGUAUGUAACUCCACCAAUAAAAUAUGGGUAAUGUGGAGGUCCGGUUUUGCUGUAAAUGUUUUAGUAAACAAUGACCAACUUAUUCACAUGCAAGUUUGCCAUGAUUCUUGGAACUUUGUUGCUCACGGGUCCUUUGUUUAUGGCAAAUGCUCGCGAGUUGAACGUCGCGCCUUAUGGUCAGCCCUGGGAUUAAUAUCGAAGGAAAUAGAGACUAAGCCGUGGCUUGUAGGAGGCGAUUUCAAUGUUGUAGCGGCUGCUGAUGAAUAUGUCGGACAGGCUGCACAAGACUUGACCGCAAUUACUGAGUUUGCCGAAUGUAUAUCUGCUUGUGGUCUCAAACAGAUUCCCUUCUCGGGCAGUCGUUACACUUGGACUGGUAUCCGCCAAGGCAGGAGAAUCUGGAAGCAUUUAGAUAGACUCCUGAUGAAUCUGGAAUGGCAACGUCGUUUCUCUGGCAGCGUAGUGAAACAUCUUAAUCGCGCUACCUCAGAUCAUAGCCCACAGUUACUACAACUCUCCCCAGGGCCCCCCACUGGGCCGAAGUCGUUCCGCUUCCAAGACAUGUGGCUGAAUCACCACGGUUUCCUCAUGGUGGUUCGCCGGAGCUGGGAUCAACCGACUGCUGGUUAUGGAAUGUUUUGUUUUUUCCUCAAAUUGAAACGUUUAAAGCAAGCCUUGCGUACUUGGAACCAAGAUGCAUUUGGUAAUAUUUUUGAGAAAGUCUCCAAAGUUGAGGAGGCAGUAAGGCUAAAGGAGUUGCAGCUUGAGGAGAUAGAUUUGGAUGAGGCUCGAGUGCAAUGGAGUCAGGCCCAGGCUGCACUGCUGAAACACCUAGCUGAUGAGGAAACUUUCUGAAAAUAGAAAGCCAGAGUGAAGUGGCUGAGGGAGGGCGACGCAAAUACUCGGUAUUUCCACUCCCACCUGUUGGAUAAGCGGGCACGGCUCUCGAUCACCAGGAUCUGCAAUUUAGAGGGUGAGAUUGUUGAAAGUGCAGAUGACAUUGGGACAACGGCAGUGGCUUUCUUUCAAUCGCUGUUAGCGGAGGUUCCACCAUUAAACAACACUGCUAUUUGCAGGCUGCUAGAGGUCAUCCUGCCUCUUGUUACCCCGGAUCAGAAUGCGCAACUCAUCCGGGAAAUUACGCUAGAGGAAGUGCGGCAAGCUGUCUUUGAACUCGAUGGCCAAAGUGCAGCGGGUUGUGAUGGAUUUUCGGGUAACUUUUUCAAGCGCUGCUGGGAUAUAAUUGCACAAGAUGUCCUCCAAGCCGCUCGGGAGUUCAUGUGCGGUGUCCCAAUCCCGAGGGGGAUAGUGAGCACUCUGAUCCUCCUAUUGCCUAAAAACGAGGCCCCGCACUCUUUUGCGGACUUCCGGCCCAUAAGUCUGUGCAACUUUAUCAACAAGGUUUUCACCAAAAUCCUGAGCAAUCGCUUAAAAGUUGUUCUUCCAACGAUUAUCUCUCUUGAGCAAUCGGGCUUUGUCAGUGGUAGGGAUAUCGCUGAUAAUAUUUUGCUUGCCCAGGAGUUGGUGAAAUCCAUAGACAGGAAGGCCCGGGGACACAACGUCAUCUUCAAGUUAGACAUGAUGAAAGCUUUUGAUCGAGUUUCGUGGGAUUUUCUCUCUCGAUUAUUGCUUCAAUUUGGCUUUCACUCCCACUUCGUCUCUUUAAUUAUGAACAACCUCACCUCUGCAUGGUUUUCAAUAUUGGUCAACGGUCGACCUCAUGGUUUCUUUCAAGCUAAGCAAGGCUUGAAGCAAGGCGACCCGUUAUCCCCCUUCCUCUUCAUCUUGGUGUCUGAAGCUUUAAGCCGAGGGAUUAAUAACUUGGCUCUGCAGCAGAAGUUACAGCCCUUUGCUUUGGGCCGCUACUGCCCGACGGUAUCGCAUCUAGCUUUUGCAGACGAUAUAGUCAUUUUUACUCGGGGGGACAAUCGAUCGGUGCAGUCUCUCAUGGGCUUCUUGGAGUUGUAUCAACACGGAUCCGGUCAGCGAGUGAACAAGGAGAAAAGUUUCUACAUUGUCUCUCCGAAGUGUCCUUUGGCGGCUAAAAGGCUUCUAUCUAGGAGAACGGGUUUUCAAUAUAAGGGACUUCCUUUUGUCUACUUAGGAUGCAAGCUUGUGAUAGGAAAAAGGAGGAUGGAGCAUUUUCAGCCUCUGAUUGAUAAGAUACAGGCUAAGUUGGCUGGAUGGAAAAAUCGGCUCCUGUCGCCAGGGGGACGGUUAAUUCUCAUUAAGCAUGUGCUAUCUUCUAUACCCAUCUACACUCUGGCCGUCUCGGAGCUCCCGCGAGGUGUGAUUAAGAGGAUUGAAAGGCUAAUGUCCACUUUCUUUUGGGGAGAGGUUGAGGGACGUGACAAGCGUCAUUGGAGGAAAUGGCACGCAUUGUGUAAGCCUACCCAAGAAAAUGGCCUAGGCCUCUGUCGUUUACAGGAUGUCCAGGAUGCUUUUGGGUGCAAGCUAUGGUGGAAAAUGCGCACAUCGGAUACCUUGUGGACCAGAUUUAUGUGUGUGAAACAUGUCGCAGUCACGGAGCAUCUAACCACUGUUCCUGCAAGCCAGACAAGCUCAGCUGUUUGGAAGAGAAUGUUGCGAGUUAGGGACUUCGUUGAGGAUAAUUCGCAAACCUUGAUUAAGAACGGGAGUGCUUCCUUCUGGUAUGACAACUAGAUCGGCUCCGGUCCGUUGGGAAAGCACCGCUUGCACGUCCCUUCCCCGACCCUUUGCCUUCGGGAUGUGUCGCGCCCCACUUUUUGAUGUGGUGUGAAAGUAGUGUGUGAGAUAUGUAUGUGAACGUGUGUGAAAGUGAAAAUAAAAGGCCGUGGGACUUUGAAAAUGCGACGAUUUGGCCAAACGAAGUUCAAAAAGGGUUUUUUAAUGGAAAAGGGAGUCGCCACUUGAUAUAGAGUUAGGAUGUACCAAGUCACCCAAAAAGUGAUUUUUGGAAAGAAAAGUAAACAAACCCUUUUAAAAGAACUUUUAGGUCUACGUAACCAAAGAAAGAGAUCGGGGGUCACAUUUGAUAAGGGAGAAGGCAAAGGCAAAGCCUAAGGCACUCCCUUACCCUAGCAAAAGCUAGUUGCGUGACUUAGCCUUUCUUUUCCUAAUUUCUUCUACCCAAAGUCUAUUUUGCAUGUUGGACAUGACUAAUGGAUGCUAAAAAGAUGCAAUCCUAAAUCUAAAAUGUCUCUUAUGAAGCUUUUUGGUCCCAACCACAUGAGUUGUGGUGGCCAAUAAGGAAAAUCCUCAUAGAGGUCGCGAAUGACGCAAAUGAAGACUCAAAUAUGAGUGCAAGUGUGAAAAUGUAAGAAAACGUGCAUGUGUGCGAAUGUAAGACAAGUGCAUGUGUGCAAAUUGGGAAAAUAAAGGUGUUUGUGUGCAAAUGGAUGAAAAUAUGAUAGUAGAUACAUAUAAGUGCUAUUAGAUGCAAUUUGUGAGAUAGAAAAUAAAUAAGUGAUAGGAAGAAAGUGGUGAGAAAGUGUGGAUUGAGAAAAAUAUAAGUUGUGAGAAAAUGUGGAUAAAAGAGUGAGGAAGUGAUAUGAUAAGAAUGAGAGUGCAUGAACCUAGAGGUAUGCAUCAAGUCGGGUACGGGAAUGACUCCUAACUUCGCGACUUCGAUUUUCCCUUUGAUUAGAAGGAAGAACUAGCGUGCUAAGGCUAUUUUGUAGCCACACUCGCUCGUUUACCUUAUUGAAAGGGGACUUUCAAGCAAAUGUACCCUAUAACUAGCAUGAGGAUGCAAAAACCUAAAGUGAAGAGAAAAGGAUUGGAGGAGCAUGCCAAAUGCUAAAAAAACUAAGAAAAGUGCAUGAAAUGUAGUGAAACAUGCAAGUAUGAGCUAGCGAAGGAAAUCCCUAAGGGUCUAGCGUUGGACUAGCCCAUAUCUAUGAAUUCCUACUAGCGUUGGACUAGUGGAAAACGGGACAAUGAGCCACAACUAGCGUUGGACUAGUGUGGUGACGUGCAUUCAUCCAUUACAUUCAUCUAUGACUAUAGAAAGCAAGUAGACAUGCCAAUCACCUAUAAACACGUAGCACAUAACACUUAGCAUGCUCGACUAAAUGCAAGAGCCUAAUAAAGCAACUUAACACGUAGCAACAAAAGCAAGCAAUCAAUCUAAUGAACCUAUUACAUUGGCUAACUAAAACAAAAGGGGAAGGGGAGAAAUGAAUAAAAAUGCUCUCCAAACCCUAUCUCUAACAAGCCAAGAGGUGUACACAUACCCCAUAAAGAAUAACUCAAAUAAAAAGCAAAAAUAAAAAUAAAAUAAAUGAAAGGUAUUAAGGAAAGGCAAGGGAAGCAAGUAGACAUGCAAUUCUCACUUAGCACGUUGGAACACAUAGGAGAAAUGAAAAUCAAGGAGAUAGAGAUUACCUCCCUUGCAAUUGGGCCUCAAUGAAUUGAAAUCACUUAUUUGCCCUAAAAAAUACAAAGAAAAGGUCAAGGUACCAAUUUAUUUGGGAAAAUUAAAGAAAAUAGGCAAACACAAGCUCACUUGGUCAUAAAGCCCCUAAAGUCAUGACUUAAGUGCAAUUGAAACAAAGCAUAGUAAUUAAUUGAAACAAACAAACAAUGAAGUUGUAGAAUUAAAAUUGCCAAGGACCAAAUUGAGGAAAUUAUUCAAUUGGUUGGGUCAUAGCGAAACAAAGAGAGACUUGGGGGGCCAAAGUGUAAUUUUCCAGAAAAUUUCCAUGCAAGCUCAUGCACGGUUAUGAAGCUUAUGCUUCUGCAACUUCUAGCCAACAUUUUUCUGUAAUCUUUUCCAUUUAGCCUUACAAAACAAACCAAUGGAUUCAACAACUCAACUUGAAUGCAACAACUUGGGACAAGGGGGAGAGGAAGAAGAGAAAACUGCAAAGGAGUGCCAUGAUCAUUUGCUAAAGCUUCGAUCAGAUUUCCAAGAAGACAAACCCAAAACAAAAUAAAGAAACUGAUGGCUUCCUACACGCAUGCUUUGUAGAAGGAAAACGGCAACUAAAAUCUCACUUAACAUUAACGCAGCCGAAAAUCUUUCAAACAAGCUAUUCAACAAUCCCCAAAACUACACAUAAACACAAGGAAGACAGCUACUGGAACAAAUGAACAAACAAGAGAAAGAUGAUUCGCAAAUAUUGAAAACAUUUCUGCAUUUUCCAGUUGCAGCUUUGCCGUAUGAGCUUUGGAGUUUAACAAAUUCAUGCACCAGUCAUUGAUGACACAAGAAAACAAGCUUGCAUCUUUGUUAAUUUUGCUAUGAAACCCACUCUAAUGGAUAACCCAGCUAUUGAAAAUCCAAACAAAGAAAGUAAUAUGGGAAUCGCAGGGCAAGGAAAACGAAAAUGGGUUUCUGUGAUGUCAUUCGCAGCCUUCUUUCAUUCGUCUACACCCUUGCAACUUCAUUCGGUUAUUUGUUCAUUCCUAUCUCAUGGCGUGACUAUGAAAAGGGAGUGAACUGCACGCCAUUUUAACAUCAUAAACGGAGCAUCAAGGCAUGGACUGAGCUAUCAGUUAACAUUGCAGCUCCCUGGUCAGCACCACCAGAAAUUUGGUUUCAAUUCCAAGCAUAGUAGUCUAUCAUUAGUGAUCCCAACAAAGAGUAUUCAGGCAAGUAACGAGAGCAGAAGAACUGCUUAACCUUUGCUCAAAACAUCAAACCAAAACAUUCAAUAACAACAUCCUAAAACCUGGACCAUGAAACAAACAAGAUACUGGGCAUCUGUACAAGGAAUUUCAAGACGACAUCAUACAGUCCAUGAAUAGGCUUUCUGCAAUUUUUUAGCCAGCCCAGGCGUAGGCAGUUUUCAUUCUUACUGGUUUCUACAAUCUUAAACCAUUACAACCGAGGCAACUCAGGUCAUCUCAAACCAAAUCAUCAAAUUAUGUAACCCCAAUCCAUUAAACUCCAAGGCACAACACAAAAUGCAGGAGACAAACCGUUGCAGGUCAUGCGGAGAACAGAAAUGGAAGAACAUGCAAUCAGCCGAGAACUAAAAUAGUCAAACGUUAAACACACUUCAGCCAAACCAUUAAAAUCCAACCAUCGAAAACCCUUUUCUUAGCAUCAGUGAACAUGUGAAUUAGAAAUGAACAGAAACAGCAAGAAUAAACAGCAAAACGAAUCAGGGCCUCAAACCGACAAUCUAACAAUGAAUGAAAAUGAAAAGAACCAAGACGUUAGGCUAGGAGGGUACCUGACCAAGCUUUUUGGAUCAAAAUCUGGACAGAAAACGCCUCAGCCGUUUCUGGUUCUGGUUCUGGCUUUCUUUCUUCCCAACUCAGCCGUCGUUUCACUCUACUCUCAGACUCUCCCUCGGUUGUUUCUUUUCCUUCGACCCAAAGUUCCCUCUUUUCUCCUCACUCAGCCGCCCAUCUUCUGGCUUCAUCCGCCCCCUCAAAACUCCCGAAGCUCUCCCUUUUAGCCAUCACAACUCCCUCAGGUUUUUCUCCGCUGCUUUUCCUUCUAGCACGUCUCCUUCCCUUAGUUUUCCGUGGGAUCUUUCUUGCCCCUAGCUUUCUUGUCCAGAAUCAUAGCCGCCCUCCAGAAACUCAGCCCAGCUACCUCCCUCUCGUUCUCCUUUUCCAGCAGCCGUUAUCCUUUUUCUUCCCUGGCUUUUCUCCUGUCCAGCCCGUUGGUUUCUUUACUCAGCCCCAAAACUCCCUAUCUCACAGUCUCGGUUUCUUUUCUCUAGCUGCCAAACUCUUCCGACUUUCUCUUCUCCCUUCGGUUUCCCUUUCCAGCCGUCCCCUCUCUUCAGCCGUCACCAAGACUCUCUCCUUUUUUUUCUUUUCAAAACCCAGCUCUCUCCUUUUCUUUUCUUUUCACCCUCCCUCAUAAAACUCCCCUCGUUCUUUUUUUGUUUCCGCCGUCACGCCAGCCCUCAUUUUCAACCCCCCUUGCUCACGCACUCCUUCUUUCCUUUUAUAGUUACACAAACCUCUUAGCCCUAACAUCCAAUGGCCAGCCUGCUGGCCUUUCCUUUUUACCGAUUCUAAACCAUCAGAUGUCGCCUUCUUCACAUGAAUUUGAGCCUCUUAGAUGAAGGCCAGGUGGAAGGAUAUGAGAAAGAUCCGAUGGUGAGGAGAAAUAGUGGUACAAGUGGUGGAAAAUAAAAUAGGACAAAGCUGCAUUUCCCCUGCAUUUCGCGCAUGGUUUCUGCUUAAAUGUUAUAGGAAGAAAAUGGGCUAGGAUCCUAUGCAGCUCCAGGCGCAUGAGCUUUUUUUUUCUCUUCAAAAUAAAUAAACAACAAACCUCCAUAAAUUGAAUCUAAAAAUUUAGAGAAUAUCUCUUUUCCGAAAAAUCUUAAUGCUUGAAUGUCUUAAAAUUAAUGAAUAAAAUUAACAAAUAAAACUAAAUGAAAAGCUCUGAUGUCCAAAAUGCCUAAAAUGAAAUUUUGAGAUAAAUUAAACAAAAAUAGUAAAUAAAUAAAAGAGUAAAAAUUUGGUGUCUACAGUUUGCCCCUCUUUGUCGGAGUUUUGGAAAAACUUGAGACAAAGAAGUAGACACCAAACACUUAUCUGUGUUAUUCGGCUGCGAACGACUCGAACAACUGCCGUCUUUGAAAUGAGGACUGACCUUCCUUAAUAAAAUUUUUAAAAUGGGACUGACCCAGACGAGAAAUUUUAAAAAAAAAGAACUGACUCCCACAUGAAAUUUAAAAUCGGGACUGACCCGAACAAGAAAUUCGAAACGGGACUGACCCGAACAGGAAUUUAAAACGGGACUGACCCGAACAGGAAAUUUAAAACGGGACUGACCCGAACAGGAAUUUAAAACGGGACUGACCCGAACAGGAAUUUAAAACGGGACUGACCCGAACAGGAAAUUUAAAACGGGACUGAUCCGAACAGGAAAUUUAAAACGGGACUGACCCGAACAAGAAAUUUAAAACGGGACUGACCCGAAUAGGAAAUUUAAAACGGGACUGACCCGAACAAAAUUUAAAAUCAUGGGACUGACCCGAAUAAAAUUUAAAAUCAUGGGACUGACCCGAAUAAGAUUUAAAAUCAUGGGACUGAUCCGAAUAAAAUUAAAAGUCAUGGGACUGGCCCGAAUAAAAUUAAAAGUCAUGGGACUGACCCGAACAAGAGAUUUAAAAUCAUGGGACUGACCCGAAUAAAGUUUAAAAUCAUGGGACUGACCCGAAUAAAAUUUAAAAACAUGGGACUGACCCGAAUAAAGUUUAAAAUCAUGGGAUUGACCCGAAUAAAAGUUAAAAUCAUGGGACUGACCCGAAAAAAAAUUAAGAAAUCAUGGGACUGACCCGAACAGAAUGAAAAUCAUGGGACUGACCCGAACAAAAUUGAAAAUCAUGGGACUGGCUCGAACAAAAUUUAAAAUCAUGGGACUGACCCGAACACAGUAAAAAUCAUGGGACUGACCCGAACAGAAUUUAAAAUCACGGGACUGACCCGAAUAAAAUUUAAAAUCAUGGGACUGACCCGAACAAAAUUGAAAAUCAUGGGACUGGCUCGAAUAAAAUUAAAAGUCAUGGGACUGACCCGAAUAAAACUUAAUCAUGGGAUUGACCCGAAUUAAAUCAUGGGAUGCACACUAGUGGGACUGACCCACGGCUAAUGGUGGUGCAAAAUAGAAGGCUCACUAGUGGGACUGACCCACGGCUAGUGGCGAUGAAAAUGAAAUGCACACUAGUGGGACUGACCCAAUGGCUAGUGGCGGUGCAAAAUGAAAUGCACGCUAGUGGAACUGACCCAACGGCUAACGGCAAAAUAAAAGGAACGCGCACUAGUGGGACUGACCCAACGGCUAGUGGCGAUGGAAAUGAAAUGCACGCUAGUGGGACUGACCCAACGGCUAACGGCAAAAUAAAAGGAACGCGCACUAGUGGGACUAACCCAACGGCUAGUGGCGAACGAAAAUGAAAUGCACGCUAGUGGGACUGACCCACGGCUAACGGCAAAAUAAAAGGAACGCGCACUAGUGGGACUAACCCAACGGCUAGUGGCGAACGAAAAUGAAAUGCACGCUAGUGGGACUGACCCACGGCUAACGGCAAAAUAAAAGAAAUGCGCACUAGUGGGACUAACCCAACGGCUAGUGGCGAUGGAAAUAAAAUGCACACUAGUGGGACUAACCCAUGUUUAGUGGCAAUGAAACAUGAAAUGUAAGACGGGAUAUUCCAGUAUACUCACCUAAAAACAAACCAAACUUUUGCCCCCAGUAGGAAUUAGGUUUUUGCAUUUGAACCAAUAGUUGAUUCUGCAUCGCCAUGUUGUUGCACCAUUUGAUCAAACUUGCUUGCGACGUAUUUCAAUCCGCCUUUAUUUAUUCGGAAAACACCUUUUGAUACCGACUUCAGUGCGAGGUGUAAUUGUUUUCAUCCAUGCAUGGAACUUUUCUGCAAAAGAGAAAAUACAAAGAAAUCGCCCUCAUCAUUUGAUCCGUUUGCCUUUGAGAAUCGUGUAAACAUAAGUCUUUUGAUGCCUUCGUCAAAGUUGGCUGCGUCACCUGACUUGGUUGGAUUUGUCAUUUCAAGCGUCUCUACUUUUCCCAUACUGACCGGGUAUACGUUUUGCCAUAUUGUGAAGCCUGCGUAACUGCCUUUGCUGGCCCGUAACCCUUUCCAAGAGAUGAUUGAAUCCAAGUAUGCUUCGAAUAAACCACGGGGGUUGUUAUUUACCAAAAUUCAAUGACCCAAAAAUGAUGCAUGCAAGGUAGCUUCACAUGUCAUGCAUGAAUGAAUGUACAAAAGAAUGCAAAACACAACCAAUUGUGCUUAAUCCUAUAAAAUGCCAUGAAUACAAGCAAUUGAGGAAAAAUGGGUUCCAUGAGAAUGUAUUUACAAAAGAAUAUUUUUUACAAAGUGACAUAGUUUUUGGCCGACGGAUGUCAUAUUCGAAUCCCUGGACAUCGUUGCUCUGGAAUUCGACACUGGUAGAAGUAUUUUGAAGAGAAAUCUCAAAAUGAACCAGACCACCAGUUGUUCCUCCUCAUGCUCGUUCAUUGAAAAAACCUACCUUGGCGCCCUUUCGGGUUUUCACCAAGGUUGCCCCCACCCUUUUUUUGUUUUGUUUUGUUUUUCCUUUUCUUUUCUUCUUUUUCUCCUUCUCUUUUGAGGUGCCCUUUCGGGUUUUCACCUAAGGAAGCAAUGGAAGAGCUCGACCAUAAUCGACUCAGAAUGUAAGUUGAAGAUUGCUAGCAUCAGUAAAAUGCGCUUCCCUUAUAAACUUAAGCGAAGGCAUUGUGGACAUCACUCGCCAGUUGAUUAGCAAGCUUCCCAAUAGAAAUACAGCAAGUGACGAAAGCCAGGACUUUGGGCUUUUAAAUGAGGUUAGGUGGGGUGUUUUCAAGAAAAGUUGAGGCUUGAAAGCAAAUUUUUAAUGAGAGGUGUGAAAUAACCUGAGAUUGCAUCAUUUCGAAAUUAUUUCCAAUUUUGAACGAAACCGAGGAAAAUUUGCCCCAGUUUGAUUGGAUUUCUCUCUUCGCAUUUUUCAUUGCAUUUUCUCACUUUUACAUUUCCUUUUGAAAACUAAAUUUGCCCCAGUGUGGGGGGUUUUUUGCCUCUUUUUUUUUUUUUGAUCAUCUCAUCUCAAAAUAAAUUUUCCCCAGUGUGGGGGUUUUCUUUCUUCUUUUUCCUCUUGAUCAUCCUUUCUCAAAAUAAAUUUGCCCCAGUGUGGGGUUUGCAAUUCUCAGGGGUUGCCAAACGAAAAUUAUUGUUCUGAUAGCUCAAAGGGGAUGACGAGGGAUGAAAUGUUUUAAUUGGAAAGGAAGAUGGCCUGACUUUUGUUUCGCCCCUUGCAUGAUUUCCAAAAGAAAUUUGCAUAAUCAAAAAUAAAAACUUCUUACACAUGUCUGAGUUGACAGGUUGAGAGAAUGUUUGUCCAUCCAUCUAGAACAAAUGUUCCGCUCAGCAACACCUUUUGAACGACCAAUGAACCUUGCCAUUUUGAAGCGAAUUCAUCUUUGGCUUCAUCUUUCACUGGCAAAACUCGUUUUAACUCUUUGUCCCCUUCUCCAAAGGAUUGGUGGCGGACAUCCAUGCAUUGCAUGGCAUUCAGCUGCUUUUCAUCAAUCAGAAUCAAUCGUCGGUGACGCUGCUUUAACCAAUCAGCUUUGAACUUGACAGAGAAGGAAUUUUCUCAAUGAAGGGAUUUUCUCAAUGAAGAGCUUUCUUAAUGAAGGGAUAUUUCGAUGAAGGGAUUUUUAAUGAAGGGAUUUUCGAUGUAUGGCUUCAUCGGAUUCCAGAACAAUGAUAUUCCAAGGGUCAAAUAAUUUCACCUUUGGCCAUCUUAAAAGAAUUUAGAAAAAAAAUCAAGACAAUAAUCAAAUAAAUAAGCAAAACAAACUGUGCCUUUCAUGAAUCUCCAAAUUAAAGCGGAAACAAGCCAAAAACUCAAUUGCAAAAGAUGCUUUCAUUAAGCUAUUCACUUAUGUAAGAAGUAGUUUUUGUGAACUUCAGUAAAUAACAACCCCUAGAUUUACCGAAAUUUCCUUCGAGAGGGAAGAUACUCGGCCAUCCAAAUUGUGCAAGGGUCCUUCAGGAUUUUCAAAUUUCGUCAUUGGAAGUGGAUGCCUCAAAGGUGUCCUUGUGUUUGGGAAAGGGGUUUGUACUUACACUUGGUCCUUGUUCACCCUUUCCCCUUAGCACUAUUUCCCCAACCUCGAUCAUGUCUUGGAUCUUGUGCCUAAGUACUUUGCAAUCGGCGGUUGAGUGGUCAGGUGCUUCCGAAUGAUAAACGCAAGUGUACUGUGGGUUAUAUCCGCCAGGGACGCCAUGAGGGUAAGUCAGAGGGGGAAUUAUGCCGAUUUUACCAGCGGCUUUUAAUUGUUCAUACAACUGAUCCAACGGCCUGCCUAGAUUGGUAAAUGUUCGGGUACGGCUUUGGCUGUAGGUUUGGGUGGGUUGAGGAUAGUUAUAUGUGGGUCUAUUUGGUGGAAGAAAUUGUUGAUUGUAGGGAGGUCGGGGUCGAACUUGUUGGAGGUUAGGUUGAGACACUUGAAAAGGGGCUCUAGGCGGAUUAGUGUAAUUUGGGCGAGAUCGGGGAUGGCUGAUAUUGGCGUUGUAGACUGGGUGAGGAUUUGGAUAGUAAGGGUAAGGGUUUGAGUAGGUAGGGUAUUGUCGAGAUCUGGGUCUUGAGAUAGGGUUUUGAUCCCAGACGAAAGCGAUUUCCCCCUCUUUCUUCUGGAGUUGUUGCUUCUUCCCAUCAUUACUUUGGCCUUGCAAAGCUUCCACUUGAGUUUUCAGAGCAGACACAUUAACAAUCUUUCCAGCCUUCACAAAAUCAUCAUAUUCUUCAAGCUUAUUGACAAUAGCAGCAAAUGAGCAUCCAGUCAUGCGAAAAAUUUCCUCAAAAUACGGGGGAUCGUGUGCUUUAAUAAAGGUGCGAAUGAUUUCAUCUUCAGUCAUUGGCGGCUCAACCUUUGCGGCUAUUUUUCUCCACCUCUUGGCAUAAGUCUUGUGAUCUUCAGAGGGUUUUCUCUUUGUCCCUUCCAGCGUAGUUCGUGUCGGAGCCAGCUCGCAGUUAUACUCAUACUGCCUUACAAAAGCAUUGGACAAGUCAAUCCAGGUUUUGACUUUUUCGGACUUCAGAUUGGAGUACCAAUCGAGUGCAUCCCCCUCCAGAUUCUCUGGGAAUAGCCUUAAAGGUAGAUUUUCAUCAUCUGUUGGCUUACCCAAUUUGUUGGCGAACAAUCGGAGGUGUGUCUUGGGAUUACCCGUCCCAUCAUACUUGUUGAAUUUCGGGGUUUUGAACCCCUCAGGCAGCUGUACAUUUGGAAACAGGCACAGAUCAUUGUAGUCUAACACCCCUUGUUUGCUUAAACCUUGACUUUUCCUGAUGAACUCAUCGAAACGAUCCAACCGCUUAAGUAACUUCAUAUCAAUCGGGGCAGACGACUCUCCCAUUUCUGGCUUGGUUUGAACAGUGUGCUCCGGCACAAUAGGCUCUGCGGUAGUCUGAUAAAAAGCUUGUGGAUCAGGAGGCAUGUUUGGACCACCUUGACCACCUCGAGGCUGAAAUCCUUGCCCAUAGGGAGGAUAGAACGGAUGAUUUUGAGUGUAAGUAUACUGCGGGUUGAAAACUCCCUCAAAAGUGGUUUGAAUCGGAGGAAUGACAAAUGGUUCGGAUUCCGGUUGUUUGACGGGCGGAGGCUCGGGCUGCACUCCGCUACUAAUGAGCUCGUCGAUCAAUUUCUUUUGGGCGGCCAUUUCAGAUGCCAUUUCCCCAAAUUUGGUAAGUAAUUCAGUCAACUGAAACCCGGGACUUGUGGCUUCCGGCUGGGUAGUUGCAGCGGUCUUAUCAGACGAUUCUGGCUGAGUACUCAUGUCUACGCGAUUUCUUUGGGCUCGACUACGGGAUCGCGUUAUGAUGGGGUUUCGACGAGAAGUUAUGUUUAAAUAUUACCUGUAAAUGCGAAAUGGCGUGCUUUUAGAUUUAGCCCUGGCUUAGCUUUUUUAACAAAAAUAAAACAAAGGAAAAGCAAAAGACAAGAGUUAGUAGAUGUUCAAAAAAUUCGGAUGCAUGUCCUAUCGGGGGGCCCUUUUUGUGCCAAGGGUAGGCCUAGAAUGAUGUAAUCCUCUGAGGUAGGCACGAUACCAUACCUGAUGGAUCCGAUCAACUUAUCGACAUUUGAUUAGAAAGUAAUUUGGAAAUUUUGGACCAAUUGAAUAGCGGGAGCUCUCCAACAAAAUGAGGACAACUCUGAAUGAAUGAUUGGUUUUGAUUGGCACAAGAAUUAAUUUAACUUCGACGAGUUUGAAAAAAUUUGAAAUUUCCUAACACAGAUCAAAACCCUAAUUUAUCCAAAUCAAAUAAAAAUGCAAUGGGUGAACAACUAGGCGCUUCAAUCUGAAAUUUGACAUUAAAACCCUGAUUAGUUGACUGGGUUGGAUGAAAUUGAUGAUUUAUUCAAAAAUUGACCGAGUCACCUUAAAAAAGGGUAAAAUGGUCAAAUGCAUUGAAUGAAUUUGAUUAUUUACUAAAAAAUGAAUGGAUAACCCUAGAAAUGCAUUCAACUAAUCAAAUGAAUUGAAUGAAAUCAAUUGAUCAAACAGAUCGAGUGAAAUGAUGAUUUAUUCAAAACCGACCAAAUUGCCCUAAAACUAGGUAAAUCGGUCCAAUGGAUCGGAAAAUUGACUAAAUCACCCUAAAAAGGGUAAACUGGUCAAAUGAAAUUGAAUGAAUUUGAUGAUUUGAAUUUAUUCAAAAUUGAUUGAAUUGACCUAAGAAUGGGUAAACUAAUCAAAUGAAUUGAAUGACAUUGGUGAUCUUAUUCAAAAAUCGACUAGAUUGCCCUAAAAUGGAUAGACUAGUCAAAUGAAUUCAAAAUCGACUAGGUUGCCCUAAAAAUGGACUGGAUGAAAUUGAUGAAUAAAAUGAUCCAAUGGACUGAAUGGAAUUGACGGCUUAUUGCGAUGCAUUAGUCUAUGAGCCUUCUAAUAUCAGAUUUUGGCCUCAAUUUAUUUAUCGUCUCAUCAGUGAGGAAAUAUUGGUGAAUUUGUUCCAAUUAAUGUCCUUUACGCCAGGGAUUUUUACCAAUUUUGAUAAAGUGGCCAAAAAGUGAUUAUUAGACGCUCAUAUUCCAAAGAUCGCUCUAUGAGAAUGAUCGGAUCCUACCUUACCUUGUGCACUCCCUCUUUGGAUGGUACAAAAUGUAAACGUGCAAGUCUCCUUGGAUUAAGUAUCCGAGACACAAGGUGGCUUAUUCCUAACACGGGAUCCCCUAAAUGGCAUUCCCUUCUAGGAUUUAUGCAUGAUGCCAGUUUAUUAAAGCGAUGUAAAUAUGUGGCAAAUAUGGCCUAAAGGACAUAAAUAAUGCAUCGGGGGGAGAAGGUCUAAAAUGAAAUGUACUUAUUGAAAAUUAAGUGUAAUGACUGAAGUUUAAACAUGUGAGUUAUCUAGUGGGUAAGUCACCAAAAGAGUGCCAAAGAGGCCUCUUAUUGCUAAGGCACAUGAAUGCAGGCCAAAAAAACAAAGAAAUGGUUAGUGCAAUUGAUAGUACACAUAACAUAUUGGGAGCAAUUAAGAAAAGAAAUACAAUAAAAACAAGUAAAAGGGGUGGAACCCCUUCCCUCGUGCCUAAUGUGCUUAAAAAAGGGUGAGGUUGACUCUAACCUAGGAAAACUCUAACAUGGAUGCAUGAGGCUGGGGUUCACUAAUGCAACUAGACUCGAUAAGGUUUAAAAAGGUCCCCAAGCUUUCAGACCUAAGGGAAUGGGUCAUCAAUCCCAAGACCCUCGGUCGGUGGCUCGAGUGGUCCCCUAGGUACUGCUAUGGGCGCAGAGCACACCAUCCACAUACCUAGAGAAACCAUUCCUAGUCCUACAAGGCGGUGUGGGAAAGAGCCCACGAAAAAAUAAAAUAAAAUGGGAUAACAAUAAAUAAACAUGCACGUAUGAAGUGUUCCCUAUUUUGAGGGAAGGGGUUGAGAACCAACGCGAGGCUCUAAAGGUGACACACACCCCCCCAAAUGCAAUGCAAAGCGCGGAAUCAAGUACAACAUACAUCCAAACAACCAAUCAUACAUACGUGAAUGAGGGGAUAGUUUGAUACGCGCGCCAGGCAAAAAGUCCUAAAAUGAAAAAUGCAACCCUAGUAUCCAAAUGCUAUGCAUAAAAAGGGUAGAAAAAGGAAAAGAAUAGCUAAAUCAAAUGCUUGGACCCACUUAGGAAGUCCCCAGUGGAGUCGCCAACUGUCGCGCCCCACUUUUUGAUGUGGUGUGAAAGUAGUGUGUGAGAUAUGUAUGUGAACGUGUGUGAAAGUGAAAAUAAAAGGCCGUGGGACUUUGAAAAUGCGACGAUUUGGCCAAGCGAAGUUCAAAAACAAAAAGGGUUUUUUAAUGGAAAAUGGAGUCGCCACUUGGUAUAGAGUUAGGGUGUACCAAGUCACCCAAAAAGUGAUUUUUGGAAAGAAAAGUAAACAAACCCUUUUAAAAGAACUUUUAGGUCUACGUAACCAAAGAAAGGGAUCGGGGGUCACAUUUGAUAAGGGAGAAGGCAAAGGCAAAGCCUAAGGCACUCCCUUACCCUAGCAAAAGCUAGUUGCGUGACUUAGCCCUUCUUUUCCUAAUUUCUUCUACCCAAAGUCUGUUUUGCAUGUUGGACAUGACUAAUGGAUGCUAAAAAGAUGCAAUCCUAAAUCUAAAAUGUCUCUUAUGAAGCUUUUUGGUCCCAACCACAUGAGUUGUGGUGGCCAAUAAGGAAAGUCCUCAUAGAGGUCGCGAAUGACGCAAAUGAAGACUCAAAUAUGAGUGCAAGUGUGAAAAUGUAAGAAAACAUGCAUGUGUGCGAAUGUAAGACAAGUGCAUGUGUGCAAAUUGGGAAAAUAAAUGUGUUUGUGUGCAAAUGGAUGAAAAUAUGAUAGUAGAUACAUAUAAGUGCUAUUGGAUGCAAUUUGUGAGGUAGAAAAUAAAUAAGUGAUAGGAAGAAAGUGGUGAGAAAGUGUGGAUUGAGAAAAAUAUAAGUUGUGAGAAAAUGUGGAUAAAAGAGUGAGGAAGUGAUAUGAUAAGAAUGAGAGUGCAUGAACCUAGAGGUAUGCAUCAAGUCGGGUACGGGAAUGAGUCCUAACUUCGCGACUUCGAUUUUCCCUUUGAUUAGAAGGAAGAACUAGCGUGCUAAGGCUAUUUUGUAGCCACACUCGCUCGUUUACCUUAUCGAAAGGGGACUCUCAAGCAAAUGUACCCUAUAACUAGCAUGAGGAUGCAAAAACCUAAAGUGAAGGGAAAAGGAUUGGAGGAGCAUGCCAAAUGCUAAAAAAACUAAGAAAAGUGCAUGAAAUGUAGUGAAACAUGCAAGUAUGAACUAGCGAAGGAAAUCCCUAAGGGUCUAGCGUUGGACUAGCCCAUAUCGAUGAAUUCCUACUAGCGUUGGACUAGUGGAAAACGGGACAAUGAGCCACAACUAGCGUUGGACUAGUGUGGUGACGUGCAUUCAUCCAUUACAUUCAUCUAUGACUAUAGAAAGCAAGUAGACAUGCCAAUCACCUAUAAACACGUAGCACAUAACACUUAGCAUGCUCGACUAAAUGCAAGAGCCUAAUAAAGCAACUUAACACGUAGCAACAAAAGCAAGCAAUCAAUCUAAUGAACCUAUUACAUUGGCUAACUAAAACAAAAGGGGAAGGGGAGAAAUGAAUAAAAAUGCUCUCCAAACCCUAUCUAUUACAAGCCAAGAGGUGUACACAUACCCCAUAAAGAAUAACUCAAAUGAAAGGUAUUAAGGAAAGGCAAGGGAAGCAAGUAGACAUGCAAUUCUCACUUAGCACGUUGGAACACAUAGGAGAAAUGAAAAUCAAGGAGAUAGAGAUUACCUCCCUUGCAAUUGGGCCUCAAUGAAUUGAAAUCACUUAUUUGCCCUAAAAAAUACAAAGAAAAGGUCAAGGUACCAAUUUAUUUGAGAAAAUUAAAGAAAAUAGGUAAACACAAGCUCACUUGGUCAUAAAGCCCCUAAAGUCAUGACUUAAGUGCAAUUGAAACAAAGCAUAGUAAUUAAUUGAAACAAACAAACAAUGAAGUUGUAGAAUUAAAACUGCCAAGGACCAAAUUGAGGAAAUUAUUCAAUUGGUUGGGUCAUAGCGAAACAAAGAGAGACUUGGGGGGCCAAAGUGUAAUUUUCCACAAAAUUUCCAUGCAAGCUCAUGCACGGUUAUGAAGCUUAUGCUUCUGCAACUUCUAGCCAACAUUUUUCUGCAAUCUUUUCCAUUUAGCCUUACAAAACAAACCAAUGGAUUCAACAACUCAACUUGAAUGCAACAACUUGGGACAAGGGGGAGAGGAAGAAGAGAAAACUGCAAAGGAGUGCCAUGAUCAUUUGCUAAAGCUUCGAUCAGAUUUCCAAGAAGACAAACCCAAAACAAAAUAAAGAAACUGAUGGCUUCCUACACGCAUGCUUUGUAGAAGGAAAACGGCAACUAAAAUCUCACUUAACAUUAACGCAGCCAAAAAUCUUUCAAACAAGCUAUUCAACAAUCCCCAGAACUACACAUAAACACAAGGAAGACAGCUACUGGAACAAAUGAACAAACAAGAGAAAGAUGAGUCGCAAAUAUUGAAAACAUUUCUGCAUUUUCCAGUUGCAGCUUUGCCGUAUGAGCUUUGGAGUUUAACAAAUUCAUGCACCAGUCAUUGAUGACACAAGAAAACAAGCUUGCAUCUGUGGGAAAAUCUGUAUUUUUGGGAAGUAGAAUAUUGAAAAUCUGUAUUUUUGGGAAGUAGAAUAUUGAGUAACAAAACCGUGUAAAUUAGGAGAGAUUAGAGGAGCUAAAUUGGGGUGACAUCUUAUUCCUAGGAUUAAGGAUAUAAUUGUGUAUAGUUUCCUAAUAUAGGCUGAAACCUGUUGUAUAUAUUUUUUUGGAUCAAUGAAAUAAUUAAUUCCCCUCAUUCAUUAUUUUCAAGUUGGCAUCAGAGCUAGGUUUGCCUGUUUUUUCCUCCUAGUUGUUUUUUCACAUUGUCCCCUGUCCCUUCAUCAUGUCUGAAACAUCAUCAGAAUCUACCAUUAACCCUCAAACUACUGCCUCUUCAUCCAAAAACAGAAUCGAAUCCUUGAAAACUGGUGUUGAUUCUCACUCAAUUCAGAUUACUACCAUUCGGCUGAAUGGAGAUAAUUUUCUCCGAUGGUCACAAGCAGUCCGGAUGUAUAUCAGAGGUCGUGGCAAGAUGGGGUAUUUAACUGGUGAAACAAAGGCUCCAAUAUGCACGGAUCCUGCUUACGCAACAUGGGACGCGGAAAACUCCAUGGUUAUGACAUGGCUUGUAAACUCAAUGGAGGAAGAUAUCAGUUCUAACUACAUGUGCUAUUCAACGGUAGAAGAGUUAUGGGAAAAUAUCAAUCAGAUGUACUCUGAUUUGGGAAAUCAGUCCCGGAUUUUCGAGUUGACUCUCAAAAUUGGAGAUCUACGUCAAGGGGAAGACACUGUCACAAAAUAUUUCAAUUCGCUUAAGCGAAUAUGGCAGGAUUUGGAUCUCUUCAACAGCUAUGAGUGGAAAUCAACAGAGGAUUUUCAGCAUCAUAAGAAAACUGUUGAAGACAGCCGAAUCUUUAAAUUUCUGGCAGGGCUAAACGUUGAAUUUGAUGAAGUUAGAGGGAGAAUUAUUGGGAGACAGCCUCUUCCUUCAAUUGGUGAGGUGUUCUCAGAGGUUAGAAGGGAGGAAAGCAGAAGAAAUGUAAUGCUGGGAAAGAAGGGUCCUGGAAUUGCUGUUGAAGGAUCGACUUUAGAGGUUGCCUCAUCCUUUAAAACAUCAACUUAUCAGCGUAGAACAGGAGAAAAAUCCAGUGAAAAAUCACAGGUCUGGUGUGACUAUUGUAAUAAGCCUCGUCACACUCGUGACACAUGUUGGAAACUGCACGGAAAACCUCCAAAUUGGAAAAACAAAGGAGGAGAGAAGUCUGGACGAGGAGUUCCUACUGCUAAUGAAGCUGAUGCUGGCCGCUUCACCAAAGAACAAAUGGAGCAUCUUCUUAUGCUACUGAAAUCCAGUUCUACCUCAUCUGACUUUCCUAAUGCUUCUAUGGCUCAUACAGGUAUUGGAUCUAAGGCUCUAUUCAAUUCUUUUUUGUCUAAUUCCUCAACCUUUCCUGCUCCAUGGAUCAUAGACUCUGGAGCCUCAGACCAUAUGACAAAUUCUUUUAAACUCUUCCAAUCAUAUACACCAUGUUCUGGAAAUAAAAAGAUCAAGGUUGCAGAUGGAGGUUUCUCUCCUGUUGCUGGAAAAGGUUCAAUACAGAUCUCAAAAAAUGUUAACCUGAAAUCUGUUCUUCAUGUUCCAAAAUUGGCCAGCAGUCUUUUAUCAGUGAGUAAACUAACAAAAGAUUCUAAUUGUUUGGCUAUUUUCGAUGAAUCUCAUUGUGCUUUUCAGGACAAGAAUUCGAGGAUGACGAUUGGCAGAGCUAGAAUGAUCAAUGGCCUUUACUGUCUUGAGGAUAAUUCACCUAGUGCUCAAAUUGCUCAAGAGUCUAGUAGUAAUAUUUCUGUAUCUGCUUAUGAACAAAUAAUGGUUUGGCAUUACAGAUUGGGCCAUCCUAGUUUUAUUUAUCUAAAACAUUGGUUUCCUUUGCCUUUUAAGAAUGUGAACCCCCUAAAACUGAAAUGUGAAAGUUGUUUGCUUGCUAAAAGUCAACGAAAAUCUUAUGUUCCAAGGCCUUAUUUACCAUCAAAACCAUUUUAUCUGUUUCAUAGUGAUGUUUGGGGACCCUCAAGGGUUACUACUGCUUUGGGAAAAAGGUGGUUUGUAACAUUCAUAGACGACCAUACUCGUCUAUGUUGGGUAUACUUAAUGCAUAAGAAGUCAGAAGUAGCAACCAUUUUUCAAAAUUUCUAUAACAUGAUAGAAAAUCAAUUUCAAACAAAAGCAAGUAUUUUGCGGUCUGAUAAUGGAACAGAGUAUUAUAAUAGUAUCCUUGGAACAUUUUUUGAAGAAAAAGGGAUUUUACAUCAGUCUUCUUGCACUGAUACCCCCGAACAAAAUGGAAUUGCCGAGCGUAAAAACAAACAUCUGUUGGAAGUCGCUCGUGCCAUGAUGUUUUAUAUGAACUUACCAAAAUAUUUUUGGGGGGAUGCUGUUUUAACAGCAUCAUACCUAAUUAAUAGGAUGCCUUCCAAGGUCUUACAAUAUAGUACUCCUUUAGAGUGUUUUAAAAAAAUUUUCCCUGAAUCAAGAGUUAAUUCAGAUUUGCCUUUAAAAAUAUUUGGAUGCACUGCUUAUGUGCAUAUUCCAAAGAAAUCUCGGUCCAAGUUGGAUCCUAGGGCCGAAAAAUGUGUCUUUGUUGGUUAUGCUCCAAAUCAAAAAGGGUACAAAUUCUUUAAUCCUCUCACACGGAAAGUCUUUGUCACUAUGGAUGCAAUUUUUUUGGAAGGUCUUCCUUUCUUUAACAAACCUUUGAUUCAGGGGGAGAAUUCUAGUGAAUCAAAUUUUUGGGAAACUGAAGCUUUACCAACUAUAAUUUUUGAAACAGAUAAGGAAACGAAGAUCCCUCAAUUUGAUAAUGCAGAAACUGAUAUUGGUUUAUCAGAUAUGGAAAUAUUGCGACGAGAAAAAAAUUGUUCCAAUCUUGAGCCUGUGGUAUACACUAGGAGAAAUAUUUUUAAAAAGGGUGAAGGUCCAUUGAUGAGUCCAGCUCCUGUUCAUGAGAAGUCCUCGAGGGAAGUCUGUCCAAAUACAUCAGGUAAUACUUCACCAUUCUUUUCUUCUGCUGUUCCAGAAUCUGACCCAGUUUUAAAUCUUCCUACUCAAGAAUCUGAUCUUGAUCUUCCCAUUGCCAUUAGGAAAGGAACCCGUACUUGUACUAGACAUCCAAUUUCCAAAUAUGUGUCCUAUGAUAACCUUUCCCCUAAAUAUAGAGCCUUUACCACUGAAAUUUCAAAACUUGUGAUUCCUAGAAACAUUAAAGAAGCGUUGGUUGAUCAGAACUGGAAAUCUGCAGUGUUUGAAGAGAUGGAAGCAUUGAGGAAGAAUGAUACGUGGGAUGUGGUGGAGUUGCCUAGGGAGAAAAAGAUUGUUGGGUGCAAAUGGGUGUUUACAGUUAAAAGCAAAGCAGAUGGUACUGUAGAAAGGUACAAGGCCAGAUUAGUUGCGAAGGGUUUUACACAAACCCAUGGAAUAGAUUAUCAAGAAACAUUUGCCCCUGUUGCCAAGAUAAAUUCUAUUCGGGUCCUUUUAUCUCUUGCUAUUAAUGCAAAUUGGCCAUUGUACCAACUUGAUGUGAAAAAUGCCUUUCUGAAUGGAGACCUAGAAGAGGAGGUGUUUAUGAGUCUUCCUCCAGGUUUUGUAGACAAAUAUGGUGUUGGAAAAGUUUGCAAACUGAAGAAAUCUCUUUAUGGGCUUAAACAAUCACCAAGAGCUUGGCUUGAACGCUUCAGCAAAGCUGUUAAAAAAUUUGAUUUCUUACAAAGUCAGGCUGACCAUACUUUGUUUUAUAGGCAUUCAAAAGAAGGUAAAGUUGCAAUUUUAAUUGUAUACGUCGAUGACAUUAUUUUAACAGGGGAUGAUUGUGGAGGAUUAGAGAAUUCGAAGAAGUUUCUGGCCAAGGAAUUCGAAAUCAAGGACUUGGGAAACUUAAAGUAUUUUCUCGGGAUGGAAUUUGCACGAUCCAAGGAGGGAAUUGUUGUAAGUCAAAAGAAGUAUGUGCUUGAUUUGCUCAAAGAGACAGGUAUGAUGGGAUGCAGGCCAGCUGAAACUCCCAUGGAGCCAAAUUUGAAACUUCAACCGGCUAGUGUAGAGAAAGUAAGAGACAGAGAAAAGUUUCAAAGACUAGUUGGAAGACUUAUUUAUUUAUCACACACUCGGCCUGACAUAGCAUUUCCAGUAAGUAUUGUUAGUCAGUUCAUGCAUUCACCAGGCCCAGAGCACUUUGAAGCAAUUCAUAGAAUCCUAAGGUACCUAAAGGGAACACCUGGCAAAGGUAUUUUCUUUAAGGCACGAGGACAUCUUCAAGUUGAAGCCUAUACCGAUGCGGAUUGGGCUGGAUGUAUAACAGAUAGAAGAUCAACUUCUGGAUAUUGUACGUAUGUGGGAGGUAAUUUGGUAACUUGGAGAAGUAAGAAGCAGAAUGUUGUGGCAAGGAGCAGUGCAGAAGCAGAGUUUCGGGCUGUUGCUCAAGGUAUUUGUGAAGUGAUAUGGAUUAGAAGAAUAUUACAGGAGUUGAAGGUUUCAGAAGUACUUCCUAUGAAAUUGUAUUGUGACAAUAAAGCUGCUAUUUCUAUUGCUCACAAUCCAGUUCUUCAUGACCGAACGAAACAUGUUGAAGUAGAUAAGCACUUCAUCAAAGAAAAAAUAGAAGGAGGUGUAGUCUGCAUGACCUAUGUGCCAACUAGAGACCAAGUGGCAGAUCUGCUUACAAAGAGUCUUCCCAAAAAACAGUUUGAUUUGUUAGUGAGCAAGCUGGUGAUGAAAGAUAUCUUCAAACCAGCUUGAGGGGGAGUGUGGGAAAAUCUGUAUUUUUGGGAAGUAGAAUAUUGAAAAUCUGUAUUUUUGGGAAGUAGAAUAUUGAGUAAUAAAACCGUGUAAAUUAGGAGAGAUUAGAGGAGCUAAAUUGGGGUGACAUCUUAUUCCUAGGAUUAAGGAUAUAAUUGUGUAUAGUUUCCUAAUAUAGGCUGAAACCUGUUGUAUAUAUUUUUUUGGAUCAAUGAAAUAAUUAAUUCCCCUCAUUCAUUAUUUUCAAGUGCAUCUUUGUUAAUUUUGCUAUGAAACCCACUCUAAUGGAUAACCCAGCCAUUGAAAAUCCAAACAAAGAAAGUAAUAUGGGAAUCGCAGGGCAAGGAAAAUGAAAAUGGGUUUCUGUGAUUUCAUUCGCAGCCUUCUUUCAUUCGUCUACACCCUUGCAACUUCAUUCGGUUAUUUGUUCAUUCCUAUCUUAUGGCGUGACUAUGAAAAGGGAGUGAACUGCACGCCAUUUUAACAUCAUAAACAGAGCAUCAAGACAUGGACUGAGCUAUCAGUUAACAUUGCAGCUCCCUGGUCAGCACCACCAGAAAUUUGGUUUCAAUUCCAAGCAUAGUAGUCUAUCAUUAGUGAUCCCAACAAAGAGUAUUCAGGCAAGUAACGAGAGCAGAAGAACUGCUUAACCUUUGCUCAAAACAUCAAACCAAAACAUUCAAUAACAACAUCCUAAAACCUGGACCAUGAAACAAACAAGAUACUGGGCAUCUGUACAAGGAAUUUCAAGACGACAUCAUACAGUCCAUGAAUAGGCUUUCUGCAAUUUUUUAGCCAGCCCAGGCAUAGGCAGUUUUCAUUCUUACUGGUUUCUACAAUCUUAAACCAUUACAACUGAGGCAACUCAGGUCAUCUCAAACCAAAUCAUCAAAUUCCGUAACCCCAAUCCAUUAAACUCCAAGGCACAACACAAAAUGCAGGAGACAAACCGUUGCAGGUCAUGCGGAGAACAGAAAUGGAAGAACAUGCAAUCAGCCGAGAACUAAAAUAGUCAAACGUUAAACACACUUCAGCCAAACCAUUAAAAUCCAACCAUCGAAAACCCUUUUCUUAGCAUCAGUGAACAUGUGAAUUAGAAAUGAACAGAAAUAGCAAGAAUAAACAGCAAAACGAAUCAGGGCCUCAAACCGACAAUCUAACAAUGAAUGAAAAUGAAAAGAACCGAGACGUUAGGCUAGGAGGGUACCUGACCAAGCUUUUUGGAUCAAAAUCUGGACAGAAAAUGCCUCAGCCGUUUCUGGUUCUGGUUCUGGCUUUCUUUCUUCCCAACUCAGCCGUCGUUUCACUCUACUCUCAGACUCUCCCUCGGUUGUUUCUUUUCCUUCGACCCAAAGUUCCCUCUUUUCUCCUCACUCAGCCGCCCAUCUUCUGGCUUCAUCCGCCCCCUCAAAACUCCCGAAGCUCUCCCUUUUAGCCAUCACAACUCCCUCAGGUUUUUCUCCGCUGCUUUUCCUUCUAGCACGUCUCCUUCCCUUAGUUUUCCGUGGGAUCUUUCUUGCCCCUAGCUUUCUUGUCCAGAAUCCUAGCCGCCCUCCAGAAACUCAGCCCAGCUACCUCCCUCUCGUUCUCCUUUUCCAGCCGCCGUUAUCCUUUUUCUUCCCUGGCUUUUCUCCUGUCCAGCCCGUUGGUUUCUUUACUCAGCCCCAAAACUCCCUAUCUCACACUCUCGGUUUCUUUUCUCUAGCUGCCAAACUCAUCCGACUUUCUCUUCUCCCUUCGGUUUCCCUUUCCAGUCGUCCCCUCUCUUCAGCCGUCACCAAGACUCUCUCCUUUUUUUUCUUUUCAAAACCCAGCUCUCUCCUUUUCUUUUCUUUUCACCCUCCCUCAUAAAGCUCCCCUCAUUUUUUUUUGUUUCCGCCGUCACGCCAGCCCUCAUUUUCAACCCCCCUUGCUCAUGCACUCCUUCUUUCCUUUUAUAGUUACACAAACCUCUUAGCCCUAACAUCCAAUGGCCAGCCUGAUGUCCUUUCCUUUUUACCAGUUCUAAACCAUCAGAUGGCGCCUUCUUCACAUGAAUUUGAGCCUCUUAGAUGAAGGCCAGGUGGAAGGGUAUGAGAAAGAUCCGAUGGUGAGGAGAAAUAGUGGUACAAGUGGUGGAAAAUAAAAUAGGACAAAGGUGCAUUUCCCCUGCAUUUCGCGCAUGGUUUCUGCUUAAAUGUUAUAGGAAGAAAAUGGGCUAGGAUCCUAUGCAGCUCAAGGCGCAUGAGUUUUUUUUUUUCUCUUCAAAAUAAAUAAACAACAAACCUCCAUAAAUUGAAUCUAAAAAUUUAGAGAAUAUCUCUUUUCCGAAAAAUCUUAAUGCUUGAAUGUCUUAAAAUUAAUGAAUAAAAUUAACAAAUAAAACUAAAUGAAAAGCUCUGAUGUCCAAAAUGCCUAAAAUGAAAUUUUGAGAUAAAUUAAACAAAAAUAGUAAAUAAAUAAAAGAGUAAAAAUUUGGUGUCUACAGGAUGUAUUGCACGAUAACAUUUGGCAUUUGGACCAGGUGAGCCUUUCUAGCGAGGAGAUGUCGCGUAUUCAACACUCACAGGUGCGGCUCAGUCCGGGAGCUGAUCCUGACUGCCUAAUCUGGUGUCCUACUUCGCAUGGGGGUUUCCAAAUAUCUUCUGCGUUGGACAGACUUCGUGAUCACUCCUUCCCAAUGUUUUCCCGCGUGUUGCUCUGGAAUAAACGCAUACCGCUGAAAGUUUCGGUUUUCAUGUGGAGAUUGCUUAAUUGCAUUCUGCCUUUCCUUGUCAUUUUACAGCGGUUCGGCUUUAAUCUACCCUCCAAGUGCCCUUACUGCGAAAGUACCGACACACUAGUCCAUUGGUUCGUGGAAUGUUCUUUGGCAACCCAAGUGUGGGGAAAGCUGGAACAUUUUCUAGACAUCCGGGUACCUCCUCAUCAUGAUAUCAUGCUGAAACUUCAAGGCUGGUGGAGCAACGUUUCAGGUAAAUCUGCCAUGGCAAAGCUGUCACACAUUGUUCCCUUAUUUGUCUGCUGGAAACUUUGGAAGGCACGUAAUCGGGCCAUUUUCGAUGAUACUACGCCGUCGGCAACUCAUGUUGUGCGCCAAAUCUUGCGUUUGAUACAUUUGGUGGCCCUUGCUCACCCUCUCUCUUUGGCAUGCAAGGAUGACGACCGGCUUCUGAAACGGGGAGUUGUUCCUUUUCUUAGAAAGGCAAAAUCUAUGCAAGCCCUAUCUCUUGCAUGGGCUCCGCCUCCUGCAUCUUAUGUCAAACUCAAUAUUGAUGGCUCUUCAAGUGGUAAUCCAGGAGCCUCUGGCGGGGGGGGGGCAUUAUACGAGAUCAGCAUGACCACGUCCUUUGUGCUUUCUUUUCCUUUUACGGGUUUCGGACGAAUAUGCAAGCAGAGGCCAUGGCUCUUCUUGAAGGUGUACAAUUAUGUGUCUCCUUGGGUAUGCAGUACAUAAAGGUGGAACUGGAUUCUCUUGUUCUACUAAAUGUCAUCACUGGGGAACACAGGUGCCCCUGGCGCAUUGAUGAGGUAAUAGCUAGGGCUCGAGUAGUCCUUCGUCAAGCUUCCUUUGAAUUGACACAUUGCUACAGAGAAACCAAUGCUGCAGCUGAUAGCCUUGCAAAACGGGCGGUUUCAUCUGGCGACUCGAAGGUUUUCGAUGCCCUCUCUCUUCCUACACUCACGACAGGCCUCUGUAAGCUAGACUCUAGGCAGUACCCCUACAUUCGCUAUGUAAGAGGGUGAUCACUCCAAACUUGUAAUGGUUUAUCUCUAAUAAAGUUUUUGGGGUGGCGUCCCUCCCCCGGUUUGGGGUUUUGCCAAAAAAAAAAAAACAAAAAAAAUAAAAUAAAAACAUGUCAAUUAAUAUUCAAUAUUCAAGUAAAGAAACUCCACUAGAAUUCCUGUCACACGUAUUUUGUCUUAAAGGCAACCUAAGGUUUAUUCUGCCUCAAAAAUCCGAAGAAUCUUAUGGAUAUCAUGGGUUGAGAUGAUUUUAAGGAGGAGAGUAUGACUAUCUAUGCUUUGACCCUAGAGAAAAAUCCCAAGAAUAUGGCGUUUUGCUCAAAGGGAAGACCAACAUGGGUUUUUGACCUCUGAUGAUGUGCUCCUAGAGAAGAAGGAAAGGAAUGAGGAAGUAGAUAGAAGAAAAAUAAAUGGAAAAUGAGAAGAAAAGAAAAUUUCUGCUUAAUUACAAAUCUCUAUAGUUCUUCUUUGGCACUCAUGAAAUUACAUUUAUGUCCCUAUUAGAUUUGGUUUAGUUUAAUUGCAACUAGUGUUUGAGGCAUACCCUAACAUGUGUGCAGUUAAUAAAAAAUAUAUUUAUCAAAAUUAUCUCUUUAUAAUACUUUUCUUAUUGGUUAAAUUAUUUUAUAAUGUAGAUACAUAUACAGAAAGAUGAUGGAAGUUGAGCAGAUUACGUGACAGUUGGAAGCUAGUGUGGAAAACGUGAAUAAUCUCAACAAAAAACUGAUUUAAAUAGCUCUCUCCUAAUUGUAGGGAAGUUUUUUCUAAUAAACUAGGACAACUUUACCCUUGUCAUUAAAGGUACAUUAGGAAUUUUAAAAAAUGACAUUAUGUGUUUAUACCAUACAAUGAUGAUCAAACAUUAUAUAUAGUAUAAAUAACAAACUAACAGUAUUGGUAAUUGUUUUGUUAGGUUUUGUGCAUUUCAUCAAAAACUAAAGUGAAGUGGAACGGAUUUUUUAGUAUAGGGAUUUAAGUAUCCCAUUUUGAAAUUUAGGGAUUGAAGUGGGAUUCUACAUAUAAUUUGAGUGAAUAAAGUGGAAUUACCCCUAGCAAAAACUCCCCUUAAGGUAUAGUCACUUUUGCACUUUGUAUCAUUUUUUUCUCACUUUAUCCCAAAACUCUCAGUUAAUUCUAAUAUUAUGUAAUGAUGAUAUUAAAAAGACAUUUAUACCUCUAAGAGUUAACUAUGGUAAAUCCCCUUAAAGUAUACCUUGUUUGUGUUUUUUUCCCUAAUGUCAUUUUUUAUCAAUUUCUUUUUUGUUAUUAAAAUUAUUAGUGAACUUUAAUAUUCAACACCUAGGGCAAUUAAUAUCUAAAAAAUAAAUGUUCCUAACAUAAUAAUAAAAAAUAAUAUUUUUAUAUAUAUGGUCUCAGUUAAAUUUCAUUCCAUAAUUGCACUUUUUUUAGAUUGAGAAAACUAUCUUGCUAAUUUGCCUUAAUAAUGGGAAAAAUUGUUAUUAAAAAUUAAAAUAUGAAAAAUAUUUUUAAAGUCUAAAAAUGAUCGGGAUAUUGUCAGUUUCUUUUGGGAAUAUGCAUAUGCCUAAACUUUUCUUUUAGUAGCUAAUUUUUUUUUAUAUAGAAGUAUACAUUUUUUUUGUUGAUAAUGCUAAAAAAGAGAAACAUGGUUGAUUUGGAGUUCAAAAUUUAUAGAGUUGGUCUUUCAAUACACCAUGCUUAGAUGCUAUUAAAAUUUAUUUGGAUUUCUAAAUUUUUCUAAAAAAAUUUUUAUUGCAUCUAAACAUGUUUUUCAAUCAUAUUUUCAUUUUUGCAACCUCCUUGUUAUCUUAGAAAUAUUAAAUUGUAAAGAGCGCUAUCAUUCAAAAAAAAAUUUCAAAUAAUCUCCAAUCCACACAAACCUAUCUAUAGGCUUCUAUAUGAUGACCCCACCAUAUCCUAAGGCGUACCCCUUAGGGUUUAACGAAUCACCUGCCUAGUUCUCACUAGAACUCAUUUCACAUUCAUCUAAACAUAUCAUUACCAUAAAAGAGUCAUAUAAUCCUAGUUGCAACUCAAAAGGACUUGAAGUACAAGUUAUAAUCAUAGAUCAUAACUACAAAUCAAGUUUAUUACAAUUUUAAAACAUCGAGAUUUAAAUCCACUAUUCCUCACCUCCCUUAUCCGCCGUCCCUGCAAGGAAAACAAUUAAUGGAUGGGUUUAUGCACAGUGAGGUCCCAAGCAAGCAAUAGUACAAGAAACAAGUAUUUGCCAACCAAAGUAUCAAUUUAUAAUAAUAUAUGCAAAUUCCACAAGGCUCAUUAACAACUUUGAAGUAAAAUAGCACAAUUCACUAAAAGGAUACGAGCCCACUAUGGAAGCCAAUUCACUAUUACCGUACUAUCCACUGUCAAUCGUCCAACGAUUUAUUUCAUUCAAUAAGCAAUUUAAUCAUCACUGGCUACAAGGCAAUACUCAAUUAUACCACAAUUUCACACACCAAAAAACCCAUAAAUCUCCCAUGAGUCAACCACAUCCAAGACUGCUAGCCUAUUCGACCAAGUCCGUUGUCGGCUCGAAUAUGCUGUCUGGCGAUGGGUUUUAGGGCCUAGUUCGGCCGACGUGAUAAAGUACGCACCCGACCCACAAUACAUGCACAAGUAACAUAACUUUUGGAACAUUAACUUUUCAAUUCCAUUUGGAAUAAGGGCGAUAAAGUACACCACUUCCAGCAAUAAUACUUUUAUACAUUCAACUGAUUCAAAAUAAGUCAUCCAAACCAUCCAUUUUAAUUCUAACAAUCAUAAAUUGGUCAAGUAUACACCAAGUGUCAAUCAAAAUCAUUCAAUCACAUAUAACAACAGGAAUACUCACCGAUUGAGGUUCAAUUUACACGAUGUUUUCAAGGUAGGGUUUUUGACUAAAUUCAACUCAUGAAAUCCAACAUAAGUAUUUUUAUAUAUGUAAUUAUCUCAAAUUUUUUAUUCUAAGAUACUAAACGGUGUAUUUUCUAUACUAAUCUAAUUAACAAGUUUAAAUCUUAAAAAAUUAUGGUUUUGAGUUAUAGUUUAGUCCUUCGUAUUUUGUUAAACUUUAUAUAUUUAUGAAAUAACCCCAACUUUUCUGAAAAUUUAUGUUUUGUGUUUAUAAUUUUCAAAUAACUUAGCAUUAUAGCUUUGAUUAAGUGUUACUUUAUUUUCUUUUGUUUUAAAAUUCAUCAUCUUUAGUUUUCUUCUUAAUUUUAGUACCAUAAAUUCUAAGGAUCUAAAUUCACCUAAGUUUAAUAAAACUUCUGUCCCCUGUUAUCAUUUAAGUUUUCACAACUUUUUUACCCUAAAUCAAAUAUAUUUAAUAUCUAUAUCAUAACAAAAGAAAUAUGUUAUAUGUGAAGCAAAAUUCCUUUUCCCCUUGUUUUUAAAACCUAACAUGCAACCAAGAGACCAUAAGUUUCAAAUUCUUCCCAAAAUCUCAAAAUUCCUUACUUAAUCCACUAUACACUUCAUCCAUGACAAGAUAAUUGAAAUUAAUGACAUAGGAAGUGAAUUCUUUGUAAGUUUCAACAAAUUUCUGGAACAAAAUAGGAGGAAUUAAAGUUGAUCCUUCAUGGUUCAACUAGAAAAUUUUCCAUCUUUGAUGUUUCUUUCAAAAAUUGAUCUUUUCUUACUUUUAUCUCAACAAAUUUCACAUGCAUGGCUAGAUUAAGGAAAUGGAUGAUAUACAAAGUAAGUUUUUAACCAAAACCAACAACAUUUUUGGUGGUAAAGCUGAAAAUUCCCAACUUCAUUCCAUCGGCCCACAUGCAGCAUCAAAAAUAGAAACUUUAGCAAGAUUUUCUUCAUAAUUCACACUUAUCCUACUUUGAUUUAGGUCAAAUAUUGCAUGCAUGUCAAGAUACGGAAGUUAGGAUGCAUGUAAAGUGCAUUUAGACACAAUCCUACAAAAUUUUGAGGGAAAAAAACCAAAAGGUUGCAGCUUUACUCUAUUGGGUUUCAUGCAGCACUUUGUGUAAUGACCCCACUUCUCCCUAGAGCGUACCCCAGGAUUUAGCGGACCGCCUGCCUAACCCUCGCCAAGACUCACUCACUCUCGACUUCAAGACAACAAGUUAUAACUUCAAAAGGAAAUGAAACAACAGUUUGAAAUUUAGAAUGUACAUUUAUGCUCAAGUCUAUCUCAGUCGUUCAUACAUUCCCAAAUAUAACAAAAGAUUUAAAUUCCAGAUAAUUUUCAACCCUAAUCGAGCACUAGCGCGAGUACAAUCGCAAAAAUUCAAAAACUAGACGAUGCUAGUCUGUACCAGUCUCACGCCCAUACUCGUACCUCCUGUAAGAAAAGCAAAACUAAUAGGGUGAGCCAAAUCUCAGUGAGGUUCCAAACAUCAUGCAAAAAUCAAGUAGCAAGUUGACCACCGUAUAAAAUUUGAAAUAUCAAAGUAGCGAGUAUAAGAGUUCAUAAAAAUGAGCAAUAACACUUCAAAUAACAAAUCAUUGGAUAUCCAACAUUUUUAGGUAAAAGGAUAUUGUAGCUCUUGUGAAUUAACUCUGCCAUAGCUUUACCAAGUAGUAGUUGACACUCCGUCAGCUUUCAAGUAAAGUAACUAGUCCAAUAGUGCACCACUUAACUCCAAUUUCCAUCCAUCAUUCAAACCCCCUACCGGCCCUGAAUUCCAAUAUAACAGUGGUGGUAAUACUCGAGUAUAUUAAUUAGUCGAGGAGAUAAUACUCCACUCGAUAAAGCAGUAGACCCAGGGUUCAUUAUCUUAUCGACCAGGCCCUUGUAGGCUCGACUCGUUUAAUUAGCCACAGGAUUUUUAGAAUUCCAGACAAUAUUUAAGUCAUACACACACACACACACACACACAUAUAUAUAUAUCAAACCAAUUGUAACCAGUGCACAGUAAUAAGUCACAUUAGGGCAAGUGCGAUAAAGUACACCCUUGCCCUAUCAACAAGUCAAGUACUGUCCCAUCACAUUAACAAAUCAAUUCAUUCAAGUAAUAAGUUCAAACAUGCGCUUGGAAACAGUCACAAUGAUUUAUUGCUUUCCAAAACCAAGCUCAGGUUCAACUCCCUGGCUGGAGUUCAAAUUUGUGAUAAAAUACCGUUUAGCAGUUUGCAAUCAAUUAGGGUUUCAAAAUAUAGGAGUUUCGUUUAAAAAAAGCCAAGUAAAUAGAACUCAUUUAAGUAUUACUCAUUUUACUUAUCAAACCCUAGAAAAUUCAUGCUCGCUCUUUUGGUUUCGAUAAAGAAGCGUUUAAAACUUUUAAAUUCGCAACUUGGUAUAAGAAACUUGGAAAUUGUGUUUAAAGUGGCCGUUACUUUGUCUUUGAGAAAUAUACACUUUUGGCAAAAUUUUAGGUUAUAAGUCACCCACACGGUCAACUUAAGCAUCCUUACAUAACUAAGUCCCAAAUUGUUCACAAGUCAUACCCUUAUUUCCGCUUUCUGUGACGCCCCACAUCUCCCUAAGGCGGAUCAAAGGGUAUCCGCGGACGCCUGUCCAGCUAUCGCCAGGACUCAAGCAAUUCCAUUCAAUUUAAAACCGGACUAAACACUUCGAAGAGAACAACAUGAACACAAUAAUGCGGAACCGUUCAAGCUUAUCAAGUCACUUAACAUGUAACCAAUACAUCGGUAAUCAUAAAACAACUUAAAUUCAACAUACACGUCAGGGCCCAAACUUUCAAAUUUACAAUUUCCAAAAGUACAAUCCAAACCAGGGCCUAGUCAAAAUAUAGCAGGAGUCUUAACAAAAGUGUAACGAAUGGUUUCUCCAUACUUCUCCAAGAUUCGGUCCUGUUAAGGAAAACAAAACUAUAGGGUGAGCUAAACGCUCAUGAGGCCAAGAACACACAUGCAAGCACUUUGUUCAAAUAGCAAUCCCAAAUCAAAUAAACAAAACCAUGUCCCUUCAAUAAUCAAUCAUUCGAACAGGAAAAGUAAUCAGAAACAAUUCAAGGAUAUAGUAGCUCUCAGGAGCUAAGUUCCACUCGCUCUGCCGAUGUCAUUCGUAUACCUUCCCGCAUUGACCCUCCUGUCAACCGGGUCGGUAUUUCCAUUUCCAUAGAUCACCACUUACUUCCCUCCGUCCACCGUACACCUCAAGGGCCCACAAGUCAUGUAUAAGGCGAUACUCCACGAGUAUGCCGAGCAAGACCUCUCAUUAGGUCGAGCUCAUAUUUACCUCAUGGCUCGCCUAAGUCCCCGACCAAGCCCAUUGCUGGCUCGAGUCUAAGGUUGGCCUAUGAGUUUGGGCGUCCCCCAUUCAUUUGAAAGUCGAGGAGGUUCACUCCAACGACUUAUGUAUCAUAACAUAACAUUGCAUUUCAUUCAUUCAUUCAGUACAUUUCAUUCAUUCAGUACAUUUCAUUCAUUCAAUACAUUUCAAUCAUUCAUUUGAAAUUAGAACGAGUGCGGUAAAGUACGCACCCGCCGUUAUUUUUAAAACUUCCCACAAUUACCACAAAUAAGCAAGUAUCACAGAUUCACACACUUGACACUCACCGAGCAAUUCAAUAAGAAUUAUUUUCUGGGAGUUCAAGUGUCCACAGUAAGAUCCUCUUGAAUGCCUUCUUGUGUGCCUGGCAAUUAAUAGCGGAUAAUCACACAAUAACCCACUGGUCAAGGAAGAUUGUACACUUGUACAAUCUAAGGAAUAUUUCACAAAAUGAACCUCAAUUACUCGUAAAUCGAGGUUCAACUUGCCUUUUAUUAUGUACAAUAUUAUUUGAGUUUUUUAUCAUGAAAAACGAGGGCAAAACGUUUGAAUAAUACUAAGAGAAUUAAGAGUUUUGGAAAAACUCCUUUGCCUUGAAAAUUGAGAAAUUUCAGUUUUAUCCUAAUUCUUUGAAAAUUCGUAUCUCUCUCGAUAUAAGUCCAAAACUGGAAAACUUUAUACCGUUGGAAACCUUUUGGAAAUUUUUAAAAGUUCUUAGAAGACACCUUUCCAUGAAUCUAAGUGGAAAGCACUCAAAAAUGAGCUUGAAGAUACAGACUCGGCGUACAAGGCAGAAUUAAGUUGGAUUUCGGCCAACUUUGAAAAUUCGGCACGAUUCACACAUUGCAAACCGGCUUCUGAAAUUUGUAAUUCAAUUAGAGUUGCAAGUGAGGUUUAUAGCAAAACAAGCGGAUCAAGAAUCGGAGUUUCGAGUACCGAGAUACGGUAGCUCAAAGUUGAGGAAGAUUCAAGACUGAAGAAGAAUUUCCAGUUUUGAACCUCCAACACUAGGAAUUUAAUUCGGUAUCAAAACGAACUUGAAUUGGUGUCAAAAUUGGCAGUAUUUUACUCCUAUAUGCAAGGUAUUUCUCUAUCAAAUUUCAGGGAAAAAUACCCUCGGGAAGGUAGUUAACUAAUCAUCCAAAGUUCCAGAAAAUUUCUAAGGCAAUCUGCCUUUUGACUUUCAUUUCCAAAUUUCAAAUCGUUUAACCAAGAAAGCUAUCCAACCAUGGUUCAUUGGUGAAAUAAAGGUCUAAGAUAAAUCCAUGAUACCUUUGGUAAUGGUUUAGCAUCAAAAUUUCAAUUAAUAAGAUCACUCCCAAGUUUUUGUCCCACAUCAGUCCAAAUAUUACGUUUUUUCCCAAAACAGGGCAGUCCACUUGUUUUAAUCACAACUCAACCAAUUUAACUCAGAAUGAGGCAUGGUUUAUGGUGUUAGAAAAUACAUUCAUAGGACUAAAAGUUUACAGAAGGAAACGUUUUGAAAUUUGGCAAGCAACCAGCUCAAAAUUGAGCCUCAAGUUACUGCCUCUACAAACCAUUCCAGCAAAUCCGAGAGACAGGACAGCUAUAUUAAAACGUUUGGUUAUACUCACUCACAAAGAAUCAGAACGUGCAUUUUAUCUCAAAUUAAAGCUAGGAAUGUCUAGUUUCAAACGCCACCAACGGCACUUGAUUUCGACACCCGAGGACAGAGUUAUGGCCAAAAUGCUACCGCUGGACAGGGUUACCCGAAAAUAACUUUCCAGCUUGCCUAGUCCACGAAUAAAUUCGUUUGCCCAUCCAAAUGUUAAUAUUUUCCAACGAAAAUUUCUACACAUAUAAUAUAACAUAUACACAUCAGGUUCAUGCCAAUAAAUCACCAAAAAUUGGCCUUAUCAUGGCCGAACAAAACAGGGGCAGAUUCAGCAAUUUCUGGUCAUGACCUCUACUUUGAGUUUCCAACAAUAAUACUCCAUAAAUCCAUCAUUAUAACCAUUAAUCUACCAUUAAACCCAACAUUGAUCCUCUAAUCAGCAACAACAACCCAAGUGUGGGAAUACAAAGAGCCCACUAGAACAUUUUGCAACCAUAUCAAGCCACCCAUCCACAUGCAAUAGCUUAAGGAUGCAUUUCUACCAUCAUAAUCCAAGUUUAAGGUGUAGGAUGAAGUUAUACCUCCUUAGUGCCUCAACCCAGAAAUUUUCGGCCCUCAAGAGCUCCAAGAAACCGUGAAAAUGCAGCCCUUUUUGUUAGCUAAAUCCAACCUUCAAGUAGUAUGCUAGAUGAUCUUCAAGUUUGGUGAAGAUUGGUUGAGGUUUUGGGUUGAUUUGAUGAAGGAAUUUGUGAAGCAAGAGAGUGAGUGAGAGAGAGAUGUUGGCCGGCUGUCUUGGGAGGAAGAUGGAGUGAAGUUUGAUCAAAAUUAGCUUCCAAGAGAAGAUUAAAUGAGUGGUGCACAAUCACUCCAAAGUCAACUCUUAUUAGGGCUCGUUUGGCACAUUUUAGGUUCGAUUUUCUCGCGCGUUUGGUUCACUAGUGCACUGAACCUCCAAUGCAUUUAUAUUCAUGCAAGUAUUAUUCACUCUUAAUUGUCCCGAAAUAAGGGUCUAAAGUCCCUCAAAUAAAGUCGCGCGUGUGAAAACGCGUACCGUCAAUUUUAACGCGAUAACGCGAAACUUCCAAUAAAUUCUUAUAACGAUUGCACUACUAACUAUCACUUGAGUAUUUACUCAUAAGAUUACCUAUUUUAGGACCAUAGUACAAGUCUCCAAUAUUCCAAGCUUAUUGUGCUACUACGCGGAUAAAAUCUCCAAGUACUAUUCACUAUUUUUACUAAACGUACUCCAGGAAAUUAAUUUUUGAAACGAAUCAUUUUAAAAAUAUAACGAAGUUAUAUUAUCAUGUAUUUAGGUCUAAUAAGACUAGAAAAUAUUCCUCGUGGCAAAAAUCCAAUUAAAUAAUUUAUUAAGCCAUAAAUUAGGCAUAAAAUAAUAGUUUUUACGAGUCCUCACACUUUCACUCACUUAUCCUACGAGAGGAAAACGGGCAGCAUUUCCUUUGUUUUUACCAAAUUUUUUAGCCAUUUUCAAGGCCACAUUUCUAUCUCAAAUCAGCCCAUUCAAUACCACAAUUAAUAAGAUAAAAACAGCUCUCAAUCUAGACCAUAGAACCAUCUAAUUGGAGUUCAUUUCUAGCAUAUAUCAUCACAAUAUCAAAGUUGAAAAAUCUCUAAUAAAGCUGGACAUUCCUAGUUCGAAGCUAAAAAGUCACAAUAAAUCUACCAAUCACCUCACAAGUCCAUAGCCAAACUCAAUAUCAACAUAUUAUGGAUAAAUAACAUAAAUCAAGGCUGAAAAAUCAUAACUUUAAGCUGAAAUUUUACCAAUCUUCACCAAAUCUAAAUUAUCAUCCAUAAAAUUCCAAAUUUCAAGUCAUCUUCACCAUAAAUUGCAAAAUAAGAAGGAGAAAAGAAGUUGUUCAACUUAUACUUUCAAUCCCUUGAAGAAAGUGAAGAACCAAGGCUUUCUCUCCAAAAAACUUUCCACUCCAAGCUUUCUGGCUCCGUUGGUGCUAGUUUGUUCAGUUUAGUUUUGUGAUUCCAAUUCAAACAAGGCAAGAAUUAAGGUGGAAAUAGAAGUUUUUCUCAUCUUUUUUUCUCUCCAAUGGUUCGGCCAAGGCAAGAAAGAAAUGAAGAAAAAUUGAUCCAAAAGAAAGAUAAGAAGGAAGAAAGUUGUCUUGGUCAACUUGUCUUGGAUCAUUGACACUUGACAAUGCCAACUUUUUCCUCUUUUUUUUUUCUUUUCUUUCCUUCCUCUUAGUCAAUAAUUUCGACUGGCUUUAGGGUUAAUUUAGGGGGGAUUAAAUGAAAUAAAAUUAAGGAGAUUAGGGUACAUUACAACAAAAAUAAUUUUUCCUAACAUGCCUAUAAGGACACUUGUUGGUUUGUGUCAUUAUAGCACUCAUAUCAUGACACUUAUUAUCAACUCAAUAAUAUAUAUUCUAAUUUUUUUUAUUUUAUCUGAUAUAAAAAUAAUAAUGUGCCUUUAGACUACCUAUCAUGACACUUGAGAAAAUGUGAGGUGUACCAAAAAAAAAAAGAAAGACACAAAACAACAUCGUUUAAUUUUGACGGAAGAUUCAUUUGCCAAAACACUCAGUGAAAUGCUCAAAAGUUUCAUUUUGCCGGCUAAAAGACUUAGUGAAAAUUUUCUUCUUCUCAUCUCUCUCACCUCUCCACAAACAAGCUAUCUCGGUGGAUGUGGUCAUAUGGUUAUACUAGCAACCUCCUCUUUCAAGAAUUCUGUGUCUUCUUCAUUUGUCAGACUCUGAUACUGAAUUAGGUAUUUGUCCUCGUCAAAUCGUUUGAUGACAGUUGCAGGAAUCCAAGCACGUUGAAAACCAUCUUCAUCUAUUCUAACUUCAAUUGUUGUCCCUCGGCUAAAUUUCUCCUGUACUGUUUUUUUGCCAGGCUUCCGUUUAGCUAGUAAUAUUGACACUUUCUACAAUCUGAAAAACAGUAAAUUUUUAAGCUAAAAUUGGACUGAUUAUAAACAACCAGACAAAGACAAGCAGCCAUGUGACAGUUAAGACAUCUGGAAGGGCAGACAAGGAGUAAAAGUUAGAAGAUUAGAGUUUAAUAUUGGCAAAGCGGGAAGAGGUUGGCAUAUGUUGUUAAAAAAAAGUGGCAAAUACAAUGAAGUUGUUGUCCAUAACCUGUUCGAUAAAAUGUCAAUUCCCCCCUGUUUUUCCUUUUUUCUGAAUUUCUUUUAAUGUUGUGGCAUUUUUCCUUAAAAGUUAGAUUACAAAGGUUAUUUAUGUCUUCUAAAAUUUCAUAGAGUAGGAUGAACAGCUAGGUUGGGAUGGCAAGGAAAUGCUAUUGUGUUUUUGUUACCAAAGGUUUGGCAUUUGUUGUAUGACUUGUAUGUCUUGUUUACGCUUUCUGCAGAACAUCAUUUAUGAAGUGCUUUAUAGUUGAAUGCUUUCUUUCCUGUAUGUUUGAACAGGAGGAAGCCUAUGUUGAGUUCCUUCGAGUAAGAAGGGUUCCACUUGAAGAGAGAAAAAGUCUAGAUGAUGUUUGUGAUAUUGUCCCACAGGUUGUUCAUGAACUUAUGUUUGAAUCUUAUUCUUUUCAUUUCUGCAUUUUUGGCCUUUAUACUGGCUACAUAAGGACCACCCCCUUCCUUUUCUACAAGCAUGUGUGUAUUGCUGGAGAGAGUGGAUUUUUUUUUGGGUCGAAGGAGGUAAUUGUGUGAGGCUAUUUUGUGCUAGUUAUUUAUGCAAAUACCUCAUACAAAAAGGCUUGUGUCUGGAAUACCUUAUGUAGAGUUUCUGCUUGAUGGCUCCUUUACUUUAAAGUUUCUUCUCUCUAUGUUAGUUUACAUAGGUAUGGGUAUAUGCGUGAGCAUGUGUACCUCUUUGCUGAGUCCUGGUACCACCAAUGAUAUGGCUUUGUUGUAGGAGAGGAAAAUAAGGAGGAGCCAAGUGGAGCAUUUAGUUAUCAUCUAAUGAAGUGUAAAUUAUGACAAAAACAUACAUUCCCCUGCUUUUCAGAUUUCCUUUUAUAAUGCUAGCCACAUCUAAAUAUGUUAAUUUUCCAGCACCUGAUGUCUUCAAAUAUAUUGAUUCUUGGCCAAUACUAAUCCUUGCUUUGGUGCCAUGAGUAAUAGUGAGCUGCAGCUUAAACAUAACUUUGAUCUGUUUGGUGGAAAAUACCUCACCAUUAAUUCUGUAUCUCAGAUACACUUUGGCUUAUGGUGUCAAUAAAAUGAUUGGAAUUGCAUUUUACAGAUAAGGCCAGUUGCAAAAAAGGAUCGUGGUGUCAUGGAAAAAGGGGUUAGAGCUUUUGUUUUCGACAUCCAUGCAUACAAAGAGCAUCACUGCUCCUAUAUAUUUAGGCUAGUGAAUUUUAUGGUAUACGUUCAAUAUGAAUCUUGUUUUUUUUUUUGGAAGACUCAUUGUUCCUUUCUGCAGGUGGAAAGAACUUGAGAUUAGGAAAUUGGGCAUGGGUUAUGGCUUAUUGCAGCUCCCUACAAUGCCUGACCUGAAGCAUCACAAUCUUUCUAUUGAGGGUUUUACACCACUUGAAGAUAUAAGCCUUGAUGAGAUCAAGUACAAGUAAGAAUCUUCUCAAAGUUUUCAGCUUACUUCAUUGGAUUUGACACACUUGCUAUUAGUUAAUAAUUUUGCUCUUUUAGUUCUGGAAUUUCCCUUUGGCUUUGGGAUUUUCCAUUUUUUUUCUUUUUGGGUGGAGGGCAGGGUGGGGAUGUGAAAUGUCAACUUAACCUAGUCCUGCCCAUGGAGUCAAGAACAAUAUAUUUGAGUCUGCCACCCAAUUGUGGUUUUAUUAGCCUCAUCUCAUCAAAGAGAGUUAGAUCCUUUUGAGGCAACAACUUGAAUAUGCUAGUUAUCAACACACAUUGAGAAAUUUAGGAUGCUGCUGUAUGAAUGUUCUAGUGAAAUUUGUUGUUGCAUUUACUUGGUUGAUGCUAAAAAUUAAGCUUAGUAUCCUGAAUCAUUCAAACAAGAAUGAGCAUGCUAAUUGUCCCACUGGACUGUCUUUUUUAAUAUACAGUGCACUAGAUAAUCGGUAAAUCCAUUAUGCAGGGAUAAAUCUCAUGAGAAACAAAGAAAGAAGAACUUGCAAGCAAAAAAAGCAGCUGAACAACAACGAAGGUACAGAAGCCAAAAGCAGCCUCAACCACUACAUCUACUGUAAUGAGGAAGAAAACAGCCAGACAAAGAUGGGCUGCUCAAUCAGUUGAGGAUGAUGACGAGAUGGCACAGGAAUACCGCUUUUUGUAAAAGCUAAAAAGGGGUGCUAUAAAUGAAAGUGAAGUUGCUAAAUUGACUGGAACUGAAGAUUUGCUUUGAGACUGCUUGAAACUUGUCUACUGGUAGGCGAAUGGGAGCACCUUAAAUAAGCAUUAAGGUAGAAAAAGAGUCUUUCAAGUUUGUACACAUAAGAAUCUUUUAGUACUUGUUUGGGAUUUUAGUACUUGCUAUGUUAGUACUUAUUACCGACUUUUAGUUCAACAAAUUAUAUUUGAGCAUUGACUUUUGCUUUUAAAUUACUAUAUGCAUUCUGCUCUUUGGGAUAAUUUUACAAGUUCUUUGGGUUUCUGAUUGAUGGAAUGUACAGCAGGGAGCACUACCUACAAGUUGCUUCUAUAUCAAAAAAAAAAAAAACUCCUAGCAAUUAAAAGUGUCCGCAUAGCUCAGCUAUCUUAAUAUAGCACUACAACUAUCUUGACACUUUCGAUUAUCAAAAAAAGGGAUUUUGGUUGGUAGAUGGGACGAUAUAACAGCAUAAUAUUUCUAACACAUUUGAAUGCUGCGAGUCUAUCCCCACAUUGGAAGGGAUGACACUCAUCUGAGGUGUGAGGAAAGGUAAAGUGUCAUAUUAGAUUAUCUAUACUGACGCCUUUAAAUGCCGUUAAAGGUCAUUUUUGUUGUAGUAGUAAGAAUAUAUUGGUCAAGUGGUGUACUCAAUUGGUAACAAACGGCGCAUGUCAGUUCAGACCUACUUCCUUAAUUCUCUUGUACUUUUGUUUUAACUUAUGAUUCAUUAACUUAUUUUUUAGCACUUCUAAUCACACACUUCCUCCUAUUUAAAACUCGCUCUUAUCCACCAAUUUUAGAACACACACCUCACCAACUUAUCACACUACCAAAAUGCACAAAAAUCCUAGUUUACUCUAACUAUAAAAGUUAAAGGUAAAACUUUCGAUUAUAUUAUUUAUUACAACUAUUGAAGGAGUAAAUUAAUAGUAAAGAAAUUAUAAAUUAACUUAUUCAAAAUAAAAGAAAAUUAUAAGAACAUAUAAGCAAAUUUUCAAGUUCUCAAACCUUGAACAGAAAAUUUUCAACUUUGAUGAACUUUUCCUCAAUCAAACUCCUCUUUUCUUGGUGCUAAUUCAAGUUACGAUAUCAUUAACCUAAAGUAGAGGGAAAAUGAAGGAAAACUUAGUAAUUUUUACCUCUUGUUCCUCACAGUUUCUAGGCUAGAAAAAUUUUUGUUUUCCUCGCUGAUUCCUUAAGCUAGAUAAGUUAUGAUUUUUUUGUUUCUUGGUUGUGGCUCAAGUUUGAAGAAAAAAAAAGAAGAAGAGAGGCUACUGGUUCUCUGGUGGUUUUCUUUCUCUCUUUUCUCUCAGCCACUUUGAAGAUUGAAACACUUGGUUCUUUCAAGUUUGAAGAAAUGAAGCACUUGAUUCUUUUAAGUUUGAAGGAAUAAAGCAUACAAGGGACAAGUGUGAUGACACUCGUCAUUCAUGCUUUUUUUUUUAUCAUGCUAUUAUCACAAUAAUUUCUUAGUUCUAACUAGUACUAAUGUUUUUAUACUGUAGGUGAUACAAUUUCCUAAGGUGUGUGUAUUUAUUCAUUUGUUAAAAGGAACUAUUGGACGUAUAAGUCAAUCAUUAACAAAAGGAAAAAUACAAUGUGCACUGAAUUUUAAAUAGGACACAAAAUUUUCACGUUAAUAUUUUUUUACUCUCAUAUUUUCUCCCCCUUAAAAGAAUUUCAUUCUCCAAAUUCUCACCUGUGGUUGUAAAAUGUUUUGGGUAUUUCUUUCAUAUCUCUUCUUCCAACUCCUAAGUUAUUUCUUCUAACCUGUGAUGCUUCCAUAUAACCUUGACUAAAGGAAUUUAUUUGUUCCUCAAUUCCUUCACUUUUCGAUCCAAAAGUUGCAUAGGCUGUUCUUCAUAGGAUAAUCAUUCAUUCAUUUCAACAUCUUCAGGUUGGAGUAUAUGAGAUAUGUCAGAAUGAUAUUUCUUUAGCAUUGACACAUGGAACACAUCAUAGAUCUUGGUCAGCUUAACAGAUAACUCCAAUUGAUAUGCCACUUUACCUACUCAUUGGAGAAUUCUAAAGGGUCCCACAUAUUUCGAUUUAAGUUUUCUCCUUUUUCCAGUUUUAAUGCUCCCCUUUAAUGGUGCAACUUUAAGAAAUCCCUAUCUUUAACUUUAAAUUCCAAAUCUGAUACGGACCUAGCUGGGUUUCAAGUUCAUCAAGCCCGUUUGCACUUCAAGGGCUAGUUCGUGGUGCCCAAAGUCAAGAUGUUGUUCCCAAAACCAUUGAAAGGCUUGAGCAAGAUGUUGCUUGCAAUUGAAGACACGCAUAGUCAAGCCUAAAUGCCACAUUGGACCUAGAUUAAUGAGCUCAUGUUGAGCCUAGGGGCUGGCCGUUUAGGCCUUAGGUCCAUUAGUGCCUUAAUUAGUUAUUUAGUUAGUAAUUAAAUUGGCUACUUAGGGAUAAUUUCGGCCAAGAGCAAAGCCCAAGGGCUGGCCGAAUCGUCUUCAUGUUUUCCAAGCUUUGUUAGGUUUUAGUUAGGGCUACAAAUAGUCUCAAGUGAUUGUUUACAUUCAGUUUUCGGAUAUCAUUAAUAAAAUUUCAGAAUUUUGUCUUCCUUUGAGGCAAAAUUCUUUAGCUUGUGAAAGCUAGUUUGAACAUUCUAGAGUUGAUCCUAGGAUUGUUCAUUGACUUAUCAAUCAAGCAAUCACACUUGAUUGUGGCGUCCUCUACCGUUGAAUCCGUUCUUGAGUGGUCCAAGUUUGGGUUCAACUCCAUCAAUUACGCAACAUGUUCCUCAACGGUCUAAUCUUUGCUUCCGCAUUCACAUCAUCUGGUAAUCAGAGCAAGAUUAGAGGUAUCACGUAUAUCCCUUUUCUCUUGUUUUGAGUUUGUUUUAUUCCCUAAAUAUUCGUCGCUAAGUGGUAGGGUUGUUGUCGUGGUCGUUGUUGUUUCGUAGCAAAUCUGUCUUUGUUGUUUAGUUCACUAUCCACAAUUUUCAGAUUUGUUGCACCGUGUUUUGUAUUAAAUUUUUCAGAUUCAUUCAUUGUUUGCGUGUGUCCAGUUGUGUUGGUUGUCCGUGUCUUGUCCAAAAAAAAAAUUUAAAAAAAAAAUAUUGGCGGCGGCUAGGGUUUCUUCUCUUCUUGUCGCGCCUUGAGUUUCAUUAGUCUUGAGUCGUAAUUUGUCCCGAAAAUUUGUUUACCAUUUGUUAUUUGUCUGGGGUCAUAUUAUAGUGUAAUUCUUGAUUGGGUUUGAGUCGUUUGGGUGUGCCAAACAACCCAGCCGAAGGUAAAAAACAAAGGAAGGGUUACUUACCUUGUUGUCGAGUACCAUUGCCGGAAUUGUCUCUUUGGUUGUUGCCGAACCUGUCUUGCAUUUGUUCCUUCAAUAUUUGUGUUAUAUCUCGCAAAUCUUGAGUGCCAAAAGCAGAUUUAGGGAGUUCUUGAACUUCUUGAUCAGCCUUCUUGGAAUUCUUGAAAAAAAACAGAUUUGGAAACUCUUGGGAAAAGCCUUGGGUUCUUGAAACAAACUUCCAUCUUUCUUGGGAAUCGUGAACCUUUGAUCCGAGACUUCAAAUUAGUUGGGACUGAAUCUGAUUUUUGGAAAAAAAAAUCCCUUAGUGAUCCGCAAAGGAAAACAAAAAAAGAAGAAGAAAGAAACAAACGAAAAUAAAAGAGGGGAAAUUGCGGCUCUAGUUUCCAAUUGAGAGCCAAGUCCCAACCGUGAGUUAUAACCAAUUCGAGUCCACUUGGGAUUAGAGGCAGCCAAGAAAACCCACUGCCCAAAGUCCUAAUUACCCCAAGAGCCUCCCAACCAACCUUACCAGCUCCACAAGCACUCAAAACAGUUUCCUAAACUAAGCCUGACCCGCCAAACAAAACCAAGCCAAACCGCCUUUGGAUCCUCAAAGUUCUAACAAUCGGUUGCACUUGUUUGGCAAACUGAUUUGACUGCAUUUUGAGGACCGAAUUGUACCUGAUUAGAGCACCCAAAAUCUCCAAAACACUGACCAAAAAGGCCACGAACCAGCAGCUCAACCAAAUUCCAGAAAUUUGGGUUUCGGGUAGAGUUUUCUAGGAUUUCCAAAACUUCAGCCUUAAGGUCAUUGUUUUGCUUUCUUUUUUUUUGAGUCAUUAGUUAUUGUUAGUCAUAAUCUGAGUUUUAGGUCAUGUCUAGGUUCUCAUUCUCCUCCAUUCAUUGCUGCUAUCUUGUGUCACUUAUUGACUAGUUAAGAACGAACCUUGUGGUGGCGCCUAGUUUGUUCAACCUGAGCAACUAGCGAGCCUAAGGAAUUGUUUGGUGAGAUUAUUAGAGAGUGAAACACUUGAGCGCAAACACGAGUGUGAGGGUAAACACUCAGGGAGCGAAGUGAGGAACUUUAUUACUAACCUUUCUCCUUGUAGGUUGAAUUAAAUAUGUCUCAAAGUGUUGGAAAUAUUAACACUCCUUAUGACAUGGGACAUAUCAUUGAGGUGUUGAAUCAAUUGAACAAAAGGUUUGACGCAUUGGAAAGCAAGGUGGAGCAGUCCGGUCCGUCAAAAAGUACCACCAAAAGGAAACCUCUUUUGGAUGAAUCAAGUGAUUCAAACAAUGAGGCUGACUAUGAGGGCCAUGAGGACCGAACUAGAGGAGCAAAGUGACAUUCCAAGGGCAGAGACGAUGAUGAGGUCCAAGGGAUUAAACUCAAAAUUCCUCCUUUCCAAGGCAAGUCCGAUCCAAAGGCUUACCUAGAGUGGGAGAGGAAGAUGGAACUGAUCUUUGAAUGCCAAUCCUAUUUGGAGAGUCAAAAGGUUAAUCUCGCAGCUAUUGAAUUCACCAAUUACGCAGCAAUUUGGUGGGAUCAACUUCGUGCAAGUCGGAGGAGAAAUGAUGAGCAUCCCGUAAGGACUUGGGAUGAGCUCAAAAGAUUGAUGCGGAAACGCUUCAUUCCAGCUUACUACCAUAGAGAUUUGCACAACAGAUUACAAACUCUUACCCAAGGUAGUAUGACGGUUGAAGAUUAUUUUAAGGAAAUGGAAAUGGCCAUGAUGAGGGCUGAUGUUCAUGAGGAUUUGGAGGCUACUAUGGCCAGAUUUUUGUGUGGAUUAAGGGAUGAUAUUGCUGAGAUUGUGAAGCUGCAUCAUUACCUUGAUUUAAAUGAGUUGUUGGAUAAGACGGUGAAGGUGGAAAGGCACCUCAAGAGGAGGGGUAACACUCGCUCAAAUUCCAACUAUCAAGCUAGAAAUUGGCGAAGUUCGCCCUCAAGAGGCGAGCACAUGACUGUAGGGACUUCUCAACCACCAAAACCGAGGGCCAUUGAUGCUAAACCAGCGCCUGAGGCCGAGGUGGAUAUUAGCCAAAGAACUCCAAAACCGCGAAAUCAGGAUGCUAAAUGCUUCAAGUGUCAAGGCUUUGGACACAUAGCAUCUCAAUGUCCCAACCAAAAGACCAUGCUUAUCUUGCCUAAUAGAGAAGUGGUAUCGGAUAAUGAGGACGAUUGUGAAAGUAUGCCAUCUAUAGUCGAAGAAAGCGACCACUUGGAGGAAGAAUUGCCAUGUGAAGGAAAUGUUGGAGUCUUGGUUGCAAGAAAGGUACUUGCUGCCCGAGCUUUAAAGGAUGACGGUGAGCAAAGGGAUAACUUGUUCUACACUCGUUGUCACAUCAAAGACAAGUUGUGCAGUCUAAUAAUUGAUGGAGGGAGUUGUGAAAACGUAGCAAGCUUGUUCAUGAUUGAGAAAUUAUCUCUUCCAACCACCAAGCACCCUCAACCAUAUUGACUUUAAUGGUUAAAUAACAAUGGUGGUGAACGAGUUUUUAGACAAGUGAAGGUCUCAUUCUGCAUUGGUAGGUACGAAGAUAUGGUGGUAUGUGAUGUGGUCCCCAUGCAAGCCUGUCACUUGAUCUUAGGGCGACCUUGGCAAUACGACAAAGCUGUCAACUUCAAUGAUCGAGCUAACAAGUAUUCCUUCAUGUAUGGUGAUAACAAGAUUACUCUUGUCCCUCUUGCCCUAGACAAGUCCAAGAGGAUCAAGCGAGGUUACAUGAGGAAUAUGAGUUGGAGUACGAGGCAAGAAAAAAAGGAAAAAUGUGAGAUUGAGAGUAGUGAAGAGAGAAAAGCACUAGUGAGUUCAGCCAAGGGGGUGUCUAAAGUUAUGAAACAUAGCUUGUUAGUAAGGGUUGGGUGUGACAAAGUUCCUUAUUCCAACUUUACUAUCACAAUCGCUCCUAGUUUUUCUUCCUUUGUGCAGGUUAAUCACACGGAUAUGGAAUUGCAUGAUUGCACUCCUAUUUCACCCAACCUUGCUGUUAUUCCUUUUUGUGAAGAUGUUGACAGCACCAUUCCAGAAAAUUUUCCCUUAUUACCCUUGUUCCUCCCUUCUUCUCAUGUCUAUGUUUCCUUCCCACAUUUAUCUCGUUUUGGGGAGAUGUCUACUAAUCCUUGUUGUUUCAUUUUUGUCGACAUUGGGGCUGAUUGCAUAUCACAAGUUCGUUCAACGCAAGAGUUCCUCAAUGCACAUUACAACUACUUUUGUCUACGUCUAGAUCAUCCGUAUGAAGCUUCCUUAUUUUCACACCUGCUUUUGUGCUAUACACCCGCAAUUGCACUUGAAGGCAUUGGAUAGUGGAAAGAUGUUUUGCCCCAAUUUGAGGAUCCAUACCUCUUCCAUACACAAGCAUUGAAGCUGGUCCGUGAGCUCCUAAGUACUACACCUGGUCCUUUUCAGCAUUGUUCAUGGUGGUCCGUGUAUUGGAUGCCAUCCUUGACCAUGAUCAUCAUUAGGUUGUCUCGACGACCUGUAACCCAUCUUGUGGCCCUUCGUGCUUCGAUUUGUGGGCAAAUCGCCUUUAAGAGGAGGGGAAUGAUACGGACCUAGCUGGGUUUCAAGUUCAUCAAGCCCGUUUCCACUUCAAUAGCUAGUUCGUGGUGCCCAAAGUCAAGAUGUUGUUCCCAAAGCCAUUGAAAGGCUUGAGCAAGAUGUUGCUUGCAAUUGAAGACACGCAUAGUCAAACCUAAACGCCAUAUUGGACCUAGAUUAAUGAGCUCAUGUUGAGCCUAGGGGCUGGCCGUGUAGGCCUUAGAUCCAUUAGUGCCUUAAUUAGUUAUUUAGUUAGUAAUUAAGUUGACUACUUAGGGAUAAUUUCGGCCAAGAACAAAUCCCAAGGGCUGGCCGAACCCUCUUCAUGUUUUUCAAGUUUUGUUAGGUUUUAGUUAGGGCUACAAAUUGCUUCAAGUGAUUGUUUAUAUUCAGUUUUCGGAUAUCAUUAAUAAAAUUUCAGAAUUUCAUCUUCCUUUGAAGCAAAAUUCCUUAGCUUGUGAAAGUUAGGUUGAACAUUCUAGAGUUGAUCCUAGGAUUGUUCGUUGACUUAUCAAUCAAGCAAUCACACUUGAUUGUGGCGUCCUCUACCGUUGAAUCCAUUCUUUAGGGGUCCAAAUUUGGGUUCAACUCCGUCAAUUACGCAACGUGUUCCUCUACGGUCUAAUCUUUGCUUCCGUGUUCACAUCAAAAUCCUUUCUCUAAUUGUCAGCAUAACUCUUUUGUCAACUGUGAGAACCUUGAGAAGUAUAGAUAUACAUAUAUACAUGUAUGUACGUGUUGCAUGUGCAUUUCAGACUUUUAAUAAAGUCUAUUAUUAUUUGAUCUUAAAUAAGUGUGCAAAAAAUAAUUUGUUUUAGGUCACAAAUAAUUCAAUUGUGCAAAUAUUAGAUUAUUUGAAUUUUUGCCAAGUUGUGUCAUUGCUUUUAUAUUAAUUCCUUGAUUUCAACAGCUAAUUUCAAGUAUUAAUAUUUUUUUUAUAUAGGUUAUUUUACUGCCUUGAUUUUGGUUCUUUGAUUUUCGAUAGUUAUUUUUAAGUGUUAAUAACGUUAAAUUUAGAACUAAGAUAAAAACAAUUUAGGUUCAAAACCCUUAUAAUUAUUCUUAGGACGUUGUAUUUCGAUAAUUGAAUUUUUGCAAGGUUAGUAUACUAGUAGGCAUUCGAAUUACAUUUGGGGUAAAUUCUGGAAUUAGUUUAGGAUUGAGGGCUUAAGUGGAAAUUCGGAUGAAAUGGGAAAAGACCAAAAUAGCCCUCCUCCAAUUCAAAUCCACCAUGCAGCCAUGGAAUGAUUCUUGAACAAAUGCAAUUUCAAACACUUUCCAAUUUCUGCCGAAUCCAUUUUCCACUUCACAUUCCAGCACCUUCCAUCUUUAGUGCCGGUUUCUUUCUCCACUACCACACACAACUAUAUCAACUACUAAUCACCACAAACCUUCCAUAUCAUUUGUUCCACACGUCCAUUUCCUUUUGCUGCCGUGAGCCGUGAGUGAGUAGCUUCCUUGGAGUUAACGACCGAGAGGGAGAGCCGAGCUUCUCAUUGUUUUCUUUCGGCCGUAAGCCAACAAAGAAAAAAGGGAGACCUGCUGCUCAUUCUUCAUUCUAGCCGUGAGCAGGUGGAGAAAACCGAGAGCUAAACUACCCCAAUCCAGCCGCAAGUUUGAGCAAGGGAGAGGGAGAGUAGCGGACUGAAAUUUCUGGACUGCCGAAGGGAGGAAAUUAUUUCUGCUGCUAGCCGUGUGUGUAAACUCCAAGCUGAGGUAAUUUCUAGACUUGAACUAGUUGAUUAUGGGUAGAUGAAGCUGUUUAGAGGCAUGCAUGUGAGAGUUGUACGUUUGGAUGAAGAAUUAAGUUACCAGAAAUUGGUUUCGAAAGAAAUUGGAUCUGCCGUGAGCUUGAGUUGGAAAUUUGUAGCCUUAAUUCGUUAAUUUGUGAUGAUCUGAGCUUAGUCUUGGACCCAAUCUGAUAGAUAGCUCUUUAUUUGGGGUUGCAUGUGAACUUUAUGGCCAGGAAUCCGGUUGCAUGGCUGGAAAUUUUUACUAGAAGUUGUUGGACUGCUAAACACUUUUCCAGCUUAGCCGAUGGAGUUGUUUUGGGAGUUGUAUGGAUAUUUUGGUGUGAAAUUUGCUAGAAAGUGCUUGAUUUUCUCUUGACUGUGUGUUUAACUAACUAAAUACUGGAUGAUUAAGCCCUGCAUGAGAUUAAUUAACUGUGUGUAAACCAGAAAUUUGAAUGAAACCAAAAAUCUGCCGCAUGCAUGUCAUUCGUAAAUGGUUGAACAAAUUCUGGAAUUUUGGAUGAAAUUUUGUUGGUGACCGACCCUGUUUUGGACUAGUAUUGAUAGUAACUUCAUUUAUUAGUCAUGCAUGUUAGCUUUGAGUAUAUAAUUCAGUGAUUUGGCCGAUGAAAAUCCGGAUUAAUGAUUGACUAAGCGGCCGGAAUUUUUCCAGUAUAGCCGAGUGAAGAAGAAAAGAAUGUUCCAGUUUUCUUUUGCGAAUUUUGGGUUCUAAAAUUUUGUUACAGGCUGUAAAUUUUAUGUUGUUGAUUGAGAGACCCCGUAAGCAUAAUAAUUAUCAUUUGCAUGAUAAGCUGGGAGUGUAAAAGGUCGAAGUCUUGUUGCUGAAAAUUUUGGUUAAUGGCUGAGUUGGUUGGGACUUUUGGUGGAACAUUUGCUAGAAUUUUUCUUGAUUAUUAAAGCAAGAAAGGGAAAAUCUAAAAUUCUAGAGUUAUUCGAGUGCAAGCUAGCUGUGACUUAUCUUCUAUGCUUGAGUUAAAUUUCUAGUUGAUUGUUGCAAGGAAUGAUUGUUUGUCGUCAAGAGCUAAUGAUUGAUGAAGCUCUUGGCCAUUUGAGUAGCUUUUGCAGGAAUUUAAUUUUUGGUGAAUUUGUUCAAGUGGUUGGCUGAAAUGUACUUGGAAGGUCCAUGGUUUGUGAUUUAGAAUUUGUCUUGAUACCUUGGACUUCCUUUGUUGAAUUUUGAUUGUACUUGAAUCUGUUGAGACCUGGGGCUAAUGAUUGAUGAAACCCUAGUGAAAUUUAUAUUUAAUUUGUGCUUUAGCUAUAUUGGCAACUUGGAAUACAAUGUGCAAAUGAAAUGGAAUCGUGAAGUCCGUUCUAGUCUUUUGAACUCAAGUAUCUUUAAAUCAAAUCUUGUGGAAAUAUUUUGCCCUAAUAUCAAGUUAUAUAUAUUGAGUUUAGUACAUUAAUAUUAAAACUUAGAUAUUGGGACUUUUAAAACUUUGCCGACUAGUUAUGCUUUUCUUUGCUUAGACCAGUUUUAUUAUCUUUAGGGAGUAAUUGCAAUAACUACUAAACUUUAAGUUUUUCGUAAAAUUACCCUUGACUAGUUGUUUUAGAGAAAAUUUGUUAAAAACAAUAGAUUUGAAUAAUUUCAAAUAAAAGAUAUAGAAAAUUUGUUCGGCAAGAAACCUUGUUUAAACUAAUUUGGCUCUAGUUUGCUUCUAGAAGGGAAAUAUCUUUAAAAAGAAACCACACGAAACAUUUUAUUCAUUUUCCAGUUUUAAUUUUAAGAGAAAGUUAUUGAUUUGUUUCGAGGAAUUAAGCUAGUUUUAUACAAGAUAAUCUUUUAUUUAUAAACCAAGGGUUGUUUAGUAAAACUUAUAGUUUUUAAAACUUGAAUUUUCUAGGGUUUAGCGAGGACGUGGACUUCGAUUCCCAGCUUGACCUUUGAACUUCACUCUUGGUGAGUGUCCCUGCUUGUUCUAUGCUUACUUGAUUAAAGCGCUUUCUUGACCUGAUAUAUGAUAUUUGGAAAAAUGGUUUCUGAUCCAUCGAAGUGAGCAGUGUGUACCUUAUCACACUAGCCGUUCGAGUGGUGACUUGCUUGAAAUGUUUUCAUGAAUACUUGCUUGCACUUGUUAAUCACUAGGCAGGGGAGUGUACUAUACCUUAAUGGUGGAAAGGACUCUUACCCUGACCUGGCAAUCUCUUGUUGGACGCAACGUCGUUGGAUGAAUUCCUCGACUAGUCCCCAAUCUCUUGUUGGACGCAACGUCGUUGGAUGAAUUCCUCGACCAGUCCUAAGGUAUACUCGAGUAUUACCACCCUCGUGUUUGUCGUACGGGCCCGGUAAAGGGGUAUGAUUGGUGGCCGGAGUUAAGAAAGAAAAAUAAAAAGACCUACAUGGACCUUAGGUAGUGAAAGUUGACGGAGGGUCGACUACGGAAAAUUUUGAUCAAGUUCGUGGAGAAAUGGCUCCUGAGAACCCCUGUAUCCUAUCUUGUGCUGUUAAACGCUUUCCUAAUUAUUUAUUUUGAUCGAAGUUAAUACUCGCUAUUUGUGUUAUGUGAUUGCAUGUUUUGGGGCACCACUGAGCUUUAGCUCACCCCACGAUAUUUUGUUUUCCUUGACAGGCUCGGGCACUUGAGCAAGACUUGAAAUCUAAUUUUACUUUUAUACAUGUAGUUUGAGUUAGACAUUGUUUCUUUUAUGUUGGAUUGCCGCUUGAAGCUGGAAAAGUGUAAACCCUGGAUUUGUUAUUUGGCUUGUACUAAUGUAUUUGGAUUGUAUGUUUUUGUUGCCUGGUUUGUAACGCGUGAGGUAUUUAAAAGUCGACGAUUGGCUAUAUUAAAAAUGCUGUUAUCUUUGAAGUUAAUGAGGAUUUAGUUAUCAGUCUAUUUGGAAGGAAACGGUGUUGUAAUAGCUUAGGUUAUUCUUCGGAAGGAUUUGGGCUAGAUUGCUUGCGUGAGUCCUGGCGAGAGUUAGGCAGACGGCCCGCCAACCCUCUGGUUCGCCUUAGGGGGAAGUGGGGUCGCCACAUCGACUGAGGGGUUUUAAAUCUUUUGGCAAGUCAAUUUUACUUUCUAAUAUGCCUCUUCAACCCAUGAAACUUUUUCUAAACUUAUAAUCUUUCUUUCCCCUAUUUCAUUCUAAUAAAUCGGAGAUCGACACUUCCUCCUAUAAGGAGCCUUGUAGGGCGCCAUUUGGAUGGAAGAAUGGUAGUUGUUGUAGACACCAAAUUCUGAUUUCAAACUUUAAUCAUUUAAUUAAUUUAAAUUUUUUUUAUUUGUUUCGAUUUUAGGUCUUUAUUUUAUUUGAUUUUAUUUUUUGUUUUGAAUGGUGUCUUUUGUCUUACUUUAAUUGAAUUAAGAGUUUUUUGCACUAAAUUUGCAAAAAGAGGAAAAAGAAAUAAAAAUCAAAGGGACAAGAACAAGACACCUAAGCUUGUUCUGGAGUUGAAAUCUUGGCCUUUCAUCUUAGGUUUAAUCUUUUUUGGGGGUGCCUUUAAAACAGCCGCAAGUGGGGGUCGGAUGAGGAGAGAGCAGAAAAGAAAAGAAACUGAAAAAGAGAAAAGAAACAGAGGAAGCCGAGAGGGGUUUCAGCAAAAAAUAAAACCAAAGAAAGACUGGAAUUUGAAGGAACCGACGGGCAAGAAAAACGAAAAAGAAGAAGAGGGCUUGGCGGCUAGGUUUCGGCAGGGGAGGCUGGGCUGAAGAAAAAACAGAGGGGCAAGGGAGUGAAAAACAGCGGAAGGGAAAAACUAUCGAGCAAGGAGUAAGAAACAGGGGGAGUAAAAGAAAAGCCAAGGGGGGUGGCGGAUAAGAAGGAACAGAGGGGAAAUCAGAGAAGAAAAGGAAGAAGAGUGUUUUCGUCGGAGGCUAAAAAGAAACAGAAGAAAGAAAGAAACAGGAGGGCUCUCGGCGAAAAGGAAAAACAAGCGGCCAGGGAUUGAAGAGGAAAGCAGCGGAGGAACUGAAGCUUGUGGCCGCCGCCGCUCACUGGAACCGCCACUGCCACCACCGGAAUCCGCCGUCAUCCACGAAUCCUCAUCGCAAGAGGUCACUGUAAGUCGCUCUUUUCCUUACGUCUUUUACAACAUAUCUGUCGUGGGCUGCUAUGGCAGAUUUUUAUGUUAAUUGUUCCUAAUUUUGAGAACAUACGGGUUUUGUACAUUGAUGGAGCUGAAUGCUUUGAUUUUUGAUCAUUUUUGGGGCUGGUCAUAACUUCAAUUUGAGCAGGAAUCUUGUAAGAUUUUAAUACCCUUCACCUGUUCGAUGGAUUGCUUGAGUGGAAAUUCUAUUUGAUAAAUAAUUCACCUGCACUUUGCGUGUAAAGAAGUGGACAGCAAGAUUCAAUGUUUGUCAUGAUAUUAUGAAAAACAGAGUUUGGAGGGCUCUGAUGUGCCCAUUUUCGCAUAUUUAUGCUUUGAUCUUCUUUUGUAUGAACCCGAAUUGAUCUCCUGAAAUCGAUAGGGGGUGUCGUGAGUGAUUAGAAAUUGAAACCGGAUUUCUGGUAUUGCUCUGAUCGCAAAGAAAGCGGAAAUGGUAAUUGAUGUUAGCUUAUUGGGCAUACUUUUCAUCAAAUAUUUUUCAUCGAUGUCCAGCCAUCUGUUUGGGUUUGCCGUAUGUUUCGUUACCUAAUGCUUGUAUGCGGGAGACAAAAUUCGAUGUUUGAUGUUUGAGUUGAGGAAUUCUGUCCAAAUCUGUGUUAUGUGUUCAAAUGGUUGCCGGGUAGGUGGACUUCCGUAGCUUCAGAAAACUUCGACCAAGCUGCCUGAAUUUUUGUUUAGAAAUUUAUAUUUUUCAGUUCCACUCUAUCUUAGAUUUCCUUGGAUUGUAUGUUCAAACUUGUGUUGGAUGACGGUCUUAUGAAAUUUGGCGAUUGUUUGAGUUCGAAGCUUUGUUUAAAACCAUCACAAGCUUCCUGGUUGUUGAAUAAGAAAUCGAGAGAGUUGCAGCAGUUUUGUUCUUCAAAUGUUAGCAUGUUUUUUUCAGAUCAUCUUGUUGCAUUUCUUGAGUUCGAAAGCCUGCUAGAUCUUCCCUCUACCUUGUCUCAAGUCUUUGUAUUUUAUGUUUGAAUGAGAAUAAGUGGUAUUCAUGAAUCCGAAAGUGCAGCUUUUGCUUUGUAAUUUUUGCUGGGUUUGAUACACCGGAUGGUAAGGAAUAUGAGCGUGAGUUUGGUGGAUAAAUGGGGAGUUUAAUGCAAUGUUUUUCAACAUUUAACAUACGCGAGUUGAAGCUGCAAAAUUCGCAGCAAAGCAAAAACCUGCUACAUUUUUUCUGUGUGUUGUUUUCUUCUCCGUGGCUGCUCUUUGGGUCUUUACACUUGAGUGGCAUGCCUAAUCUGGUAUCGAAGGGAAAGAAAUGGAAGGAUUUGGUGAUGAGUUGUAUGUUUGGAAUUUGCAAUACUUGAACUAUGAUCAAACGCUUUGUUGGAAAAUGAAUAAAUUAGAAUGGCCGAACCUUUUGCAUAAAAUUCUCCAGUGCUUGCGUGAUUUCCCUUUUAUGUUUUGGUUUGUUCGGAUGUUGAAAUUGUAUGUCAUGUUGCUUAAGAUUAAGUUUUAGAUGUUUGGGUUGAAAAGUUUUGAUCGAAAAUUGUGUUGAGAUUGAUAAGCUGCUUAUGAAAAUGGAAGUUGCGAUAAUGUUCUGGAUGUAGAAAGCUUCACCAAGAAUGCUUCUUGUUGUAGGCGAUAUGUUCAAAAAAAAAAUUUGCCUUUAAACCCCAAGUCUCUUGUUGUUUCACUAUGGCCCAAAUAAUUGGAAAAAUCAAUCAAUUUGCUUCCUCGAACUUUCUUUUCCUUUCAAUUGGACCCUAAUCUUAUGAAUAUGGGCUGUUUAGGCAUUUAAAUGCAUUUAAUGAUUCAAUUUCGUAUUAAUGUGAUUAUUUGAGAUGCCUUGACCUUUUCUUGUAUUUUGGAGGGCAAAUAAGCGAUUUCAUGUCAUUAGGGCCCCGAAUUCAAGGGAGGUAUAACUUCUUUAUCCUUUUUUUUGUUUCUCCCCUAUGUGAUCCAACGUGCUAAGUGAGAAUUGCAUGUCUACUUUGCUUUCCUUGCUUUUCCUUAAUUCCUUUCAUUUAUUUCAUUUACUUUCGCUUUUAUUAAGUCAUUCUUUUAUUUAUUUAUGGGGUAUGUGUACACCUCUUGGCUUGUAAUAGAUAGGGCUUGGCGAGCAUUCUUAUCCACUUUCCCCCUUCCCCAUUUGUUUUAGUUAGCGAAUGUAAUAGGUUCAUUAGCUUGAUUGCUUGUUUUUGUUGCUACGUGUUAAGUUGCUUUAUUAGGCUCUUGCAUUUAGUCGAGCAUGCUAAGUGUUAUGUGCUACGUGUUUAUAGGUGAUUGGCAUGUCUACUUGCUUUCUAUAGUCGUAGAUGAACUUGAUGGAUGAAUGCACGUCACCACACUAGUCCAACGCUAGUUGUGGCUCAUUGCUCCGUUUUCCACUAGUCCAAUGCUAGUAGGAAUUCCUAGAUAUGGGCUAGUCCAACGCUAGACCCUUAGGUAUCUCUUCUUGUUAGUACACAUUUGCAUGUUUCCCUACAUUUCAUGCAUUUUUCUUAGUUUUUUAGCAUUUGGCAUGCUCCUCCAAUCCUUUCCCCUUCAUUUUAGGUUUUUGCAUCCUCAUACUAGUUAUAGGGUACAUUUGCUUGAGAGUCCCAUUUCGAUAAGGGAAACGAGCGAGUGUGGCUACAAAAUAGCCUUAGCACGCUAGUUCUUCCUUCUAAUUAAAGGAAAAAUUAAAGUCGUGAAAUUAGGAGUUAUACCCGUACCCGACUUGAUGCAUACCUCUAGGUUCAUGCACUCUCAUUCUUAUCAUAUCACUUCCUCACUCUUUUAUCCACAUUUUCUCACAAAUUAUAUUUUUCUCAAUCCACAUGCCAUGUUUGCACAUUCUUCUUUUAUCAUUUAUUUUCUACCUCACAAAUUGCACCCAAUUGCACUUAUAUGCACUUACUACCAUUAUACUAUAUUUUCAUCCACUUGCACACAAACACUUUUAUUUUCUCAAUGGGCACACAUGCACUUUUCUUACACUUUCACACUUGCACUCAUAUUUGGGUCUUCAUUUGCAUUACCCGUGACCUCUAUGAGAGUUUUCCUUAUUGGCCAUCACAACUCAUGUGAUUGGGACAAAAAAACCUCAUACGAGACAUUUUAGGUUUAGGAUUGCAUUUUUUUUUACAUCCAUUAGUCAUAUCCAACAUGCAACACAUACUUUGGGUAGAGAAAUUGGAAAAAGAAGGGCUAAGUCACGCAACUAGCUUUGGCUAGGGUAAGGGAGUGCCUUAGGCUUUGCCUUUGCCUUCUCCCUUAUCAAAUGUGACCCCCGAUCCCUUUCUUUGGUUACGUAGACCUAAAAAUUCUUCAAAAAGGGUUUGUUUACUUUUCUUUCCAAAAAUCACUUUUUGGGUGACUUGGUACACCCUAACUCUAUACCAAGUGGCGACUCCGUUUUCUAUUCAAAACCCUUUUGGAACUUUGUUUGGCCAAACCGUCGCAUUUUCAAGUCCCACGGCCUUUUAUUUUCAUUUUCACAUACGUUCACAUACAUAUCCCACACACUACUUCCACACCAUUCAAAAAGUGGGGCGCGACAGUUGUUAUUAUAGGCAAACUCAAUUAGUGUCACCUGCUGAUCCCAAUUUCCUCCAAAACCCAUCACACACGACCUUAACAUAUGUUCAAGAGUCUGAAUAGUUCUUUCGGACUGUCUAUGUGUCUGUGGAUGAUAGGUUGUACUAAAACUUAGUUUAGUGCCCAAAGCAGUUUACAUUUGUUGCCAUAAUCGAGAUACAAAUCAGAUAUCUCUAUUCAAAAUUAUACUCACAAGUAUCCCACAUAGCCUAACAAUCUCAUCUAAAUACAAUUUGACUAAUUUCUCAAGGGAAUAUCUCAUGUUCACAGACAAGAAGUUUGCUGAUUUGGUUAAUCGAUCAAUUAUGACCUAAAUUCCUUCAUGGCCUUUUUAGGUACGUGAAAAUUCUAAUACAAAAUUCACAGUAACAUGCUCCUAUUUUCACUUCGGUACUUCUAAGAGUUGCAAUACUCCUGCUAGUUUUAGAUAUUCUGUUUUAACUUGCUGACAAGUAAGACAAGUUUGAACAUAUUGAAUAAAUUCUUUCUUCAUAUUAUCCCAACAGUAUAACCAUUUCAAACCUUGGUGCAUUUUGUUACUAUCGGAAUGCACCGUAUAUUUGGAACAGUGAGUUUUCUCUAGUAUUUCUCAUUUCAACCCUUCAUCUUUUGGUAUAAUUAUUUGAUUCUGAAAUGUUAGUACUCUUUUAGUCCAUAUACCAUAGUCAGGUAACUGUCAUCCUUAGACCUUCUCUUGCCAUUUUUGCAAAGUAGGAUUUCGCUUUUGUGCAUCCUUAAUACGAGCAGCAAAGGUUGUACAAUAAUAUUUUCAAAAAUUACUUUUUGACAAUUGAGUAGAGAAUUCCAUGUACUAAUUUCUUCCAACAAGUCUCAUUCUUUAACCAUCAUUCUUACCAUUUGAACUUUUCUACUAAGAAGAUCCACCACUAUAUUGGCUCUUCCAAAAUGGUAAUUAAUGGUACAUUCAUAAUUCGCUAAGAAUUCCAUCCACCACCGUUGACACAGGUUCAAAUCUUUUUUGAGAAAACAAGUAUUGAAGACUUUUAUGAUCAGUAUAUAUUUCAAAAGUCACUCGAUACAAGUAAUUUCUCCAUUUUUUCAGAGCAAACAUGACAGCAACUAACUCCAGAUCAUGCGUUAGGUAGUUUUGUUCAUAGGGUUUUAGUUUUCGGGAGGCAUACGCAAUUACUUUUUCUCCUUGCAUCAGUGCACACCCUAAUCCUUCUCGGGAUGCAUUUGUAUAUACUGCAAAACUAUCCUUCCCAUUCGAUAGUGCCAAAAUAGGUGCCAUAUUCAACUGUUUUUUUGAAUUCUUGAAAACUAGCUUCACACUUCGCAUCCCAUAAAAACUAAACAUGUUUUAGAUCAAUUUGGUUAGAGGUCCAACAAUUUUAGAUAAGUUCUGAAUAUAUAGAUGAUAGUGCUCUGCUAAACCCAAAAAACUAUGGAUUUUAGGAGGAUUUUCUAGCCGUUUUCAAUUAACGAUAGCCUCUAUCUUAGUUGAAUCCACAGUGAUUCCCUCCUUAAAAAUGAUAUGCCCUAGAAAUGACACUUUCUCCAACCGAAAUUCACAUUACUGAGUUUAGCAUACAACUGAUACUCUUUUAGAGUUUACAAUAUUAUUCUCAAAUGUUGCUCAUGUUCCUCCUAAAUUUUUGAAUAUACCAAAAUAUCAUCGAUAAAUAUCACCAUAUAUUGAUCCAAGUAUGGCCUAGAAAUCCGAUGCAUUAAAUCCAUAAAUGCUAAUGGGGCAUUAGUUAGUCCAAAAGACGUCACUACAAACUCAUAAUAUCCAUAUCAAGUAUUAAAGGUCAUUUUAGGUACAUUUUCCUUCUUAAUUCGUAGUUGAUAAUAUCCUUACCUGUGGUCUACUUCAGAAAAUACCACAACUCCUUAAAAUUAAUCAAAUAAUUCAUCAAUAUGUGGCAAGAGAUAUUUAUUUUUUACUGUAACAUUACUUAAACCUUGAUAAUUUAUACACAGUCUCAACCCUCCAUUUUUCUUUUUGACAAACAAUGUUGGUGUUCCUCAUGGGGAUACACUUGGUCAUAUAAAAUUUCAUUUCAACAAAUCAUGCAACUGUAUCUUUAACUUCUUAGGUUCAGUUGCGCCAUUCAAUAAGGUGUUUUAGAAAUAAGGUUUGUUUCAGGCAUCAAUUCAAUUUUAAAUUAUACUUCUCUUUCAGGAGGCAAUGAUAUUAAAUGCUCAGAAAAAACAUUUGGAUAGUCUCUUACCACUGACUCAUCCUCAACUUUUACCUUGUCUUCUGGAGUGUUAAUUAAAAAAGUAAACCUUGUGCUCCUUUACUCAAUAAUUUUCUAAGUUGGAUCCCCGAAAUAAGGGCAUAGGAAGCUAAUAUACCCUUCAAAUCCAAUCUUAGGGUUGCUUUCCCAGGUCUACAAAAUUUAACUAAUUUAGUUCUACAAUUCAAUUGGGUGUGAUAUCUAGCUAAACAAUCCAUACUUAGGAUGACAUCAUAAUUCCGAAUGGGUAGGGUUACAAGGUCUACCAAAAGUUUUCUCUCCCCAAUCCAUAUCUCAUAAUUUUUAUAGAUAGUAUCAGUCAACAAGCAAUGUUUGCUCGUAGGCAUUCUAACUUCUAAAUAGUGUGAUAACUUUUUAGGUUUUCUAUUAAUCCCACACAUAAAAUCAAGAGCCACGAAUGAAUGAAUCGAAUCAAGAUCAAUCAAAAUUCUAACCAACUGAUGAAAUACGAGGAUCGUAUCUUCAACCACUUUAGAGCAUUCUAGGUUAUAUUGUCUAUCUAUGGCAUACAUCCGAGCUGGCAUCCUUCACUCGUUUUCAUCUCAGAUAGAUUGUCUAGGGGUGGUCCUAUCUGGUUGUAGGGUAUUAUUGCGCUUAGGAGAUUAUUUGGAAUAGUUGCUAUUUUUUUUAAUAUAGAAAAAAGGGAGGACGCCACCCCUCAAUUUAUUCCACCACAAAUAACAUUAUAGAGAACCUGAGAAAGCCAUUGCAGGUAAUAAAGAAACUAACAACACUUAAAACAAGGAAAAGAACGAGCGUCAAGAACUAGCGCAACCUUAGUUUUGUAUCAAAGUGAAGAAACCGAAUAAAAAAUCCUGUCACACCCUAGUUAAGCCAUAGCUAACGAGGCAGUAGUUGAAUUAGUUUCACGAAAAAUGUGCUUCAAUGAGAUCCCCAAUCCUUGUAUCAAAUCUCGGACAGCUCACAAAAUGUUUCAUAAAAGCCACCUACCUAACGUAUGAGACUUAACAAGUGAGACCAGAGCCAUCGAAUCCACCACUACCUCAAAGUGUCUGAGGCCCUACUCCUAGCAAAAUUGUAGACUCGAUCAUAAGGAUAAAGUUUCUGCCAUGAGUACGUCCACUUCCCCAUACUCCUUAUAAAAGGUAAAAAGUAGCUUACCCUCAUGAGAUUCAAAACUUCUCCACCAAAUGCCCCCGCAGUAGAGACACUCCCAUUCGUAUUCAGUUUGAUAGAGUUAGAUGGUGGAGGCGACCAGGCCACAGCCACUAAAUGCCAUUGUUUCUGACACAUCCAAGCCAGCCUACCCCAUGGAUGAUCCUGAUCACCUGUGACAUACGCAACCUCGAACAACUUGGCUGCUUCUAAUUGUUUCAUGAACCAAUCAACUUAUUCAAUGACAUCAGAAGCCACAAAAGGUCCCCUUCAUAGCUGUUUCGAUUUUGGCCUUUCCAUAUAAACCAGAGAAUGAUCAAAUGGACCAUAGUCCUCACAUGAUCCUUAGUAAUGGAACUGUGAUGAAAACUAUGUUAACAACAUCAACAACACCCCCUACACCUCAAAUUCAAUAUACCAAAUUGUUGAGCAAAGAAAGGCCAGACUGCCAUCGCCAAUGGGCCACUCACAAAUAGAUGCUUAAUUGAUUCAACCUUCGCCCCACAGCAACAACACCUUGACGCUAGCACCACACCUCAUUUUUGGAUUAAUUCAUCAACAGGGAGCCAUUGUCGCAACAAACGCUAGACGAAAAAGGAAAUCUUUAAGGAAGUGAUGGAGGUCCAAACUAACUUGUCAACCAACGAGUAGUUCCUCUUAUGACGAAACACCUCCCAAACUGAAGAAACAAAUAAAUCCCCAGAGAAUGAGAGGAACUAUACCAUUCGAUCCUCUUGAUUCCUGGAAAAGGGAAUCUACAAGAUGCACGCAACUUGAGAAGGUGACAACCAUUGACGAAGUCGCUACUCAUUCCACCCCUGAGAAUCAUAGAAUUCUCCCACCAGCAUAUGAGGGACAUCUCCCGCCCUUAUAAGCUUAACCGAAGAUUAAUCAAAACACCAAGAGUCAUACCAAAAAUCAACUAAUCCCCCGCCUAAAGACCAACAAAUCUAACUUUCUGCUGUGUGACAAAUAUCCUAUAGACGUUUCCAAAGAGCGAAAGGUCUCUCAAUAACCCUCAUAGAAGGGUGUACUCGAAUGUAUUUCUGGUGCAUAAACUUGGACCAGACCAUCUCAUUCUUCCUUAGUCGCCACCACAAUUUACAUGCAAAGGGGCGCGAAACAUCCGAGAAUGAGUGAAACCCCAGCCCCCCUCCUGUUGGGGGUAGCAUAACUUAUCCCAAGCAGCCCAAUGCAACUACUUUGAGGUCCCAUCAUGAUCCCACAAAGAGUUGCAAAUUUUUCCAAGGGACACCAAAACUGCCUUAGGAGGGUGAAUCAUUUGUAACAAAUACAUUGGGAGAGAGCUCAAUACAUGCCGGAUAAGAACAAUUUUACCCCCAUACUGAGCAACUUGGAACUCCAAUGAAGAGAUGUUGUCAAAAUUUGGAAAGAAGACCGUAAAAAAUACUACAAUUGAGUCAUCCCUUCACCAAUAGAAUACCUAAAUAGGUCAUGGGAAAAGAUUGUUGGUGAAACCCCAAGAUAGACGAUACCAUGGCCAGGUGCAGAUCCAUUGCUCGAUUGUAACAUACAAAGGAACUUUUACCAACAUUGACUUUUUUGUCCCGAACAAGAUUGAUACAUCCCCAGGAAAUCACGGACCACUUUUAAACAGUUCUCAGAGCAUCUAGUAAAGACGAUGGUAUCAUUAGCAAAAGCUAGAUAGGGAACCCUACCUCUGCCAACACAUAAAACCUUUGCUCAUCCUCCAAGAACAAUUGAUGAAACUCCCAUCCUAGAAACUCCACAACAAACAAGAAGAGGGCAGGAGAUAAGGGAUCCCCUUCUCUCACCCCUCCCAUUGAUUUAAAAAACCCAGACGAUUCACCAUUAAUCAAAAUUGAGAACCAUGAGUUUGCAAACCUUCGGAAAAAUAAAUCUACAACUCAUUCAUUGAAACCAAAUUUUCGCAACAUGGAAUUAAGAAAAGACCAUUCCACCCGAUCAUAAGCUUUCUCCAUAUCGAGUUUAAGAUGAGAUUUGGAUUGUUCAAACGUCUAUCUAUGUCCAAGACCAACUCCUGAGCUAGCAACGCGUUAUCCACGAUACCCCUACCCAAUACAAAACCUGAUUGCCAUGGGGAGAUAACGGAAGGAAGCAGUAUGUUAACACGGUUGGCUAGAAUGUUAGAAAUAACUUUGGAGGACACAUUGCAUAGACUGAUUGAUCAAAAAUCCUUCCACUGAAAAGCUCCCUCGACUUUUGGAAGAAGGACUAGAAAUGCAUUGGACCAACACUUGGAUUGUUCUAUCUCUCUGAAAAAAUCAUGAACCGCCGUAGGAAAUCUUCAUGGAUUAUAUCCCAACAUGACUGGUAAAAGCUAAUCCCAAACCCAUUUGGCCCUAGAGCACUAUAAACGUCCAUUGAGAAAACUGUCUCUUUUAAUUCCUUCACAAAAGGCAGAGCCAUCAACAUUUCAUUAUCUACUUCCUGUACUGUAGGGACCUGAAAAGUAAAUUGAGAAGGACUUGGCCAACACUCCGAAGCAAAUAGUUAUGAAUAAAAGGAUAUAGCUAAUGCUUGAAUAAGGUCCAGAGAAUCCACCCACGAACCAUCAUCCAUUUUGAUUCGAGAAAUGAAAUUUGUAUUUCUUCUCCGCUUUACUAUCCCAUGAAAGAAGGCCAUGUUAGCAUCCCCUUCCUUCAAUCAUCUAACAUUUGCCUUUUAAUGCCAGUAGGAGCACUCAACUGAUAGUUCGCAAGAGAAUAAUGCCCAAACCUCAUGUAGCCGCAACUUGAUGAGGUCAUCCUUAUUUGAAUCAAACUCUACCUCCCUAAACUUGUAAUUUUCCUCAGCUGUCUUGACCCUAUAGAAAAUAUUCCUAAAAACCUCAUGAUUCUAGGACCGCAACCACCUACAAACCUGCUUGAGUUUUGGGUAAAAGCCUAACAUGCCUACCCCAGGCACCGGCUGUAUCCAUUUUUCUGAGACAACGUCUCUAAAUUAAUAAUGAUUACUCCAGAUGUUGAGAAAAUGAAAAGAUGAUCUUCUCACUCUUCCAUCCCUACAUUUAAUCAAAAGGGGAGAUGAUCCGAAUGUCCACGGACCAUGUGUAUAACUUUCGUAAUAGGAUAGCAAUCUAUCUACCGAACAUUAACCAGAGCAUGGUCGAGUCGUUGCCAUAUGGAACCAUUUGUCUUAGGGGUGUGCAACGAAUUCGAAAUUGGUAAAUUUGAAGUUUGAAAUUGGAAUUUUUCGAAAUUUUGACAUAGAAAUCACCGACCGAUUUCAAAUUCAAAUUGACCAAUUCCAAUUUUGAAUUCGAUUCCGAAUUCAAUGCAAAAUUCGGUAAAUUACAAAUUUACUGAAUUCAAAAACCUGUUUUCCCUUUUUCUUUUCUUUUUUUUAAUAACUUCUCACAAGUCAUAGCCACUUCAUACGAGAAUGAAAUACGACCAUUCGUCACAAUACUUAUACAACCAUUCGUCAUAAUCUAAAAUCAAAAUACAAAACAAAUAUCAAAUGUCAAAUAAUACAAAUGUUAGCAACAAUUUCAGUCCAAAUUUCACACAAAUAAGGCAGCAACUAUUUCAAAUAAAUCAUAAGUGUAAAACACCAUUUCAAAUUUGCAACUUCCAAGGGAUCGAGGGAUAGGUCUAACCACUCAAACUUCAAUUUCUAUACUCCAAAUCACCACUGGAGAAUUCAAAGAUUAACAAUUGUGGAUUCUACACCUCUUUUGAUCAAACCUAUUAUUCAAGAAAGAAAAAGGGAUGAAGUACCUUAAUAGCAUUUAUGAAUAGAAAAAAUAUUUCAAGUUUGUAAAUAAGAAAGAAGAUAAUUUACCAUAUUCAAAUUUCUUAAGGUCCUCCAAUUUUUCUUCUACAUUCAACUCCUUGUCCAAUGCCCGAAACCAGUCUUGAGCACAAAUCAAGGCUUGCACAAUUUUUGGAGUUAAAGAACUUCUGAAUAGGUCAAGAACACGUCCCUGGUACUAAAGGCAGAUUCGGAAGCAACUAUAGAGACUAGGACAACCAACACAUCACGAGUCAUUUGUUAAAGUAUUGGCAACCGAAAACUAUUCGCUCUGUUUGGAUUCUUCAUUUUCUCAAAAACUAGUUUUUCAAAUACUACAAAAAUUUUUAAAAAGUACUCUAAAAGGUACUCUAAAAAGUAGUCUAAAUUUUUUUUAAUGUUUGAAAAAUAUUCCAAAAUAUAUUUUAAAAACUAUACUACUCUUAAAUAUUCCAAAAUAUUUUCUAAAAAUAUUCCAAAAUAUACUCUAAAAACUCUGUUACAGUAAAAUUUUUCAAAAACACCCCCAAUUAUCUUUCCACCAAUUCAAGAUAUCUAACUGGGGAUCCUCAUCCUCACAAUCCUCACUCAAAUAUUUGUCAAGUUUAGAUUUAGCAUUCUUUCCUUCAAGUUCAACUUUUUUUUUUCUUAAACUCAAUUCUGUAUCUAUCAUUUAUUUUUUUUGGAGAUUUCUCCAUCAAAAGAAGAGUUGCUAUUUUCAGAUCAACUAGAAAGUGAAGAAGUGGAGGAUUGAGAAAUAGGUGUUAAUCCAGUAGCAGUAUUGAGUGUUUUGUACUCAUCAAACAAUUCAUACAUUGCAUCUUUGGCUAGGCGAGCCAUAACGGUACUCUCGGUAUCACCAUACAUUUUACAAGCAAUGAAUUCAAAAUAUUCAAACUUUGUUCUAGGAUCAAGCAUGUAAGUAAUGAAAAUCAACAUGUUCAUUUUUUCACUCUUUCCCAAUACUUAUCAUACUUGUCCUUCAUCGUUUUUACCAUUCCAUUCAAGUUAGGAUUAUCACUUUUUGCCAUUUCCUUUAGAAUGCCAUUAAUGUGACUAAGUUCAUUAAUAAGAUUAUUAGAUGUCACAUAUUUGGAGCCAGAUACAUUUACUGUGAGAUCAUAAAAGUUCUCCAAGAAUAUAGUUAAGAAUCUUGCCUUUUUCAAUCAACUGUUGUUGGCAAAUGCUCUAGCUCAUGCAGCAUAUACGAAUCGGCACAUUUCUUGAACUUCUUCAAAUGAGAAAGUGAUUGUUUGAUAUAUCUCACAGCUAUCCGGAUGGAAUCAAUAGACCCCCCAAAUUUUUUUAGGCCAUCAAUCACAAUCAAAUUGAUUAUGUGAGCUACACAUCUUAUAUGAAUCCAUUUUUCCCCUAAUAUAGCUUUACCCCAGUUUUGCAAUUUUUCAUCCAAAUAUUGCACAGUCAAGUCAUUUGAAGCAACAUUAUCAACUGGUACUAUGAAAACAUCAUCAAUCCCUCAUUCUAAUAAGCAUUUCUCAAUACUCUUCCCAAUUUCAUUCUCUUUAUGACUACUAAUUGGAUAAAAAUUUAAAAUUCUUUUGUUCAAUUGCCAAUCACAAUCAAUAAAGUGAGCUGUCAAACACAUAUAGUUUAUUCGCUGGAUAGAUGUCCAACAAUCAGUGGUAAGGCAAACUCUACUAGCACUAUGCCUCAACACAUUCUUCAACUUAAUUUUUUCAUCUAGAUAAAACUGAUAGCAAUAUCUAGUAAUUAUCCACCUUGAAGGAAUUUUAAAAGAAGGACAUGCAGUUCUCAUGACAUGUUGAAAUCCUUUACCUUCCACAUGUUUGAAUGGCAAUUCAUCAACAAUCAACAUGUAAGUAAUGAUUUUUCUAAUUGCAUUAGGGUCAUACUUCCAAUUAACAAGUGCACUCUUAACAUCCCCCUGAGAGUACCAAUUUCUCCCAAACAUAACGUACCUUGCCUCUUAUACUUAUUUGCAGGAUUCGUUUCACAUGAUUUAAUAUGGGAUAAGAGAGGAGUUGUACCAUUAGAUUUCAGAUCAGUAGCUAUCAUUUUUGUGCAGUAGUUACAUAUUGCAUGAUGAACACCUUUGACGUAGUGAGGUUGAAAAUGAUCCCAAGCGAGUGACCUUUUCUUGUACUCGUCUCUCUUCUUCUUAACACCAAGGUCAGAUUCUUCACAGCUGUUGAAAGUAGGAGUUGGACAUGAAGGUGGCAUUGAAUCACUUGAACCUUCCCUUUCCUCAAAAGUGUUAGACAUGUUUACUGGUAUCCAAAAGAAAAUGAAAAUGAAAUGAAGAUAUGUUUGUGCGAUCACUUCUAUUAAUCAAAAGCAUUCCAUAUGAUUUUUACAUAAUAAGAAUAUAAACUAUAGCAAAACUAUAAACAAUUGCUGGGUCGAGAAUAGGCACCAAGAAUAUAAAUGUGAGUGUGACGCCCCGAAAAAAAAAAUUGAGUUUGAGAACCCGGAAAUUUUCUAAUUUUCUAGGGUUUAUUUUUUAAACGCCCACCUUUUCUACAUUUUCUUGAUUAGAAAAAUUCCCCAGAUAAAGUUUGAGCAAAAAUCAUUUUCAAAUGAUUUUUCUAGUAUCGGUUAGUUUUUGAGAAAUUAAAAGCUUAUUUUGGACGUGGGACCCGCAAGUGCGGUAAAUGCAUUAUACUUUUGACAACUUGUUGGAAUUUUGUAUUAAAUGAUAUUAUUUUACAAAGUGUUAAGAUAUUUGUAUUGGAGAGACAAAAAGAUAAGUUUUGAACCAAAAGGGUGACAAGUGUCAUCUUCCUAUUCAACCUUGACUUUGACCAUUAUUUCUAACCUUUACUAAUACUCAAUUUUGACCCAAAAAGCACCCAAAUUUCUGCAAGCUUGGCCGACCCUCUCUAGCUAAGAAGAAAGAAAAAACUCUCCAAGAUUCUUGCUUCCAUCUUGCUUGAGUGUAAUCAUCCAACCAUUUGAUCUUGUUUCUACUCCAUAAAAUCUCUCCAUUUGGUACUAGAAAGUGAUUUGGUGAAGUGUUUAAGGAAGCUAAGGUGUCCAACAACUCUCCCUCUCUUGUUUACUAGGUGAGUGGUGAUUGAACUUCCUCCUACACUUAAUGAAGCUUAAGUUGUGCUUAAUGGUAGCUAAAGUGAUGAAUUUGUGGUUUAUUUCUUGGUUUGAGAGGAAUUGGUGAAGUUUUCAAUUUAUUGAUGAAUUUUCUGGUUUAAUUGUGAUCAUGAUGUUGUGGUUAUCUAUGAUGGUUGGAAUUGAUGGCUAAUUACUAUAGUAGGUGUACAUGAUUGGUAAUUGUAACCAAUUUUGGGUUUGGAAGGAAUUUGAGAAAGUUAGGGUUUCAUAACCCCCUUUCUGUCUGGUUUUGUAUCAUAUGGUUAGAGGCCGAAUUGGCCUUUUCUUAAAACAUAAAAGUUGUAGGUAUUGAUGUUUUAAGGGUGCCUGUAAAAUUUCAGGUCAUUUGGAGUAGUGUAGAGUGAGAAAUGUCAAAUUUACUAUUGCUGUUCUGGGUUCAUCAGGAUGGCCGAACUGCGCCUGUAAUCGGCUGUUUUGACUGGAAUUUCUUUGGAUUUGGUUGUUGAGGUCUUCUGAUGAAAUGUAUCUUGAUGUCCUAGCUAUCAUAUGCCUUUGGAAUUUCUGCAUUCGGACCUGUAUAGACUGAGUUGGACUAAUUACAGCAUAGUGUAAUUUGUAAACCUACAAUUAAGGUUCUGGUUGGGUAUUUUGCAUAUUUGACCUAGUUGUGCUAGGAUUUGGACUGAGUGACCUUCUACAUUGUUGUAGCCCUGGUUCUUAGCUUCGAAAUGGUGGGUCUUGGACCUCCAUCCGAUACUCGUAGUACCUUUGGUGCCAUUACCGCAAAAGGACGUCAAAACUGUUUUUCUGGUUUUGAGCUUAAUUUUCAUUUCCGGACUUUUCCCUAGCUUGACUUGUCUUUGUACUACUUGGAGCUUGCUGAAUGGCUAUUGGAUGAACUUUUUGUUGUGUGUGUACCCUUGGGUUGGAAUGAGGAAAUAAUGAAGCCAUGAUGGCUGGAAAAGUUAGCAAAUUCAGGGGAAAUGCUGUCCGAACUUUGAAGGGACUUGAUUGCAUUGAGUUUGUGAUCUAAGACUUGGAUUUGAGCAAGGCAAUGCUAUAUGAUGGAUGAUUUCUGAGCCAUGGAGGUGAGUGACCUCAAACUGUUUCCAAAUUUACUUUUGAACCGCUUUCCUGCAUUAUCUACUUUUGAACUGAUUUCAAAGUUACUUUUGGAACUGUUUUCUUACAUAUCAUGCGUGCUUGCAUAUUAGUGUCUUGUUAUUAUUGAUUUUGCUUUCAAUGAUUGUUAAAACGAGUUUUCUAGGCGAGUGUGUACUUUAUCGCACUCGACCUUAAUAAAUAUGAAAUUUUCAAUGAUUAGUGAUUAAAUGCUACUUGCGCAUGAAUGUAAGUCUUUUGGGCUGAACUGGCCAUUGCCCCUUGUUACCGGUCGUCUCGAGCCAGAAGCGGACUCGGUCGGGCGACUAGGAACUUGGGUGAACGUUUCGGUAUACUCGAGUAUUACCUUGUAGGUUGGUGGAGCCUGGCCAAAAGCCAGGGACGGGGUAAAUGAAUGCACGAAUGAAACCAAAUGCAAUGAAAUGACAGGAGAACGAACGUAUCCUUUUCAUGAAUGUUUCUUGAAUUAUUGAUACUCCAUAUGUAAUGUUUUGUAAACAUUGUAAUUGUUUCUAGACUUAUCAUUUGAUUUACGACAUCAUUGAAAUGAACUAUUGUUAAACAGAUUUGAUUACUGAUUUUAUUGGUUACUCGCUGAGCUUCUAGCUCACCCCAAAAUGUUUUAUUCCCCUCCACAGGGCUCAAGGCGAAGGAAGGGCUUGUAGUGUUUAUUCAUGGAUUAUCUCAUGUAUGGAUUGAAUUUGGAUUUCCUUUUGUGUAAUCGUUCAUAUUGGGAUUGUAUUGAAUGUUUAGAAUUGAUUGGAUGUGUAAUAGGCUAGUUUUGGACUUCCUCCUGUAUAAUAGUUGGUAUCAAGGAUCAGAGUGGCGCAGUGGAAGCGUGGACGCUUCGCUUUUGAUAUGUAAAUGUUGGAAUAUUUGAUUUAUAUUUGAGAUUUUAUCUUGUAUUUGUUUGAGGAUUGUAGUGAACGACUGAGUCCCGGCGAGAGCCGAGCAGGCGGCCCGCCGAACCCUCUGGUUCGCCUUAGGGGGAGGUGGGGCCGUGACAGUGAGGACUCGAAAAAUUUCUUGAUUUUAUUUUAUUUUUUGAAUAUAUUUUCUUUACUUUAUUUUAUUGCUUUAAUUUCCUAGAUAUUUUUAUAAGUGAGUCAAGUUUUUAAAUCAUUUUUCUUUUAUAAGUUAGUACAUGUUAAGUUUGAAGUGCAUUAUGGAAGUAGGACCCACUAAUAUGGUAUGUGUAAUAAAUUUUUGAAGAUUAGGCAGAGUUUUGUACAAAGGGAUAUUAUUUUAUAAGGUGUUAAGGGAUAAUUAGAGGUUGGCUGGAUAUUUUAGACUUUGGAAGACAAAGAGAUGAGGGUUAACCUUAGAGCGCUAAGUGUCACACAAGCCAUGGUUCUUUGACUUUGACUAAGACCUUUCUUAACCCUUUAAUUAACAAAAAAUUGGCCAAAAUCCUAUCACCUUUCCCUUUCCUUUUGGCCGACUUUUUGAGUGAAGAAAAGAGAGAAAAACCUUCAUCGUCAACCACUAAAUCUUGAUUGAAUCCUUUGGUUUUCAAUUUAAGCUUGCAAACUACUCCAUAAAAGGUGACAUCUAAGGAAGAUUAAGGGUUUUGGUGGAGUGAUUUGGGAGAAACAAGCACUUGAUUUUCAUUUCUUCUUAGGGUAUUAAGGUAACUAUAUCAAAAUGCUCUCUUUUCUUUUAUUACUUGCUUAUGAGUGGAUUUAAGGUUUGAUUUUGGUAGUUUUCAUGAGAAAUUUCAUGGUUUGAGUGGUGAUUCAAAAAUUUCAGCUUUGAUGGUGAAAUUUCAGCUUUAAUAUGAUGCUUUGAGCUUGGCCAUGAUCUAGUAGCUUUGCCAUGUGAAUCUUCUAGCAUUUACAUGUUGUUUUGGCUUGAUUAUAGAAAAUUUCAACUUAUAGUUGAAAAUUUCAGCUUAGGGUUUCAAAUUUCAUCUUUGUUGUGGUUGGUUUUUGAGCUAUAAAUUGGCUAUAUUGGAUUGUUUUAUGGCCUUAAACAAGUGUACUUUAUAACCUAUAACUUGUGGUUGUGAUUGAGGUUGGAUUGAGAUGAAUAUAAGUGUUGAGUUUGGACGGAAAAAUAAAGAAAAUAAGGCGAAGUGAUGCUGAAAUUUGUAUUACUUCCUUUCUUGUGGAAUAAGUGAUGUUAGAGGGGUGAUUUUGGGUUGGUUUGGGCUUAGGUUACUUGUGAUCUCUUGAGUGCUGUGAUGCCCGAAAGAAGAAGAAAAGGAAAAAUUCUAGUGAACAGUGUUCUUAGUAAAUCCGGCUGCAUAUCCGGCCAGUUCUUGGCCAGAUACUUGGCCGGAUUGGCUUGGCUGUUUGAAAAACAAAUUGACCAAGCUACUGCCUUGAAUCCGGCCUCCUAUCCGGCCGGAUUCUGUCGUAAUUCAGUUUCCUUAAUGGUUAAGUCUUCACUUUUUGACCAUAUUUGGGGUUCAAAAACCCACUUUCCUUCAUCUCCAAACUGACCGACCAUCUUGAGAAGCAAAAUAAAGAGAGAAACUCCAUUCUUUCCUUUGAUUCCUUCACCAAAUCUUGAGAGGUUUCUUCCAAAUUCGAAAUCUACUCCGAUUAACUUCACGUCUAAGGUAAUAGCAAGGUAAGAGUAGAGUGUUUUGAGAAGAAAGGGCUUUGCUUUACUUGUUUUCAAGGUGAUUGGAAGGUAUAAUCCUUAGAAGCUUCUUUUUGUUCUUUAAUCUUGUGAUUAAGUUAUUGAUCUUGAUGAUUUAUGGAGAUUCUUAUGAAUUGGAAGUUGGGAUGAUGAUAUUCACUAAUUUUUAGACUUUAUCUAAGUAUUAUAUCUUGGAUUUUGGCAUGUAUGUGAUUAGUAGAAGCUAUUCUAGUGUUAAGGUGGAAAUUUCUAACCUUUAAUCGAUAUUAGUGAUGGUUAUAUGCAAAGAUUAGUUUAGAAGUGUAAUUUCAGUUUUUACCUUGUUUCUGGACUCAACUUGGACUGAAAAAUUCUCCAUGUUUUAGACCGAACCAGUUUGUGGACAAAACAUCAAAGUUAUAGAUAUAUGAGUUAGCUAUCUACCUGCAAAAUUUCAGAUCGAUUGGAGUACUGUAGCUUGUGAAAUGACCGAAAUACCCUUGACUGCUCUUAGGCCCUGUUUCACGGACAGUUUUCCAUUUUUCUCUGAGAUGUCAUUUUUGUCCAUGAAAAUGUAUGAUUUCACUUUGGAGGUCUUCAUAAGAAAUGUUGGUAUAUGUCUUGGCUUCGAAACGCCUUAAGAUUUGUUUCAAUCCGAUAAGUGUAGCUUCAAUUGUGAUUAAAAUGCCGAAAGGUGAUAGGAACUUGAUGAUUUUAGAAUUCCCUUUGCUUGACAUGAUAUUUGUGAUCUAGGGCUUGGACUUGAGCAAGGCAAUAAGUUAUGAUGGAUGAGAUUCAUGAGCUGUGGUUGGUGAGUGAUUACACAACUAUUUUCAAAGUUACUUUUUGAACUAAUUCUUGCAUUGGUUACUCGAUUGCAUAUCAUUUGUGUUUGUGUGUGUGCCAUGACGUGAUUUGGCUCCAAUGAGUUCUUGGGAAAUCUUGUGCUUGGAACCAACGUCUCCACCACUAUUUAUUUGGAGCAAAUGGCUCCCUUGUACUGUUUGACUGUUACUGGAUCUGUUUGAGCAUUGGAGUUUUAAGUACGAGGAUUUCACUGGCUCACAAGAGCAAUAAAUGUACAUUUGAUCAUUGAUUCAUAAUCUCAUUUAAAUGCAUUAUUGUGGAACUGGUUGAUUACUGAUUUUACUGGACACUCCUUGAGCUUCUAGCUUACCCCAAAAUAAUUUUCUCCCCACAGGGCUCGAGGCAAAGGAAGCACUUGUAUUAAGUUCUUCGGGUAAUUGGAUGGAUUAUCUCAUGUGCAGUUUGAAUUUAGAUUCAUCUUAUGUAACAGUUGGGCUUAUAUGAAUGUUGGGAAUUGAAUCGGAUAUAUGUGUACGUUCCACGCUUGGGAACUAGUAUUCGCUUCGCUUGAUAUGUAAAUUCAUGGAGAAUUUGAUGCAUUAUUUGAGAUGUGUAUUGUAAUUUAUUUGAGGACUGUAGUGAGUCCCGGCGAGAGUUGGGCAGGCGGUCCGCCGAACCCUUUGGUUCGCCUUAGGGAGAGGUGGAACUGUCACAAGUGCACUUCGAUGGUAGUGUAUAAGCUGAAAUUUUGACAAAAUCAUGUCUAAAAUAAGAGGAAAAGUGAUGGUUUCUUCUAGCAUGCUUUCUAGUUGCAUUUGUUCCACUUUAAACUCGAGGUUGGUUGUCUUUUUAGCUAUUUUGUUGCUGAAAAUUCCAGCCAUGAAUUAGAAUGAGAAACUCCUUGGUUACUUAUGUCCCUUAGGUCCAAAUGUUCUCUUUUCACUGCAAGACUAUAUUUGCAUCUUUGCACUAGUAGUUACUUGAGUUUUCUUUGGUUCACCUAAAUUUUGGAUAGUUGAACCAUAAUACUUUAUCUUGGUUGUUCUUAGGGUUUGUUGGUGAUCAAGGGCAUAACCCGGGGGCGAACUUUUGAUGUUAUUUUGCUUGAACUGGUGAGUGUACCACUCGCAUGACUAGUUGUUUAACCGAUUUACUUGUGAUUGAAAUUUAUGAUUUGAAUGACUGUGGCUUUAGUUUAUCCUAGAUGGGAUGAGUUCAUUCUUUAUCACACUCAUUUUCCCUUGAUUGUUUGACUGGUUUACUGUGCAAUUGAAAUCUGUUACUUGUGCAUGAAUUGAUGUCGUUUGGAGUCUAAUAUCCAAUGACCUUACUGUAAAAUUUGAGCUCAAAUCUCAUUGGUAGUUAAUCGAAUCGAGCCAACAAAGGUUUGGUCGAGAUAGAUUGACGAACCAUAAGGAAACUAUUAUUGAUUCACUGAAUACUGAAACUUUCUGAUAUUUGGUAUACUCGAGUAUUACCACCACUAUUUUUGUUUGGUGUUCGGGCCCGGUAAGGGAUAUGUUUGACGGACGGAAACUAAUGUAAAGUGGAGAUCUAUGGGUAUUAUUUUUGCUUCUUUAAACGUUGACAGAGUGCCAACGAGUUUGGAUCAAGUUAAUGCAACGGGAAAUUGGCUCUUGAGAGUCACUUGUAUCCUUUUACUUGAACUGCUCUAUAUAAGUUGUGGUGUUUAGUUAUUCCUCUAUUUGAUGCACAUAUUUGAUAGAAUAAGUUCUGACUAUAUGAUUUGUGACUGCGUGACCUUUUGAUACCUCAUUGGACGAAAACUCAUCUUGUGACAUUUGUUUUCCUUACAGGGGGCGAAGAUUUGGGAGCGUGAUUUUUGGGAAAAAAGUUGAGUUAGUUAUAGUUUUGUUUUGUUUUAAGCUCCUCUGUAUUAGUAAACCUCACAUGUAUUUGUAUAAGUUUGAAUACUCUAGUUUGUACUUUAAGUUUGGAAUGUUAGUGACUCCAUUGUAUAUAGUUCUGAGUUGAUGAGUGGAAGUUAAAUUGCGCAAUUUAGUACUUAAUGUGAAUUUUGGUUUAGCAGUCCUGACGAAAGUUGGGCAGGCAGUUCGCUAACCUUUGGGGUACGCCCUAAGGGAAGGUGGGACUGUCACAAUAAAAGCAUUCCAUAUGUAUCUGUGAGGCUUUCAUAAUCUUGCUCUUUCUUUAGACUACUUCUUUUUUGUCAAAUGCUACAUUGACUAAUUUAUAGAUAACAAUUUCCCUAUCUUUAUAGCCUUUGUUCUUUAAGUAGUCAAAAUUAGAUGGCCACCUAUAAUUGCUGAAGUUCUCUACUAAAUGUAUCAUGUCACAUCCUAACUCUUGUUUUACAAUUUUAGAGUCAUAUCCAGAUUUUAUUUAUCCUAUGUUCAUUUCUAAUGAGAGCAUUUGAUAUGAACAAUGUUCUUGUUAAUUGGUUUUAGUUGGUUCUGUUCAAACUUCAAACUACUAUUGAUUUUUUAGCAAAUAAGAAGUUCAAGUUACUUGAAGAUGAGUUCUUUCGGAUGGGUUUCAAGUUUGAAGUUAUAAUUAAUUCAAAUUCAUAAGAUUCGAUGUGAAAGUUUAUACCCAAAAAUAAUAGCCUUGACGAUUAUGAGAGCUAUAGUUUACAUUCAUAAUAAGCGCAUGUUUAUCGAUUCAAGAGCAAUUCAAGAUGUGCCAAUCAAAUUUAACAUAUAUACAAUCAUUAACACAGAUAUACAAUCCUCAGGGUUAAGUACAAAAGUUCAGAAUCCAACCAACUACUAAUACUAUCACUAUUACACAAUAAAAGUUCUAGUCAAAAGUUUAAUCUUCCUCUAAUCAUUCGUCCUUGCUCUCAAACCCUGCAAGGAAAACAAAUGUAACGGAAUAGAGAGGUGAGCUAAAACUCAGUGAGGUUCCUAUACACAUAACCAAGCAAUUAAAACAAGGACAAUGGUCAUUUAAUAACAAUCAAUUGAGAAAACAUUCACAAUAUAAAAGCAAUGAGAACAUACUCAUUAAAAGGAUACAUGCUCACGUGAAGCCAUUCGUUCAUUCAUUCGCCAACCAUUUUCCUUAUUCCUCAAAUAUUAGAAAACAUUUGCAAGCGAAACUCCUCCAAUGUUCUUGACAUUCAUUUAUUGAUUGCAUUUCUUGCCACUAGCCAAUUCACUGGCCAGUUCUCUGCCAGCCUUCGUGAUCAUAUUCGAGUAUACCAAACAUUAUUCCAGGGUCACCAGUCGCCCGACCGAGUCCAUUUCUGGAUCGAGUCGACUGGCAACGAAGGGUAAGGGUCUAGUUUAGCCAAAAGGCUUACAUCCAUGAACAAGUAGCAUUCAAUCAUUGAAAAUUCACUUUUGCUUGGGUCGAGUGCGAUAAAGUACAUACUCGUCCAUCAAAAAUUCAUUGAGCAAUCAUUGGAAAGCAUUUAACAUUCAAACAAUCACUCACAGAUAUUCACACAGUCACUUAUUGCACAAACAUGCAAGGAACACUCACUCUAAAUAAGUCACGUUUUGUCAAAAUUCAGUUUAGGGCUGGCACCUUGGCCAUUCUCGAAAUCUAUAUUCAAAUAUUGUCCACAAAGAGCCAAUCAUAUACGAGUGCAAGCUGCAUAACUUAUAUUUUGAUAUCAAAGGAAAAAGGCAUGAAAAGUAUAGUAAGUCAUAUAGGCAAAGUGCACGCAUAAUUUGUAAAAGAAACUGAUAAAAAAUGGUUAAGUUCAAAGCAAUAUUUGCAACUAAAAAUCAUGUUUUGAAUACUUGUUUAGAAUGUUAGAAAUCAGGUUUAGAACACUGGAGAAGUACAUGGUAAGUCGGACCAAGGAAACGGAAAACAAGAGAAAGGCAACGUUGAUCACAACUAAAGCUACACUUAUUGGAUUGAGGCAAAUUUUAGGAGUUUCGAAGCUAAGACAUAGAUCUAUCUUUUCUAUGAAGACAUCGACACCCAGUUCUGGCAUUUUCACUGUCAAAAUUUGACAUCUCAGAGAAAAUAGAAAGCUGUCGGUUAAACAGGGCAUUUGGGCAGUUAGGGGUAUUUUAGUCAUUUCAUAAGCUACAGUGAUCAGAUUGAACUGAAAUUUUUUGGGUAGAAAGCUAACUCACAUCCCUACAACUUUAAUGUUUUGAGUAAGAACUGAUUUAGCCUUUAGCAUGGACGAAUAUGCAGUUUCAAUUGGUUCCAAAAACAGGGCAGAAUCACUACCAAAUGCUGAAAAUUCAACUUUUACUCUAAAAAGUCACAACCAAGGCAUUAAUCACUUCACCAAAUCCAUAUCCUAGCUCAAUACAUCACUUACUAGAUAAACAACAAUAAUCAAAGCUGAAUAAAUGCAAACCCUAGCUAAACAUUCCACAACACCAUCAAAAAUAAACAAUCAACCAUAGCAAGCUAAGAUUAAAAGCUUCUAAACCAAACUUAGCAAGAUUAAACAAAAGAAAAGGAAGUUGAAGCCUUAUACCUUCCAAAACUACUUGAAAAGUGAAGAACCAAGCAACCACAAGCUUUUUCUUCCAAAAACUCUUCACCAAAGUUUCUCCUCCUACUUAAAAAUCAGCUUUUAUGGAUUGAUUUGCAAGGUUGAGGUAAAAACUCAAAGAUCAAGCAAGGUUGUUGUGGUAGAAAUGGAGUUUUCUCUCCUCUCUUCCCCUCUCUUAUUUUCAGCCAACAAGAAGAAAGAAUGACCGGAAAUUGAGCCAAAAGGAAAGAUAAGAAGGUAGGAAAUUUGCUUGGUCAAAGUUUACUAAAUUUUCAACAAGUGUCACACUAUGAUUUAAGGUCAAAUUUUUUCUUUUCUCUCUUUUCUUUAGUCCAAAAUUUUGGCUGCUAUAAGGAGAUAUUUAGGGCUGAUUUUGCUCAAUUAAUAACAAGGAGAUUAAGGUAAUAAAGCAGUAUUCAAGUGGUGUACUCAAUCGGUAGCAAAUGGUGCAUGUCGGUUCAAGCAUAUUUUCCUUAACUCUUGCAUACUUGCGUUUUAACUUGUGAUUCACUACCUUAUUAUUCUCACCUCUAAUCACCCACUUUCUCUUACCUAUUACUCACUCUUAACCACCAAAUUUAGUACACACACCUCCACAAUUAAUCACACUACUAAAAUACACAAAAACCCUAUUUUACCCUAACUAUAAAACUAAGGGUAAAACUCUUAAUUCUAUUAUUUAUUACAACUAUUGAGGGAGUAAAUGAGUAACAAAGAUAUUAUAAAGUAAUUUAUUCAAAAUAAAAGAAAAUUUUAAGAAAAAUAUAGGUGAAUUUCUAAGUCCUCAUAAGCCAAGGAAAGAAGGUGAGAUGAAAAGCUUAACAGAUUAGGUUUUGCUUUUUUGUCCUUUUUGGAGUUUAUUUUGUAACUUUUGUUAGAUGUAUUAUUGUUAUUAUGUUAUAUAAUAUAAAUUUUAUAUUACAUAUAUUGUUAAAAAAUAUUAUAUUAUAUAUAUUAUAAAAUGAAUUUGAAAUAGAUUUCCAAUUUCGAUUUCCUAUUUCAAAUUCCAAUUCAAAAUCAGAAUUCCCGAUUUCUAAAACUAUAUUACUGAAUUUGACCUGAUUUUGACUAAUUCGAAAUCGGAUAUCCCGAUUUUCAUUUUGAAUUACCGAAUUCAAAAUUUCGAAUUUAAUUCGAAUUCGGUUGGUAAAUCAAAAUUUUUUGAUUUUGCAGACUCCUAAUUUGUCCAAAUAAAUGGCUGACCAAUAAAAUCCACUGCUGAUAACGUACAAUUGAACAUGGUCGUGUUGAACUCCUCAAUAUUUCGCAUAUAUGCCAUGGAACCAGCAACUCAUUCCUCCGCAGUAGAAACGACUUUUAAGUCUCCAGCCGCCAACCAAGGCUUUUCCAUAUCUCUACUCAAAAGCUCCAUGGCCUCCCAAAGAAGUCUCCUACCUAUCCUAAUCUGAAUAUAGUCACUCCCACAAAAAAAAGCACUUCCGUCCAUUUCUCUAACAGUCAUUUUCCAAAUGGUUAGCCUUUCCACAAUACCCACAAACUGGGUGGGAUAUUGAUGUCUGAUUUCCUUUCGGAGCUUCUCCAGACUGUCUUUCUCCUGAUUGUGCUCCUCCUUGAGGGCUUCUAUUGACUGAGUUCCUCUUGAUUGUCCUGGGUCUAUGGCGGGAAUCUCUCUCCACCCACUCCUCUCCCAAACUUAUGUGGUGAGGCAUCCCUUAUUAGCUUUUUAGAACUAUUUGCCAUAUCUCUUUUUUGUGCUUGAAAGGUUCUAAGCUAAGACUUUGCAUUUUCAACCCGUUGGGCUAUAUCUAGUGUCUCAACGAAGGUGUUUAUUUGGAGGGCAGUUAAGGUUUCUUGAAUUUAUAAGUUCAGUCCUUGAAUGAAUUGCCAUUUUCUUUUUUGUUCAGUAGCAACCAAUUCUGGGGCAAACUUUGAUAAUUUAGUAAAUUGAGUCUCAUACUCAGUGACACUCAUUACCUCCUGACGAAAUCAUAGGAAUUCAUCCUCUUGCUUCUCCUAAAUGAGAGGGGGAAUGAACUUCUCAUUAAACUCCCGAGUAAAGUUCGCCUAGGUCUAAGGGACUUGCUCCUUCUCCCACUUAAUUCUUAUAACAUUCCACCAAGAGCGAACCGCUCCCUCAAAUUGAAACACAACAAAUGUCACUUGUCUUUCCUCCCAGUACCUUAAGGUGGCAAAAAUAUUUAUCAUAUUUUUAAGCCAAUUCUCAACCAUUUUAGGGUCAGGACCUCCUAAAAACUUAGGUGGAGAAAAUUUCUGAUAAUGGUCUAAGGGUUUAUCCCCCCCACAAUAUCUCACAAUCCCUAAGCUAUUGUACAAGUCCAGUCUUCGGUUCUCAAUCCUAUUGGGUCGCUAAUCUUUCUAUAAGAUCUAUCAUACGGUUUAAAAUUAUGACUAUCUAAUUUCCUUCAUUAGCCCCUGUUUCACGGGCUGAAGCAGUCGAGGCUUCUUGCUCCUCUCUUUGUUAUGGGUAUUAUCUAGGCCUAUCUCAUCAUCGUCGCUCUCAAGACUCCAUAUCGAUUCACAAUAGUUCUAUGCAUGAAUAAAUAAUGACUAGUUAUGCACACAAAUAAUAUUACUUACUAUAUUAUUAAAUGCACAUUUAUUUUUGUAUUAUAUCACAAUUAGUGCCAAAUAUAUCACAACAAUGCUAAAUAUAACCAUUCAAAUUGUUAUAAACAAAACCAAUCACAAUACAUAACAAAUUUAGGUACAAUUUCGAAAGGAACCAAACAAGUCAAACAUAACAAACACACAUGAUAUCAUAACAAAAUAAAAUAUAUGAGAGUUCCUUCCCAACCAUCCCGACUAGCAGUACAAAAAUUUUAACCCAAUAUAAGGCUACUCAACCAUAACCGAGCCAAUGGAUCCUAUCUCUUCAGUUGGUUCCGCCCCAUUUUCAGCUCUACGGAUUUUUGCUCCUGUGACUUCUUGGUCUAAGUUCAGCUCUCCUCGCUAGUUUCCUCAACAACUUCCUCAAUCAUAACUUCACAUUCAGUCAAAAUCCCUUCAAUUCUAUCCCGAACCUAACUUAGGAUCCUAGUGAGGCGGUCGUUGGUUUCCUGCAGCUAUUCACGCAAAGCAUUAGUUCAUUCUUACUCUCUUGUCAUUUCGGACUCCAAUUCUCUGAUUCUAUCAUUUUGCGUUCUCAUAUUUCCCUCAUCUCCUAAAUUCUUGCGUGAGUCACCUCAUUUGCCCUUGCUAACCUCUACCUCUCAUCCACUAUAGCAAGCACCACUCGAUUUGGAUACAAAUAGGUCCUCUAACCAUCACAUCGACUGGUCAUCCUAUGCCCUGGGACAUAUAACCGAAAUGGUGCACUAGCACCUCUUGAAACGAGACGAUCCGUCGAGGACUCGAAGGCACCCUAUGUUCUACAUUUCCUUCCAUUCCCUACAAUCACAAGCUAAAUUAGGCUCAUAAUUAGAUUUUCCCCUAGAAUCUUAUAUUUUCCCUUGUCAAACUUUUAAGCUACGAUACUCAUAUAAUUCCUUAAUGUCCUAGAUCUUUUCAAACCUAGACUUUGAUAUGACCCCAUCUCACCCUAAGAUGUAACCUAGGGUUUAGCAAAUCGCCUGCAUAACUCUUACCAGGACUCACUUCACAUUCCUCUAAACAUAUCAUUACCACAAAAGAGUCAUAUAAUCCUAGUUGCAACUCAAAAGGACUUGAAGUACUAGUUAUAAACAUAGAUCAUAACUACAAAUAUAAUCUAUUAUAAUUUCAAAAUGUCGAGACUGAAUUCCACUAUUCGUCACCUCCUUUACCCACUGUCCCUGUAACAAAAACAACUAAUGGAUGAACUUAUGCCCAGUGAGAUCCCAAGCAAGUAAUAGUACAAUAAACAAGUACUUGCCAACCAAAGUAUCAAUUUAUAAUAGGGUUAAUCACAUUUUAUCCCCUUAAAGAAUACCCCAUUUUUCAGUUUACCCUCUAACCUUUAAUUUUGCUCACUUAACCGCCUUUAGGACAAAAUUGCCCUUGCAUUAUUUUGACUUUUCAUUUACUUUGUUUUCCUUUCUUUUAUUUCUUUUUCUCUUUAUUCUUUAUUUAAUUCUUCCCUUUUCUCACAAAAAUCUUCACCUUAAUGAUUGAAAUUAAAAAAGAGGAAUUGAAAAGAUCUAUCUUCUCCUUAAAUGAUUAAAAAAAUAUUCAAAUCACUUUUCUAAAAUACAAUUUUUUAGCCUUUCAAGUCUUUUAAUUUUGGGUUUUCCUCUUUCCUUUCUAGUUUCUCAUUUUAUUCUCAAGAAAAUAUCAUAAGAUCAAAUUGUUUUCCUUUCUUUUAUUUCUUUUUCUCUUUCUUCUCUCUUUCGUCCUUCCCAAUACAAAUUUCAUUUCAACGAAAUUUUUUUUUUUUGAGUUUGUAAUUGCAUAUUUCUGGGUGAAGGUUUAAAAGGCAUAAAAAACAAUUUUUAAUUUUUGAUAUGAUGCCACGUGUCACAAAUUUCAAUUGAUGAUUAUUAAUCAGGUAACAAUUUCAUCUUAAGAUAUUUUUUUAGGAAUAAAAUGAGAAACUAAAAAGGAAAGAGGAAAACCCAAAAUUAAAAGAAUUGAAAGGCUAAAAAAAUUGUAUUUUAGGAAAGUGAUUUGAAUAUUUUUUUAAUCAUUUAAGGAGAAGAUAGAUCUCUGCAAUUCCUCUUUUUAAAUUUCAAUCAUUAAGGUGAAAAUUUUUGUGGGAAAGAGGAAGAAUUAAUUAAAGAAGAAAGAGAAAAAAAAUAAAAGAAAGGAAAACAAGGUAAAUGAAAAGUCAAAAUAAUACAAGGGCAAUUUUGUUCUAAAGGGGGUUAAGUGAGCAAAAUUAAAGGUUAGGGGGUAAACUAAGAAAUGAGGUAUUCUUUAAGAGGAUAAAAUGUGAUUAACCCUUUAUAAUAACAUAAGCAAAUUUCACAAGUCUCAUUAACAACUUUGAAGUAAAAUAGCACAAUUCAUUAAAAGGAUACGAACUCACUAUGGAAGCCAAUUCACUAUCACCGUACGAUCCACUAUCAAUCGUCCAAUGAUUUAUUUCAUUCAAUAAGCAAUUCAAUCACUACUAGCUACAAGGCAAUACUCGAGUAUAUCAUGAUUUCUCACACCGGAAAGCUCAGAAAUCUCCUAUGGGUCAAUCGGACUACGGCACCCACGGCUGCCAGCCUAUUUGACCAAGCCCAUUACAGGCUUGAAUAGGCUGUCUGGUGAUCGAUUUUAGGGCCCAGUUCGGCUGAUGCGGUAAAGUAUGCACCUGGUCUACAAUACAUGCACAAGUAAUAUAACUUUUGGAACAUUAACUUUUCAAUUCCACUUGAAACAAGGGCGAUAAAGUACACUCCUUCUAGCAGUAUCACUUUUAUGCAUUCAACUGAUUCAAAAUAAGUCAUUCAAACCAUCUAUUUUAAUUCCAACAAUCAUAAACCAAUCAAGUAUACACCAAAUGUCAAUUAAAAUCAUUCAAUCAAAGAUAACAAUAGGAACACUCACCGAUUGAGGUUCAAUUCAUACGUUGUCGUCAACUCCUAAAAUCCAACAUAAGUAUUUGUAUUUAUUAAAUUAUAUCAAAUUUUUUAUUCUAAGAUACUAAGUCGUGUAUUUUCUAUACUAAUCUAAUUAACAUGUUUAAUCUUCAAAAAUUAUGGUUUUGAGUUAUAAUUUAGUGCUUAGUAUUUUGUUAAACAUUAUAUAUUCAUGAAAUAACCCCGACUUUGCUUAAAAUUUAUGUUUAGUGUUUAUAAUUUCCAAAUAGCUUAGGUUUCUAGCUUUGAUUAUGUGUUACCUUAUUUUCUUUAACUUUAAAAUUCAUCAUCUUUAGUUUUCUUCUUAAUUUUAGUACAAUAAAUUUUAAGGAUCUAAAUUCACCUAAGUUUAAUAAAACUUCCGCUCGCUUUUAUCAUUUAAGUUUUCACAAUUUAUUUGCCCUAAAUCGAAUAUAUUUAAUAUGUAUAUCAUAACAAAAGAAAUAUGUUAUAUGUGCAAUAAAAUUCCUUUUCCCCUUGUUUUCAAAACUUAACAUGCAACCAAGAGACCAUAAGCUUCAAAUUCUCCCCAAAAUCUCACAACGCCUUGCUUAAUCCACUAUACACUUCAUGCAUGUCAAGAUAAUUGAAAUUAAUAGCAUAGGAAAUGAAUUCUUAGUAAGUUUCAACAAAUUUUGGAAUGAAAUAGGAGGAAUUAAAGUUCAUCCUUCACGGUUCAACCAGAAAUUUUUCCAGCUUUGACGUUUCUUCCAAAAAUCAUUCUUUUUUUGCUUUUAACUCAACAAAUAUCACAUGCAUGGUAUCUGAAGUAAGUUUUUAACCAAAACCAACAAACUUUUUGGAGGUAAAGCUGAAAAUUCUCAACUUCAUUCCAUCCGCCCACAUGCAACAUCAAAAAUAGAAAUUUCAGCAAGGUUUUCUUCAUAAUUCAAACGUAUCCUACUUUGAUUCAGGUCAAAUACUGCAUGCAUGUUAGGAUAAGGAAGUUAGGAAGCAUGUAAAGUGCAUUUAGACAUAAUCCUACAAAAUUUUGAGGGAAAAGAACCAAAAGGUUGCAGCUUUACUCUAUCGGGUUUCAUGCAGCACCUUGAACAGAAAUUUUCCAGCUUUGAUGAGCUUUUCCUCAAUCAAACUCCUCUUUUCUUGGUGCUAAUUUAAGUUAAGACACCAUUAACCUAAAGUAGAGGGAAAAUGAAGGAAAAAUUAGCAGUUUUUACCUCUUGUUCCUCACGGUUUCUAGGCUAAAAAUAUUUCUGUUUUCCUCCCCGAUUCCGUAAUGAGUUAUGGUUUACUUGUUUCUUGGUUAAGGCUCAAGGUUGAAGAAAAAAAAAAGAAGAGAGGCUGCAAGUUCUCUGGUGCUUUUCUUUCUCUCUUUUCUCUCUGCCACUUUGAAGAAUGAAACACUUGGUUCUUUUAGAUUUGAAGAAAUGAAGCACUUAGUUCUUUUAAGUUUGAAGGAAUGAAGCAUGUAAGGGACAAGUGUGACGACGCUUGUCAUUCAUGCUUUUUUUUAUCAUGCUAUUACCACAAUAACUUCUUUGUUCUAACUAGCACUAAUGUCUUAUAGUGUAGGUGAUACAAUUUCAUAAGGUGUACCUUUUUAGUCGUUUGUUAAAGGGAACCAUUGGACGUAUAAGUCAAUCAUUAACAAAAGGGAAAAUACAACGUCACUAAAUUUUAAAUAGGACACAAAAUUUUCACAUUAAUAUUUUCAUUCUCUCACAUUUUAAUAAUUUAGUUUUGCACUAAUAUUUUUUCCCUUAUCAUGUGUGAUGAGCGAGAUAUUUUUCUUUAUUUAAAAACUUGUAAUUAUGGGAAUAAAAUUUAACAACACUUAUAUCGACAACUAUAUACUAAUUUUUACUAUUAUGUUAGGGAUAUAAAUUUUUAAACAUUAUUUGUCUUGAAUGGUACAAAAUAUUAUAGUUGGCUAAUGGUUUUAGGGACAAAUAGACAAAUUAAGAGAAAAAUUAUAUUAGAACAGGAAAUGUAAAAUGGCCAUUCCUUCAGGGGAUUUAGUGUAAUUAACCCUUAGGGGUCUUAGUGUCUUUUUGAUGUUUUCGCUACGCCAUGUUAGAAUUGACUAAUAAUUUAGGGGAUAAAGUGAGAAAAAAAAUAGCAUUAAGAGAUAAAGUGCAAAAUUGGUUAAACCUUAGGAGGAGUUUCUCUGAUUAACCCAAAAGUAUAAGUGAUAAUACAAAUAGUACAAUUGUCCCACCCUUAACCUGCAUGUACCAAGCACAAGAUAUUUGCCGUACACUCAAGAUUAACUUGAGAAAUACAAGGCUACAUAUAUAUAUAUAUAUAUAUAUAUUUGAACCCUACAAAAUUACUAAAUAACAAUGAAAUUACUUAUAGUGUGGAUAUUGUUUGAGACUAGGAAUAAUAUAAAUAUCCAAUUGAGCCCGCACACUUAAAACAACCUAUGAAAGUAUUUAGUAUUCAAGAAUAGUCAACUACAUAAUUAUUAAAUCUAACACCAAAGAUCUCUUUCCUUGAACUAAAUAUUCUCGUAUAACUCAUCUUCUAGUUCCUCAACAUAAACUAGUCCUUGAGAUCUACAAGCAAAUAUAAGAAAAUGGAUUGAGUGAUGAACAUUCAGCAAGUAGUACCUACACCCCUACUAGAUCAUGCAGUUAUAUUAUAAUAUAUUUUCAUAGUAUUUGUACACUCAUCACAUGCAUAGUUAUUCAAAAUCAUACCAAAAACUUGUUACAUAUAAUAUCCGUGUGUGGCAACGUAAACAUAUUGUUCAUGGCAUAAUACAAUCAUAUCUUGAAAGAUAAAACAUUUCAUAUCAACUCAUAAACCGGUGCAUACAAUAUCCAGUAUCUCAGUGCUCAUCUUAGAUAUUGAACCAUUCUAUGAGAGUGAUUAAGAGGUUUCAUGAUUAUCACUUGGUUUGCAUAACAUAACAUGAGUUAAUCAAUUGUGCACAAUAGUUACUAUGACUAUUCAUGAAUGCACUUAGAAGUUGAUACACGAAGUAGAUCCAUGGGGCUGAUCCAAGGAUUCGAUCCACAGAUUCAUUUUAGCAAAGAACAAAAGAAGAAAAGAAAAAAGAAGUAGAUCAAGUGAUCUAGUCCGGGGACCCUUAUUAAAACCAUGCAAGUUGCACAACAACUCAAACAAGAUUUUUGACUCCUUUUUCUAAUCAAAUUUUGGCUAAAAUACACAGAAUAUUGGAGAUUUCAAGAAACGACUUUUGAAUAUUUCAAUGAGCAAAUUGCACCACUUGAAAUAAAGUUGCUAGGAGCAAUUUUACCUAUAAAUAAAUAGGGUCUCUUGUAAACAUAUUUUGUAAAUUUGGAGCCUAAAGAACACUAUCCAAAAUGUAGUUUUUCACUAGAACUCCUAGUUUAUUAGAAUAAUAUAAAUCAGUGUAUUUUUAUCCAACUUUGUAUAUAGCUAAAUAUGAAUAAAGAUUGAGGAGCAAAGAUGGAGAGAUUUGGAACUCAUGUGAUAAGGGUUACUUUUCUCUUGUCACUUUAUUUCCUAUAUUGAAUUUUAUAUUUAGUUAUAAUACAAGUUUAGUUGUUCUUUUCAUUUGCUUUAUGUUUUGCUAGUCUAACACCUAGGGAUGGAUAAACUAUCUAUGACUGUUAUGUAAUAUUUUCAUGGUUACUUGUGUUAGGGUUUUCUUACUUCACUAUAAAUUUUAAAACUUUAUUACCCUAUUUUUACAAGUGCACGGUCCAUUUAUUGAGUAAAAGGGUAAUAGGUGUGAACCCAUAGGGACUUAGGAUGUGGCAAUCACUUGAGUUUAAUCACUUGUUGUAUUAUCUAGACAAUAAAAGUUUAAGAAUGUUAGAUAGGAGGUACAAGUUAAAUAAGGUAAGAAACAAGUUAAAUAAAUCAGCCUUCACCUAUUUUUAUAAAGAAAAGGUAAGAAACAAGUUAAAUAAGCUCAACGAAGUUAUCGUAUGAUGUAAGGAUCGAAGACAACCAAGUAGAAGAGAUAAACAAUGUAAAGAUCACAAACGUAACAAUAAGUAAAUAAAAAGGAAAGAAUUGCAAACCAAUUAACUACCCAACUCAUCUUGAACUUGUAGAUUAAUUCAAACAAACUUCUUCAAGUUGAUGAAUUACAAUCACUCUUGUAUACAAAGGAAGGUUCACCUCCUCCUUGCCCCGAACUCCACUUGGUCAAACUAGGAAGUUUUACUAUCCCUCAGGACAACUCUCACAGAGCUACACUCAUGAAGUAUUCACUCACAAAUGAAAAGCUUACAAUGAAUCUCACACCACUAAGACUACAAAUCUUCCUUGGAGAGUGUUUUCUCACUAAAACUACUCUAGAUCUUUUGUAUCUUCAGUGUGCAAAAGUUGUUUCAAGUAUCUGACCAAACACAAUUUAUAUAGGACCAAGAAAGUGCCUUAUUAAUGCUUCAAACGGAUAGAAAGUAGCUGAAGAGUCAACUAGCCGUUGGAGUAUCGGACGUCCGGUAUUCCUGUUUUUUGCAUCCGACAGCAGGUAGUGAGUUUGAGAAAUUUUCUUCAAUUCUAUCGGACGUCCAUUGCAAGCUCUUUGUGCGUCCGACAGUAAACAAGGAGAUUUGAGAAAUCAUCUUGUUUCUAUCGGACGUUUGGUGGAGACCUAUUCAUCAUCCGAUAGUUUCAUCGACUUGAAGGAUCCUAUCGGACAUCCAAUGCUUGCGUCCGAAAGAGGUCAGUGAGUUAGGUGGAAUGUCUUCAUUCUUUCGGACGUCCGGUGAUGGAGUUCUUCAUGCGUUCGAAGUUGCGUAAUGAGUAUCGGACGUCCGAUUCUGACUUCUCAAGCGUCCGAUAGCUUUCAGCAGCCUUUGUCCCUUUCAAUUACACAUGAUAUUUGAAUCUGAUUUGCUUCAUAACUGAAAGUAUUUCUUGAAGAGAUAUUAGUAUUAUCCAUUAUUUUAUAAACAUCAAAAGUUAGGGACCAAGAUCAACAUUCUUCCCCUUUUUGAUGAUGACAAAACAAUGGAUGGAAGAAAGAAAAAGAUUGAGCAAAUGAGCAUAAGCUCCCCCUUACUCAUUGCAUCCAAACUUAUAAUUUCAGAAUAACUCCCCCUUACACAUAGCAUCCAUUUCUCCCCUUUUUUACCAUCAUAAGAUGAGAGUAAAAAAAACUUGUACCGAAAUCCAUCAAUAAUAACAGAGAAUCUAAUAUUUCAAACAAAAAAUAGAGAAUUGAUACCAGAAUUCAACAAUCACCAACAUACCAACAUAUCACAGAGAGUUUAACAAAUCAAAUUAUCAUUAGAUCAGAAUUGUUCUUUUCUCUCCUUUUUUGACAUCAUACAAAAUCAGUAAUAUUCAAAAAUAUCAAGAAAAACUCAGUUCAAAGCAUCAGGAACAUCAAAAGAGAAUUACAAAAAAAAUAUUAUGAACAAAAAUCUCAUUAAUCUUACCAAUAUCUCUUACUUGUUAGAGUUAGUAUCAUGUCUAAGUAUCCACAUGUAUUUCAUGCCAUUUCUCAUGUUUUUCUUAACAUAACAGUUGCUAUUCAUGUGACCGAAUUGACAACAAAAGCUGCACAUAGUUGAUGGAUCAUUCAAAUGAACAAAUUUAACAAAACUGACUUGACAUCUCCUAUGGAGGGUAAAAUCAUUUGCAUGAUAAUUUAACUUGUUCUGAUGAGUGUUAAAGUGAGACUUUUUAUCAUUCCUUUGAAAGUAAUUCUGUUUCUGAUGUUGAAGCCACUGGCCAAGAUCAUUCAUUCUUCUUUUCAAACAAUUUUGUUUAUUUUUGAGUAUGUCACAGAAAUUUGUUUUUCUUUCGAGUUUAGCAUGCAAAUCUAAUUCAAUCCUUUUCAGAUUAUCAUUUUCAUUUUUCAAGUGUUUGUUUUGUCGAUAAAGAUUUGCAUUGUCUUGAAUUAGAAAGCUGAUCUUCUGUUUUAGUUCAUUGUUUCUGACAUAGGAUUCUUUCAAACUGUUGCACAUUUUUUCUAAAAACGAAUUAACAUCAUCAUCAGAUUCACUGUCACUAUCAGUUAGAGAGUUACAAGUAGUUACCUCUUCAUCACCAAUGGCCAUGAAGGCCACUUGGACAGAUUCCUCUUCUUUUUCGACUUCACUUUCUGAAUUGCAAUCAUUGCAGGUGAUUUGAAAAUUGUUGAAUCUUGGUUUUCGUUCAACUCUGCUCUCCUUCUUCCUUUUUGUUGGACACUCAUUUGCAUAAUGUUCAGGUUGGCCGCAUUCAAAACACUUAUCAGUUUGCUUUUUGUUAAAUUCUAGUUUUCCUUUACUUCUCAAGUUAUUGGACUGAUUCUGGAAGGAAUUGCUUGAGCCACCUUUUUUGAAUCUCCUCUUGUUGAGUAUUCUUUUGAAGCCUCUUGUGAUGAGUGCAAUGUCACUGUCAUCACCUUCCAUGUCUUCUCCAUCCAUAGAGGCUGUAUUCUCUUCAUCUUGUGAAGCUUUCAAAGCAAUACUCCUCCUCAUCUUUGUGUCUUCUUCUUCCUGCACCUUGGAUUUUAGUUUCAGCUCAUAAGAGAUUAGAGAGUUGAUAAGAGAUUCAAUAGAUAGGGUAUUCAGAUCUUUAGCUUCCUCUAUGGCAGUUACCUUGCUCUCCCAAUCCUUUGAUAAGGCAUUCAGAAUUUUUUUAUUUUUCUCAACUAAAGAGUAGUUUUUCUCAGGCACUUCUAGAUCCUUGAUAAGAUCAUUGAAUCUGCAGUACAUCUUGUCAAUGUUUUCAUGAGGUUCCAUCAUAAAGGAUUCAUACUUUGUGACCAGGAUGGACUUCUUUUGCUCUCUCACAUUCUCGCUUCCUUCAUGAAUUUCUCUAAGUUUAUCCGAUAUUUCUUUCGCAGAUCUACAGUCUUUGACUCUAAUGGACUCAUUUGAAUCUAGAGCACUAUAUAAUACAUUCAUAGCCUUGGCAUUUAGAGUAGGAUGAGUUCUAUCUUCAACAGUCAACUCACUUCUUGUUUUCGGUCUCGGCCUAUGGGUAUCAUCAUCAAUAAUAGAGACAUCAUAUGGACCCUCAUUAACAAUAAUAGAGGUACCACAAUUUAUAUAGGACCAAGAAAGUGCCUCAUUAAUGCUUCCAACGGAUAGAAAGUAGUUGCAGAGUCAACUAGCCGUUGGAAUAUCGGACGUCUGAUACUCCUGUUUUUUGUGUCCGACAGCAGGCAGUGAGUUUGAGAAAUUUUCUUCAACUCUAUCGGACGUCCGGUGCAAGCUCUUUGUGCGUCCGACAACAAACAAGGAGAUUUGAGAAAUCAUCUUGUUUCUAUCGGACGUUCGGUGGAGACCUAUUCAGCGUCCGAUGGUUUCGUCGACUUGAAGGAUCCUAUUGGACGUCCAAUGCUUGCGUCCGAAAGAGGUCAAUGAGUUAGGUGGAAUGUCUUCAUUCUUUCGGACGUCUAGUGAUGGAGUUCUUCAUGCGUUCGAAGUUGCGCAAGGAGUAUCGGAUGUUCGAUCCUGACUUCUCAAGCGUCCGACAGCUUUCAGCAGCCUUUGUCCCUUUCAAUUACACUUGAUUUUUGAAUCUGAUUUGCUUCAUAAUUGAAAGUAUUUCUUGAAAAGAUAUUAGUAUUAUCCAUUGUUUUGUAAACAUCAAAAGUUAGGGACCAAGAUCAACAUAUGAAUUCAACCAACCAUUAGUCACUAUUUUCGUGAAAAUAAGACUAGUGUUCAAUAACUUAUACCUAUUUGAAGAUAAUUUUCAAUGCUCAACAAUUAUCAAAUCAUUCAUAGUUAAUGACCAAACAACUAUGAAGCAUAAGUACAAGUUCUCAAACUAACACAUCAUGAAAAACUAUAAUCAUUCCCUAACUACUUCAUAUCAAAACUACAACAAAUUCACCUUCAUCCUAGGAGGUAAAAAAGUUUAGGUAGACAUUAUAUUAAGAACAUCUAAAUAUAAAACAAACUUGUAACCAAGCAUGACAAAUAAGAACAAGAGACAAAACUUAGGAAGAAGAAUUCUUAUUUAAUGUCUUGAAGGUUGAUCCUUGAAUUCCUUCACAAGUUGAUCACUCCAAUGUGCUUGGCACAAGAGUGCUCUCAAUUUCCUCUCAAAACUCUUAAACUAACAAAGAAACUCACAAUAUGAAACUAAAACUAAAACUACUUUGUAGCUCUACUUCUGUGCUAUUUCAUCUACUUCAUCAUUCUACAAUAUGCUCAAAUCAAUGAGAUACAAGGGGGUAUUUAUGGAUAUUUUGAAGGGAAAAUGUGCUUAUAAUGUUGAUAUAAAAUUGUUCUUCACUUCUCCAAGUCUAUUUUGUACAGCUAUAGCCAAAAUUUGCUCUGGAAAUGGCUGGAAAUGAGAUGGAAAUAACACGCAAGUUGCAAACAGUUGAAAUCUGUCAUUUUAAAGGAAAGCUGGGGUAGAAAUGUGGGGUAGGUCCGCAUUUCCUGCUCCCCGUUUCUUCUUUGUGCAGGUCUGGCACAUUUUGACAGCUUUUGAAGCUUCCUCUGUUUUUACACUAAUUUUAACCACAAAUUUUUCUAUCAUGAAGGCUGAGUUUGCUCUUGCUAAAAACAUUAAAGUUGAAACUCUUUAAGUUAGAUUUCCAAUAGAUCAAGAAUCAUGUCACUCGGAUAUCUGUAGACUAACAAAUAAUCAAAAAACCCUUGACUGGUUGGAUCCCCUUUUUCAACUUUUGCAUUUCCAAUAUUGAGCUUUUUAACCAUGAAAACACAUGAAUUGGAUCUUGAUGCCUUAUAAAAAUGUAGAGCUGUGUCUGUGACGACCCCACCUCCCCCUAGGGCGUACUCCAGGGUUUAGCGGACCGCCUGCCCACCUCUCACCAUGACUCACUCACUUAUUUCAAAUAAAAUAGGUUACAACCUCAAGAGUAAAAGAAAUAACAGUUCCCAAACUUGGAACGUACAUGUACAUUCUUUUCUAUUCCAAACAUUCGUACAAUCCCAAUUCUAACAAAAGAUACGAAUCCCAGAUACAUUCAACCCUAACCGAGCACUAGCGCGAGUACAAUCGCAAAAAUUUAAAAAAAAAGUAGACUAUGCUAGCCUGUACUAGUCUCACGCCCUCGCUCGUACCCCUUGUAAGGAAAACAAAUUUAAUGGAAUAGGGUGAGUUAAAGCUUAGUGAGGUUCCAAAUAGCAAGUUGACCAUUAUUUAAAAGUGCACGUAUCAAAGUAGAAAAGUAGCGAGCAUAACAAGUUCAUAAAAGUGAGCAAUAACACUUCAAGUAGAAAAUCUCAAAAUGAGCGAGUGUAAAAUUCUUUUUCUAAAAGAAAUGAUAACACUAUGAAUAACAAUCAAAGUAUAAGGAUAUAGAUGGCUCUCAGGAGUCAAAUUCCUAUUGCUUCACUAGAGUUUGAUCAAGUAUUAGUUGACGCUCUGUCAACUUUCAAGUAAAGUAACCAAUUCAGUAGUGUUUCGCUUAAUACCAAUCCGUCCACCAUUCAACCCCCAUAUCGGGCCCAAACACCAACUAAACACUGGUGGUAAUACUCGAGCAUACCGAUUAGUCGAGGAGGUAUCACUCCACUCGACAAAACAAGAGACCCAUGGUUUGUUAUCUAAUCGACCAAACCCUUGCCGGCUCGACUCGAUUAACUAGCCAGUGGGGUUUGGGUUCCCAAGUAGUCAACAUAGUCGAUGACCAAUCGACUUAGUCAAGAGAAAAAGUACAGAGACGGGAAUGAGAGGUACCUCCCACUCGUAUCGAGUGUGGUAUAUAUUGCCGCUCAGUACUUACAAGUCAAGCACAAGUACAAAUACAAGUACAGGUCAAUGCAGAUCAAGUCACUUGUACAAGCAUGAAUGAAAUAUCAAGUGUUUAGUUGAGUUAGGUCAAGUGCGAUAAAGUACACACUUGCCCGACCAACUAAGUAAAUCUUAUCCGAUCACGUUGGUAAAGAUUUUAAAUCAAGUAUCAAGUUCAAUCAUGUAUUUUGAAGCACUCACCAAAGGUCUAGUGCUUUUCAAAAUCACGUUCAGGUCCAACUCCUUGGUUGGAUUCCAAAUCUGUGAUAAAAUAUCAUUUAAGAAUGUAAAACUCUCUAGAGUUCGAAACAUAGGAGUUUCGCUUCAAGAAAAUCAAAUAAAUAAAACUCAAUUAAGUAGUAUUCAUUUUGCUUAUCAUACCGUAGAAAACUCAUGCUCGCUCUUUUAGUUUUGGUAUGGAAGAGGUUAAAACGUUUAAGUUCGUGAAGUGGCUAAAGGACGAGGAAAACAUAUUGCGAAUGGUCGCUACUUUCAUUUUUCCAAGGGUACGAGUUUCGGCCAAAUUUUAGCUUAUAUACCUCUACGAAAGAAGACUCGAAUACCAUAGACAAUCCAAGUUCCAUUCAAUCUCAAAUCUUCGCUCAAGUCAUGAGUACACACGCUUAACCCUCGAGUGAAAAUUUGGGCGGCAUGCCCUUUGUAGUUAGUUAUUUUUCAGCAAUUUAUGGCUUCAUUAUUUUCCUCAACUCAGCCCAAAUUCACACAUAAACAAUUUUAACACAAUAGCCCUUCAACUAGGCUCAAUGUCAUCCAAACACAAGGCAAUUCUAGCAAUGUAACCAUCAAAAUCAAAGUUGGAAACCAGUUGUAAAGACGAAUGGCUAAGUAACAGGUUCGACAUCUUCUGGUGUUUUGGUCACAACGGAUGGUACGCUUAUCGGAUUGGGGUAAAUUUUAUGGAGUUUUGAAGAUAAUACAGUGACCUACAUUUCCUAUUAAGAUAUCAACACCCAGUUUGUGCAUUUUCAAGGUCAAAAUGUGAAAUCUCAGAGAGAACAGAAAGCUGCCUGUGAAAUAGGGCAUUUGGGCAGUCAGGGGUAUUUUAGUCAUUUCAUAAGUUACAGUGCUCUGAUUGAGCUGAAAUUUUUCAGGUAGAUAGCUAACUCCAUUCCCUACAACUUUCAUGUUUUGAGUAAGACCUGAUUCAGCCUUUAUCAAGGACGAACAUGCAGGUCAGUUUGGUUCUAAAACAGGGCAGAAACACUACUCCAAGUCCCUAUCCAAGCUCAUCAACAUCAUAUACUAGAUAAACAACAUUAAUCAAAACUGAAAAUUAUGAACCCUAGCUGAAAAUUAUAAGCUAAUAAGCAAGACCAUGAAAUCUUCCAUAAAAUCCAUCACAAUCAAGCCAUGUGUUGCUUAAAGUGCAAAAUAAGAAAGAAAAAAGAGAGGUUUCUAGUAUAAUACCUCAAAACCCCCAAAACAAGUUGUGAUACAAGAACUUUCUUCCUCCCAAAAGUUUCACCAAGCUCACCUCCAAGCUUUCCCAAAGAUUGAUUGGAGUGGAUUAUAUUUCAACGAUUUGAGUAUAAUUUAACUCUUCACUUGUGCACUCGCAGUAGUGGAAAUUUAAGUAUAAUUUAAAAAUUUGCAAGAAUCAAAAGUUUACAAAAUGGAAACUUUUCGUUUUUAAAAAGUUUCCUAAUUUAGAAAGUUUUCCUUUUUCGUUGUUAUAUGAUGACUAAAAUAUGAGGCCGAAACAUAAAUGUUACAACUCUAAUUCUUCGGACCUACUACACAAUUUUUUUUCAUCUACUUAGAAGACUUAACAGGCCAAAUAAGUAUUUUGUUCCAAAGUAUAAUUUUCUGUUUAUAAUUGGCUCCAAAUUGACCAAUGGUGGCCUAAUAGAUAUUUAGCCUAAAUUAUCCCUUAUUUAAUUUUAGUCUUGAAAGAAAAACCAACCCAUAAAUAUUCGGCCCAAAUCUUUUAAGUUGGCAAUCCAUUUGGAAAAACCCAAUAACUAAUUUAACCAGUUUAGCUUAAAACAAUUUGAUUUGUUUGACUUGGAAAUAACCCAUCCCAUUUGCAAAAUGGGUCUUUUUUCCCCCAAAUAAAAAAGCCAACUUUCAAAACUCUAGACUACAAACCCUAAUCGCCAACCUCCUCCAUUUUCUUCACCAUUGUCAUCAUCUUCAUACCCGACAGCACUUUUGGCUUCUCAACCUGAGGCAGCAAUAGCAAUGAUAUGAACUUUCCUAUAAUUUCAAUGGUCAAAACUUAUACAAACAUAAACUACAAAAAUUAAACAAAAUAACAAACUUGGAAUUCACUAAACCUAAGAAAAAGAACAUAAUUUCGCCUGACUUGAACGUCUAAUUGAUCACCAAAAAUUACUUCUUCCCUUUAACACUCUCUGACACUCUAUUUUUUGAUAGAAGAUGGAAAAGGGAAAAAAAUGUAAAGUGUCAUUCAUAAAUUUGGUUAUUUGGUAAAUAACCAUCUUGAGUAGCUACUUUCUUGGUAACUACGCUCUUCUAUUUCAGUCACUACUUUCCAUUUCCUAAUUCACUCUCGAUAAAAACUCGUUAUCUGGGGAUAAUGGGGUUAAUACAUUAUCCACUUCUAAGCCUAAGGUUUUCCUUUUAACUAUAAUUUAAUCUCUCCGUGUUUACUACCUUGUUUUUAUUUCUACUAAUUAUGAAUAGUGAAAAAAAUAAAAAAUAAAAAAUUAUAGGUAUUACAACAAUACUGUGAGCACUUAGUCCUUUAUCUAAAUAUUUGCCUUAUUUAUGGAAAGAAAUUGUUAAGGAUUCUGUCAAUUAACAUAAAGGACUAAUUGCUAGGUAUGCAUCCAAGAAAGAUUGACUUGACUUUAAACUAACUAUUUAUGUUCGAACAUGAUAUGGGGCUCAAGUCCUAGUUUGAUGCAAUCUAUAAUUUAAUGUUGCAUUUGAUUCAAUUUUGUUAUAUUUAUUUCCCUAAAAUUUGGCUCCAAAGCUCGACUUGUCUCUUUAAUUUUCAAAUUAUGAUAGGAUAUUUUUUUUAUUUAUGUCUCUUAAAUUAAUUUUAUAUGAUACUACAAUUAACAAAUGAGAAGGAUUUAUAUUUCGUAUUUAGAAACAAUAUAUUAUAAACACACUCACAGAUAAAAUUAAUUAACAUAUGUGUAUAUCUUUAAAUUCCUAGCCUAAUUUGUGAGUUGUUGAAUUAAAUAACUUGGUUGUCAAAGUUAAAGCUAGGGAAAGAAGGCAAGCCUGUGCACCGGACGGAUGAUUUAAAAUAAAAGGCAAGACUUAUUUGGACUAGAAUUUUUGUUGAAAUUUUUUUUUUAAGUUUUGAGGAAAUAUUACCUUUGUACAUUUUUAAAUGAGAACCUAGAUGGAGAAACAAUGGUGUUUGUAGCAGUGUAAGUUACCCAAUUGAAAAAAAUUUUAAAAAGGACAAACUAGGAGAGUGGUUGGUUGCACAUGAUAGUUGGAUAUAGAUACAAAAAGAGGCAGAAUUUCAAACAGAAUAUAGAAAGAAAAAAAUGAUAAAGUAAAAAAAUAAUGAAUUAAUAGAAAAUAAAAUGAUAAAAUAUACCAAAUUGUGAGAAGGACAUAAAGGUGCAAAUGAAAAAAGAAGGUUUGGAAUGACAUACAUGAAGAAAAAUAGCAAAAAUCGUUAUGGUAACAAAUAAUAAUGUUGAAAAAGAGUAAACAGAUGUUUUGAAGAAGAUAAUGAGUAAAGUGUGAUAAUAAUGGCUAUUAUUUGGAAAAAUAAUUUUAUUAAUGGAAAUUAUUAGCAUGCUUGAGAAUCAAAUUAUCAAAAGAUCAUCUACUUGUAGAAAAAAAUUGAUUGUUUCGAUAUGGUUUCAAUGACAAAAAAAUUAUUAGCCAAAAAUAUUAGUGGAAAUCAUAAUUACCACUAAUGUAAACCACAAGCACAUUUAAACACACAAAGGGACAAAAAAAAUAUUUCGUCAAUACCUUUAAGAGCUACACAAUAAGGUAGGAAAAAAAUGAUAACAAGAAGUUAAAGAACUUGAAAUAAACAAUAGUAAUGUGUAUAACGGGUGGAAGAAAAUUUAUUUCACUAAUAAGCAUUGAAGUUGACUUCACCAAUUGUAAUAUUUAGUUACAAUGAAAUUGUCAAAAUACCAAAAUUUUAAGGCAUCAAACAGCUACCAAAUAACAAAAUUGAAGGGUUAAUGCAGUACAUUUGCCAGCCUACUUUCAAUUAAUUACUUUUUAUCACACAUGGAUGGGGAGAGGGAUGGGUUGGGUGGUUUGGAGGAGGGAGUGUAUGCACUUAGUCUUUUACCUAAGUAUUUGCCUUAUUUAUAUGAAGAAAAUCAAAUAAAGGCUAGGGGUUCCUUUGGUUAAUGGAUGGAAUCAAAUGCCAAUGCUCAUCCAAAAUAAGUAUGACUAGACUCUGAUACCAACUAUUUCUGUUCAGACUUGAAAUCAGUCUCAAGUUCUAGUUUGAUGGAAUUCAAACUUUUCUUAUGUGGAAUGUGCGUGGAGUGUUGCACCGCGACUCUCGGCAUUACCUAGCUAGUUUGUGUCAAGUACCAUGUUCGUUUGUCCAUUCUAAUUGAGCUCAUUACUGAUGCAUCGCAAAUCAAGGAGGUGUGUCGAUUGCUUAAGUUCGCACAAGCUCGUUCAUUUGUGAGGCCCCGAAAUUUUACUUGUGUUUAUAGCUCUUAUUUGAACUUACUUGUCUUAAAUUCUUGAUUGCUUUUAUGGUUGAAUCAUGAUUUUUCUCUUAUUGUGUUAUUUAACUUGGUGCAUGUUUAAUUUGGUGCAUGUUAAGUUUCAUAGUGCAUUACACUAGUGUGAUCGACUAGUGAGGUGCUUAUCAUAAAUUGGGAGGAUUAGAGGGAGUUUUGCGUAAAAGAAAUUAUAUGACAAGAGGUGUUAAGAGUUAAUUAAAGGGGCAUUAGAUACGUUAGUGAUUAGAGACAAAAAGAUAGACAAUACAUCUUUUCUUGACAUUUGUCAAUUAACCAACCAAGCUUGACCAACCAAUUUUGACCAAGACCAAGCCUUUUUCUUACUUAUCUUGACCAAGCCUUCUUGUCUUCAUCAUUUUCAUCUUGUUGCACACAUGAUAGACAAAAUUUUGAGAGAGGAAAGGGAGAGAAAACACAAAAAAUCCAGCUUUGAUCUCUUGCUUGAAUCAUGAAGAAUCCAAAGAAAAACCCUAAUCCACUCCAUAAAACCUUGAAUAAAUCUUGGAAUGAAGCUAUUGGAGAAGUUUUGGAGGAAGAAAGCCUUGCAACCUUCUUGAUUUGUUUGCUAUCCUUGGGUUUGGAGGUAAAGAAGUGAACUUUGCUGGAAAUCUUCCCUUAUUAUUGAGUUUAAUUGAUAUAUGAUGUUAUAGAAGUUAAAGGAAGGACUUGUAUGGUGGAUUUCAUGAUUUUCAGGUUAUGUUGAGAAAUUUUCAGUUUUUGUUUUGUGCGGAAAAGGGAGGUAAAAAUUGCUAUAAAACCUUUCAUUUCGCCAAUACUUUUGGGUAUUCUAGUUUUAUGUUAAAUUUAAGCCAAAAGGUAGGAGUUUUGUGGAAGAAAAUUCACUUUUCUAAGUUAUAGGUUGCUGAAAUUUUGAUUUAGGGGCAUGUGAUGGAUAGUUUUCAUUGGCAGCCUUGUAAUUGGAACUUUAAUGGAUUUCUUUGGUAAGAAUACAUGCUAUAUAACUCAUGACAUGUUGGAUAUGAUAUAUUGUGUAAUUGCCAUUGAAAUACGGUUGAAAGUUGGAAGUUUUGUUGGAAAGACUCGGGGAAAUGUAUUGAAAUUUCUGCUAGAGUUGGCCAAUUAGGAGAGAGGAAAUUGUCCAGAUUUUCACCAUGAUUUGUGGCUGAUAAGUCUUACUUUGUUACUCAAUAUACUUUAUAAUACAUUAAUCUAAAGAUGUAUGUUGGAAUUGAGUGAAAAAUAAAGGGUUUGUAAGGGGGAAAACUUUUGUUUCCUCAAACUCUACUUUUGCUGGAAAUUUUCGCAGGAAGCCCUGCGCAUCUUUGAGAAAUUAGCUAUAACUUCGUAUAGGAAAGUUAGAAUUGAGUUCCAUUUGUUGCGUUUGAAACUAGACUCAUAGAGCUUUCAACAGUAUAAAAUUCAAGGUUUGGUUCAACUCCUAUAAAUACCAGAAAAUCUGCAAAGUUUCUUAAAAACCAUGACUGUUAUGUUUUUACACAUGAGACAGCAGUGUGUCUGAACUGAAAUUUGGCUAACCUAUGAACUGAAUUUCAUGAAGAUGUCUUUUAAAGCCUGUUAAUGCUUUGAAUUUAUUUUCUAAUGGUGUAAGUUUUACAAUUUUAUAACCUACGAAACUCAAGUUAUAAUUUUUCAAAGAAUGUCACCAAAGCUGGGAAUUUUGUCAAAUGAAUUGAGUGGGACUUGGAAAACUCUGGGGAAACUUUUCUAGGUUUUAAACCUAACUUUCUUUGGUUAAAUCUUGUACAUUUUGAUUUGAAAUACUUGGUGAUAUGUUAAUUAACCUUAGCAUGCAUGAAAUAUUUCACUUGAUUUGAACUUGAUUUAAACAAGAAAUCGUGGCCCUUUUAGUCUUCUAAUAUUAGGGUUAAACUUGUAGUUUCUAUGGUUGCUAAGUGAAGCAUCGAAUCUCAUAUUUUCUCAUUAUCUUGGCUUUAAGUUAGUAGACUCUUGACGGAUUACAUGAUCACAUGACUUGAGAAUGUUCUAGAGGAAGAACCAGGGCGACCAAUUGAUGAGUGUUCCUUGUGUGUUUGUACAAUAAGUGACUAUUUGUGAGAGAUUGUUUAAAUGGUAAAUGCUUUCCAAUCAUUGUUAAAUGGAUUUUCAAUAGAUGAGUGUGUACUUUAUCGCACUCGACCUAAGUGAAUGUGAGAUUUUCAAUGAUCAAAUUGAUUGAAUGUUACUUGUACAUGAAUGUAAGCCUUUGGCUGAACUGGGCCCUUGCCCUUUGUUGCCAGUCAACUCGAGCCAGAAGCAGACUCGGUCGGGUGGCUGGUGACCCUAGGACAAUGUUUUGAUAUAUUCGAGUAUGACCACGAAAUCUGGUGGAGAGUUAGCUAGUGAAUGAAAUGCAAUGAAUGAAAUGACUGACUGAAUGAAAUGAUCACUGUCGGAGUUUUAUUUCAAAUGUUUUCACAUGUUGGAGGUAUAAGGGAGAAAUGGUCGGAGACUGAACGACUGAAUGAAUGAAUGGCUCUAAGUGAGCACAUAUCUUUCCAAUGAUUGAAUGUUUAUUUUUUGAAUGACUGUAUAUUACUGUGAAAGUGUGCAAAUUGUUAAAUGUAAUACUUCCAUGGUUUCUCUACCUAAUUGUUUGUUUGGGAACCUCACUAGAUUUUUAGCUCAUUCCUUUAGUUUUGUUUUCCUUACAGGAGUGGAGACCGGAGCAAGUAAGCAUGAACUAGUGUGUAUAUCUUCAUGUACUUGUAUUUUUAUAGAUGGAAUGUAUUUGGGGAUCUUUGGCAAUGUACCCUCAUGUUACACUUUUAGGUUGUAAAUUAAGUUGGAAUUCUUGAAUGGGUAUAUUUUGGAUCUUUGGCAACUAUUGUUUUGACCUGUAUACGUGCAGUCAAAUGAGUAUAUUUUGGAUUUAAACUUGCACUUAUAUUGAAAACCCGUCAUAUCUAACUAGUAUAACGUCACAAUUCAAUAUUAUUAAAAAUAUAUAAAUAAAUGUACCAGUAUCGCUAUUUGGCUACUUUCAGGAAUCAUUCAUGUAACAAUUCCUUCCUAUCGGCUUCUGGGUCAACAAAUCAAAAGUACUACUAGUAUUUUUUAAAUGAAUAAAAAACAAAUUAGCAAAAUAAUGAGUGAAAAAAAAAGAAAUAAAAAAAGGAAAGAUAAAAAAUAAAGAAAAGAUAAAAUAAAUGGAUUUCUAAAAAAAAGUAACAGAUUUCUAAAAUAGUUUCACGUUGAAGUUCAACAUGAAUAUUCUUUUCCUCGUUUCUUUGUUAUGUAUUACUGUAAAAUUAGUCAUCUGAUCUCCGUGAAAACAUCAAGACCAUCUCUUAAACUAUCAAAAAUUGGCAGACAUACAAAGGGAGCAAUAAAUAUCGAGACCCUCUCUUUAAACCCUCAAAUCUGAUAGACAAAUAGGGAGAAGUCUCUUUUCUUGUCCCUUUUUUUUUUGGGUCAGCAUGGAUAAUUUUUUUUCUUUUACCAAUGCUAUCUGCAAUCAAAAGGUAAAAUUUUCCUUAACUGCUAUCUACAGUAUCAUCAAUAUGCAAUUAAAUUGUCGAGUUGUGCCUAAGCAAUCUGAUAUUGGUGAACACGAUUAAACUUUGGGCUCAAUUAUCUUAAUCACAAGGUUUUGUUACAGCAUAAAGGUUUGCUUUGCAAAACCCCUUCAAAUUAACUGUGACUUAGUUUAGUUUACUUAUGGCUUGGGCUAUAGCGAUUAAUUUGCUAUGAUAACUUCGUGAAAUAAGUGAUAAUUUACCAAAUUAUAAGCCUUUUGUUCCAGUGUCCAUAAGCUAAUUUUAGAUGAUUUGAUGUUUCGCUAUUAUAGACAGAUUUCUACUUUUGUAAAUUCAAAUCAAUGUAGCAGAUAUUGAUCGUUAUUGUUCUUGGUUCGUGUUUUACUAUUGGCUUUUCUUGCUAAUUGCUUGAUCUACUAUAGCAUGAUCAAUUUACGAACGGGGAGGAGCAUCAACCUUCUAGUUAUGCAGUAGAAGAAAUCAACAAGAUUUAAUACAUAGUAACAAGUGACAUGCAUAUGAUAAAACAUAAAACUUAUUGAUUCAUCUUGGGCCUUCUUGUUCUGUGAGUACUCUGUGGUUCACACUUUUGAACUUACCGUUGGCGAUCAGCAGCAUGAGUCAUGGGGAAAAUAAGUAUAGUCAAUAAGAGAAGUUUAGUUUUGAACCAAUAUACAUCAAGGGAGGAAUUUUGUUGUUAUGCUUUGAGAAACGAGUAAAUUAUAUGCAUUUGAAUAUGUUAUUUUUGUGUGUAUUUGAGGCAAAGACGAACAAGUAUUUCUUUUUUUUCUUAUUUUUUAGAUUGGAAGUUUAUGUAAGCAAGGUAGUUUACAAGAUACUGAUGAUAUAUAUUCCCUUGCAUUGGAACCUAGCAAGCGUGUUGGAAUAUACUCUGAUUGUUUUAUAAAUGGAAUAAAUUUUCUCAACAAAAAAAGGCAUGACGCUCAUCGAGUGACUCAAAACAGUGUCGUGUGUGUAGAAGGAUCUCAUAAAGAUAAGGAUAUUAUUUUCCGCAACGGAUCCUCUGUACCACAACCCUGUCUCACACCCUAUCCCACCCCUCAUAAACUUGCCAAGUGUCCUUUUAUUAACCCAAUCCUGAAACAACCCAACUCGAACCAUGUUUAAUUAUUUAACCGAUUAAUCGGGUUGAGAAACUUAAUCACACAAAACCAAAAUCCAUUAAACUAAAAACCCAAAAAACAAAAUUAAAGAUUAAACAAGGCACAAAAAAAAACCCCCCACAAGGCCACGAUUCUGGUUUCCCAUCAGAUUUCACUCCUCCUCAAAAGCUUCCGUCAGAUAUCACUCAUCAGCUCAUCAGAGAUCACUCACAAUUCAAAUGCCUGGUGGCAUGAUUUCGGCUGAUGAUCAUAUGCUAUGUCCUUCGUCACGAAGUCGAAGGAAAUCUGAUGGUGGAAUCGUGCGCCGUGUGAAAGCACAAAAAUCACCGUUCUUAACCGAGACUCAGGUUGUGCUCCAUCUCGGAACCUUGUGGGGUUAGGAGUAAAGCAUCCCAAGGUUAGCGCAUCUCUAAUAGCGUGGAGAAACAUUGGGAACCCCAAUUUCGUGGUCAUUCUCCGGAGCCCUUUCUUCAGGUUAUGAGUGAUCAAUGGGCAAUUGGACGAAGCUCCCCACCUGUUCGAUCAAAUGCCUAGGCGUCAUGAAUCAUUUUUUUCGUAGGUUUUUCUUGCCUUUGUUUUCCCGCAGUUUUCUUUGCCCAUUAUUCUGUCAUUCGGAUUUAUUGUGACUCCUUUCUGAAAUCUGUUCUCAAAUUAUAGCUGUCAUAGCCUUUAACUCUGAUGGUUGGUUGAUAUUCACUUAUAUAACGAUGUGCAGCAGAUUAGUGAAUUGAGUUGAAUGAUGAAGUUGAUGAUGUGGUCUACUUAGCUGAUCUCUGUGUUGUUUCUAUAAUUCUUACAUGUAGUUAAGUGCGAUCUGCUAUGCCAAAGAGGUUUUAGAGGAAAACGGGACAUGAUUGUUUUGGUGAGGACAUGCUUUAGCCAAGGGAAACUGAUAUACCAGCUUUGUUUCUAGUCUUUGUUGUACUUCCCCUGGUUACAUAUAUCGUGAGGGGAAAAUGGAGCGAGUCAACAAAAAAAAAAAGAGAGGGUUAGUUUGCUUACUCAACAGGCAGCUGAAGAAAGUUAAGGUCUGAAUUAUAGGAGCAAUUCUAUUAUCAUUUAAACAGAUAGAGCAAAAAUAUUAAAUAGGAGUAAUGCAUCUGUUUGAAACAUUUCAGCAAAGAUUUUGUUUGCCAGUUCUUAAGCUGCUUGAUUGAUGAAUCUAAAUGGUGUAUUCUGGGCCUAGUCAUUCAUGAAAGUUUAUGGAUAAAUUUUUUUCUUUUAUUUUACAGAUGCUAUUUCGGUAUGAAGAUUUUGUGAAGUCCUUUCACUAUGAAGUUUUCAACAUGUCUCCAAGAGGUCUUAUAAAUUGUGGAAACAGGUAUUUCUUCAAAAUUUUUCCUGCUUUUCUUGUGCUUUUACAUAUCAAUAGCUCUAGAAAAAUUUUAUAUAUAUAGGAAAUGUACAGACUCUUAAUGCAAUAAUGUACUGAAACAAAUUUCAUAGGAUUUUUUAUUAUUUGUCAAGUAUAUUCAAGAUUUCUUUCAUUUUACUGUGCAGUUGUUAUGCCAAUGCUGUAUUGCAGUGUCUGACCUGCACAAAGCCUCUCAUUCUGUUUCUGCUUCAGAGAUUGCAUUCUAGAGCUUGUUACGAUUGGUUUGAUUUACAAUGUCUUGCUUUUGCAUUCUAGAGACUUCCGAAGUAAAUUCUGCUUCAGAGAUUGCAUUCUAGGGGUUCAUGUUAUUUCGAUCCACUACUAUUACUGAAUAAGGGGUUGGCAUGCUUCCCUUCAAUGUUCGCGUGUUUAAAGCAUAUAUUGUUGCAGUAUCUUUGAGAGAGACUAGAGCUAUGCAGACUCAAGUUAAUUGUGUGUGAGAUCGUUAGCCUUUUGCUUUGAUUGUAAGAUGAUAAGUGAAAUCCCAAAUAUCUGGGAAGGUGUUGUGGAUAUUCCCCUUGUCUGAUUAAGUGCAGCUAAGAUGUUAUUUCAUGUCAAAGUUGAAAAUUAUUGGCUUUGGUCUCCAUGGAUUGCUUUUGUGGCUUUAAAACAUAACGUUGUGCUCAAACCUCAGAAAGAGGAAAACAAAAAAUGGAAUGUGUAUAAAAAUCUAUGAUCCCUCUUCUACAAGGGAACAGAAAGAAAAGAGUGGAUAGAUUCCGAGGUGUAUAAAUGUAUAACUUCACACCAUCCAAGAUUUUUGCCCUGAUCAUUCAUGUUUAGCAACUUGUUGAUCACUAUCAUCAUUAUUUCCCAGUUCUUGUGCCUACAAAAAACAAAUGCUAAGUUAGCAAAUGUAUUGAAUUAUAAGUGUAACUUAUCAAACUAAUAUAUGCAGAAAACUCUUCACAGUGCAUACAGUGCAUUAUUCCUGAUCCCAUAUACAUAUACCAACCCUAAAUACAUCAAAUUUGGAUGAUCUGAUUAUGAAAAGCAGGAAAAGGUUAUUGUCAGCUGUGAUUAAAAUAUCACUAUCAUUGAGUUCACUAUCACAAAAAUAUUCAUCCUUCAUUGAGCUUCAACGUGCAAAAAGUGCAUUAUUCCUGAUCCCAUAUAGAUAUACCGUAUGCACAGAAAAAGGUUAUUGUCAACAGUUUUUUCGUUCGGUAGAUCAACUUGCACCAGAUUAUCAAAGUCAUCUUUUACAGAAUUGUUCACUCCACUUGACUUUUCUACAUGUAAAAUAUAAAAACACCCCUACAUUUCAUUUUAAUCAUAGUUUGAUAGCAAGGGAGUGAUAGUGAACUCAAUGAAGGAUGAAUAUUUUUGUCUAGCUCAAAUAAUAAAAAAUGUCAAUGGAAAUGCCAAUAAUAACUCCUAAUUUCAUAUCCAGAAUAAUAACUCCUGAUUAUGAAUGAUGAAUAUAAGAUUAAGUAAUUAAUCAAGAUUUUUUCUUACUUGGACAAAACUCAUUGACGCUGCUGGUGUGCUAUUGAACUUGAAGACAUCAAAUCAUAGCCUUGGUAGAAGUUAGGGUCCAACGUCUGCCCAAAAAAUAAGAAAUAGAAGACAUCCUUCAUUAUAAAAAUAGCUAUAUACUUGUAAAAGUAUAAUACUAUAAAAAUUAAUAUAAAUAAGAAACAACACAAAUUAAAAGCAUAAUAUUUGCUUACUUGCAAUAAUUGUGUCAUGUUUUUAGGAUUUCGCCUAUUGUAAAUGUCUUCUAUUGGAAUUCCAAAUUCCUGAUAUAAUUAAAGAGAGACGACCACAAAUUAAAAAUUUCAUUGAAAAAAUAUAUCGUUAAUGUAAUUUAGUCAUCUAAAGAAUAAAUUAUUCAAAUAAAAAUUUAAAAUAAAUGACAUAUCUACUAUGCUAUACAAGACAAAAAUGACGAAUAACUAUACCUGCUGGGGUGGUAAUUCUCGAACAAAACCUUGAAUUGUAGCAGAAUCCAUACUUGAAUGAACAACAUUAUUUCCAAAUUCCUACAAUCAUUUUUAUCCAAAUUAUAAAUAAAGAUCCUAAUACUAUUUCUAUACUCAUCAUUCAUCAGACAACUAAGGGACCCAAAAAAAAAAGUAAUAGUCAAACAAUCAAAAACCAUUGUUCACAUAAACUAAAUAAAUUGUCUAACCUGUAAUUUUUUCGAUGAAGACUUCUCUUUCACCUUGUACUUGCGUUUCUUAGUAGCCAUUUCCAGUGCACUUCUUGGCCUCUUGCUCGACUUGUAGGUGACUUUUUCUUUCACUUUGAUGCCUUUUAUUUUAUUAUAGGCAACUUCAGAUGGAUUAGUGUCAACAUCUUGAUACGCACUACAAUUUUCUUCAAUACGCACUUCUUUCAUUUUCUUUUUCCCUUGACAACAUGCAUCCAUUUGUUCUGACAUUUUCCAAAAUCCAUCUUUAGCAAUUUGAUAAGCUUCAUCACAUUCAGAAGCUUUUGUCAUCAGCUGCAUAUAUAGAUAGGAUAACUCUUUGUAACGAAAACUUAAUUUUGCCUUUAACUCCAUUUCCGGGCUACUUUCACUGGAAACAUGCACAUUUCCUGUUUUGGCUGCUUUUGUCCAUCUCUUCAAUAUAUAUGCAUCCGGAAUUGUUACAAUAUUCAGAGUCAUCAAUAUUUUUAGUGCAUGUGAACACAAAAAUCCAGCAAAUUCAAAUUUCUUACAACUACAACAAAUUGAAUUCGUGGAUGAAUCAUAAGUUACAAGAUGGUGGGAAGUCUUACCAUGUGGUGUAACUCUGUAAAUCAUUUGAUUUCCUAAUUCACCAUCAACUUCCCACUUACAAUCAAUCCCUUUGCAUAGCUCCUCCUUAAAUUUUUCAUACACUUCAUGUGUAUAUACAAACAUUUUUCAUACACUUCAUGUGCAUAGCUCCUCCUUAAAUUAUUCGUUGGGUUGUGGUCAUAUCAGCACAGAAGGUUUCUCUCCCAUACACUAAAGCCCAUUUCUCUUUUAUAUCAAACAUUUUCUUCAACCACUUCUUGUCUUCCAGACCAUACGUUUUUAGCAUUUCACUCCAUCCCUCAAAAAAAUCAUCCUCAUUUUCAUAGUCAUAUAUGCAGUGACUAAAAUCUGCCGCAAAAUUUUGAAAAUCUUUAAAGACAUCAGCUAGAUGCGUUGCUGCAUUUUGAUAGAUAUGCCAUAUACAUAAGCGGUGAUACGUUGUUGGCCAUUGAGAAGCCAAAGCCGUUGCCAUUCUUCCGUCCUGGUCUGUAAGAAUAGUUCUUGGUAUUUUUUCCAUCAUAGCCUUAGCAAAUGUGUCAAACAGCCAUUCAAAUGUCAGAAUUGUCUCAUCAUAUAAUAAAGCAGCCCCAAAAACAGUAGUUUGUUUAUGAUGAUUUACACCAACGAAUAAAGCAAUUGGCCUCCCAUCUUUGUGCUUUCUAUAAGUUGUAUCAAAACAAACCACAUCACCAAAAUGAGCAAAAUCCGUUCUCAUCUUUGCAUCAGCCCAAAAUAUGUUAGUUAUCAAGUCAUCUUCAUCUACUUGAAUGGCGUAAAAAAAAUUUGGAUCCUCUAAUUGCAUGCCUUGUAAGUACUCUAAGACUCCUCCUGUGUCACCUUGCAUCAUUGGUAUGGAUCUUUUGGAUCGUAAGUAAUUUUUUAAAUCAUCUCGAAUGAACCCAAGAUUUUCUCGUCCACCAACUUGUUUCGACAUCAGUUCAAUCGAUUGUUUUGGUGUAAUUCCGCAACUUCGGGCCAUAUCUAUUUCAGCUUCGUGUGCCAUUGUCAAAUGUCUAUGAGAUCUGAAUAAAUGAGUUUUGCUUGGAGUUGAUAGCUCAUGAUUAUGUUCAGCAACAAAUUGCACAACACGGUAUUUUCCACCUUUUCUACAGCUAAUUUUCAUCCUUGCACUGCAUUCACAUCUUGUUUCUGGACGAGGACACUUAACAAUCAUAUUGCGUUUGUCUUUUGGCUUUUUUCCUUCACGGGAGCAGCAAAAAACCCUGUCCAACAUCAAAUCACUAUUUUUGUCUUUAUGUCCCUUACUCAAUCGAGUUCCAAAACCAGAUGCUUUAGCAUAUUUUUGGUAAAAAUUUUUGGCUGCUACUUCAGUAUCGAAUUCCAUGUCAAGUUUCGGGACCAAGUCAUCAGGUAUAGCCAAAGGAAGAAAAAUUUGAUUUCCGUGAUUGCCAUCAGUAAUACAAAGAGGUAAGGCAUUAUCAUUUAUCUCCUGCAAGUCAACAUCUUCAAAGUCCAAUUUACGACAUGAUUGGAUUUCAUGAGUUGGCAAAUCAUUCUCCAUAUUCCCCCAAAACCCAACAAAUGACCUGUAUCAAAUUACCGAAUACAAAUACAUAAUUUAUUACCCUUUUUGGUGAAAAGCAACAUGGUAGGGAAAAUCGUGCACCUAUUAAACCACAGAAAAGAAUGACUCAGCAAAUAGCACAGAGGAAAAUAUGUGAAAAAUGAGUAUGCAUUCAAGCUAUUCAUACACAAGAGAAGAGGCCCAAAACUAAUGCAUCAAAGUAUUCACAAAGAAAUGGCACAAUUUGCAAAGUCACCAGGAGAAAUAUCACACACACAACAGAAUUUCACUAGAAUAAAAUAACCCAUGCAAAAGUACUCGACCCAUGAAUGAAAAGUAGAUAUCCUCAUAGGGAAUGAUCAAACAAAGAGCAGAUAACUUACUGUAUAAACACCCAAACUAGAAUAUUAAAAAAUAAAUAAUAAAUAGAAAAAAUGAAACCGUCUUUGAGUAUAAUGUGUAAACAAAGAAGAAGCCAAAAGUCUCACAAACAACCAUAAGAAACGAGAAGUUCAGAUUAGAACUCUGAGGUCUAGGGAGUCAAUAUCAAACCCAGCGUGUUGCUUUUCCCUACCAUGUUGCUUUUCAUACCACUUUGGUGAUUCUAUAUUUACUAUUCAUCUAAUAAUUAUUAAAGUAAUGUUACUAUUCGUAUAAAUUCAUACAACUUUGUGUAAAACUUGAGCUUGUGAUUUAUACAACUAGAUUUGCGUAAAAAUCAUAAUCUCACUGAAAUUAUACGAGUUUACACCAAAUGUUGUUGGAUCUGCACAACUGGUUUAAAUCGGCAGGCUCCAAAUCCAUGGUAAAUGGGUGUCUUAUGUUUCACAAUUUACAUCAUUCAAAUAAAAAAAAUCAUUGAAUAUCCGCUAUCUGCUUCCCAAUGCCGUUCAUCCCCUGUAUUGCAAAAACAAUUAUCACCCUCGUUAAUCUUGUAUUAUCAAAACCUACAUGGAAUUCCACCUGACUCUUGCCUAUGGGGAAAAAGUCAAGGAUCAGCAUCAUGAAUGAUAUUUAUAAGGAUAUGCACAAGGCCCGUAUGGUAACCAAUGUCCCAAAAAAAAAAAAAAAGGCUCAAUGUCCAACAAAUGGUUGUAAGGUAGUAGGAUUGGGCAGGACUUAAAAGUGUUAAAUUAAUAACUACUGGUGUAAAUAUCUGCAAAUUGGUUUUAAUGCCUUUAACACUUGGGUGUAAAAACAGCAUCAGCUAAUUUGAGUGUCCAAGAAUUGCUUGUAAACCAACCAAAGUAAUAGUGGUUUACAACUUGUAAUAAUAGUAAUCAACAGUGUAAAUCUCCUCCAAUUGGUUGUAAGCCAAAGACAUCAAUAUUGAAUUAAGAGCUGAUUCUAUAUUUACUAUUCUUCUUAUUAACCAAACUCUUCAUUGUUUUUGUAAUAGUUAAAAGCCUGGAUAGAGAUUUUCUCCUUUCAAAGACACAUCAACAGGUACAAUACAAACACAAAAAGCGUAAAAAUUUGUGAACAAAAACAUCUUAAGCAAAUAGAUCUUCAAUCAACAGAGACCCAAAAAAAUAAAUCCUGAAACUUAACGAAAAUCAUCAAAGAGUAAGUAUUUGAAGGAACCCAGCAAUCCCUUUGCAUAAAUUCUUUAAGUUCAGAGGCUUCAGGUUGACUUCAGAGGCUUGUGCUGAUGUUUACAUGAAUAACGCAAUUCGUUGCAUAUGAAGCGGCACAUAAAUAACGCAAUUCGUUGCAUAUGAAGAGUACUUAUUUGAAGGAAAAUUCACCUACGUACCUUGCUCCGUUGAAGACUAGCUUUAGUUUAGGAGAAAAGGCUUUAGUUUAGGAAAAUUCACCUACGUCCCUUGCUCCGUGAAUAUUUCGUCAAAGCUGAAUGGUGAAGAUGAUGAACUCGGACAGCCCUGCUGCGUUGCGAUGAAGGUUUUGAGAAGGAUACCAAUCUGAUGGGAAACCAGAAUCGUGGCCUGCUGCGUUGAAUUGCACUUUGUUGUCCUGCCCGAAUUUUGUGAUGAAGCUUUUGAGGAGGAGUGAAAUCUGAUGGGAAACCAGAAUCGUGGCCUUGUGGGGGGUUUUUUUUUGUGCCUUGUUUAAUCUUUAAUUUUGUUUUUUGGGUUUUUAGUUUAAUGGAUUUUGGUUUUGUGUGAUUAAGUUUCUCAACCCGAUUAAUCGGUUAAAUAAUUAAACAUGGUUCGAGUUGGGUUGUUUCAGGAUUGGGUUAAUAAAAGGACACUUGGCAAGUUUAUGAGGGGUGGGAUAGGGUGUGAGACAGGGUUGUGGUACAGAGGAUCCGUUGCGUUUAUUUUCUAUGGCAUUUUAAGUGAAGUUAUUGAAUUGACCUAUGCGAACAACAAUUGUCAAGUUGUUUUGUUCAAGUGCGAAUGGUUUGAGUUAGAUAAAUUUAAACAUGUGCCAAUUGAUGGUUUUCUUACUAACAUCAAUGUCAGUAGAAAGUGGUAUGAAAAUGAUCCCUAUAUUCUUGCCACUCAAGCUACUCAAGUUUUCUAUGUGCGGGAUACAAAAUUGAGAAGAGAUUGGCAUGUUGCACAAAAGGUCCGUCAUCAACAUUUGUUUGAUCCGUCUUUGUUCCAUCUGAAGACAAUCUAUUAGAUGACAGUCAGCCAGUUCAUGUGGAUGCUUCUCAAGAAGAUGAAUUAUUUAAUAUAUAAAUUAAUGAUUAAAUUGGUGAGCCAGGUUCUUUAAUUAGGGAAGAUGUUGGUCAUGAAUUUAUUAAUGUGAAUGAUGAUGAAGUAAGGCAAAAACCUGACCAUCUUGUUUCUGGAAAAAAUCACUGAAUUUGAGAUAGAUGAUAACGAGGAUGAUGACACAAUUGACGAUUAUUAUGAUGAAAAUGAAGUUGAUUUGGACAAAACUUCAGAUAUUGACAUGGAAUAAAUUGUUCAAACUAUAUAUAUAUAUAUAUUUUUUUUAGUGUAAGCGGGAGGACUCGAACCCGAGACCUCUCGCUUACACUCCUUGCCCCCGUACCCCCAACCUAUCCUUCCCCCCAAACUAUACUUUUGUUAGGAAAUAUUAUAGUGUAUUAGUUCUAAAAUGCGUUCAUGAACUCCAAAAAAUAUCUUAAAUCUAGGUUGUGUAUGUUGUUUUCUAUGCAACUACUGUUUUUAUAAAAAGUUUUUUUUUCGGAGAUUUUUCGUGCUCAUGAAAAUUGUUAACAUUUCAUUGAAUUUUUAAUAAAGUAAUCUACUAUAUUACUAAAAAAAGGUCAUUGGCACUUAACUAACAUUUUUUUAAAUUGUUUAUAUUUAACCAAAUUCAUGCCAUUAGAAUUUUAAAAAAAUUAACUUCAAUUUUUAAAAAACUAUGUAAUUUCCAACAAUUUAUCUUUUGGUCACCAAUCUAUUGAAUUGGAAAUUAGCUGUCAUACAAGAAAGAUUAGAUAUGUAAUAGCUGUCAAACGCAAAUUUGGCUGCUGAAACACUUUCAAAUACAACAUCUUCUUUGUGCAAAUUUUCUUUUUGAUGGACUUAGGUUUUGUCUCAAAUUUGCUUUUACAAAUUUUUAAAAAAUAAAAAAUAAUUUCAGGUUUUCUAUUGAACACUAUCUUUGAUCGCCAAAAAAUCAAAUAUUUUAUGACUAAAAUUCGGUCACUGUAUCCAUUAGAUGGUUGCCAAAUAAAAUACCAUGAAAAUAAAUUUGACACCAAAGUUUUAAAUUUUAAAGUUUUUGACACCAAAAUUUUGGUUGCCAAUACUUUUAUAAUUUUUUUUCUACGACCAAAGAUAUUUUUGGUUGCUUUUUAUAUGUUUUAGCAACCAUUUUCUUUUUCUCACUAAAUUUUUUAUCGCUGAAACCCAUUUUAAUUUGUUGUAGUGGGUACAAGGUCGGUAAUUUGUAUCCUUUCCCCCCAGUGGAACUCAUCUAUCAAAGCAGCUACCAACCACUAUGGCUGAUAUAACUUGCAGUUGCCUUGCACCUUGGUGACUCAUUCUCAUCAGGGAUGUUUCAACUGUAACUUGCAGCUGCCUUGCACCCGGGUGACUCCCCUACUACAAAUGUGAGAGUGUGUGUGUGUGUAAAAGUGAGGAUUCGUCAAUUCAUUGCUGAAGAGGUUGAUCGAGUUAAACAAAAAUUUAAAGUUGUCAUUCUCAGUAGGGGUGUUUCAAUUGUAAGAACUGAAACUGUGUUAUGCAGCCGAUAUAACUUGCAGCUGCCUUGUAGCCAGGUGACUCAUUCUCAUAAGGGGUAUUUCAACUGUAAGAACUGAAAUUGUGUUAUGAAAAAAAUGGCACAACAAUGGUUGAUCGUCCAGAGGGGAGAAUAUGCACAAUCAAGCUCGUGCUUAUCCAAUGGCGGCCAGAUAUAUUUUGUUAGUUUAUUUUUUAAAAAUUGAAGCAUAACUUUUAAGAUUAAUCUUUCCUACACUAUCAGUGUAUACACUGACGGAGUUGGAUGAAUGUCACAUCAUCUGAAUUUGAAUUUAAACAUCAAAUUUUGUAUAUGUGUCAUGCAUUUAGACUCGCUAGUGCAUACACUAUCAGUGUAUAAAAGAUUUAUUCAUGAUAGAAUUCCUAUUAUGUACGUUCAUAUGUACAGUGUUGAAUGGUUUAUUGAGCCAAUUAAAUGCCUCCUUUAAUUUUUUCUUCUCUUUUUUGGUUUUUUAACAUCUGGGAAAUGAUCAGUCUUGGGAUGGAUUCUAUUGUUCACUCCUGUAAUAUUCUUAUUGGGGACAAAAUUGACAAUUUUUUAAAUUUUAUUAAUUAAGACAUCAUAAGUAAACAAAUGAAACUUAUUUUGUAGUUUUACGAUUGUUGUAAUGCUAAACAAAAGUCAUGAAAAAGUAGUAAUUGUAUUAUUCAAUUGACUAGACGACAGUAUACUAAUCAAACAGAUUAAGCAUGAGUGAAAAAAAACAAAAUUUUUACUCUUUUUUUUAACAUUUUACAUUAUUUUGAUAUUUGUGAUUUUUGCAUUUUUGCGUUUCUUAGUUUUUUUGGAAUUUACAAAAGUUUACUGAUUUUUAUAUAGAAAUUGCUAGUAAGUUUUAAAGCCAAGUUGACUACAGACAUAAAUAUAAAAAAAAGUUGUUCACUAAGGAUUUAGCUGAAAAUUUUUCAAAUAUUUGGGAUCUUUAUAAUAUUAUUAAAAUGUAAGGGUCAAAACAAAAGUUAUAGAAAAGUUGGAACUGUAAUUGCAAUUGAUGAUUUUGCUGCCCACAAAGACUAGCGCACAGAAGAAAUUGUUGGUAGUGACCUCAUAAUUUGAGUCAACCUAGUUCGAAUGAGCUCAUAUAAUUUUUAUUACAUUUGGUAUAAAUUUGUAUAAUUUUGUUGUAAUCAUCAACUUAGUUAUAUGAAUUAAAAAAUUCAAAAUUUACAUCCAAAGCGUAUAAAUUUAUAUAAAUAAUUAUAAAAAUUACACGAACGAAUCUGAGAUGGACGCUGCUCAACUUGGGAGGCCUUGAUCCGGAAAUUGCCACAGUGGCUGUAGGCACACAUAACAAACAUCCUAAAAGGACAUAACGAAGUUGCCAGGUCAACGACCAAAACUUCUCGUUAGCUACUACACAGGCAAUGUGCGGGUGCUCAUCUUCGACUAAUCAUUAGUGCUCUUCUCAUAUCUCCGCCACCUGGGUUUUUUGCCGUUUUCAGGUGUCCAUCGAUUGUAAUUUGUUCCCUUUGUGGAUGUGGGUUGAACUGUAACUGUGUGGUGAUUUCUCUCUUGUUGGCUUUUUAAUGGGUUUUGUCUCGUUUGCUUAUUGCAUGAUUAAGCUUUGCAUCCGACUGCAAGAAUUCAAAUGGCAAAGUUGUCUUUUUACCUCCUCAUAUUUCAAAAGGUGGGUCUAGAUUGUUUGCUGGAUUAAUUAGACAACUAAGCAAUUCAAUUUUCCUAUCCCUGAAUUUUCUAGUCUUAUGUACCCGGGCAAACCUUUUUCAUGACUGAGUUUAAAAUCUACAAGUAAGAUUCUUGUAUUUCCAACUAAUUUUUCUUGUUAUUUCACAUACAUCUAUAGUAAUUAUUUUAAAUAAUACACUAUCUAAAUAUUCCCAAUAUUUGAUACCACCAAUGUAGUACAGAACAGAUUUUUUUUUUUUUCAAAAGGACGAUUAUUGAAGUUAUCAAGAGCACAUUGACAAUGAUAACAUUUAUUGGAACAUGGCAGCAUGUACACUGUAUAAUCUAAAUUCGUUCUUAGUUCAACUAAACACCAAGCCAAAUGAACUUCCAGUAGGUACUUUAUUUUAAUGCACAAAGAAGAUGAAUACAAAUUAUGAAACAAAAACAGUUGUAUUCUUUUUCCCGGUCAUGCAACAAGUAAUUGACCAGAUCACGUAUCGUAAUAAACUUCUAUUUAUGAUGUCGGAUUUUUGCCAAAGAUUUCACUUAUAACGCUUCCAUGCCCCCCCUCCCCCUCUCAACACCCCUCCUUCUUGAGAAUAUUGUUUAUUUAUGUAUGCUAUCAUUAUAAGUUUUUCUUCUCAUUUUCUUUGUUGUGAAAAAUAUCUGAUUCUCACUUGACAAUGUAGACUUGUGUUAGUAUCAUCAUUACUAGAAAGUUGCAUUACAUUCUAUGAAAAAUUUAGUAUUUCUUUUAUUAAGGGUGGCAAAUUUGAAAAAAAAAAAGAAAAAGAAAAGAAAGGAAAGGGUGAGCAAUUUUAAGCUGUUGUUUAAAUCAAUUAUUCGAAGGGUUAUUAGCUAGUUAACUUUUUUACUUCAAGGUGACAAAAUUGAAGCUGAUUAAUAGGUGACAGAAAAGCAACAUAAAAGCUUAACCGUUGUACUUCAAAAGUGUUUAGUCGUCCAAAUAUAAGAGAGGAGUUUAUUAGCUCUUGUUAUAUUGCAGCCAUGGUUUGCGCUUUUUAACAACAUUAAGUACUAUCCUUGUUUAUUAUCUUCCAGCUACAUCUAAUAAUCUAUAGGUUUAAACUAAUAAUUCUAAUCAUGUAAAUCUCAUUCUAGCAGUUGCAUUAGUGUUUCGUAUAUGCUAAUUUUCAAGUUUACAAUUCCUUUUAUCUUUUAUUUAGUACUAGUUUAUAGCUUUUCGAAGUUAGCAAGAAAUUUAGCUUCAAAGUUUCUCCAGUUUGUCACAUGAUCUUUGAAUAUGUACACGUUCAGCCCCAUUUGAAUCUAACAAAAUCUGUAUCUAAAUCUAUAUCUGAAUCAACAUAAUUCUCCAAAAAAAUUAUUCAAUGCCAGAAAGUUGAUGUAGAGAUAAAAAUUUCAAAAUAUCAACUGAUGGAGAAAGCAGUACAAUAGCUUUUGCCUGAAUGGACAACAUCAAAAGCAUCAGCAGUACCUCACUUAGAUGGCAGAAGCCUCAAUCUUGGAUUUGAAGCUGAAGCAAAACGUGCCAAACUAUUAGCAGUGCAGAAGCUGGACCCUACAGCGAGAAGUUGGUCAAUUUUAGCAUAAAUUAAUCAUGCUCUUAGAUUUAUAUCAAUUUAUUUAAAAUGUCAAAUCCUUUUUCUCUAUUAAAGUGUUGUCAAUAGUUAAUUUGGAAUAGGUACAAAUAUUUUAUUAGAGGUAAUUAAUAAAAAAAUGUUAUUUAUUAAUGAGUCAAUGUAGAAUGGGGAGAGAAUAUAAAAAAUUUAAGAGGAUGAUUUAUAUAGAGAAAGAAAUUUUUUAAAAUCUAUGAGGAGCAAUCCAACUAAAUGAGAGAAUGUUAUAAAAUUCAGAGGGUGCAUAUAUGGUGAUAAAUCUUGAAAAGCUUCAAGGCCAUCAUAUAAUUUUUAUCAAAUUUGAGGGAGGCAAUUGGCCACCCUCACUCCUAUAUAGCUCCACCACCGGUAACAUAAGAGCCAUCCUCCCACGACCACUACAACUAGGGCAAGCUUUCUGAGGUUGGAAGAUGGCUUAACAGAAAUUUGGAUGUGUGGUGUGUAAAAAAUAAAGUUAAAUAUGAUGUAACAAAAGUUAAAAUGACCAUUUUAACCCGAAAUGGAUUAUAAUGAAACUUGUGAGGCCUUGAUCUUGCAUGACUGAUGGUGAUUGUCCAUGUCUUCAUAACUAUAAGUUUUUCUCUUUUUUUUCCCUUUUAGUUCUUUUCAAAUAUAAAAAUAUAAUCAAUUGAUUUUGUUGUAGUUUAUGUAAUGCACCUUGAUAUGAGCACAGGGUCUCAAAGUAUGGAACUAUUUCUUCAAUAAAGGGACUGCUUAAAGUCAUUUGGAAGAAAGAGAUUAAGCACUGAAUUCUCUAACUUAUUGCAUCAUUAAGCUAAUCAUUAGUGUAGUUGUCAUUUGGGUUGAAUUGUUAGUUAGUAAAUAGAGCAGAUUAGCAUCUUGGAUCAGUCCCUUAAGUAGGGUUUAUGGGCCAGUUAAAGGUCUAGCUGGUUGUUUUGUUAGGAGUUUUGUCAAGAUGCAUUAAAAAACAUCAUUGCUUUCUUUACAUGAAUAAAAUACGACAUAUUUUUCAGAAAAAAUAUUCUUGAGAGAAACGCUCUCUUAGCUCUAUAGCAUCCCUUGAAUACUUCAAAUUUCUUGGUGUUCAUUGGCUUAUCAAUCAAAACAUACCAUUGAUUGUGGCGCCUACUACCAUUUCUCAAGUUCACUAGUUCAUUUUAUUGUGGGUCAAGAUUGCAUCAACAUUCGUAACCACAGGGUUAGAGGGGUCCAUAUAGGAAUUCCACUAUCAAACUUGUGUUAGUCACCAAAGAUUCGAGGCUUGUUAAUGCAAAUUUUGUUUCAUCAAUUGGGUUUGUAUCAACUCGUCAACUGGGUUCGUAUCAACUGACAUCAGAGCUAGUUGGCAAGUUUUCAGGUUAUAACCCUUGUUUUUAUUCAAUUCGUUAGUCUUUUUUGGUUGUUAGAGUCAAUCUGUUGUUGUUUAGGGAGCAUCGUUAGGGCUUUUGUGUUCAUUGCGUCUUAGUUGUUCAUCCUGUCUAAUUCAAUCGAUUCUUAUUGCAAUCUGUCCAUAUCUUAUUGUCAUUUGUUUCUUCUUGUUUUGGCCCAGAUUUUUGUGUUAAUUCGUGUUGUUUCCUUGUGAUAUUUUUCCAGCAAAUCAACUGUAAUGGUACCAGACUGAGCUAAAUGGAAAUGAAAACUUGACAAUAGAAAUUGAUAAUCGCAACUUGACAAUAAUCAACUAAACAACAAGGUAAGCUGAGGAAGAUAACUAAGAAGUUUCUUUUAUUAAUGAAUGACGAAUUACAGAAAAGGGCGGGACAGUUGAGAAGAUGAAUAGAAAUGAAGGAAUUUGGGGAAAAGGGAAACAGAAUGAGGUUCAACUCAAUUCUGUUGAAUUACACCAAAAUUAUUCCUCCCUAUUACAUUCAUCUGACACCUUAUAUAACUAUUAGCUAAUAACUAAUUUCCAAAACUUCCAAUUACACUCGGCCACGUGGCCUAGUGGCUGAAGGUCUGUUACAACUAUUUGAAGUUUGUUGCUGAGUUUCGGUGGUCUUCUUGCGUGUUUGUUGUAGAACUAAUUCCCAGCGAAACGUGGUUUUUGGAAUCACGCUUUUGCUUAUUUAUUCUUCCUGUUCUCACGCCUUCCUUUCUUCUGUCUUCACGCCUUCAAUUAACUUCAUGACAAUAGCUUCCCCUACAAUUAAAUUUUGUCCUCAAGAUUGGAAUUCAGGGAACUUUUGUUCUAUCUCUUCUGCAUCCUCCCACGCAGCUUCUGCAAGAGAGACUCCCCACCAUUACACCAACAACUGGACUGCUGCUGCAUUCCUUUUCUUCACAAUCCUUUGAUCUAGCACUGCCAUUGGUUCUAGCCUUAGGUGACCUUUCUCAUUUGUGUCUGGUAGUUGGAGUACUGGAACCACCUUCUGUCCUAUCUUCUUCUUCAGCAGGGAAACAUGAAAAACUGGGUGUAUUUUUGACUGAGUUGGGAGUUGGAGUUUGUAGGCCACCCUUCCUAUCUUCUGAAUUACCUGGUAAGGCCCAAAGUACUUUGCUGAUAGCUUAGUGUUACCCCUCAUUUCCAUGGAAUGUUGCCUGUAGGGUUGUAGCCUAAGAUACAUCCAAUCACCAACCUCAAAUUCCUUCUCAGUCCUUCUUCUGUCUGCAUACACCUUCAUUCUGUUUUUUGCUUCCUCCAGAUUUUUCUUGAGUAGUUCCCCUAUCCUCUGCCUUUCCUGCAAAUGAUCUGCAACUGUGGCUGUGACAGCCCCACCUUCCCCUAAGGCGAACCAAAGGGUUUGGCGGACCGCCUGUCCAGCUCUCGCCAGGACUCGAUCGCUCUCAUCAAGUGAAAUAAGAUAUAACCUCGAGACUAAGCGAAAAAUAAUUCCCAAACUUGAAACAUAUACUUACAUUCAUAUCCAUCUCAACAGAAAUACAAUCCCAAUUAGAACAAAAGCUUUAAGUUCUUACUACAUCCAACCUUAUCCAAGCACUAGCGCGAGAACAAUGAAAAAAUAAAAUUUCAAAAAACUAGACCAAGCUAGUCUGCACAAGACUCACGCCCUCGCUCGCAUCCCCUGUAAGGAAAACAAAGAUAACGAAAUGAGUUGAAAACCCAGUGAGGUUCCAUACACAUAGCCAAAUAAUUAAACAAGGACAUUAAUCAUGUAAUAACAAGUAAUCCAGAAAACAUUUACAAUAUAAAGUAAUACUAAUACAUUCAUUAAAAGGAUACAUGCUCACAUGGAGCCCUUCGUUCAUUCAUUCCACCAACCAUUACCUUAUUCCUCCAGCAUUAAAAAUAAUUUCAUUUAUAAGUGAAAACCCCUCCAUUGUUCUUGCCAUUCAUUCAUUCAUUUCAUUUUCCCCCUACUGGACACUGGCCAGUCUCCACCAGACUUUGUGGUCAUACUCAAGUAUACCAAACAUUAACCCAGGGUCGCCAAACGCCCGACCGAGUCCGCUUCUAGCUCGAGUCGACCGGCAACGAAGGGCAAGGGCCCAAUUCAGCCAAAAGGCUUACAUUCAUGUACAAGUAGUAUUUAAACAUUUAAUCAUUUAAUCAUUGUAAAUUUCACAUUCAUUUAGGUCGAGUGCGAUAAAGUACACACUCGCCUAGCAAAAUUCAUUUUUAGAAAUCAUUGAAAACAUUUAACAUUUAAUCCAACAUUCACAAAUAGUCACAUAGUCACAACAAUCCACAUAGUCAUUGGAAACAUAACGUACAAAGAACACUCACCUAUUUAAGCAAAAUAAUGUCCAAAGUUUCCUUCCAGAUAAUACCCUCAAUCACCAAGGAACCCUAAUAAUAACCAAGAAAAAAUAUUACAGUUAAACCAUCCAAAGUUUAGGUGAACCAAAGAAAAUUCGAAUAACUACUAGUACAAAGUAUAAGUAUAGUUUUAGAAGUGAAAAGAGUACAUUUAAAUCAAAAAACAUGAGUAAAAUAUUUGUAAAACUUAUGCUCGCUUGUAAAACUUUAAAAUCUCCAUUUGAGUCGAAGAAACGAAGAAAAUGUAUUUCUAUUAGUCGUAAAUUUCAUUUUUCCAAGGGUACAAGUUUCGGCUAGAUUCUAACUUAUAUACCUCUAAUAAAGAAGACUUGAAUAUCUUAGAUGAUUCAAGUUAGUUUCAUCCUCAACCCUUACUCAAGUCGCGAGUACAUCUACCUAGCCCUCGAGUGCAAAUUUGGGCAGCACGCCCUUUGUAUUUACCUAUUUUCCAGCCAUUUAUGGCCUCAUUAUUUUCCUCAAUCAGCCCCCAAAGUCAUACAUAAAUAAUCUCAUUACAAUAGCCGUUCAAUAGGCUAAAAGUCAUUCCAUUACAAAACCAAGCUAGAAAAGUGACCGGAAAUAAGGUUUAAGGUAAAGAACAAAAUGACAGGUUUGACGUCUCUUAGCGUAUCGAUCACAACCGAAGCUACGCUUAUAGGAUUGGGGUAAAAUUUAUACUGUUUCGAAACUAAUACAAAGGACUACAACUUUUAUGAAGACAACUUAGCUCGGUUCACAGUUUAUCCAGGUUGAAUUUACAGAUUACAGAACCAGAAUUUCACUGUCAGGCUGGAUAACAGCACUGGGUUCAAAUGACAAUAACUCAGGCUACACAAGUCCAAUUGAGGCGUUUUUGGAUGCGUUGGAAAGGUAAAACAUAAGAAUACAACUUUUUUGUUUUGACCAACUACCGAUUUGAUACGGAUCAAGGUGAAAAAUGAUGCCAGAAUGAUGAAAUGUCAAAACUGUUCGCAAAACUCUACCUAUGGCAGUCGAGGGUAUUUUUGUCAUUUCACAUGUUAAAGUACUCGGAUUGAGCUGACAUUUUACAGGAAGUUAUAAAACAUCAUUUCCUACAACUUUCAUGUUUUAAGCUAAGCCCAAUUCGGCCUCCAUCAUGGCCGAAUGAAACUGGUCAGAACAGGGUAGUACAAAAACUUAAAGCUGGAAUUAAUGCAUUCAAGUGAUAAUCUUCUUAUUCAUGUAUAAAACCACUACUACCACUCCCUAUCUAAGCUUAUUCACAUCAUAUUCUAUCUAAACAAUAAGAAAUACAACUAACCAAUUCAAAACCCUAACUCACAAAUCCACCAUAAUCAUCAAAAUUACUUAAAUAGCUAUCGUAAGCCAAGAAUACAAGUUGCUACAUAAACUUAAGCAAGAUUAAGGGGAAGGAAUAAGAUAGACAGCCAUGAUACCUCACUAAAAUGCUUGCAAAAUAAAUCCACCACCUCUCCUUGUAAAACUUUUAGCACCCCAAGCUUUCCAAGUGCUCAACUAAGAGAUUAAUCGGUUUGGAUUCUUGAUUCUCACUCAAACUGAACUAAAACUUAAGAUGGAAUUGAAGCUCUCAUCUCUCUUUUUUGCUCUCAAGGUUCGGCCACCAUAGCUGCAAAAUGAAGAAGAAUGAAGUUCAAGAAAAGUUAAGAAGCUUGGUCUUAGUUUAGGCCAAAGAUGGUUGGAUUGCUUCCACUUGUCACCACAAAGUUUGAUCUUGAAUUUUCUUCUUUUCCUUGGUUUUAAUGGUCAACAUUUUCGGCCAUAAUGAUCUGAUGAGGGGGUGAUAUUAUGCACUAAUAACAAUGAGAUCAAGUUAAGAAAGUGGUGGUCAAGUGGUGUGUUCAAUCGGUAGUCAACGGUACAUGUCGGUUCACACCGUUUUUCCCUAAAUCGCAUGUACUAGGUUUUCACUUAUAAUUCACUAACUUAUUAUUAUUACUACUAAUCACACAUGUAAUAUCAUCUAAAACUCACUCUUAAUCACUAAAUUUAAUACACACUCCAUACCGAUUCUCAUUUUACGAAAAGACGUAAAAAGCCUAGUUUAUUGUAACGAUGAAAGUAAAAAGGAAAUCCUUAUUUCUAUGAUUAUUUGUAGCAAUUGGGAAAGUGAAUGUGUAAGUAAAGCUACUGUAAAGUAAUAAAUUCCAAAUUAAAGGAAAUUUUUAAGAAAAAUAUAAGGAAUUUUUCAAGUCCUCACAGUGGCUACCUUAGAGUGUGAGUAUGCCCCUAAGGCUAGCUGGGGUGGUUUUAUUCCAUACAGUGCUUCAAAGGGGCUCAUCUGUAUAGCAGCAUGAAAAAUGGUGAUAUACCACCAUUCUGCCAGUGAUAGCCAUGUAUUCCACUUCUUAGGCUCCUGAUGUGUCAUGCACCGUAGAUACUGUCACGCCCCAUUUUUCGCGAUAGAAAAAAUGAAAUAUAAUGAGCUUUAUAAAAGAUGUGUUUACAAGAGAUGUGAUUUUAUUUUAAAACAAGCGAAAAAUGACCUAGAAUGGGAUUUUAAAAAAAAAUGCGACAAUUUGGGUCCAAAAUUUAGUCUAAAAGGGUUUUUAAAAAAAAAUAGAAGUCGCCACUUGGUAUCAAGUUUGGGUGUAUCAAGUCACCCAAAAAAAUGUUUUUAAAUAAAAUAAAAAUAAAACCCUUUUCGACAACUCCAGGUCUUUGAAAACAGAGAAAACGAAUUCGGGAGUCACGGUUGGAGAAAGGGAAGGCAAAGGUUCAAUUAUCUUAAACCUAAGGCACCCUUUCAACCUAGUCUAAACUAGUUGCGAGGUUUAGUCAAAAUUUUCCUAAUCUAACCCUUAAUUUUAUCAUUUUGGAUGUUUCCUACAUGGAUGCAAAUCUAAAUUUAUAAAAAUAUCGAAGGGACAAAAUAUUCAUUCAAGGGUUUAAUUGAACCAAUCGCAUUAAUUGCGAAGGCCAAAAAUACUUCCUUGAAAGGGUCACGAGUGUGCAAAUGAUGAAAAAGAAACGUAAAGUAAAGAAAAGAAAUUAAAUUAUAUACAUAGAUAUAAGUGAUCAAAGAAAAAGGGAAUGCAACAUAAAGGGUACGGGAGGCAAAAACUCGUGACAUAAUUUUCUUAUAUAGGGAUUAAUGGGGUAUUUAAACUAAAAAGUUAUAAUCACCCAUUUUUCAUGUUUAAAAAAUAAUUCCCCUAACAUGAACAAGCAAAUGGACCUACUUAUCAUACAAUUUCUUAAAUGAAAUGCGAUUGUAAGUGAUAUGAUUAACACAUAUAGAGGAUAGGGGAUAAUAUAACAAGAAAUAUCAUACAAAUGAGAAAAGAUCCUAAAAAUGAAAAUAUGUAUGAAAAUGUAGUGAAUAACACACAAAGAUGAAUCUAGCGCAAGACGACCUAAAAGGGUCUAGCGUUAGACUAGCCCAUCUCUAAAAAUCCUUACUAGCGUUGGACUAGCAAGUAAGUGGAGGGAGAAGCCACAACUAGCGUUGGACUAGUGUGGUGACGUCAUGCAUUAACAAUUCAUAGUGAAACAAAUAAAGCAUAAAUUAAAACAAAUAAAUACGUAAGAGCACAUAGCACGUAACACAUAAGCAUAAUAUCUAGAUGCAAAAAUCCUAAGGGAAGCGGGUAAGGCACGUAACACAUAAAGUCACAUAAGCACACAACCUAUCUAUUACAUCGGGGAGCGCCUAACUACAAUCUAAAAGGGGAAAUAAAAUAAAACAAAUCUAAUUAUCCUAUCUAUUACAUUUUUUUGAUGUAUUUAAAUGCCUCUCAAAUAAUUAUAAAAUUAACUAAACAAACAUAAGAAAAUUUAAACGAACAUUCAAAUCAAAUAAACAAAGCAUAUAAAAAUAUAUAAACACAUAGGAACACGUAGGAGCACAUAAGAGCACGUAAUUGACAUUGAAAUAAUAAUAAUGGAGUACCUCCCUUUUGAAGUGGUGACUAAACGGAGUCAAAUUGCCCUAUUUAUACUCAAAAUAAACAAAAGAAUCAUGGCACCAAUUUAAUUGAAAAAGUAAUAAUAAUAAUGAAAAUUCACCUUAAUAUGUCAAACGUAAAUAAAUUUAAGAAUAUCUAAGAAUUACAAGUUAAACAUACUCAAAAGUAACAUAAUUAGCUAUUAAAGAAAAGAAACAAUCACAAUAAAGAGAGUCAAAAUUCACUAGGGACUGAAUUGCAAAAAUUGAAAAACUUUUAGGGAUAAAAAUUAUAUUUUUCCAAAGUUUAGGGGUCAAAAUUAAAUGAAAGAUAAAAUUCAAGAAUCAAAAUGCAAUUAAUUUAAGGACCAAAGUGAAAGAAAUUUAAAAUGUUUUGGGCCGAAGUGAAACUACUCCAAAGAUCAGGGGUUAAAGUGCAAAUUUCACUAGCAGAUCUUCUUAAGAAAACAGGCCACCGGGCCAUUCUCUAUUUUUCUUUAGGCCACGGCCAUCCGGCCCAAUCGAAGUCCAGGCUAAAAUACACAGGUCAACCCGUCAUUUUAUCACUUAAGCCCAAUAAAAAAAAGUAUGGGCUCUGACCUCCUAGUCCAACCAAAACCCAAAAAAAAUAAACCAAAACCCAACUAAAAAGAACCACAAGCCCACCCGAAAAUAGAAACAAUAGCCCAAACCAUUUUUUUUCUUUUCUUUCCUUCUUUUCUUUCUUUUCUUCACCGUCCGUUUCUUCUUCUUCUUGCCUGGCCAGCUGAAGCUUCUUCAGCUAUCGGCCAUGGCAGCUGCCGCCGGCGGUCGUCGGCAACCUCUCCCGUUACCAAAUUUCACCAAAAUACAUCCCCUCACUCGAUUUUUCGCGUAGAUUCCAUUUCCGGAUUUAGUUUUUACAAAAGCUGAUCCGAAAGUGGCCAAAAUGUCAAAAUACAGUCCAGUUUUUAUUAUUAUUAUUUUUUAAACACCCAAAUCUUCACAAAAAAAAUAUAUAAAACCUAUACUACAACACUCCUUGUAAUUUUUACAACCUAAAUAUCAACUAAAAUCAAUAAAAGUAACAACAGAUAUGAUAAAAUUAAACCAAAACAGUCCAAAAAUAACAAAAAUCCUUCAAAACUUUUAACACUCAAAACUUAAAAUUUUUUUUGAAUAACCACACCUUUUCAGACUUACACUAGCAAACGGUCACCUAUUUGACAAGAAAACAUGUACAAUGUUAAGCUUUUUAAUUCGUUUGUCAUUUUGGCAUUUUUUCAAACGGUUAAUAUGCAUGCAUGAGAAACAUUUCCUUUUCCUUCAUCUAGUUCAUGCCAUUUCCCAAAUUUCAGCAAUGCAACAACAACAAUAAAACCCAGCAAACAAGAGAAAUUAAUAUACAACCACAACAAUAAUAAAAAAAACAGCAAAAGCAAGAGAAAUUAGACACUGAAACAUGGAUUGUAAUAUGGUAGAAGGAAAACUAGAAAAUACCUCAAUGUAGGUGGUAGUUUCUUGACCAAAAUGUUUGAUGCAAUUUCCACACCUUGAGCGAAUCUCCCUGGCUCCCAAAGUUUCUUUCGUCUAGCCUUUUCUCUCCGUUGAGAACUUAAGGAAGGCCAAAAUGGGGAGCUUUGUUCUUGUGUGUUUUCUGGUGUGAGUCAAAGAAAGGGCCGAGGGAUGUAUAUUGAGAGGGAGAAAGAGUGGAGUGUUUUGUGUGUGGUCUAUUGAGAGAGAGCCGAGUGCCGAGAGUUGUCUCCGAGCUAGAGUGCCUUUUUUUUUAUCGUCUCCGAGACCAGAGAGUCAAUAUUGUGAGAGAAAAAGAGGAGCUUGUGUGUGUGUUUGGUCAAAAUGAUUAUUUUUUACCAAAUGACAAGAAAGUUGAGUGUAGGAAUGGGUUAAGUGUAUUUUGUGGGAAAAAUGAUGAAAAUGUGUAAGUUUAGUAAUAAUUUGAUUUUGACUGGAUUUUUUUUUUUUGAUUUUUUUUUUGUUGUUGUUUUGUCUUUUUUUUUUUAACAAACCUGCAAAAAUGAGAAAAAUGCACAUUAAAAUGCUAGAAAAUAAAUAAUUCAUUAAAUAGAAAAUCUUGAGAAAAUAUUAAAAAUUGACAGAAAUUUGGUGUCUACAGCUUACCACUCUUUGUCUAGAGUUUCAAAGAAACUCAAGACAAAGACGUAGACACCAAAUUGCUUACCUGUCUCUUGUAGCUGCACCUGAACUAAAAUAAACAAGCCAACACUUGGCUGAAAUUAUUGGACAAAAUGAUGCAAUAACAUUGCAGAAAAUGUGACCGAACUCAUGUAGAAUUGCCUACGUAUCCCACCAUGGGAAUCAGGUCAAACGUAGUUCGAAUGCAAGUGAACCACAAUGAAACAAGUGCAUUGACCAACUGUGGUCUUUGCAAAGUCGAAAAAGUCUGAACUCUCAGAACUUCUAAACAUGAAACACAAAAUGAAUGAGAAAGCACAAUUAUUAGUCAAAACAGUCAAGAAAAGUAAUUUUCAUAACUAGAAAAAGAUGCACGGAGGGACGCGGUUACGCUACAAGAAAGGGGAUAGAAGGGUGCGCGGCGGACGCUGAAACUCACCUACAGAAAUUUAAAUUGUCGAGAAUGGGGACAGAAGGGUGCUCGGUGGACGCUGAGACUCACCAACAGAAAAUUAAAUUGAUGCGCAGAGGGACGCGAUUACACUCCAACAGGAAUUUAAAUUUGUUAAGAAUGGGUGGUAGAAGGGUGUGCGGUGGACGCUGAGACUCACGAACAGGAAAUUAAAUUGAUGCGCGGAGGGACGCGAUUACGCUCCAACAGAAAAUUAAAUUUGAUGAUUUUGAUUUGAUUGAAUUUUUUUUUAAUAACAAAUUGGUGGGAUAGACCCGAGCCCAAUUAAAUGAAAAUGCAAGUCCAAUACCAUCAAACUGAAAGAUUAAAUGCAUGUUGCUCAAGUAGUAAUAAAUCAAGACAAACUUACUUGGUGGACUUCCAACUUUCUUGAUUUAUUUUUGAUUUAUUUAUUUAUUUAUUAUUAUUAUUUUUUUUGAACUUUAAAAGACAGGGAAUAAUGAUUUUUGUUUCUUUCUUUGGAAAUGUAUAGCGAGACUUGCCAUUUGCCCCAGUGUGAAUCCUCCUCAACUAAACCAGUAUUGUAUCACAUAAUCUUUCCUGCAAAAAGGAAAAAAAAACAACUAUGAUGAAAAGAUUGCCACCACCAUGUAAACAUGAGUUUCAAUAUCGAUCAAUCGCUCCCUUUGGUUCACCCGACAACCCUUCAGAAUCUUUGCAACUGUCAAAUGUCAAUUGUCCAUACUUUAGUAUCAUAGGACCUUAAAUUUCAUGAUUCUUUAGAGAUAAAUUAUAGGGGAUUGUCUUUUGAAUGAAACCCAAAAAAUGAAAAAUAUAAACAAUUAAAAAAUGUAGUAUUCAUCAUGCAAUAAUGCUAAUAUGAAAUAAACAAUGAUACACAAUAAAUAAAUGAAAUAGCAAAUAGAAUAGUAAAACAAAAUUGUUGAAUUUUUGAAUAUAGGUCCAAAGAUCAAAAUUUGGAUUCGUAUCUAGAGGAUGGCCUUUGAUGAGGAAAAAUGCUCCAUCUGACCCUUUCGUAGUCGUCCAUUUUGGAAUUCAUUGUCUGCAAAAGAACAACAGUAUAAAAGAGACCCAAAUCAACAUAGUCACCAGCUCUCAGACCUCAACAUCUUAUUCUUUGUUGUUGAUCCUCUUGUAUUCAAAACCCUACCUCAGCGCCCUUUCGGGUUUUCACUAAGGUUACCCCCACCCCUUUUCUUCUUUUUUUUUUUGUUGUUUUUGUUGUUUUUGUUUUUGUUUUUUUUUUUUAUUCUUCUCUUUUUUCUGUUCUUUCUUUUUCUCCCCUUUUUUUUUUAGAAGGUGCCCUUUCGGGUUUUCACCUAGAGACAUAGACAAGACAAUUUUAACCCCAAUUGGAUCAAUCCAGUCAUAUUCUGGUAUUAAGUAGCAUCAGUGAGACAAUUUUCUCUGACAUAUUUCAGAAAGAUUGUAUUUAUAUCAUUUGCCAGUUGAUUAAGAAAAUUUUUUUUUCCAAAAUAUUGCAAAAGAUAAAAGUCGGCAAUUUUGGUUCUUGUGAUUAGGAUCGGAUAGAGUAGCAAAGGAAGGGUUAAGGCUUGAAAGGUUUGGCAGCGGAUCAUAUGAUGGGUUUGCAAUCAUUUGAGAUAGCAUUCUUUCAAAACUUUCCCCGAUCUAGAGUGAGAAAGAGAUAAAAUUUGCCCCAGUUUAAUUCUGACCGAAGCUCUAUUUUCUUUUUUUCUCUAUUUUCUUCUUUCUUUUUUUUUCUUUUCUUCUCUCUCUCUCUCUCUCUCUCUCUUUUUAAUCAAAAUUGCCCCAGUAUGGGGUUAGUGAUCUUAAGGAGCUGCCAAGCGAAAAAGAAAAAUGGUUAUGAAAAGUCAAAAGGAAAGAAGAAAAAUUAGGGAUAGAAUAUCGAAAUGAAAAAAUGAGAGGAAGUAUGCCUGAAAUCCAUCUCUUACAGUAUUUUUAAUUUUUUUUUUUUAUAAUCAAAUGAAAAACUUUUUGCACAUGUCUGCAUUGAUUGGUUGGGGAAAAACUUGACCGUCCAUUUCCAUAAGAAUAAGCGCUCCUCCAAAUAGCACUUUCUUAACAAUGAAUGGUCCUUGCCAAUUGGGAGCAAACUUCCCUUUAGCCUCAUCUUGCAUUGGAAGAAUCCGUUUCAAAACCUUAUCUCCAACGUCAAAUAAACGAGGCUUGACUUUUUUGUUGUAAGCCCGAGCCAUUCGUUGCUGAUAACAUUGUCCAUGGCAGACGGCAUUCAACCUCUUUUCAUCAAUCAAAGACAACUGUUCCUGACGUUCUCUGACACAUUCAGCUUCUUCUAUCUGAGCUUCCAUCAGAAUGCGUAAGGAAGGAAUUUCAACUUCUGCAGGCAGGAUUGCUUCCAUUCCAUCCAUAAGAAAGUAAGGAGUUGCACCAGUAGAAGUUCUGAGGAUAGUUCUGUAAGCCAUUAGUGCAUAAGGCAGCUUCUCAUGCCAAUCCCGGUGUGCUUCAGUCAUCUUACGAAUAAUCUUUUUCAAAUUUUUAUUUGCAGCUUCAGCGUCUCCAUUCAUCUGAGGCCUGUAAAUGGCCGAAUUUUGAUGUCUAAUCUUGAACUGUUCACAUAAUCCAUCCACCAUAUCGUUGUUGAGAUUUUUGGCAUUAUCAGUGAUCAACGUCUCUAGUACCCCAAAACGACAGAUGAUAUUAUUUCUCAAGAAAUCCGACACCACUUUUUUAGUCACAUGCUUAUAGGACGCGGCCUCAACCCACUUGGUGAAAUAUUCAAUUGCCACUAAGAUGAAUCGAUGCCCAUUUGAUGCAGGAGGAUCAAUAGUUCCGAUCACAUCCAUUCCCCAGAUCGAACAUGGCCAUGGAGCAGUCAUACUAUGCAAUUCUGUAGGAGGAGCACAUAUAACAUCACCAUGCAUUUGACACUUAGCACACUUUUUAACAAAAUCUACACAGUCAUGCUGCAUGGUAAGCCAAAAAUACCCUGUUCUCAUGAUCUUCUUAACCAGUAGGUGUCCAUUCAUGUGUGGCCCACAAAUCUCACUAUGCACUUCCUUCAUCAUAUAAUCGGCUUCCUCUUCGUUGAUGCAUCUCAGAAGGCCCAAAUCAGAUGUUUUCUUGUAUAACACUUCUCCAUUCAAGAAAAAUCUUGCUGACAUUCUGCGUAAAAAACUUUUUGCAAUAGAAUCAGAGUCAGGAGGGUAGGAUCCCGUUUUCAUGAAUACCUUAAUAUCAUUGUACCAGGAGCGACCAUCAGUGACCCUUUUCAUAACCAGACAGUGCGCUGGCCUAUUCUGAAGUUGAAUCUGUAUAGGUUCAAUCACCAACUCAUCUGGAUGUUGGAUCAUCGAAGACAGAGUAGUUAAAGCAUCAGCAAAGGCAUUACGAGUGCGGGGAAUAUGUCUGAGUUCUAAAUUCCUGAAUUUGUUGGCCAAGCUAAGCAAACUACAAUGAUACAGCAUAAUUUUUGAAUCACGAGUUACCCACUGCUUAAGCGUCUGGUGCACAAGUAAAUCGGAAUCACUGAAUGCUAUCAGCUCCUUGAUUUCCAUGUCCAAUGCCAUUUUCAAUCCAAAAAUACAAGUUUCAUACUCAGCCAUAUUGUUGGUGCAGGGAAACCGUAAUUUGGCAGUAGCAGGAUAGUGUUUCCCUUCAGGCGACACUAAAACUGCUCCGAUUCCAGCUCCAAAAGAAUUCGACGCACCAUCGAAAAAUAACCUCCAUCCAGGAUACUGUUCACUCAUGUCCUCAACUGCUCCAACGAACAGAAUUUCUUCAUCAGGAAAGUAGGUAUGUAAUGGCUGGUAAUCAUCAUCUCUUGGAUUUUCUGCUAAAUGAUCUACUAUAGCUUGACCCUUGACUGCCUUUUGUGUUGUGAAGACAAUGUCGAAUUCGGAGAGGAUCAUUUGCCACUUAGCCAUGCGUCCCGUAGGCAUUGACUUUUCCAACAGGUAUUUUAAAGGAUCAGAACGAGAAAUCAAGUAAGUGGUAAAACCAAGCAAAUAAUGUCUCAACUUCUGAGCUGCCCAUGCUAAAGCACAACAACUCCUUUCAAGAAAAGAAUAAUUGGCCUCAUAUGCUGUAAAUUUCUUACUCAGAUAGUAGAUGGCUUGCUCCUUUCUGCCAGACUCGUCAUGCUGUCCCAAAACGCAUCCGACAGCCUCAUCAAAAAUAGACAAAAACAUAAUCAGAGGUCUCCCUGGCUGAGGAGGCACUAAGACCGGCGGAUUUAACAAGUAAGUCUUAAUCUUAUAAAAAGCCUGCUGACAGUCUUCACUCCAAUCCAUCGGCGUAUUUUUCUUCAACAAUUUGAACAAAGGUUCACAGGUAGAGGUUAACUGUGCAACGAACCGGCCAAUAAAAUUGAUCUUUUCAAGAAAACUCUUCACAUCUUUUUGAGUUUUUGGAAUGGGCAUAUCUCGAAUUGCCUUUAUUUUCGCAGGAUCUAUUUCUAUACCCUUUUUACUGACAAUAAAGCCCAAUAAUUUACCAACUGGAGCUCCAAAAGCACAUUUCGCAGGGUUCAACUUCAAAUUAUAUCUUCUCAACCUUUCAAACAGUUUCUUCAAAUCAACCAAUUGGUCCUCGACCCUCUUUGAUUUAAUUAUGAUAUCAUCUACAUAAACCUCCAUCUCUUUGUGGAUCAUAUCAUGGAACAAGGUAGUCAUGGUCCUUUGAUAAGUAGAUCCAGCAUUCUUCAACCCGAAAGGCAUCACUCGAUAACAAAAUGUUCCCCAUGGGGUGAUAAAAGAAGUUUUCUCUCUGUCUUCUUCUGCCAUUAAGAUUUGAUGAUACCCAGCAAAACAGUCACCAAAAAAUUCAAUCUCGUGUCCAGCAGUGUUGUCCAAAAGAAUAUGAAUAUUUGGCAAAGGAAAAUCAUCUUUCGGACUGGCUUUAUUCAGAUCUCUGUAAUCAACACAUACUCGCACCUCCCCAGAUUUCUUAGGUACUCGCACAGGAUUCGAUAGCCAGACGGGAUAAUGAGACACCAUGAUUAUCUUGGCAUUGAGCUGCUUCACAAUUUGUUUCUUUAUCUUGAGGCUCAUUUCUGGUUUGAAUUUACGAGACUUCUGCUUUACAGGUAAAAAAUUUGGAUCAGUUGGCAACCUGUGAACCACUAUGUCCGUAGAGAUCCCUGGCAUAUCAUCGUAUGACCAUGCAAAUACAUCUUGAAAUAGCAUUAAGAAUUCAAUCAUUUCCUCCUUCUGUUUCUUAUUCAAAUGAAUGUUGACUUUAACCUCUUUAACCUCUGUCUUAGUGCCAAUAUUGAUGAUUUCUGUUUCUUCUAAGUUGGGUUUGGGUUUCUCUUCAUACUAUUUUAAAUCCCUUGAAAUAGACUCAAAUUCUUCCUCAGUAUCGCUCUCGUUUUGAAUUUCAGAUUGCAUGAUUUCAAAUUCAUGAGAGAUAUCGAGAUUGCAGCCAUCGAAUUCCAAAAUGGUGACAUCCAAAGGGUCAGAAGGUUUUAUUUGUGGCCAUCUGAAAAUAGAAUAGAACAUAAGUAAUAAAUAAAUAGCAAAUACUGGAGAAGUCUUUCAUUUCAUUAAAUUCAAAAAUGCAUCGAGACUUCACAAAAAGAUAAAUAUACAUACAUGAUUGCCAUUUAAAGACAUAUUUAACCCUAAACCUUUAUUUUCAUUUCAGCAAUUUUCUUGAACAAAGCAAGUUAUAUUAACUGAAACAAGAAUAAAGGUUUAAAAGAUGAAAGCAAUCUCUUUUAACAAAAGAUCCAGACUACUGUCCUAUCUGGAUAUGAUCUAGACAAAAAACAAUCCCCUUAAAUUUACCGAAAUUCCCUUGAAGAGGGAAGAUAAUCAACAGUCCAAUUCUGAAUAGCUCCUUAGGUAAUUGGCAAAAAUUCUGCAUUUUCUGAUGGCUCCUCCUCACAAGUGGCCCCGACAAAUAACUGAGAUAGGUCCACUUCAAUCUCCUCCACAGGAUUUUUCGUUUCUAGCAUAAUCACCUCUGAUGGACAAGGAAAAGUGUGAUAUAACGGUGGGACGUUUAAGGAAGUUUGCUUACCCUUCUUUUCAGCUUGUUUUCGAGCUUGCAUUUCCCUUCUAUCCUUAACAGUUGGAUGAAAUCCAAGUCCAAAUGUAUCCUUCUGCGUCGGGAUCUCUAUUGGCUCCAAAAUUCCUUGUAAUUCUCUCCCAAGACCCUUUCCUAUCUCGUAUCCGCCUCGGAUCAUCUCCCUAGCCAUCAUAAUACUGGUCUCUGGCAAAUUUGAUUGAGUCAGCGACUUAUCUCUGGAUGCCCAUCCCACAGAGACAAUAUCAGCAACGUGAUGAGAUGAAAUUGGAGUUUUUUUUCUAUUUUCACCAUUGAAUUUUGCAUUAACAAUCAUGGUACAGUCAUCCUCAGCAAACACAGUAAUAAGCUGAUCAUUCACAAUAAACCUCAAUAUUUGAUGCAGAGAAGAUGACAUUGAAUUGAAAGUAUGUAUCCAAGGUCUUCCAAGCAAAAUAUUGUAAACGCUGGAAAAGUCCAUCACUUGGCAAGUAACUUGGAAUUGAGCAGGACCUAUCUCCAAUACCAGAUCUGCUUCACCCAUAGAUUCCCUUCUUGAACCAUCAAAUCCUCGAACCACAGUUGCAGAUGGAUGAAGUUUAAUAUCAAGAAAUCCAAGCUUGGUAAGAGUGUUCCAUGGACAGAUAUUCAACGCAGACCCAUUAUCCACUAAAACCCUCGGCAACAGCUUUCCAUUGCAGCGGACUGAUAUAUACAAGGCUCUGUUAUGUCCGAUCUCUUCUGCAGUCAAUUCAUCAUCGGAGAAAGCAAUAUGAUUAGCAACAAGUACAUUCCCCACAAUGUUAGAAAAUUUAUCCACCGGAAUAUCUUUAGGGACUUGAGCUUCGUUCAGAAUUUUGAGCAAUGCUUCUCUGUGUAAUUCGGAGGUCAAGAGAAGAUUCAAAAAAGAGAUCUGAGCAGGCAUCCCAUCCAACUGCUCCACUGUUUUGUACUCGCUUCUCUUCAGCAUCUUUAGAAAAUCCACGGCUUCCUCUUCAGACACAAGAGACUUGGGCGUCAGGGAUUUAAUCUUGGCCCUGGAUUGAACAUCGAUUUCGGGGUUUCCCACAAAUUUUUCAGACCUAGUAAUAUUAGAUACGUCCUCCUUCAAGCAAUAUUUGUCUCCAAUUAACAGACUAGACUCCUCGUAGUUCCAUGGUACCUCUUGCAAGUUAUUGACAGGCAUUUGUUCCGAAAAUUUACGAAUGGCAGGCUCUGAUACAUCCCAUUCAAAAGAUGGUAAAUCCAGAAUAAAAGGAGCUUUAGAAUUGUCAAUCUCGGAAGGCCCUCCUUCUACUAUGAAUGGCUCAUUUUUUUCAAACACAAAAGAUUUCAAAUUUUCCUCGACAUUAUCUUUAGUCAUGGACUUUUCAACAGGCGACAGUUUUCUAAUUCUCACAUGGUCAGCCUCCAUCACGCCAAACACUUCAGUUUCAUCUAAAAUGUACUGAGUGGGAUCGACAAAAUCUUCAUCAGCGGUGAUAAGUCCCACAGUGUUCCCAUGCUCAGGUAAAGGAUUCUUACUAACAUUUGGUCCCUGCUCUCCCUUUCUUCUGAGAAGGAUGUCUCCAGCGUCAAUCAUGUCUUGAAUCUUAUGUUUUAAAGCCCAACAAUUGCCAGUGGUAUGACCUGGACUUCCAGAAUGAUAAGCACAGAUUGCAUGCGAAUCAUAACCGGCAGGAGGACCUCUGGGAUAGAUUUUGGGAGGAACAGUGCCAAUUUUCUCAGCUGCUUUUAAUUGCUCAUACAACUGAUCAAUAGGUCGGCCCAAAUUGGUGAAGGUUCGAAAUUGCUUCUGAGUUUGAAUUCCACUGGUUUGCAAAGGAUUUUGAGAAGGGUUAUUGUUUUGCAGGGUUGGUCUGGAAUGGUAAAUGGGACGAGAGUGAUUUUGAAAGACAGGUUGUGGAGUUGGAGGUAAGGGCGAGGUAUUCAAAUGAUUUGGUCGGGAAUGAUGGAAUUGGAUAGUAGUGUGGUAGACUGGUUGCGGAUUGGUGUAAUACGGGUAAGGAAAAGAAUAGGUGGGAUGGUUUCGGGGUCUGUAAGACGGGCCUUGAUCCCAUAUAAAAGCAGUAUCACCUUCUUUCUUCUUGAAUGGGGGCUUUUUCCCAUUGUUGUUUUGAUUUUGUAGAGCAUCCAAUUGCAACUUUAAUGCAGACACAUUAACAAUCUUUCCUGCUUUGACAAAUUCAUCAUACUCCUCCAACUUGUUAAUGAUAGCAGCAAAUGAACUUCCAGUCAUGCGGAAGAUCUCUUCAAAAUAGGGUGGAUCGUGAGCCUUGAUGAAAGUACGAACAAUCUCCUCCUCAGUCAUAGGAGGCUCCACUUUGGCAGCUAACUUUCUCCACCAUUUUGCGUAGGUCUUGUGAUCUUCCGACGGCUUUCUUUUCGUACCCUCCAGUGUGGUUCGUGUUGGUGCCAACUCACAGUUGAAUUCAUACUACUUCACAAAAGCUGUUGAUAGAUCCAACCAGGUUUUGACUUCUCCAGACUUCAAAUUUGAAUAUCAAUCCAGAGCAUCUCCCUCCAAACUUUCCGGAAAUAGACGCAUAGGCAAAUUCUCAUCAUCCACAGGUUUACCUCUGUGACAGCCCCACUUUCCCCUAAGGCGAACCAAAGGGUUCGGCGGACUGCCUGCCCAGCUCUCGCCGGGACUCAGUCGAUCAAUUCAAACAACCAUAACAAUAUCUAACCACGAUCCAACUUAAAACAAAACGUAUAUACAAUAAUAUCUCAAGAAGAAGUACAACCGUCAAAUAUACAGAGGUUUUCAAAUCACCAUACAACCAGCCCGUGCCAAGCACUAGGGCGAGAACCAUUACAAAAGAAAACCAAGGGCUAGACCCAGCUAGUCUAUACCGGUUCUCGUCCUUGCUCGCCUUCCCCUGUUAAGGAAAACAAAACUAACGGGAUGAGCUAUAAGCUCAGUGAGGUUCCGAACACGUAGGCAAACAAGAAGUGCAUUGCAUUCAUUACAUGAAACCAAUAAUUCAAGAUACAAAUACAAAAGAAAGCGAUAAACACAUUCAUUAAAAGGAUACGUGCUCACAAGGAGCCAUUCGUUCAUUCAUUCUCCUUUCGUUCCCUUAUACCUUCAAUCAUUUGAAAAUGCAUUUGUAUAUAAAUAAAACCCUUAUUCAUUCAUUCGUUCAUUCAUUCAUUCACCAGGCUCCACCAACCUCCACCAACCUACAAGGUAAUACUCGAGUAUACCAAAACGUCUACCCAGGUCCCUAAUCGCCCGACCGAGUCCGCUUCUGGCUCGAGACGACCGGUAACAAGGGGCAGUGGCCAGUUCAGCCAAAAGGCUUACAUUCAUGCACAAAUAACAUUUCAAUCAUUCAAUCAUUGAAAACUUUACAAUCAUUUAGGCCGAGUGCGAUAAAGUACACACUUGCCUAGAAAACUCGUUUUAAUAAUCAUUGAAAGCAUUUAACAUGUUAUCAAUCAUUCAUACCAGCCAUAUAAUCAUGGAACAUAACAAACAAGGAACACUCACCUAUACACGCAAAAUAACGUCCACUUCUCAAUCACCAAUGAAACCUAAAAGUAAACAAAGAACACAUUACAAUCCAUCUAGCAUGAUUUGGAUGAAAUCAAGGAUUACCCGACUACUCGCGAGUAAACGUUUAAAAUGACUUUUAAAGUGUCAAUAGAGCAUAUGGAUCCGUGGACGGAAAUUACUAGGGUUCAUAAACCAACCGUGAAGCCAAACUCAAAAGGUUAUGAAAUUUCGGGCAGAAAACACUUUAACCAACGACAAAUCGAAAUCCAAUAAGGUAAGCUAAGAAGUAUUGUUUCCGGAAUCGUUUAUGUAGCUCAAAAUCAAUAGACUAUAUGCCUUGAUGAAAAUCAUGAAAAGGUGGCAAAACUAUCUCACUUUCACUCUUAAAACUUCACUUAAAAGUUAUUCACUUGUGGCCGAGAGAACCCUAGGUCAACCUCUAUAUUUUGGUAAACAGUAAGUAAACGUUUGGAAUUUCAACCCAAAGAUGUAUUAGGUUUUAAAAUGGUAAAAUGAUCAUUUUAUUUGCCAAGCGGAAAUAUACAGGUUCAAAUAGAAAUUUAGCCUUCGGCCACCUUUUGAAAGAGCCGGUAACAUUUUCAGUAAAUACGUCCAAUUCGUCACGAAAUACAUUCGCAAAAUCACUUUAACUUGCUCACAUUACAAGAAGAUAAACGGACGGUAUGUCCCUUGUGUUUACCUAUUUUCCAGCCAUUAAUGGCUUCAUUAUUUUCCUCAAAAUAGUCCCAACAUCUCAUAUAGAAUAAUCUCAUUUCCAAAGCCGUUCACUAGGCUUAAAGUCAUAUAAAUACAAAAAUCAAGCUAGAAACAUUUCUGGAUAAAAACAGUUUUUUGACAUCAUUUUGCGGUUUUGGCACCAUUGGCGCUACGAUUAUCGGAUGGAGGUGCAAGACACACCGUUUCGAAGCUAACAGAUAGGGCUAAAAUGUUGAAGAAGGCCACUCAGUCCAGUUUGUAGUGCAACUUGGUCAAAAUUGACAUAUAUGAAACCAGAAACUCACAAACAGGUUGGCUAACCGCACAAUUGUUAAACAGCAAUAAUUCAGGCUACCGAAGUCCGAUUGAAGUGUAUCUUAUGGUGUUUCGAAGCUAAAACACAACCCUACAUUUCUUAUGAAGACCUCCAUGGCCAAAUCAUGCAUUUUCAUGAUAAAAAAAUGGAAAACUACACAAAAACAGAAUUCUGGGCGCGAAACAGGUUUCAUGGACAGUCAAGGGUAUUUAGGUCAUUUCACAUGUUACAGUGGUCGGAUCAAGCUGAAAGUUUUCAUUCUACUAGUUUAUACUAUUGGCUACAACUUUCAUGUUUUGGCCAAAAUCUAAUUCAGUAGGGAUCAUGGUGAAAAGGCACGGUCAGAUUGGGUGAAAAGACAACCCUGUUCGCUGAACUCCUACCUAGACCAGUCUGGGUAUUUCCGUCUUAUCUCAGGCUACCGAGCUCGGAUUGAGCUGAAAUUUUACAGCCAACUAGAAAACAUCAUUACCUACAACUUUUAUGUUUUGUGCUAAGACCAAUUCGGCCUCUAACCGGGUCGAACAGAAACGGGCAGAAAGGAAAAAAAAAAUGGACCCUAAUCUGGAAAUUCAUGCAUUCAUGUGCCAAUCUUCCACAAAACAACAUCUAAAACAACUAAAAAUCACUAAUAAGCAAUUAAUUGAAGUAAAGAGGAAAUUUGUAAGCAAGGUACCUUGACACCUCAAAAAAGAUGAUAACUUAGGGUUUUUCUUUCACAAAUCCCUCCACUAGAAGCUUUAAUCCUCCUUAAUAAGUAACUUUGAUGGAGUAAUCCUCACUUUUAAUGGUUGGAAAUCAAGAUUGGAGCAAGGGAUUGAAGUACAAGAUGAAGGAUUUCCUCUCUUUUCUCUCCUCAAAAUUUCAGCCAACAAGGGGAAAAAUGAAGAAACAUUUGGUCAAAAUAGAUGUUUAGUAAAGUUAAGAAAAGUUAAUCAAAGUUCCCAUCCAAUGGUUUCAUGACACUUGUCCCUCUCAUUAAUGUCAUGCCUAACUUUUUUUGUCUUUCUCACACCUAUCCACUUGGUACCUCUAAAUAUCUCAUAGCACCCGCUAAAUUAAACCAAGUAUCCAAAACUUAACCUAACUGGCCGAAAUUUCCCGAAUUUCGCACUAGCGGGUCCCACGUUCGAUAUACGCUCUUAAUUUCUCAAAAACUAACCGAUACUAGAAAAAUCAUUUAAAAACUAUAUUUACUCAUAAAAUUGAUCUAGAAAAAUUUUCUAAUAAAGAAAAUGCAGAAAACGUGCAAUUAAGAAAAGUACGGGUCCUCACAACCUAACUUGUUGGCAAACAUCUUGAGGUGCGUCUUAGGAUUUUCAGUUCCAUCAUACUUGCUGAAUUUUGGAGUUUUGAAUCCCAACGGUAGCUGAAUAUUUGGGAAAAGACACAAUUCAUCGUAGUCCAAACCACCAUGCCUGCUCAACCCUUGAUUCUUUUUCAUAAAAUCAUCGAAUCGAUCCAACCUUCUUAACAGAUCUUUAUCAAUGGGUGUAGGUUGUUCUUCUAUCGCCGCUUUCCCUUGAGAUGCAGUAUCCAGUACAAAAGACUCUGUAAUGUGGUGGUGAGGUCCCUGAGGGUUGGGGGGAACGUUCAGAUUGGUUUGUGGAAGGGUUUGAGGGAUUUGGCUACUAGUUGGGUUCACCAAUACAUAAUUCGGAUGCAUAUAGGAAAAGUCUGAAUUUAGUCGGCUAAAGGUAUUUUCAAGAGGGUUAGAGAAAGGAGGAAAGAAAGGUGUUUGGGUAUUGGAUGUGUGGGGUGGUUGGUAGUCUUGUGCAGGUGGGUGAUUAUCGAUAGGUUCUUGGUCGUUUGGGACACCACCACCACUGUUGCUGGUGACCAACUGAUUAAUUACACGCCUUUGCGAGGCCAUUUCAGCACUUAACUCGUUGAACUUGCCAAGUAUCUCACUUAAUUGAACUCCCAACGCUGUGAGGUCCGGUGAUGUAACUAUAGCAGAUCUUUCUGAAGUUUUUGGUACUGAACUCAUGUUUACAGACUGUCUCAAGGCUCUACUUCGGGACCUGGUGAUGAUGGGGCUUUUUCGAGUAGCUAUUGUGAAAAAUACCUGAUAGUGGAGAAAAGAAACUGAUUUAGGAUUGAAUUUUCUGUCAAAAUGCUGUAAUUUAUUCAAGAAAAAAGAAAAGAAAGAAAAAAAAACAUGAGUUAGUAGAUAUUUAAAUAAUUUGGAUGCAUGUCCUAUGGGAGAACCCUUUUCUGCCAAGGGUAGGCCUAAUAUGAUGCAACGCCUUCGUGGUAAAAUCCCAAUUUCAAACAUGUAAGUGAAUGUAGAGAUCAAAGUAGAAAUUCUCAUUAAACACUGACAAGUUUAAUCAUACUUUACAGCAUCAUUGAUGGUUCGGCUGACCAUUUUUACAAAAUCCUCAUGUCUUGCUAAACUAGUACGUUGAGACUCCCUAGAACUUCCUAUACUAAGUUUCCGAAUUCCAUCUUGAAUUUUAUCAAAUGCAUCCAGUGCUCUUUCCAACUUUUCAGUUUUUCUUGUCUCCCACUUUAAUUGUGCUCGGGUGUCUUCCAGGGCAUGGUCGCCCACUAUGAGUUGCAAUUGAUAAUCCUCGAGCUCUUUUUUCAGCUUGUCUAUCUGCUCUUCAGGGCUAGCGAGAGCGGACUGUGACUUCUCUCGUGCUUGUUCGACUGUCAGUUUGAUCCACUCAUUAUAUUCUGAAAUGAUCUUAGGUUCUAAUUUGUUGACUUGAUCCAAGUGCAAGUUCUCUAAACUAAGAAGAUUUCCCCAAGCUUCCAAUACCAUGCUCCGACUUUCAGCAACUGUGUUGAGUCUGAUAUUUUCAAUCCCUUGUAUCAUCGAAAUUCUUUGUGGAUACCCAAAUUACCUCAUGACUCGUUGCGGAACAUAUGCGACCAAUCCAUUAGUGCCUGCUAGGGAGAUAAAACUGUGUUGGGUAAUCGUGAAAAUCGGAUCCCUAACUUUUGUCCAAUCCAAAAUCCAUUGUAUUUUUUCAGGUGUCAAGUUAUCGAACUCUUGAAUAAACUGACUCGGAGAUGCAAUCCGAUAAUACUUUUUGACCCUUUCUCGGUGUGAUUCGAUCCAAUUCUCUGCGGGGAGACAAGAUCCCAAAGGAUUGAGCGUUCUCUUCGCUAGAUGCUCCAUUGCCCACAUUUGAAGUAUCAAAUUUGACCCAUAAAAGAAACCUCUCUUCUUUUGACAUCCAGUAGCGGCCGUGAAGAUGUCGGCAAUGAUCACAGGUAUUAAGGUAGGGGUCAUUCCAUUAAUUCCUGAAAAUAGGCUCUGAACCAUGUUGAUAGUGAAAAACGUGAUCUUUCCAUGCUUUUGCGGGAACAACAACAGAUUGAUCAAAGCUAAUCCAAACGCUUGCACUCGUUUCUCUACCCAUUGCUCUUUACUUAUGAAAAAAUCGGUUUGGUACUGUUCAUAGGACCCUCUUUCACCAAAUCGCUCAUACAGAAACUCUAACGGGCACGAUCUCGUAUCCGGAUAUUGGUUCAUACUAGCUUGCCUUAAUCCCAAAAACCUAUAAAACUGUUCCCUUAUUCCACUAGUUGGAUAUAUCAUAGGAUAACCUUUCCUGGGUAUCUGCAGUAAUUCUUCUAUUUCUUCUAAAAUUGGUGUUAAUUCACAUUCACCGAAUCGGAAAAUAGAACCUUCAGGAUCCCAGUACCCAAGUAAAGCUUGAAUUAUUGCAAUAUUCGGGGUUAUGCUUAGAAGACUCGGUAAAUGUCCCACAUACUUGAACAGUCUUUUCACCUCAUGUCUCAUAUUAUUUUCCUAAUCUUUUAGUUCCCGAGGUAUCUGGUUCAGCAUUCUACACGGAGCCAUCUGAGAAGAAAUUUCACUUUUAUUACCUUACCACGGGAUUUUACCCCUUAGGCAAUACAAAAUUGUAAACAUGCAAGUCUCAUUGGAUUACAUAUCCGAGACAAAAAUUGGCUUAUUCCUAACGUGGGAUUCCCUAGGCGGCAUUCCCUCUAAGGUUAAUGCAUGAUGACAAUUGAUUAAAGCAUAUUAAAUAUACAAUAAAAUAAUUGAAAUAUGACCUAAAAGUGCCCCAUUUAGAUGCCAAGGUCAGCCUAAAAUGAUGUGCAGUACAUAUGCGUAUGCAAUUAACUAAAAUUUAAACAUGCUUGAUAUAAAAGGCGGUCUUAUCCUAAACGAAUACCAUGUUAGGACUCUUAUUUCUAAGGUUUGUGUAUGCAGAAAAGGAGAAAACAAAGAGAAGUUAGUUCAAUUGAUAUAUAACACAUAACACAUUGGAGUAAACAAGAAUAAUAUGAAAAAUAAAAGGCAAUUAAAGAAAGAGGAGUGUAAUCCCUCCUCUCGUGCCUAGUGUUCCUAAUCGGAUAGGUUGACUCUAACCUGGGCAAUUUCUAUCAUGGAUGCAUGAGGUUUGGCUUACUAAUACAUCUAGACUCGAUAAAGUUCAGGCUCCCAAGCCUUCAGACAAAAGGGCGGAGGGUCAUCAAUCCCAAGGCCUUCGGUCGGUGGUUUGAGUGAUCCCUUAGGUACCGCUAUGGGCGCAGCGCAUACCAUCCGCAUACCUAAGGAAAUCGAUUCUAAUCCUACAAGGAAAUGUGGGAUGGCGCCCACAAAAAAAUAAAAAUAGGGUAAAAAGCAAUGCAUGCACGUAUGAUGUGCUUCCUUUUGAGGGGAGAGAUUAUAAUUAAAACACGUGUGGAGGUUCUAAGGUGAUAUUCCCCCCACCCAAGAUGCAAGCGCGAUACAAGUAUACAAACAUAAGUAAAUGGAAGUAAAUAACAAAUCAUCGCAUACACGGAUAUCAAGAGACGGUCGCGUGUGUGAAAUGCAAAAUAUCCUAAAAAGAAAAAUACAACCUAGAACAUCCAAAUAUGAUAAAUAAAAGGGUUAGGAAGAGAAAAGACAACUAAACCAAGUGCUUGGACUCUCUAGCGUCCCCAGUGGAGUCGCCAAGUUGUCGCGCCCCAUUUUUCGCAAUAGAAAAAAUGAAAUAUAAUGAGUUUUAUAAAAGAUGUGUUUACAAGGGAUGUGAUUUUAUUUUAAAACAAGCGAAAAAGGAUCUAGAAUGGGAUUUUAAAAAAAAUGCGACAAUUUGGGUCCAAAAUUUAGUCUAAAAGGGUUUUUAAAAAAAAUAGGAAUCGCCACUUGGUAUCGAGUUUGGGUGUACCAAGUCACCCAAAAAAAAUGUUUUUAAAUAAAAUAAAAAUAAAACCCUUUUCGACAAAUCCAGGUCUUUGAAAACAGAGAAAACGAGUUCGGGAGUCACGGUUGGAGAAAGGGAAGGCAAAGGUUCAAUUAUCUUAAACCUAAGGCACCCUUUCAACCUAGUCUAAGCUAGUUGCGAGGUUUAGUCAAAAUUUUCCUAAUCUAACCCUUAAUUUUAUCAUGUUUGGAUGUUUCCUACAUGGAUGCAAAUCUAAAUUUAUAAAAAUAUCGAAGGGACAAAAUGUUCAUUCAAGGGUUUAAUUGAACCAAUCGCAUUAAUUGCGAAGGCCAAAAAUACUUCCUUGAAAGGGUCACGAGUGUGCAAAUGAUGAAAAAGAAACGUAAAGUAAAGAAAAAGAAAUUAAAUUAUAUACAUAGAUAUAAGUGAUCAAAGAAAAAGGGAAUGCAACAUAAAGGGUACGGGAGGCAAAAACUCGUGACAUAAUUUUCUUAUAUAGGGAUUAAUGGGGUAUUUAAACUAAAAAGUUAUAAUCACCCAUUUUUCAUGUUUAAAAAAUAAUUCCCCUAAUAUGAACAAGCAAAUGGACCUACUUAUCAUACAAUUUCUUAAAUGAAAUGCGAUUCUAAGUGAUAUGAUUAACACAUAUAGAGGAUAGGGGAUAAUAUAAUAGGAAAUAUCAUACAAAUGAGAAAAGAUCCUAAAAAUGAAAAUAUGUAUGAAAAUGUAGUGAAUAACACACAAAGAUGAAUCUAGCGCAAGACGACCUAAAAGGGUCUAGCGUUGGACUAGCCCAUCUCUAAAAAUCCUUACUAGCGUUGGACUAGCAAGUAAGCGGAGGGAGAAGCCACAACUAGCGUUGGACUAGUGUGGUGACGUCAUGCAUUAACAAUUCAUAGUGAAACAAAUAAAGCAUAAAUUAAAACAAAUAAAUACGUAAGAGCACGUAGCUCGUAACACAUAAGCAUAAUAUCUAGAUGCAAAAAUCCUAAGGAAAGCGGGUAAGGCACGUAACACAUAAGCCACAUAAGCACACAACCUAUCUAUUAAAUCGGGGAGCGCCUAACUACAAUCUAAAAGGGGAAAUAAAAUAAAACAAAUCUAAUUAUCCUAUCUAUUACAUUUUUUUGAGGUAUUUAAAUGCCUUUCAAAUAGUUAUAAAAUUAACUAAACAAAUAUAAGAAAAUUUAAACGAACAUUCAAAUCAAAUAAACAAAGCAUAUAAAAAUAUAUAAACACAUAAGAACACGUAGGAGCACAUAAGAGCACGUAAUUGACAUUGAAAUAAUAAUAAUGGAGUACCUCCCUUUUGAAGUGGUGACUAAACGGAGUCAAAUUGCCCUAUUUAUACUCAAAAUAAACAAAAGAAUCAUGACACCAAUUUAAUUGAAAAAGUAAUAAUAAUAAUGAAAAUUCACCUUAAUAUGUCAAACGUAAAAAAAUUUAAGAAUAUCUAAGAAUUACAAGUUAAACAUACUCAAAAGUAACAUAAUUAGCUAUUAAAGAAAAGAAACAAUCACAAUAAAGAGAGUCAAAAUUCACUAGGAACUGAAUUGCAAAAAUUGAAAAACUUUUGGGGAUAAAAAUUAUAUUUUUCCAAAGUUUAGGGGUCAAAAUUAAAUGAAAGAUAAAAAUUCAAGGAUCAAAAUGAAAUUAAUUUAAGGACCAAAGUGAAAGAAAUUUAAAAUGUUCUGGGCCGAAGUGAAACUAUUCCAAAGAUCAGGGGUUAAAGUGCAAAUUUCACUAGGAGAUCUUCUUAAGAAAACAGGCCACCGAGCCAUUCUCUAUUUUUCUUUGGGCCACGGCCAUCUGGCCCAAUCGAAGUCCAGGCUAAAAUACACAGGCCAGCCCGUCAUUUUAUUACUUAAGCCCAAUAAAAAAAAGUAUGGGCUCUGACCUCCUAACCCAACCAAAACCCAAAAGAAAUAAACCAAAACCCAACUAAAAAGAACCACAAGCCCACCCGAAAAUAAAAACAAUAGCUCAAACCAUUUUUUUUCUUUUCUUUUUUUUCUUCACCGUCCGUUUCUUCUUCUUCUUGCCUGGCCAGCUGAAGCUUCUUCAGCUAUCGGCCAUGGCAGCUGCCGCCGCCGGACCGCCGUCGCCGGCGGUCGUCGGCAACCUCUCCUGUUACCAAAUUUCACCAAAAUACAUCCCCUCACUCGAUUUUUCGCGUAAAUUCCAUUUUCGAAUUUAGUUUUUACAAAAGAUGAUCCGAAAGUGGCCAAAAUGUCAAAAUACAGUCCAGUUUUUAUUAUUAUUUUUUUUAACACCCAAAUCUUCACCAAAAAAAUAUAUAAAACCUAUACUACAACACUCCUUGUAAUUUUUACAACCUAAAUAUCAACUAAAAUCAAUAAAAGUAACAACAGAUAUGAUAAAAUUAAACCAAAACAGUCCAAAAAUAACAAAAAUCCUUCAAAACUUUUAACACUCAAAACUUAAAAAUUUUUUUGAAUAACCACACCUUUUCAGACUUACACUAGCAAACGGUCACCUAUUUGACAAGAAAACAUGUACAAUGUUAAGCUUUUUAAUUCGUUUGUCAUUUUGGCAUUUUUUCAAACGGUUAAUAUGCAUGCAUGAGAAACAUUUCCUUUUCCUUCAUCUAGUUCAUGCCAUUUCCCAAAUUUCAGCAAUGCAACAACAACAAUAAAACCCAGCAAACAAGAGAAAUUAAUAUACAACCACAACAAUAAUAAAAAAAACAGCAAAAGCAAGAGAAAUUAGACACUGAAACAUGGAUUGUAAUAUGGUAGAAGGAAAACUAGAAAAUACCUCAAUGUAGGUGGUAGUUUCUUGACCAAAAUGUUUGAUGCAAUUUCCACACCUUGAGCGAAUCUCCCUGGCUCCCAAAGUUUCUUUCGUCUAGCCUUUUCUCUCCGUUGAGAACUUAAGGAAGGCCAAAAUGGGGAGCUUUGUUCUUGUGUGUUUUCUGGUGUGAGUCAAAGAAAGGGCCGAGGGAUGUAUAUUGAGAGGGAGAAAGAGUGGAGUGUUUUGUGUGUGGUCUAUUGAGAGAGAGCCGAGUGCCGAGAGUUGUCUCCGAGCUAGAGUGCCUUUUUUUUUAUCGUCUCCGAGACCAGAGAGUCAAUAUUGUGAGAGAAAAAGAGGAGCUUGUGUGUGUGUUUGGUCAAAAUGAUUAUUUUUUACCAAAUGACAAGAAAGUUGAGUGUAGGAAUGGGUUAAGUGUAUUUUGUGGGAAAAAUGAUGAAAAUGUGUAAGUUUAGUAAUAAUUUGAUUUUGACUGGAUUUUUUUUUUUUGAUUUUAUUUUUGUUGUUGUUUUGUCUUUUUUUUUUAACAAACCUGCAAAAAUGAGAAAAAUGCACAUUAAAAUGCUAGAAAAUAAAUAAUUCAUUAAAUAGAAAAUCUUGAGAAAACAUUUAAAAUCGACAGAAAUUUGGUGUCUACAGAUACAUUUCAAGUACCUGAUUCACCCUCUUAGAUUGACCAUCAGUCUGAGGGUAGUAUGCAAUGCUUAGGCAUAGCUCAGUCCCCAUCAGUGUGAAUAGUUCUGUCCAAAAUUGACUGGUAAAUACCUUGUCUCUGUCUAAUAACAUGCUUAAUGGCAUUCUAUGUAGUCUGCAAACCUGAUCCAGGAAGAUUCUGACCACUGUUGGAGCAUCAAAGAGGUGAGUUAGGCUGAUGAAGUGAGCAUACUUAGUGAAUCUGUCCACUGUCACCAUGAUAGUGUCCCUCCUUUCUGAGGUAGGCAACCUCUCAAUGAAGUCUAUGGUGACAUGGCUCCAGGAGUACUAAGGUGUGGGUAAUGGUUGCAGGAGUCCAGGAUAAGCAACAUGCUCAUCCUUGCACCUCCUACAAGUAUCACAUUGCAGUACUGUAUCCUUGACUUCCUUGUACAUCCCUGGCCAGUGAAAAAGCUGCUUGGCCCUCAAGUAACUGGCUUGUACUCCCGAGUGACCUCCUAGUUGUGAGUCAUGAAUGGCAGUGAUGAUUUUUCUUCUAAUCUCUCCUCCUUUUCCCACCACCACUCUCCCUUUGUAUCUGACUAUCCCAUCCUGGUAAGAGUAGUCCUGUAGGGAGUUUGGUGUAAGGAUCAGACCCUUGAUCAUCUCCUGAACUUCUUCAUCCCUUUGGUAACUCUCCACCACCUCCUUUACCUACUCAGGGAUGACACAGGUCAUUUCUGUAAAAUCCCCUUCUUCCUUGCUGGUUCUCCAGGACAGUGCAUCUACAACAACAUUCUUCCUACCCCUCUUGUAUUGAAUUUCAUAACUUAACCCCAACAGCUUAGUGAGCCACUUCUGUUAGAGUGGAUUGGUGACUUUUUGUUCUAAUAGAUAUUUGAGGCUCUGGUGAUCUGUUCUGAUUAUGAAAUGAUAGCCCUCCAAGUAAUGCCUCCAUUUGGUGACUGCAGUAACUAAUGCCAACAGCUCCUUUUCAUAAAUGGAUAGCCCCAGAUUCUUUGUCCCUAAACUCUGACUUAGGUAAGCAAUAGGCCUCCUUUCCUGCAUAAGCAUAGCUCCUAUCCCUCCAUAGCAGGCAUCGGUUUCUAUGAUGAAAGGCUUAUCAAAGUCUGGCAAGGCUAGCACAGGUGUGCUGCACAUAGCCAUCUUGAGUCUCUGAAAUGCCCCCUCAGUCUCCUCAGUACAUUGGAAUCCCCCUUUCUUCAGUAAUGAUGUCAGAGGUUUGGCAAUAGAUCCAUAUCCUCUUACAAAUUUCCUGUAGUACCCUGUCAAUCCUACAAAUCCCUUUAGCUGCUUCACAUUUUCGGGUCUUGGCCAGUUCACCAUUCCUUCAAUCUUCUUAGGAUCUGCCUGCGCUCCUUCAGCAGAGAUUAUGUGGCCUAGGUACUCAAUUUGAGUCUGUGCAAAAUAGCAUUUACUCUACUUGGCAUAUAGCUGGUGCUGCUUCAGCAGUUCUAGCACUUCUGUCACAUGUUGAAGAUGGGCCUCUAGUGUAGGGUUGUACACCAAGAUGUCAUCGAAGAACACUAUAACAUACUUCCUCAGUUGCCCCUUGAAAACCUAGUUCAUUAAGCUCUGGAAUGUAUCAGGAGCAUUAGUCAGCCCGAAUGGCAUCACCUUAAAUUCAUACAGUCCCUGAUGAGUGCUGAAUGCAGUCUUGUGCCUGUCCUCUACUUUGACCUUGAUCUGAUGGUAUCUUGCCCUAAGAUCAAUUUUAGUAAAGUACUUAGAUCCAUGCAACUCAUGAAUCAGUUCAUCAAUCAGAGGCAUUGGGAACUUAUCCUUCACUGUGAGCUCAUUGAGUUGCCUGUAGUCUACACAGAACCUCUAACUCCCAUCCUUCUUUUUGACUAACAGCAUAGGAGAGGCAAACGAGCUGUUACUAGGUUGUAUAAUCCCCAUCUAUAUCAUCUCCCUUACCAGCCUCUCUAUUUCUGAUUUCUGCACAUAGAGGCAUCUGUAGGGUCUGAUCUGAAAUGGUUUGGCUCCCUUCUUUAGUGGUAUUCCAUGGUUAUGACUCCUAGGGAGAGGCAGACCCUGAGGUUCAGCAAAGGCAUCCUUGAACUGGUUCAAAAUCUCUUUCAAGCCUAUUGGGAUCUAUUCCUGUCCUUCCUGCUCCUCUUCUACUAUAGUGAGGUAUGCAGUAACUCUAUACUCUUUUUUCUUCUCCACUUGGCCAACUUGCCCCCUUUAAUGGCUAUCAGUUUUAGAUCACUAGGUUCACCUUUCAAUUCCACCAUCUCCUUUCCUUUGCAGAAUUUCAUGCUCAGUUUGUUGAAAUCAAACUCGAUGGGGCUGUAUCUGGCCAGCUAGUCCACUCCUAGUACCAUAUCACAGCUCCCUAACUUCAGAGUGUUGAAGUUGUGUUGAAACUCAUACCCCUGAACCUUCCAUUCCAAGGGUCUGCUGAGUUGCCUGUACUCCAGCCUUUCCCCAUUAGCUACUCUAACUGUCAGGGGUGUUCCUGAUACCUGUAGUCGUAGAUGAGAAGCCAGUCUUUCAUCCAGAAAACAAUGUGUGCUACCACUAUCCACCAAUAUUAGGAGCUCUCUUCCCUCAAGUGUCCCCUUCAGUUUGAAAGUGCUAUGUCCAUUUCCUCCAGCCAAGGUGUGAAUUGAUACCUCUAUCCUCUCAUUACUGACUCCUCCUUCAAUACAGUCACAAAACUCCUCUCCUUCAUCCACUACCCCACUAGUGACCUUAACCAGCUCAGAUUGCUUAUCCUCCAAGAUAUACUGAAUCUGUGUUUGCUUGCAGAUGUGGCCUAGAGUGUAUGGUUUUGCACAUUUGUAACAUAACCCCCUCUCCCUCCUGUAGUUAAAUUCUGAGGGAGAAAUCUUCCUGAAUUGGUCUGCUGUUGUACCUCUCAUCCUGUGUCCUUUAUUGUCAUUGCUCCUAGGUCCCUUAGAGUCAUCAUUAGGCGACUUGUGCCUCAUAUGUGUUGUAGAUUUGGCCUAUUAUUCCCCAUGGAAUUAGAGUUGAGUGGGAAUUUCUGAGGUAUUAUCCUUUGUGUCCUCCUCAUAACCUCCCAGUCCUUCUCUUGUAGUUUAGCAGCCUCUGUGGUAUCUACUAAAGUGCGAGGUCUAGCCAUUCUCACCAUGUUUACAAUUUCACUCUUCAAGCCACUUAGAAAACAAGAUUUGUAAUAAGAAUCAGGUUGGUUAGGUAGGAACGGCAUUACCAGGGAUUUCAGCAGUUCAAAUUUCUCCAAGUCAUCAGCCACACUCCCAGUCUGUGUCAGCUUGUUAAACUCCUCUAUGGUCUCUUCUGGUGUUCCCUCUCCAAAUCUCUCACACACUACCAUAGACAACUCCUCCCAGGGAACUAUAUCUCUCCCGUGAUACAUCCCAUGGAACCAUAUGUCUGCUUUCCCUCUGAGGUGUAGUUGAGCCAGAUCAGACUUCAGUUCUUCUUCUACCCCUUGGAUUUGGAAGUACUUGUUGGCUCUCCUGACCCAUUUCCUGGGAUUAUCUCCAUUAAACACAGGGAAGUCAAGUUUUGGCAGCCUAAUUUCCUCCCUUCCCUUCUGUUUUCUCAGAUUUCCUGUUGACCAAUUCCAGCUUCUGAUGCCCUCCAGAGCUACUUCCCUCAUCCACUCUUUCCUUAUCAGUCAAUUUGGCCAUCAUCUGAGCAAUCAUAUUCAUCACGCUCUCAUACUUCUGAUCCAAGUUUUUUAUGAUUUUCUCACUACUCUCCUGCCUGUGUUCCAUGUCUCUCAUAGCUUGCUCCAGUCCAUCAUUCUUGUUGGCGAAUGUCCUCAUGACACUCCCUAGCUCAGUCAGGUCCUUCCUCAUCAUCUCUUCCUAUGUUUUAGUCAUCCCAAUGGCUCGUAGCUGGCUCUGAUACCACUGUAAUGGUACUAGACUGAGCUAAAUAGAAAUGUAAACUUGACAAUAGAAAUUGAUAAUCGUAACUUGACAAUAAUCAACUAAACAACAAGGUAAGCUGAGGAAGAUAACUCAGAAGUUGCUUUUAUUAAUGAAUGAAGAAUUACAGAAAAGGGCGAGAAAAUUAAGAAGAUGAACAGAAAUAAAGGAAUUUGGGGGAAAAGGGAAACAGAAUGAGGUUCAGCUCAAUUCUGUUGAAAUUACACCAAAAUUGUUCCUCCCUAUUACAUUCAUCCGACACCUUAUAUAACUAUUAGCUAAUAACUAAUUUCCAAAACUUCCAAUUACACUCGGCCACAUGGCCAAGUGGCUGAGGGUCUAUUACAACUAUUUGAAAGUUUGUUGCUGAGUUUCGGUUGUCUUCUUGCGCUUUUGUUGCAGAACUAAUUCCCAGCAAAAGUAUGGUUUUUGGAAUCACGCUUUUGCUUGUUUUUUCUUCCUGUUCUCACGCCUUCCUUCCUUCUAUCUUCACGCCUUCAAUUGACUUCAUGACAUCAACAAAAAAAAAUUUGCAGCCACUAGGGUUUCUUUGUCCCAAACAAAAUUAGGGUUCAUUUUUUUCUAGUCGCUGUCUGACUUUGUUCUUUUUUAUUGCCUUCAAUACUUGUUUCCAAAAUCUGGUGUUAUUGUUGUUUCAUAAUUUAGUUAAAUUUUUGAGUAAAAGAAAAAAAAUCUGUUCAUAUCUAGUUAGGGUUUUUGAGUUGUUCUCAUAGUUUUCUUGAAGAAACCUAAAGUUGUCUUCUAGGGCCCUUCUUGUUCGAGGUACAAAAUGGGAAAAGCAGACUGACCUUGUAAAAAUUCUUGGAAUCUGAAAUCAAAACAUGAGUUUCUUGAAGUUCUUGAUUGUUAAAAGAGUCAAUCUUGAAUUCUUGAAGUCGUGAGUGAUAUUCUUGAAGUUGUGCGAAGAAAACCUAAAUCUGUCUUGUUGAAACCCAAGGAAUCUUUGGGCUGUUGGGGGAUACAUCUUCAAAACUUUCUUCUUUCUUGAAUUCUGAAAAUACCUUGAAUUCUUGAGAGAAUCUAGAAGUUUAGCUGGGCUCUUGGGAAUCGAUUCUUGUCCAAAUCAAAGCUGCAAAUUUCCAGCUGCCAAAGACCUAGUAUCCAUCUUGACGUUUUGGUUGUUGUAUAAAAAAAAUUGUUGCAGCCACGAAUUUGAUCCAUAAAAUAUCCAGAAUUGAGGCUUAUUUGUGUUUGUGGAGUUCUUGUAUCAACUGAACAAUUACGACAAGAAAAUAGCUGUAGUUUCUAAUCCAAUUCCUAUUCGGAUUCCUUGAAAAGCUUAACCGCCAGCUAUUAUCCAAUUUCCUUUGGGAAAACUUGUGAACCAGCCUUGAAAUCCUUGUUUCUUUGGGAAAAGUAGGUAGUUCUAGAUUUGUUCUCAGAUAUUUAGUCCAAAUAAAUUUUCCAGAUCACAUCUGUCGUUAUAAUCGGGUAGCAUCCUGUCAAACUGUUCUAGAGUUGGAUUCCUAGCAGUUUUUGUGUCAAUAUUUUUAGUUUAAUUCUAGUAGUUUCUAACCAUAAACUCCAGUAGUUUCCAACCUUAAACACAUCAUCAAAAUUCCUAUUUGUCGAGUGUCAAAUUUCUAGAUUUUGGUGUUGCCUUUUGAACUAGUCUACGGAGUCAUUUUUUACUAGCUAUUAAGUUGUUAUCUCCAGCUUAAUUCUAGUAGAUUUUCAUAUUUAUUCUUGUUCCAAAAAGUCAAGUUUUCUCCCUCAAAAAUUCCAGAAUGUCAUGAAGCUAAAGCUAAAGGAAAUGAGAAGUCGUGGUCUCGGUAGAAGAGGCAUGGAAUGAAGUGAAGAGGAAACUGCAGGAAGUGUGGAGUGAAAUCACGCUUUUACUGGAAAAUCAGCUCAAAGAACGUGACUGCAUCAUCAAUGGUGGUUCUGUAACAACCUCUGACACCAGCAAGCCAUGUGUUCGAAUACGAUUGCAGCAUUAGGGAGCUAGUUAUUAGUUAGUAGCUUUAUGUAGGAGAUUUGAUGUCAUUAGCAAAGAGAAUAUUCAGAUUUCAGUUUAGAAUUUGAGAGAUUUUUUCUCAUUCUUUACUUUCCUUUUUCCUCAAGUUUUCCUGCCUUUCUGAUCAUCUUCUUCACUGUAACCAUUCUCUCUGUAUCUGAAUUUGUUACUUAAUGAAAUAUUAGUGUUUGAGCUCAAUUAUUAGCUCUUAGUUUCAGUUACUGUUCCAUUACAUCGCCAUUAAUCUACUGGAGUCAACCAUCUUUUGGUUCGAUACCAUUACAGUGGUAUCAGAGCCACCUACGAGCCAUUGGGAUAACUAAAUCACAAGAAGAAAUCAAGAAGGAUCUUACUGAUUUGGGAAGUGCUAUGAGAACUUUCACCAAUAAGAAUAAUGGAUUAGAGCAAGCAGUGAAGGCCAUGGAACAUAGACAGGAAAGUACUGAGAGGGCCAUUAGGAAUCUGGACCAAAAAUAUGAAGGAAUGAUGAAUAUGAUGGCACAAAUUAUGGCCAAGCUGAAUGACAAAUGGAACGAGGUAGAAGGCAGUAGUCCUGGAAAUGAUCAGAAGAUGGACAUGAUCACGGGCAAGGUUAAAAAGAUAGAAGGGAAAUGGGGAGCUAGACUACCAAAGAUGGACUUCCCUAUGUUCGAUGGAGAUAACCCCAAAGAGUGGGUCAGGAGAGCAAACAAGUACUUCCAGAUCCAUGGGAUAGAGAAGGGAAUGAAAUCAGACAUUGCUCAACUCCAUUUUAAGGAGAAGGCAAAUAUUUGGUUCCAUGGAAUGUACCAUGAAAGAGGGGUGGUUCCAUGGAAGGAACUUGCAGUGGUAGCAUGUGAAAGAUUUUGGCAAGGAGAUCCAGAGGAAGCCCAGAAGAGUUCAACAAACUGAUGCACACUGGAAGUGUAGCUGAGUACCUAGAGAGGUUUGAACAGCUAAAAUCCAUGGUAAUGAUAUCCCUUCCUAGACAACCUGAUUUUUAUUACAAAUCAUGUUUUCUUAGUGGCUUGAAGAAUGAAAUAGUGAAUAUGGUUAGGAUGACAAAACUUCUUACCCUAGCAGAUACCAUUGUUGCUGCUAAACGAUAGUAGAAAAAUCUGGAGGCCAUUAGGAGAACCGAAGAAAAAAUGAUACAGAAACACCCUUCUUCACCUACUACCCCAAUUGUUAACAAAUAGAACUUCCCUCCACAAACAAAAAUGAGGUGGCCUAACUCCUAAUAUAGGAAGCCAGAACUCACUCUUAGUAAGAAUAGGACAGGAGCACAUAUAGUAGAUCACUUCAAAAAGAUCACUCCCUCUGAACUUAGCUAUAGGAGAGAAAAAAGGUUCUGUUUCAAAUAUGCUGAGCCAUAUACCUUGCGGCAUGUUUGCAAACAAGCUCACAUGCACUACAUCUUGGUGGAUAAAUUUGUAGGUAUAGGUGAGACACAAGAGGGACAAGGGGCUAAUACAGAAGAAUUCUAUGACUGUCCUGAGGGUGAGUUGAGCAAUGAGAACAUUGAGGUUUCUAUCCAUGCAUUGGCCGGGUCGGGUCCGAACGCUAGCAGGAAGAGAGGUAACAAUACUUGUGGACAGCGGUAGUACUCACUAUUUUGUUGAUGUAAGGUUAGUAGAAACUUUACAAUUAUAGGCCAUUGGGACACCCUUGACUGUCAAUGUCACCAAUGGAGAAAAAUUAGAAUCUAGAUAGCUAUAAGGAACUUUGCGGUGGGAGGUACAAUGAUAUGAUUUCCAACAUCAAUUCAAUAUAUUAAAAUUGGGGAGCUGUGACAUGGUGCUAGGAGUAGAUUGGCUGGCCAGGUAUAGCGCUAUUGAAUUUGAUUUCAAACAACUCUCCAUGAAGUUUCUUAAGGGGAGGCAGCCAGUGGAAACAGGCAUAUAGGAUCACUGCCUGGUUGUAUGUAAUAGAGGAGAGGAGUGGAGAUCUUGAAUUUGAUACCAACAGGGAUGAAGGAGUUGCUAGGAAAAUUUGACGGAGUUUUUGCUGAACUACAGGGCAUGCCUCUAGUUAGGAGCCAUGAUCACAGCAUUCUAUUGAAGAAAGGAGCAGCCCCAUUCUAGAUCAGACCAUACAUAUGCCCCUACGUGCAAAAAUCAGAGAUAGAGAGGUUGGUGAAAGAGAUGUUGCAAAUGGGAAUCACACAGCCUCGCAACAGCCCUUUUGCAUCCCCAGUAUUGCUAGUUAAGAAGAAGGAUGGAAGCUGAAUGUUUUGUGUGGACUAUAGGCAGCUCAAUGAGCUCACCCUGAAAGACAAAUCUCCUGUGCCACUAAUAGAUGAACUAAUUGAUGAACUACAUGGCUCUAAAUUCUUUACAAAGAUUGACCUGAGUGCUGGUUACCAUCAGAUCAGAGUUAAGGUGGAAGACAGACACAAGACAGCUUUUAGGACUCACCAAGGGCUAUAUGAGUUCAAGGUUAUGCCCUUUGGCCUAACCAAUGCACCAGCUACCUUCCAGAGCCUCAUAAAUCAUAUUUUUAGGGAGCAGUUGAGGAAAUAUGUCCUAGUUUUCUUUGAUGACAUAUUGAUUUACAGUCCCACCGUGGUAGAUCACUUUAAGCAGGUAGCAGAAGUGCUGAAUAAACUGAAGGAGCACUACUUGUAUGCCAAAAGAAGUAAAUGUUCAUUUGCACAAACAGAGGUAGCGUAUCUUGGCCACAUUAUCUCUGAAAAAGGGGUGAUGGCAGACCCUAAGAAAGUGGAGAGCAUGGUGAACUAGUCCAAACUAGUUUCUAUUAAGGAACUAAAAGGAUUCCUUGGGUUAACAAGGCAUUACAUGAAGUUUUUGAAGGGAUAUGGGACUACUGCAAAACCCCUUACCAUGUUGCUGAAGAAGGAAGGGUUUGUUCCACUAGAAUGCAGAAGCAAAUGAGGCUAUUCAGAAGCUUAAGUUGGCAAUGUGCAGCACCCCUGUGUUGGCCUUACCUGACUUUACUAAGUCUUUUGAGAUUGAAAUUGAUUCUUGCUAUGGAGGUAUUGGAGUAGUGCUAAUGCAAGACAAGAGACCUAUAACCUUCCUAAACCAGAGCUUGGGACCCCAAAAUUUGGGGAUGUCUAUUUAUGAGAAAGAAUUGCUGGCCUUAGUGACUGCUGUCACCAAAUGGAGACCCUACCUGGAAGAGAACCACUUCAUCAUUAAGACUGCUCACCAGAGUUUGAAGUACUUGCUAGACCAAAGGGUCACCACUACACUUCAGUAGAAAUGGUUCAUCAAAUUGCUAGGACUGAGUUAUGAAAUUCAGCACAAGAAAGGAAGAGAGAAUGGGGCUGCAAAUGCACUAUCCAAAAGAGCCAACAGGGAGAAGGGAGACUAUGCUGAAUUGGUUUGUGUUAUUCUAGAAUGGAUGAAGGAGGUCAUAAGGAGCUAUCAGGGAGAUGAAGAGGUGCAGGACCUUAUUAGGUAGCUGCUACUCGUACCUGGUAGUCUACCAGAUUACUUUUAUUAGGAUGGAGUGCUCAGAUACAAGGGGAGGAUAGUAAUUGGUACAACAGGAGAAGUAAGAGGAAAGAUUAUUGCUAUAUUACGUGAGUUACAGCUGGGAGGACACUCAGGAGUGCAAGCCAGCUAUCUUAGAGCCAAGCAACUGUUUUACUAGUCAGGUACGUAUAAGGAUAUCAAGAAUACUAUACUGCAGUGUGAUGCUUGUAAGAAGUGUAAGAAUGAAUGCACAGCCUAUCCAGGGCUCCUGCAGCCACUUCCUAUCCCAUAAUAUUCUUGGAGUCAUGUCACAAUGGACUUUAUUGAGUGUCUGCCUAUGUCUGAGAAGAAUGACACUAUUAUGGUAAUGGUGGACAGAUUCACCAAGUCAGCUCACUUUGUCAACUUGUCACACCCCUUUGAUGUACCAUCAAUGGCUAGAAUAUUCUUAGACCAGGUCUGCAAGCUGCAUGGAGUACCUCUCAGCAUGCUCCCUGACAAGGAUAAGGUAUUCACUAGCCAGUUCUGGAUUGAACUGUUCACUCUGCUGGGAUCUGAACUGAACUUAAGCACUACAUACCACCCUUAAACAGAUGGCCAAUCUGAGACGGUGAAUCAUGUGUUGGAUAUGUACUUGAGGUGUAUGACUUACUUAGAACCUAAGAGGUGGAAUGCUUGGCUCUCCCUUGCUGAAUGGUGGUACAACAUCACCUAUCACACUACCAUUCACAUGAGUCUAUUUGAAGCUUUAUAUGGAAUACCCCCUCCCCAAUUGGCACUUGGACCCUAGACUCACUCCAAGAUAGCCACUGUGGAAGACCAUUUGAAGGACAGGCAAAAACUGGACGAGUUGUUUAAAAAGAAUCUCCAGGAAGCUCAGAACAAAAUGAAGUUAUAUGCUGACCAGAGGAGUGAGAGAACCUUCAGUGUAGGAGAUUGGGUAUACUUGAGGUUGCAACCUCACAGGCAAACUACUGUGGACCUAAGAGGAAAUACCAAGUUAUCCAUCAAGUAUUUUGGACCUUAUCAGGUGAUCUACAAGGUAGGGAAGGUGGCGUACAUGCUUAAGCUACCUGAAGGAUCUAAGAUACAUCCUGUAUUCCAUGUAUCUUUGUUGAAGAGGAAGAUGGGAAAGAGUGCAACUCCUGUGUUCCAACUACCAAACGUAGACGAAAAGGGACAUCCGAGGCUGGAACUAGUGUCUAUACUAGAUCGCAGAAUUGUCAAAAGGAAGAAUGUUGUAGCUAUACAAUGGCUCAUUCACUGGUGGGGCACUACACCAGCUGAAGCUACGUGGGAAGAUACUGAACGAAUUGAAACGGAGUUUCCUGAGUUUGAAUCUUGAGUUCAAGAUUGUUUAAAGGAGGGGCAAUUGUCAUGAAGUUGAGCAUAAGCUAAAGGAAAUGAGAAGGUGUGGUCUCAGUAGAAGAGGCGUGGAAUGAAGUGAAGAGGAAGCUGCAGGAAGCGUGGAGUGAAAUCAUGCUUUCACUGGAAAAUCAGCUCAAAGAACGUGACUACACCAAUGGUGAUCCUGUAACAACCUCUGACACCAACAAGCCACGUGUCUGGAUACGAUUGUAGCAUUAGGUAGUUAGGUACUAGUCAGUAGCUUUAUAUAGGAGAUUUGAUGUUGUUAGCAGAGAGAAUAUUCAGAAUUUAGUGCAGAAUUUGGGAGAUUUUCUCUCAUUCUUUACUUUCUUUUUUCCUCAAGUUUUCCCGUCUUUUUGACCAUCUUCUUCACUGUAACCAUCCUCUCUGUAUCUAAAUUUGUUACUUAAUGAAAUAUUAGUCUUUGAGCUCAGUUAUUAGCUCUUAGUUUUGGUUACUGUUCCAUUACUUCGCCAUUAAUCUACUGGAGUCAACUACCCUUUGGUUCGAUACCAUUACACAGAAUCGUGUCACCUAUUUGGGUCAUUAUACAUGCUCUUUGGUUGAUGAGUUAACUUGAACACUUGAAAGAACUUCUAAUUUAUUCAAGGGAGGUGACAACGGCCUUGAGAAAGUUGUGGUGAGACUACUAGAGUGCUCUAAACAUCGAUGUGAUACACGAGUGUUGAGCGCAUACAUGUGAGAGAGUGAAGUGAGGACAAAUUUUUGUCACUUCCUCCUUUUUGCAGGUUUCACUCUAAGAUGUCUAACCAAGAUUGGAAGAGAUUAGAUGAAGUUUUAGAUGCAAUGAAGGAAGAAUUUGAUCAGAUUUUAGAUGAAAUUUUUGAGAGAAAAGGAAUGCCAAGAGAUAGGGUUCCUUACAAUCUACUUCUUCAAAGUCAACAUAUUCAAGAAGAAAGGAGGAGGUUCAUUUGACAACUUCCAAAUCUAAGCAUGUAGUUGAAGAUGGAUUUGAUCAAGUAUGGGAGACUUAGCAAAUCUUCUACAACAACUAGGGGUGGGUACCGGUUGGGUACCUGUCCAGUCCACCAUUUGGCUGACCUGACCAACACCUAGCAGGUCAGUUAUUUUUUGACCCUUACCCACCUCGUAUAUUAGUCGGUACUCGAUUAUAAGAUACCCGUUAAUAUAGGGUCAGAUCAACUGGCAUCCGUCCCACUCCACUUAUCAUUUAAUUUUUUUAAAAAAAUUAUUUUAUACUAAUUUAAUUUUAUAUUUUACACAUUCAUCUAAGAUUUAAUAAAGAUUUUUUCUCAAAAAAAUCUCCCAUCAAGAAACAAACAUGCAAAGAGAAUACAAGAAAAAGAAAAAAAUUAAAAGAAUUCAAAAUCAAUAAAAAGUUUGCAAUAAGUAGCAUAUUUUUUUAACUAUAUGUUCCACAUUAAUUAAAUUCUUUUCUAUAAAAUAAAAGAUCACGACCUCCACAAAUGAAUCUUAUUAAUAAACUAUAGUCUCUCAUAUUUGUAAUGCAAUUUGUUCAAUGAAAUUUCUUACUUAACUCUAAAAAUAUUAUUUUAGAGUAUAUGUAUAAAAAUAAAAAAAUAAAAAUGUAUAUAUCAAGGCGGAUAGGGUGCCCGCGGAUUUUUAAUUAUGUGACCCUAACUCGCACCGCAUCUAAACGGGUAUCCAAACCUCUUUUGACUCAAUCAAAUAAUACAAAUCAGGUAUCCUAAUUUUCUAAUUGGAUAUGACUAGUUUUCGGGUUAGCAGAUAAUUUUGCCCACCCCUAAUGAGAACAGCAAAUGAAGAAGUUAGUUGACUGCAAUCUUCAAGGAUCAUCUCAGGACCUUGUCGUACCAUUGGUUGAGAAGGAUAACAUUAAUAAUGUUAUACAUCCAAACUUUGACCAAGAACAAGCUGUGCUUGAAGUUCUAAACUAGCUACCAGUCAAGAGUUAGCUAGAGAGAUAUUGUGUGAGAUGCAAAAUGAGACUAUGAGGGGUGAGGCAAAAUUUGAGGAGAGCAUGAAAGAAAAAGAGAGUGAGCAUUCAAAAGAGCUGAGUGAGAAAGAGAAAGAACAAGAGUUGAAUUUGAAUGAUCAUAAGAAUGAGGGCAUGAUUGUAAAAUCCAAAGGAGUUAAUAAGAGAGCUUAUUGUUUUACUAACGAUAGUAAGAGAGCUUAUUAUUUUACUAAGUAUCUAAACUUUUCUUUGUUUAGUGUUUCUUCUUGUGUGCAGGUUAAGCAAGGUGUUAUUACCAUGAUCUUAACGUGUUCCAUCCUUACAUUCAUUGGAAAGUUGAAGAGUUUUCAUGGAGUUUGUGUCUUAAAUGUUAUAUCUCUUUGUUAUCAACAAAUGCUCAAUUUCUUACCUAGGGCUGAUUUGCUUGUUGAGAAGCCUAAUGAUGUUUCCAAGGGAGUAACUACACUUAAACCUUGUUCUAUACUUAGUAUUUAGAUGAUGAUGUUCCAUUCUUUCUUUGUCAAUUUUCUGGUUCUUGAAAAACUGAUUUUGCUAUUUCAUUUAUAGGAAUUAAAAUUGUCCAUCUCUGUCUAGCUCUACCCAUGCAAGAUGUGCCAGACGAACAACAACCUAUGAUUAAUUUUACAAUUUUGAACAACUAGAUUUGGGACUUUGCUAGUCCAUUGGAGCAUUGCUAUUUGAGUGGUUUUAUACCUAUAGAUACUUAUUGUGUGAUUUCCUGUGUAGGUCUAGAUUUGACAAACCAUGUAGAAAGGUAGAUUCGAGAGCUUAGGAGUGCAAAAUGGAACUUUAACAAGCAUUAUAUGAGAUGGUUGAUGACUUGGAAAGUGUCUGUUCGUGAACAAGAAGGGGUUGUCCAAACAGCAUGCAACUUGGCUCAUAGCAAUUCAUCUAUUUCCAACAUUGCUGUCCUAUAAACGCACCAAUGAUUUGAGGGCAAAUCGCCUUCAAGAGGAAGGGACUGAUACGAGUAUGAGGUCUCAAAGUAUGGAACUAUUUCUUUACUACAGGGGCUACUCAAAGUCAUUUGGAAGAAAGAGAUUAAAGACCGAAUUUUCCAGCUUAUUGCAUCAUGGACUAGCAUCUUGAAUCCAUCCCUUAAGUAGGGUUUAUGGACCGAUAAAAGGUCCAACUAGCUGUUUCGUUAGGAGUUUUGUCAAGAUACAUUAAAAACAUCGUUGCAAUCUUUUCAUGAAUAACAUAUGACAUAUUUUUCAGAAAAUAUUCUUGACAGAAGCGCUCUCUUAACUCUAUGAGCAUCCCUUGAACACUUAGAAAUGUCUUGGUGUUCAUUUUGCUAAUCAAUUAAGACAUCACCCUUGAUUGUGGCACCUACCUACCAUUCCUUGGGUUCAAUAGUUCAAUUGGUUAUGGGUUAAGAUCAUGUCAACGUUUGCAACUACGGGGAUUUGAGGGGCCCAUAUAGAAAUUUCACUGUCAAACUUGUGUUAAUCAUCAAAGAUCAGAGGCUUGUUAAUGCGAAUUUCGUUUCAUCAGCAGAAUUCAUAUCACAUCUACAUCUGAUUGACUUGGCAUUGACUUAUUCAGCUUCUUUAUUGCAUUUUGAUUGAAGAUCAUUGUAUAUAUUUUUUGUAUUAUUUACUUAAUACUUAUUUAAUAUGAUAUAUAUAUAUAUAUGGUAAGAAGAUAAUUACGUUAUGUGUGUAGUGAAUUACAACAAAAUAUUUUGUACAUAAUGCAUCUUCAAACUAAUUGGUGCUCUUUUUUUUUUUUGGUUCUUAACUGUUUUAUUAGUGAUUUCUGCCUCUGAUUUUGUUUCUCUUUUAUUUUUUUGUGAUAAAAAUGAAGGUUUUUAAGUCUUUAUUGUCGCAGUUUCAUACCUCUGUGGCUCUAUCUUGUCGGAGACACUCAUUUAGUUGUUGGUUUGGGAGCUUCUUGAGUCACUGAGAACGAUACAUUAUCAUUUUGAAUAUCUUAUUCUUAGCAAGAUAUUCAAGAAUGCCUGGCAUUAACGAUUAAGUAAGCAAUUGAAUGUUGAUGAAAUUGUUUGAAUGCGGGCUUUUGAGCUAAAUGAGUGAUUAGGGAAUUUCGACCAUUUAUUCACAAAAGAUUCCAUAAACUUCAUGCCAUCUUAUGCUUGUCAUGGUUAUUCAUGCUUAUUAUAGUUUGACUAAUCUUGUGUCUAAAUGAAUAUUUGUUGCAACGACAAUUAGACUAAUUAAAUAUAGUUGCCUAUGUUAUUUUGUUGUUUUUGUCUUGCUUUGAAUAAUAUUGUUGAUGAAUUAUUUUGAAUUUUUUUGGUGUUAUUACUCGGGCAGUAAAUGAGCGGCUCGAGUCAAAGUUCGACUCGAGUUCGAUAUUAAUCGAACUUGAGUUGACUAAGUCGAACUCGAAUUCAAACUCGAAUUCAAAUUCAAAGAUAGUCAACUUGUUAGCUCACAAGCUGACUCAAUUAUAUUUUUUAUUUUUUAUUUUAAUAGUAAAAUUACAUAUAUAUCCCUAAUAUUUUAUUAUUUAUUAAGAAAAAAUAUUAUUUUAUUCAUUUUUUAAAAAUAAAAUAAUUAUUUUUUUUAACUCAAACUCGACUUUGAGCUUGAUAAAACUAAGUUGAGACUUGGUUCGAUUAGAUCAAAACUCUACUCCACUUGACUCAUUUUGUGGUUCUAGUUAUCACUCGAAGGUUAUCUUAAAAUAAAAGAAAAGCAAGCUUGAUAGUUUUCAAUAAUGUUGUGUUAUGAGUUUCAUUAGCAUUAGAAUAAUGAUCCCAGAAGCUUGAGAGCAUAUUUUACUUCACAAAAAUUUUGUGUUAGUGGCUUCAAAAAUUAAAAAUAAAUAUUCGAUCUUAUAUUUAAUUACCAAAUUUCUUUUGGAUUCCUACCAAUUUAAUAUCAAGACUAAAAAUAGUUUACUUCUCUCUUUUUUGUUUUAUUUUUUCGUGAUAAAUAUUAUUUCCCUCCUAAAGGCUAAUAAGCAAUAAGAGAGUAUUGGCGCCAAAAUAUCUUUAAAAGAAAUAAAUAAACUGCUUCAAAGUCAAAAUUCUUUUUUUUUGACAAACAAUAAUAUUUUUAUAGAUAUUAACACUUGAUAGUACAAGGGCUAAUUACAAAAAAAGGUAACUACCCCCAUAUCUUUCCUAGCUAAAGCUGAAAGCCAAGUUGGAAAUGUACCUUCCCAUUCAAAACUUCUAGUUGCCUUGACUGCAAAUUGAGCCAAUUCAUGGCUACAACUAUUAGCAGUUCUGGGAACAAAAGAGAAAGUGCAACUUUCAAAUCUUUUCUUCAGGACAUCAAUGUCAUCCAGGAGUGUUUGGAGUCUACAUUCCUGAACAUUGUCUGUAUUGAUGAGGUUCACAACAUACUUGCAGUCAGAUUGGACUUCUAUGUUUGUCCAUCCUGCACCUUGAGCCAUUUCCAGCGCACCUCUGAUUGCUAGAGUUUCCUCUGUGGCUGCUUCCCCUUUCCUCCUCUCAGUAAUUCCCUUCGCUUUCACUAUCGCCCCGCACCAGUUCCUUGCAAUGAUCCCCAAUCCUGAUCUGACCAUUUUAGCUGAAAUUGCUGCGUCCGUGUUGAUCAUCAUUGUUCCUUUCUUGAGAGGCUCCCAUCGCUGCUGGACCUGUCUUUCCAUUUCUAGACCUGAAUUUGCUCGUGUCUGAUUCAUACGCUGCCUCAAACUCGAUCCAUUCCUGCUGUGCCUUGUCUAUUAUUGCUUUUGCAUCCACUAACUCACUCUGGAAUGUUAACUUGUUUCUAGCUUUCCAGAUUUGCCAUAAGAGGUUCACCGUAAGCCUGAUUCUAUCUGCUCCUUGUGUCUCCUUUGCUGAAUGCAUCACAGCUUCCCACCAUCUCCACAAGUUACCUUGUAGUGCAACUAAGCCCUCCCACCUUACAGGAGCUAACUUCCAUAUCACUUUAGCUUUUGGGCAGAAGAAGAAAAUGUGCUCAAUGGUUUCCGUUUCCUCUCCACAACAGUGACAUAUCUUGUUACUGAUUCCAAAUCUCUUGUAGAGAGCUUUAUUUGUGGCCAUUCCAUUUUGCAGACAUCUCCAUAAAAAAUGUUUUAGUUUCAUCUUAACGUUUAGGCUCCACAAUCUUUUCCAUACUAUGUGCUUUCUAAUUUCCCAGCUGGUUUCCGGAUCAGAUGCAAGUCUUUGAUUCGUCAUUUCACUUUGCUCCUUUGCAACAACAUAUCCAGUCUUCACUGUGUAAAUCCCAGACUUGCUAUAAUUCCAAAACAAUCUGUCUUUUCUAUCAUAUAAACUAAGGGGGAUAUUAGUAAUGUGAUCCACAUCAACAAUAUUAAACCAGUGCUUCAGGAGAUCAUUCUUCCACUUUCCUCCCUCUAUUAGCUCAUGGACAAACUCGAGUUGACAUCCUAUUGGUUUAACCGUUGUUACUCUUCCAUCAACCAAGCCAGGUAUCCAUCUAUCAUGCCAAAUUUUCACUGACCUUCCAUCUCCCACUCUCUUCCAUAGCCCCUUUUGAAGUAGUUCUCCCCCCUUAUGCAUGCUUUUCCAGCACCAAGAAGCAUUGUUAGGUGGUUGUUGUCCCAACCAGUCAUCCUCUUUCAUAUACUUAGUCUUCAGGACUUUGCUUACUAACAAAUUUGGAUUGGUAACAAUUCUCCAAAUUUGUUUUGCAAGCAGGGCCAUAUUGGAGGCUUCCAGGUCUCUAAAACCCAUCCCCCCUUUCCCUUUGACCUCUGAAAGUUUACUCCACCUAAUCCAAUGUACUUUUUUUUUCAGAUUCCCCACCACCCCACCAGUACCUAGCGAUUCUAGCACUAAUGGCUUUGCACAAACCUUUGGGUAUUUUAAAGCAGGACAUAAUGUAUGUAGGCAUUGCCAUAAUGACUGAUUUGAUCAAAACCUCUUUACCCCCUUGGCUAAGCAACUUUUGUUUCCAUUCUUGAAGUUUACUACUAAUGUUACUCAUCAAAUAUCCAAAAACCUGGUUUUUAGCUCUCCCAAUGGUCAUCGGAAGACCUAGAUAUUUACCACUAUGAGCUUCCCUCAUAUUGUCCAACACCUCACUAAUUUCCCCUCUAAGCAUCAUGGGAGUAUUUCUAGUAAAAAACAUGGCAGAUUUGUCAAAAUUUACCACCUGUCAAAAUUCAAAAGACUCAAAACUAACUUGCUAGCUAAAAGGAUAAAGCUUGGGUACUAACCAGUCAUGGUAUGAUACUUCAUUCAUCAAUUUACAUUCUCUUGGCAGAUUGGGACAUUCACCAAUUUACAUUCUCUUGGUUGAUGAAGAUUAGUCUGCUCUAUGGCUUUUGGAAUACAAAAUGAUUGUUAUUUUAUAAUAUUUUAAUAUUUUAUUGUUUUGGACUAUUACUUGUUAAUCCACUUUGUUUCCUUUUUAUAUGCUUAUGCUCUACGUUCUCGAAAUUUUGUGGUGUUUCAUUACUAAUUUUCACUUAAAAAGUUAAUUUAUGACUAGUAGUGUAGAAAAAAAUUACUACAUUUUCAGUAUAUAAAAAAUAAUCCAAAAUUAAAUGAGCAAAACGAGUUAAGACACGAUACUGACAUAUUACCAAACAAAUAGAAUAUGACAAGACCAUGACAUAAAAUUUAAAUGUGGAAUUUAUGAGUUUAUAUAUAUUUUGACAUGCACAAGAAAAUGACACAACACGACAUGUUUAUAGCCCUACAACCAUUAAUCCAACAAAGUAAUGAUUUAUUUGAUCGCUGUAAUGUAAUCUCAAAUUGCUAAAAUAGAUGCAUCAUUAACCUUAUCAAAUCCUAUUCUCACUAAAAUAAAAUCAAUUUAAAAAUAAAAAACAGACCAUAAAAAAAUUACCACGCUCCUAACUAAAAUGUAUUAUACAUUAAUAAUAAUCACAAAAAAAAAAGAAACAAAAAAGCGACAAUACCAGGACCCUCCACAGGCAAAGCGUGACCUCACAAAACUUUAAGAGAAGAUGACGCAUGAGACUAACUGUACGGAAAAAAAAUAUUAUUCUUUCUUAAGUACUGAUUCCUGCUGGGCUUGCCCCUGUGGGGGUUUCUUUCCCAUAUCGGUACUGGGGGGGUUUAGGGAUGGGUAGAUAAGUCCCUCGGGUGCCUUCAAAUGUUACCGGCCGGCUUUUGAAGGUUGCUCGAGGAUUAGGUUUCUUUAUGCAUUCUUGAGUUCGCUUAAGAAAAUGAGAGAAAAAGUACUGAUUCCUGAAUUUUGGGUUCCUGCUUUUAGUUUAUGACGCUCAGGUUGCACAUAAACUGUUUGUCACAAGUUCAAAAAAGAAAAGAAACUAGAAUAUAGGAAAAAGAACACAUUCAGUAACGCAAGAUAAUUCAUCGAAGAUGAACAGUUUACCCAAGGUAAUGGAUUAUACAUUUUUCAGUCAUACAAUUUUGGUAGAAAGUUACCGACCGAAACAUUCCAAGGCAAAUAGAAGUUGUCAACACUUUAACAGGCUUUGAAGCUCAUUCAAGUUGGAAGCAGUAGAAUUGAGUAAUUGUUAACUUUGCUUUUGAACUUUCGCGGACACAGCAGAAAACUGCACUUGGAACACCCAUUUGUCUAAUCAAGGCGAGGAGUUUUAACAGAGCCUACACAAUUUCCCAAUCCAUGUCGACACUAUGAUCUUCAGCAUCAGGACAUCUGUUCUUCAGCUGGCGAUCAAACUGCAUCUCAGCACGAGUGUCCCUGAGCUGAUUAGGUUGAGUCCCAUCAAAUUCAUCAGGCAAAUCAUCCAGCAUACUGGUAAUGUCACUGUAGCCUUUCAUGACACUAGAAAAAUCAUGGUAACAGUCAUGCUUAUCUUCCAUUAGAUAAUUGGAAACAGAAGGUUCGACAUUGAUUUCCCUGAUACGGCCAACAUCUAGUUCCAUGCUAAUAUGGCCAUGCUCUCGAGCUAUUGCUUUGUGCUUGACAGUCCAAUCAGGGCGACUCCAUAAAUAUAAUGGUGGUGUCUCCGCGUUCCACUGCUCCAUUUGCUGAGCAAGCACAUCCACUGACCCAGGCAGAUAAAAGGACUGAUAAAAAAUUAUUUGAGUAAGUGAUUUACUUCAUCCUCAAAUUAGAUCAAUAUCUGGGGGUUGGCAGGCAGUGAAGGGGAGAGCGAGAAGAUGCUAAUUGCUAAUUUUCUUACCUUCCCAGAAAGUAAUUUGUCAUCUUCCCAAAUCAAAUCAUAUGGCAACUUUCCCCUGUCAAGUCUGUAGUUGCCAGAAGGAAAAUAAUAACAAUAAUAAUGAGCAGGUAAAUCAUACUUUCUGGAAUUUCUGAAGUACAAAGUUUAUCUUAUAGCUUCUUUAAGUACAAAUUUUACCUUUUAGUUUCUUUAGGAACAAUGAGAAUCAUGAGCUUUGGACUGAAUGUCAGAGCUUUUGAAAUGAACGUAUUAGCCAGAGAUGCAUGGACGCCAAAAGGAGGAUUCAGCCCCAUGAUCUGUUCAAGAUGAAUAGUGAGGAUCUUCAAAUAUAACUCUACAACAUAGACAAAGUCACAGAAAGCCACCUAUUUCGCAACUUACAAGAU
rnacentral:lncRNA from 1 species